UUCUCAUCUCCAAUGUAUGCCAGUGUUCUGCACCCAACGACCGUAAACAUGUUAGCAGUCUCUGAGAAUCUAUAGGGCGUACCUGUCAGGUUCAGCCGCCAGUUUAGGUAAUCCAUUUCCUUAGUGGAGGUGUUGUAGCAAUAAGUCGACAUAUCCAUCCUGAUCCGGGCAAGACCUUGCUGCAGCGAGAUAUUCAGAACCUCUACAUCUUUAUGAAAUGGCCUGAAUGAUCCAUGGCCGACUUCCGUGCAGCUCAGGUUGAAGCCGGGCAAAGAGCAGUGAUCAGGCGAGUCGUAAGGCCCAAUGCCAAAUGGAUAUGGGAUAUCGACUUCGCCGCAUUUUCUCUGACAGUUGUUGCUAGGCGGCGGCAAUGCUUCAACAGAAGAGAGUAUUACCGCAAGCAAGAGCACUACUCCAAGACAUAGCAGUGCAUCUAAUCUAUGCGGCAGCAUGGUGUGGUGGUGUUAGUUGUCUUCCCUUGAUUGAAUCGAGCACUUGGCAGCUGCUACUCCAAGGUUGAGGAAGGUCUAUUUAUGCAAACUCCUUGUUAAGUAUAAGAUGGUUAGCGACGGUGUCGACACCAGUACAGGUCAGAUCCGUGUGUGCAUUUACUAGGACGGCCUGGUCAGAUUCCUGUGUGCAUUGACUGACUUGGAUGACCAGGUCUUUCCAUCUGGCUUCGUCCGAAUUUCUGUUUAAAAAAAUCAAUUUGCAGCAAAACGCUAGUUGCUUUCGGCAUCUUGGCAACUUGGCAGCGAGCAUGAUAGGUGAACGGGAGAGAAUCGAAUAAAAAGGCCACUGCACAUCUCCGUAUAUAUAUUUAAGUCCAAACACCACCGGAGAACUUACCUUCGUGUUUUUGUCCCGGUAAACAUUGGAUCCGGAACUAAAAUACAUUUAGUCCCGAGUCAAAAAUGAGGAACCGAAAGGAUACCAAUAGGAGGGGUUUUAGUCCUGGUUGUAAAGAUCUAGCACUGACGCCCCCUCCUUUUGUCCUGGUUGGAAAUUCCAACCGGGAAAAAAGCACCCCCACUUGUCCCGGUUGGUAAUUCCAAUCGGGACAAAAGAUUUAGUUCCGGUUGGAAUUACUAACCGGGAUAAAAGGGGUUUUUUUUCUCCUGGUUGGAAUUUUCAACAGGGACAAGUGGCCGGGGCGUCACCAGAUUUCCAUGCGGUCCUUGAGGCAGCGCUCUCCUCUCCACUUUUCUUCUUCGUUCCUCUCCUCAUCCUCUCCUCCCUCUCCUCUUCUCUCUACCAACGCUCCCCUCCUCCCCCUCUAUGCGCCGCCACUGCACCCUCACCUCCCACCGCCACCGCCCCCUCCCCCUCUGCUCGCCCCUCACUGGCAGUGAGGAGCGGUAGCGGGGCGAGGGUAGGGCAGUGGUGAGGCCGGGCAGCGGGCGGCUGAGCGGCCGGCAGGCGGAGCCGAGGCGGGCGGGGGCGGAUCCGGAGUAGAGGUGGGCGGCUGGUGGGCGGGGGCAGGCGAGCAGCAGCUGGCACGAGUGGAGGCGGAUAGAGGCGAACGGAGGCAUGCGGCGGCGGGCGGGCACAGGCGGCCGGCGCGAGUACUUUUUUUUAAAACUUUUUAGUCCCAGUUGGUAACACCAACCAACUGAGACUAAAGGUGAUCUUUAGUCCUAGAUGAAUGAUUCGGGACUAAACGACACCCCUUUUGUCUCGAAAAUUUAGUUUCGGUUGGAUUUUCGAGAUCUAUAGCCUUAUGCAACCGGAACUAAAGGUUCAUUUUCAAGUAGUGAAAGAUAACAUCAGAAGACUCGAACAACUAUAAGUGCCGUGCUUGAUUACUGUACUUGUAUUUUACGUUGAACAGUCUUGUGAAACCGGCCAUGCUUGCUUGACUGACUACCAUCUGUGGCUAAAAAUGGUUGCCGGGCCGGGGAAGACCUGCCAGGCACUGCUAAAGCAAGUCAGUCUCCACCUAUAUAUUCGUAGGCUUCCGGGUAUGUACAAACUAGUUGUCUUGUCUAGUUGUCUGUUCCUUGCCGUAGAGAAUAAUUUUUUUUCGAGUAACGUUACAUCAAGGUGAUACAAUAGAACAUGAAGAAUUCCCUACCUCUACCAAAAUAGUACACAGCCUUACAAAAGGAAACACGAAAACAGGCAGGCUAAUGACUUUCGAUCUGAAUACUAGACCGCUAUCCAUGUGCCUCGGUAAAAUGUCCUUAGCCAUUCGCGCCGAGCAUUGAGAUGCCGCUACAACCAAACCUUGUGUAGUAGGCUUCCGGAGGAUAGCCCAUGUACGAAGCCAGCGUGUGAUUGAGAAGAUAACAUGCAAAAAAGAAUGUUGUUUCUUCUCAAAUAUCACACCAUUUCUGCACAACCACAAAGACCAACAUGCAGGCGCUGCUCCAAGAAACACUAAAGGUUUGUAAGCCAUCGUGCCAAACAUAUUUUCCACACUACGAGGUUGUAAAAUACCAAAAGCCGCAUAUAUUGCGCAGAUCAUACGAGCAAGUCGACACUCAAAAAAAAGAUGUGGAAUAGUCUCACCCUUGUGACAUACUGCCCUGGUAGUUGUGCUUAGCUAGAUUAUCCUUUGUUAAGAUAACACGUCUAUGUAUUAUAAUAUUUUUAUUUUUAAUGGGAUCUUUAAUUUCAAGAGUCGUUUGUUGUUACUGGGGACCUCGUUAUAGAUCAGAGCCAAAUAAUCUCCAUUUUGAUGUAGGUUCUAAUGAAAUUCAUCUUCAUUAUGGCUUAGCACAAUAUUAGCGAUUCGUGGAAGGAGAUUGUUCCACACCACCAACUUAUUAGUAAUUCAUGGUUGGAAGAGAUUAGGGGCCGGACGAGCAGGGCCCGACGAGCAGGGACGAGCAAGGACUGACGAGGACGAGCAGGGGCUGACGAGGAUGAGCAGGGGCCGGGCAAGCAGAUCUUGCACAGGGCUGACGAGGACGAGCAGGGGUGGAGGGCGGCGAGCGAGCAGCGCGACCUGGGGCGGAGGGAGGGCGGCGUGAGCUGGGCCGGAGGAAGGGCGACGACUCCCAUGCGUGCAUGCUCGACAUGCUGGGUGCGGCGGAGGAGGACGGCGGCAGCAUGCUCCCCGACGUGCCGCUCCUCACCCGAUUCUUCUCUACCUCAUCAUGGCCGCUGCCGAGCCCUGCGACCCACGGCAAGCUCAGCUGAGGCGGGCUCAUCUUCCCCGUUCUGCGAAUCACCACUGAAUCGCGGCGUCCCUCCCACUCCCCUUCGCCUAGUCCGCUUCGGCUGCGAGCUGCGGCGGCGGCGCCGGAGGCUGCACGGGCAGCCCCUGCUCCGCCUCCGCCCCCGAAGUUGUAGGCCUGGCGCUCGCGCUCGCCGUAACCUAGCGCCGCUAGGGCGGAUGGAGGGCGGCAGGCGGGCGGCGCGACUUGGGGCAGAGGGAGGGCGGCGCGUCGGGGGAGGAGGUGGAAGAGGAAAAAGAACGUACCGAUUCGGUACAUAACCGAUGGUAGGCGUCUAAAUAACCCAGAAAGCUAGUUAGAAGCUCGUUUUCCCCUCCUUUCCAGCUUACCAUUGUAACGUGGCUUUCCACAGCUUUUAGCUCACGAAAAGCUAGGCUCAAAAGCUUGCCGUUUGUUCGGGCUUUCGACUUCUAGGGGCGAGAAGCUGGCUGAAAGCCCAAACAAAUAGGGCCUAAAGAGGGUCUUCCCAGGUGGAUGGAAUGGGAUUAAAGGACCCCUUUUUGUCUCGAAAAAUUUAUCCCGAAUGGUUUUUAGAGAGAUUUGGCCUCUACCAACCGGGACUAAAGUCGAGGUUUCUAGCAGUGAGUGCAGAGGCUGAAUACAGGGCAGUGACAAAUGCAGUUGCAGAGUGCUGCUGGCUAAGGUAAUUGCCUGGUGAAUUACAAUGUGCAGUCCUGUCAGCAACAGUGGUCUUCGGUGACAAUAUAUCUGCAGCUUACAUGGCCAGUAAUCCUGUUCAUCAUCGCGGCACCAAACACAUCGAGUUGGACAUCCAUCCCUCGGUGAGUUUUGCGUCGUUCGUUUACCGACUGAUCAGCAGAUUGCAGAUAUAAUGACCAAAGGAUUAGCUUCAGAUUUAUUCGACUCUUUUGUUUCCAGUCUGUGCAUUUUGUCAGGAGACGAUGUUCAGACUGCCGGGGGUGUUACACUGACAAUUAUAGUUUUCCAUUUGGCCCGCGGCCCGCGGGCCGGCCCACGACACGACAUUUGGCCCGGUACAGGCACGGCUCGGCACGGCGGCCUUGCAGGACCGGGCCGACCCGGCCUACACCACGGGCCGGGCCUAGGCCGCUACCUCAGGCCGUGGGCUGGCUCGGCACGGCCUAGCCCAUUCAGCCCGUGGGCUAGCAACGGCCGGCACGGCUUGUUUAGGCGUGCCACGCCUGCCUCAGCCCGGCCAACGGCCGUAUAAAACACCAGCACCCGGCGGCCCCCGGCCGAAACCCUACCUCGCGCCCGCACCGCUCCCGCAUUGAGCCGCCUCUCGCCCUCUCCAGCGCUCCCCUCGCUCCCUCCCGGCUCCUCGCCUCCUCCCUCCGUCCCUCGAUGCCUGCGCCUCCUCCCCUAGAUCCUCCGCCGUCCUUGCCCGCCGUCGUCUCACACUGUCCCUCCCCUCUCAGAUCCGGCGUCCUCGCCCACCGCCGGCUCGCCGGUGGCCCCUUCGCCUCCCUCUCCCCGUAACUACUCUUCCACUCUCAGAUCUGGCGUCCUUGCCUGCCGCCGGCUUGCCGGUGGCCCCUCCGCCUCCCUCCCCCUGUAACUGCUCCUCCACUCUCAGAUUCGGCAUCAUCGCCUGUCGCCGGCUUGCCGGUGGCCCCUCCACCUCCCUACCCCCGUAACUGCUCCUCCCCUCUCAAAUCCAGCGUCCUUGCCCGCCGCCGGCUCACCGGUCACCCAUCUACCUCCCUCCCCGUAACCCCACUUCUCCCCUAGCCCCUCUGGCCCUCCGCCUUCCUUCCCGGCUCCUCGCCUCCUCCUCCCGACCCCUCGCAGAUCCGCCUCACUCCCUGGUUCCCCACCAUUGCGGUUCGUCUUCUCCGGCUUAGGGCUCCGGCUGCACAGGUAAACAACCUCCUCUCGUUCCUCUUCUUGUUUUGACCCCUCGCAGAUCCGCCUCCCUCACUUUUCUCCUCUUGCAGGUCUCCUAUAGGUGCCGCGCGUUGUUGAGGAACGGAACUGCCGAGGCGACGACGUCAAUGGUGGAGGGCUUGAGGGUGUGUUUCCUGUUCCAGGUGUGCUCUUCAUUUGAGGUCUUAGGAUGGACGACAACUAUCCAACCUGCCUCAAUGAUGAGUUGCGGUUGAUGGGGGGAGACCGGAGAUGAUAAUUCUGAUUUGGAGGCGGAUCGGCGGGCGCUGCUCGGUGGUGCUGUCCUCGAUUCUCAGCCAGGUAGUGGAGAUUCUCCACCACCUGCUGCUACUGGCUCUGGUGCUUGUCCGGGCUCGGAGAGUACGGGCAGCAAGAGGACUCGUUCUUGCACCUCUAAGGUAUGGGACGACUUUGAGCCACUAUACGGGGUAAUGAAUGACAAGAGGGUAAGAACUGGUGCUAAGUGCCUACAUUGCAAGAAAGUUUAUUUUGGUAAGUCUUCUAGUGGUACUGGACACUUGCAUAGGCACCUUCCAAAGUGCCCAGUCUUGCUAGGUGCUUCACGUAUGGCUCAGUCCCAACUCAAGUACAAUCCUGAUGGCUGUCUCCAUAUGUGGGAGUACAAUCCUAAUGUUGCUCGUAUCCAGUUGUGCAGAUUGAUUGCUAGACUAGACCUUCCUUUAUGCUUUGGUGAGUCUGAUGCAUUUGAGGAGUAUAUUAAUAUUGCUCAUAAUCCUUGAUUCAGUUGUGUGUCUAGGCAAACCACCACCAAAGAUUUUGUUAAGUAUUUUGAUGAGUGUCGUACUAAACUUGUGGCUUCUUUGCAAUAUGUUUCCUUUGUUGCUCUUACAUCUGCCAUAUGGUCUGGUAAUGCUAAGGAAGAUUACCUUAGUGUGGUUGUUCAUUAUGUUAAUGCUGAUUGGCAACUAGAGAAGGCCUUCGUUUCAUUGAUGUUUCUCAUAAUGCUGAUAAUAUUGCUGAGCGCAUUACAUCUGUUGCUACUGAUUAUGGUUUAAAUGAUAAGAUAUACUUUUGUGUUUCUUGACAUCUGCCCACAACAUAUACUUUUGUGUCUGCAGGAGCAUGAAUGGAACAUCUUGUUUACCGUUCCAUUCUCUAAUGCUGAUGGGCACGUUGUCCCUUACAAUAGCCUUGCACCGACUCACGAACUUUUUAGCCACAUGUUUGGGAGCAAUUGGCUUGCCCUUUUCCAUCAAUUCCGUGAUGUGAAGCCUUUCCUCCAUAAUCUUGGUAUGACCUCAUGGCUUGUUUUGCUUCAUUGAUCCAGAGGGCUAAUAGUUCAAGAUUCAUUAAUUAGUACAUAGUAAUAAUAAAUAUGAAAUUAUAGAUGGGUUAAAAUAAUGAAAAUGAUAUAUAGCUCGCCGGUACCUUCCGUGACGGCAAGGCUUUAUUCCGCAUUGUCAUCAACGUGGUGCUUGGGCUCAUCAUUGCCAUCACUGGACAUGUUGAGCAACAUGUCUGCCUGGCUACCCUCAUCCUCGGUGUACGUUAUUAGAACGUUGGAGCCACUACCACCAGCAAUAAUCUCCUCCAUUAUAUACCUUGCAUCCUCUUCAUAUCCCAUCUCAACUAAUUUAAACACACAUGAAAUCAUAGAUAAAUUAAAUUAAAAAUUGUAUCAUAGACUUUGAUGUAGCAUCAAUGAAUCAUUCAGCAUCAAAGUUUGAUUUUGUUGAUUUCAUGAAACCAAAACUUCACUAUUCUAGUGGUUGAAUGAAGCAGUGCAUAAACUAUAAUAAAAAAAUAUAUUCAAAUUUUGGUUGUACAUAUAUGCUGUUAUGCAUGAAUAUUUGGAUGAGCAUAAUAAAAAUUUGUGCCAGUUUGUCUAGCAAUAUUCUAGUCUUCUACAUUUAACAUCAGGUUAAGUGAGUUUAUAUUGGUUUUCGUAAUGGAAGGUUCCACUUGGUCUGUCUCUUAAAGUUUGACUGUAACAUACGGUUGAUUUGUUUUUUAAAUUAACGUCCACAUUUCAAAUAGGUUCAGGCGCACGGACGGCGGGGGCAGCGCUCGGAUGUAAGGGCGGCACGCGGAACAACAUGCUGGGGCAGGCUACAAGGUGGGCGCGAUGGUGGGGGUCCUGGACGGUGGCAGGGAAGGGGCGCGGGUGAAGGUGGGGUGCGCGAAUCGACGGCGAGGGUCUUGGAUGGGGCGGGCAACAACAACAAUGGCAAGGGUGGACGGAGGCGGGGGGAGCUCGGAUGGUAGGCAGGCUGGGGCACCGCGAGUGACGGCGUCCGGGGCAGGAGGACGGCGGCGGCCGGUGCAGGCGGAUGGCGGCUGGGUGGUAGAUGGGAGCGAGCGGACGACAGCAGCCAAGGCAGGCGGAUGGUGGCAGGGUGGUGGACGGGAGACGAGCGGGCGCGGGGCAGCGGAUCGAUCUAGUGGAGUGUGUGGGAGACGAGGCAUAAGGGAGAAGGGGCGUGUCUUAACCCUCCUAGUCCUGGGUUGACUUUGCAACCGGCACUAAGGGGCCUUUAGUCCUGGUUGCAAAUUCAACCCAAGACUAAACCCCCCCCCCCCCCCCCGCUUAGUCCUAGUUGCAAUUUGCAAGGGUGCUUUUCGCGUAGGAGCUGAAAACACACCCUUUAGUCCUAGUUCCAAAUUGCAACCAGGACUAAAGGGUGGGCCUUUAGUUCCUGGUUGACUUUGCAACUGGGACUAAAGGCUCUUUAGUGGGGUUUUGCAUUUCCCGCUUGUUUUCAGUUAUUUUCCACUUUACAUAUUUUGAACAUGAAAUUAUAUUAAAUUAGCAAGUAUAUUUAAAAUAAGUUUAAAUCAGUCAUUAAUUCUAUAUUAGUUGAUUAAGUUUUCAAAAUAAUUAUUUUGAUGCAUCACUAUCAUCAACAAACUCUUCAAUUAAAUAAUUUCAACGUGCAAAAAAUGCAAUUGAUGUAUGUGGUUAAGUUAACAUUGUUUAUAUUGAUCAAAUAAAUGUUCACCAUAGAGAUUACAAUAAAAUUCAAAGGUUUUGAUGGCCAUAGAGCAUUACAUAAAGGUUAACCAUAUUUAGUGCAUUACAAUGUAAUGUUAAAAAACUUCUUGUUGAUGAAAAUUCUUUGGUCAUGAUCGUGGUGCAAGUACGGAGCCUCUUCUUUGGCUAGCUUCAUGCUUGGGUCAACUUCGAAAGCGAAUGGAGGCAUAUCAUCAAACUGAUCAUAAUCAUCUGACUAGUCUGUUUUAUCCUCGACUCCCACGAUUUUUCUUUUACCUGGAAGAACUAUGUGGCGCUUUGGCUCCCUUUCUUUAUCUUCUGAAUUUUUCUUGGGUUUGCUAGACAUAUCCUUCACAUAGAAAACCUGGUGCACAUCAUUAGUAAGGACGAAUCGUUCAUCAUUGUAUCCAGUGUUGGUAAGGUCAACUAUUGUCAUUCCAUACUGAUCUUUCAUUACGCCACCUCCAAUUAGCUUCACCCAUUGGCAGCAAAACAGAGGGGUGUUCAGCGGUCCGUAUUCGAGUUUCCUGAUCUCCUCCAUGAAACCAUAAUUUGAGUCCCUGCUCCUGUUUGUGUCUAUGGCAUCAAUGCGGACACCACUAUUAUGGUUGGUGCUUAUCUGAUCUUGGGCUCUCGUGUAAAAUGUAUAACCAUUUACCUCGUAACCUUGGAAUUUCACGAUUAUGCUAGUAGGUCCCCUGGCUAACCAAGCGAGUUGUUCAUGAAUCACGGAGUUACUCAUAAGGUGUUGACGCAACCAAGAGGUUCAUAUCCAUGUGAUUAUAUAUAAUCCACGCAUCAGAUUUCGUCGAGUAUUAGGAAAAUAAAAUCCGCUUGUGCUCCUCGAUAUACUAAGCCACAAAGAAUGAGUGUUGCAAAACAGUGAAGUGUGCUUUCUGGAAUAAAUUAGUAUCAUUGCUCAAACUUGAUUUCCUUCCAAUGGUGCCCGUUCCGUGCAACCUCCCCUUGUGGCAUCAUGUUGGAACCCCAAUCGAAUUAAUUGAGUCAAUAAAAUCAACACAAAACUCAAUGACCUCUUCUGCUCCAUAUUCCUUGGUGAUGCUUCCUUCUGGACGGGCACGAUUAAGUACAUAGUUUUUUAGAAUGACGUGAACCUCUCGAAAGGUCACAUAUUGUGCAGGAAUACUGGACCGAGAAUAGUAAUCUCUUUGACUAGGUGAACUAGGAGGUGCGUCAUAAUAUUGAAGAAGGAUGGUGGAAAUACCAACUCAAAGCUAACAAGACAUUGUACCAUAUUGUUCUGUAGCUUUACUAGCUUGGUUGGAUCGACUGCCUUCUGCAAAAUCACAUUGAGAAACACGCAUAGCUUUACGAGUGCCAAUCGUACAUUCUCUAGUAGAAUACCCCUCAGUGUAACCGGAAGCAACUGGGGUAUCAACAUGUGGUAGCCAUGGGCCUUGAGAUUUGUGAUCUUCUUUUCUUUCAUAUUUAUUAUUCCCUUUAUAUUCAAGGAGUACCUAGACGGAACCUUAAUACUAUUCAUGCAUUCAGACAUGGUAUCCUUUUGUUCCUUGUGGAGAGUGUAAUUGGCAUGAUGUAAGUAGUGCUAUCUGUUAUCUCCCUUUUCUGAUUGUAGGUCAUCUUGUUGCUUCAUACAUUUCAGGUCUUGUCGUGCUUCCAAUGUAUCUUUUGAGUUCCCAUAACAACCCAUGAAGCCUAGCACGUUCAUGCAAAGAUUUUUGUUAGGUGCAUCAUAUCUAUUGCAUUGCGGACCUCUAGGAUUUCCCAAUAAGGUAGCUCCCAAAAUAUAGACUUCUUCUUCCACAUGGGUGCACGUCCGUUAUCAUCGUUCGGAAUAGGUUCGCUACCAAGACCCUUUCCAAAGAGUACCCUUACAUCCCUUAUUAUCUCAAAUACACGCUUUCCAUUAUAGUGUGCAUGUUUUUUACGAUAAUCUGGCGCCCCUUUGAAAUGCAUCCCUUUCUUUCUUAACGGGUAGUUACCAGGAAGAAAUCGAUGAUGGCCCAUAUACAUGACCUUCCUAUAGUCUUUCAAAUACAUACUAUCUGUGUUGUCUAAACAGAGGGUGCACGCUCGAUAUCCCUUAUUUGUCUGUCCUGAAAGGUUACUCAAUGCAGAUCAAUGCUCGUAGGUCAAAGCUCUCUUGUUUAUUAUCAUCCUACAAAUGUACACAUUCUUCCUUCCAGAGCAGUAAAAGUUCAUCAACCAAUGGUCCUAGGUACACGUCAAUAUCAUUGUCAGGUUGUUUUGGGUCUUGGAUAAGCACUGACAGCAUAAUGAACUUCCGCUUCAUGCACAGCCAAGAAAGAAGGUUGAACAUACAUAGGGUAAUAGGCCAAGUACUAUGACCACUACUCAACUCACCGAAUGGAUUGAAUCCAUCAGUACUUAAACUAAACCUUAUGUUCCUUGCAUCACCUUCAAUGUCUGAAAAUACUCUAUCAAUUGAUCUCCACUGGACUCCAUCCGUGGGGUAUCCCAAUAUCUCAUCUUGCUUGCAUUCUUCUUUGUGCCAUCACAUCAACUUAGCAUUUGACUUGUUUCUAAACAAAUGCUUCAAAUGUGGUAUUAUAGGGAAAUACCACAUCACCUUCACGGUAACUCUCUUCUUGGGAGGCUACCCCUCGACAUCACCAGGAUCAUUUCGCCUGAUCUUAUACCGUAUUGCUCCACAGAUAGGACAAGCAUCCAAUUUCUCGUAUUCAUCAUCACGAUAGAGGAUAUAGUCAUUAGGGCAUACGUGUAUCUUCUGAACCUCCAAUUCUAGAGGGCAAAUAACCUAUUUAGCUUCAUAUGUUGUGGACGAAAAUUCAUUAUUCUCGGGAAGAAUGUUCUUUACAAUUUUCAAUAUCCCCUGAAAUGCCUUAUCGGACACACCAUUUUUUGCCUUCCAUUACUGCAAUUCUAGUGUGGUACCUAGUUUUUUAUGCCCCCGCUUGCAAUCUGGGUACAAUAAUUUUUUGUGAUCAUCUAUCAUGUGCUGCAACUUUCUUGAUUCCUUCUCAGUUUCACAAUCUCUGUGUGCAUCCUGUAGUACCUGACCAAGAUCAUCAAUAGGGUCAUCUUCUGCAAACUCAUCUUCAUCAGCCUCGCCCAUUUAGCAUCUACAAAAGUUUGGCCUGCAGCCCAGUCCGGAAUGUUGUUAUCAUCCUCCUCUUCUUCGUCGUCUUCCAUUAUAACCCUGCUUUUGCCGUGUUUGGUCCAAAUUAAAUAGUUAGCCAUGAAAUUGUAUCUAAAUAAGUGGUUCUGAAUAAUCCCUAAGGAAGAGUAGUCCUUAUUGUUACUGCAUUGGAAGCAUGGAUAACAUAUGAAUCCAUUCUUUGGCUUGUUGGCUUUGACCCCUUCGAGAAAAUAAUGCAAGCCAUCAACAAACCCCUUGGUCCAUCUGUCCUAGUUAAACAUCCAUUGCCGGUCCAUCUAUAUCGUAUUACGUGUGAAAUGGACAUAGGUCUUUGUAUUAGAUAAAGAACUUGAUCAAUAUUAGAUAGGGGGGAAAUAGAGUUAAUGUGAUUAUAAUAUUUAGUCCUUGCAAAAAACAUUAGAUAAAUAAAUUAUUACAUGAGAAAUGGACAUAGGUCUUCGUAUUAGAUAAAGAACUUGAUCAAUAUUAGGUACGGAAAAAAAUAGAGGAAAUGUGUUUAUAAUAUUUGGUCCUUGCAAAAAAUAUUAGAUAAAUAAAUUAUUACAUGAGAAAUAGACAUAUGUCUUCAUAUUAGAUAAAGAACUUGAUCAAUAUUUAUAAUUUACACUAAUCAACCUUCAUGAAGAUAAAAACAAUUCACAUGAAAAUUACACCAUUCAAAAUUCAUAACAUUCACUAAAGAUACAUAUAAAGAUUACACUCAUAAUAAGACAAUAAAGAUACAUAUACACUAAACAUUACAGACGCUCCAUAGUGAAGUUCACGUAGUCAAUUAUCCUAAAAUAAUGGUACAACAUAGCAGAAUGUUCGCCCUCCAAGUCAUCUUUGCACAUAACUCAAUUUUCUAUGAAAUCUAUCGAGAGUCACCUUCACAUAUCCAAUACCAUAAAAUAAUGGUACAACAAAAGAUCUUCGAGUCCACGUACUCAGGCUAAAUAACAUAAAGGAAUCUUGAAAUAAUUGUCCAAAUAUCUUUUGGAGCAAGUGCCACAUUCUUACAAUAGAAGUAUGGUGGCACACACACAAUAGCCCAUCCAGGCAAAAAAUCUGUUCACUGAGCAUGACCCAUGGCGGCAAGCCAAAACCAACCAAAAGCCGCUAGGUCAAGGUCAGUGAACAGAUCUUUGCCUGAAGAUGAUAUUGGGCCAGCAUACUUCUAUUAUGAGAAUUAGGCUCCAAAAGGCAUUUGGAAUAUUAUUUCAAGAUUCUUUUAUGAUAUUCAGCCCGAGUUUGUGGACUCGAAGUUCUUCUGUUGUACCAUUAUUUUCUGGUACUGGAGGAGCGGAGGUGACUCUCCAUAGACUUCGUAGAAAGUUGAGUUCUGUGCAUAGAAUAAUGUAUGCACACUCAUGCCAUGUGCAGACACUGUUCUCUGGAUUAGAGGAGCGGAGGUGGUACAACCAUUGCCGGUCCAUCUGCAUCGUAUUACGUGGAAAAUGAACAUAGGGCUUCGUAUUACAUUAAGAACUUGAUCAAUAUUAGGUAGGGGAAAAAUAGAGUAAGUAUAUUUAUAUUAUUUAGUUCUUGGAAUAAACAUGAGAUAAAUAAACUAUUGGUCAAAGAAUUGCAAUUAUUGUUAAAUUACAGUGACAUGAAAAAUUGUAGCAAUGACCAAAUUCUAUUUCUUACACCUACAAUUUAUUUACCUUAAUUUUAUUACAAUGACUAAAUAUUAGAAACACAUUUACUCUAGUUUUUCCCAUACCUAAUAAUGAUCAAGUUCUUUUAACUAAUACAAAUCAUAUAUAACAGGAAGCUAUCCAUCAAAUUCUAGGUCAAAAACAUGUAUAAAUGAAAAUCCUCUCCAUUCUCCCUCAUUCUAAAAAAAAUCAUUUUUCUCCCUCUCUCAAGCAUAAAAUAAAGCAUAAUAACAAUAAAUGAAGGGAAGAUGAAGUGCCUAACCUUCACAACACUUUGGAUGAGUGAAAUCCUCACGGAAAUGAGGAAAAAAAUUCAGGUAGCACCUCCCCUAAGGUUGUUUGCUCGCCAUGGAGAGGAGGAUGAAGCUCUCGGUCUCUGGUGGAGUGGCUCGGGCUGGGGGAGGAAGAAGAGUUUCAGGCUGGUUGGAUUUUUAGGGGAGGAAGAAGAGUUUCCAACUGGGAUAAAAGAGCCCCUUUUGUCCCGGUUGGUAAUUCCAACCGACACUAAACCUUUUGUAAUUCCAACCGGGAUAAAAGGGAGUGGGCGUCGGUGCGAUAUUUCUAGCCGUUACAAUUGGGACUAAAGGGGGUGUAGUCCUGGUUGGUCUUUACAACUGGAACUAAAGGAAGCUUUAGCAACGCCCCCCCCCCCCACGGUGACCUUCGAUGCCUCAUUCUUGACCCGGGAUGUCCCGGGUCCAAAGUCAACCGGUACAAAAGUACCUAGAUGGAAGGUCAAUUCUCUACUAGUAGGUUAUACUUUCGCCAUAUGCUUAUGGCUCAUUUUAUGUUAACGUGGGUUGGUAUAUACUUAUACCUUAGUAUUCAGGUGCUAAUAAAAUUUGACCAACUAAAAUUGCUUAUUGUAGUAAACCAGUAAGCCUCUCCUUGUUUAAGCCUUGCAUUCAUUUGUUCCCCACACUUGCUGAGUACGACAUGCGCUUACCCUUGCUAUAACCAAUGUUGCUCAGAAGAAGAGGCUGCUACGAAGUUGUUGUGAAGAUGAUGCUGAGUUCUAGGCGUACGCAACCCCCGAUCGAUUUCCUGUGAAGUUUGGAGCCUCCAUUUUCAAGAUUACGCUGUAAAUCUAUUAUAGACUCUCUUUCCUUUCGUGAUAGCGUUGCUGUUACUCACUUAUGAUGUCACUAUAUGUAUGAAAUUAGAUCCUGGCAUCCAUAUAGGUAGCACUUGGUUUUGUUUCAAAAUUGGGUGUGACAGAAGCUAUGCACGAGGCAAGAGGUUGCGGGUUCGAAUCACACGCACCGCACAAGCAUAUAUUUCGCGUGAAAAAUUGCGUGACUUGAGCGAAUGUGUGAACAUCCCCGGAAUUUAUAAUAUUUUUUUCGGGACUAAAGAUCCCGACCUUGGUCCUGAAUUCGUAAUCCUGGUUGGGAAAUCGGGCUUUAUAUGAGGUUUCCAAACAAGGACUAAAGCAGAGUUGUUCGUGUACUGCACUGCACGUCAAAUGUGCCGCCGCGUGAGAAACACGCUCUUUUGUCAGUUUACACCGGAUGAUUGAUAGAAGCAGGCGAAACUGAUGCCAGGUUGGCAACUUUUGCCGGGUCAUCGCACUCGCCCGCGCCCUCCUCCUGUCUUCCCAUCGAGUAGACUGACCAAAAAGGUGUGGGUAGGUGCUUCACGAAGUAUCACCAUCAAGCCAACACGUAUUUACUCAGUCAACCAACGCACGAGGGUUUUAUGUUUUCUUUUCAUUCUAUCAUGAAAGCAGUACAUCUCUCGCGACUUUGACAAGUUUACUCAGUCAACCAUUCUACCAAAGAAGAAGAUGAUGAUGAUGGCGGAGAAAAAGGGGAAGAAAGAGGGGUAGGGUGAGGAUCGGGUGGAGGAGAGUGUGUGCCAGGUACGGUGGUUUGUUUUUUUCUUGCAUGGGUGCAAAAGUAUCUGCUACAGUUUAUGCUAACAUUCAACCCUCUUUGAUCGAAAGGUUAAAGGGCUUCAAUCUUAUAUAAUGUUAUGCGAAGUUAUUCGAAAUGAUGCAUUGCUAAAUGUGUUAGGCAUCUUGCUGGCUCCUGUUAUAGUGUUAUUACAACGAAACUUGAGUUCCUAUAGAAAGUAUGUACAAAUUUUCUAUACCAUAACUUCAUUGCAUCUUUUAAGAGAAGCAUAAGUGGCAACCUUAUGAAAACCAUAUACAGACUAUUAAAAAUGGUACUAGAAUCCUGUGAAUUAAUUGAAACAAAUAUCAAGCUCCAUGUGUUAUGAAACUUGUGCUUCCCUUUUAUAGUCCUUCAUUUUUUAUCACUAACUUUUAGCACCGGAAGACCAAGGCAUUAUUAUACUAGUUAUCACGUGCUUCAACAAAUUCAGUCAUCUGUCCAUGUUGAUUUCAUCUUGCAAACUCUAUGCUCAUCGAGGCUUUCUUCUGGAGGAUGUAAUAAUCUGUGCUUUCUUCACUAGUAUAGUCACCCGAUGAAUUGUCAGACGACCGUCCCUGCAUCAUGAGUGCACUAACACCAUGAAACCCUUGAGUGCGAGGUGGUACUGGACGUGCCAAUCGCUGGAGUUCCUCUGCUACCUCUCUCAUCAUUGGCCUGCGUUGACCGGUCAUGGCCAAGCACCGACUUGCUACCGCAGCCACUUGAAGUAUUAACUCCAUGUUUUCUUGAUUGUCUAUCUCCCUAUCUAUGAGUUCUGUAAGCUUGCCCUCCUUCACACCUUCCAUGAAGACAGACACGAGGCUUACCUUUGUUUUGGACAGUGCCCUCCUUCGUGUUAAGAGCUCCAAAAGAACAACACCAAAGCUGUAAACAUCGCUCUUAUCAGUAAGCUCAAAGUUCAAAAGGUACUCUGGAUCUAAGUAGCCCAUCGUCCCCUUCACUACUUGAACAUUUUCAUCAGCUGACCUAAUCAUGGAGCACCCAAAAUCAGAAACUUUUGCAGAGAGAUCGUGGCCUAGAAGAAUAUUAACGGACUUGACAUCUCCAUGAAAGACAGGGUGGCUAAGAGAAUGUAGGUAUGCAAGUGCUGCAGCAAUCUCAGAGGCAAUUUUAAGACGGACCUCUAGAGUUCUUUUGGACGGAUCAACUUGUGUAUGAAUAAGAUGUUGUAGAGUUUGAUUUGGAACAUAUUCAUACACCAGAACUGGAGCUUCAAACUGCAAGCUGCAACCUAGAAGCUGGACGAUGUUUUCAUGUUUGACUCGAGAAAGUAUAAGAAGCUCCUUACCAAAUUCCAUUCUCCUAUUCUCAUCAAAUCCCUUGCAGAUCUUGAUAGCAACAGGAUAAUUAUCUAAAUCAAGAUUUACNNNNNNNNNNNNNNNNNNNNNNNNNNNNNNNNNNNNNNNNNNNNNNNNNNNNNNNNNNNNNNNNNNNNNNNNNNNNNNNNNNNNNNNNNNNNNNNNNNNNNNNNNNNNNNNNNNNNNNNNNNNNNNNNNNNNNNNNNNNNNNNNNNNNNNNNNNNNNNNNNNNNNNNNNNNNNNNNNNNNNNNNNNNNNNNNNNNNNNNNNNNNNNNNNNNNNNNNNNNNNNNNNNNNNNNNNNNNNNNNNNNNNNNNNNNNNNNNNGGCAAAAAACUAAAGAAGUAUGGUUAGACCUAUUCACUGAAACAACUACUAAUGUACUGGUUGGUUUAUAUACUUGUGUCACUUAAAUACAAUAUUCAGUCACUUCACAAAUGUGACACCAUGAGGAUAGAUUUGUUUCAGUCAUGCUUUCACAAAUCUAAUUGAACAGUGGGGAAAGAUGCUUUCACAAAUCUAAUUGAACAGUGCGGAAAGAUACGACUAUACGAGUAGUACCUAUUGGAAUUGUGACUUUUAGAGGAAUUGACUGGUCCUUCUCACAUGUCCCAGUGUAUGCGUUGCCUUGGUAAUGCGGAGGACAAAUGCAUUGAAAUCCUCCUUGAGUAUUCUUGCAAGUUCCCUUCACAGAGCAAGGGUAUUUCUCCAGAUUGUUAUUACAUUCAUCAACAUCUGCAAUGUUAGCAGUGGUAUAUAAAAUAUUGAGUAAAGAUUUCCAGUGGCAGUAGAUUAUCUCAUGACCUAAUCAAAGGUCAAAACAUCGCCUCUCUUAUUUAUACAAACAUAUCACGCAAAAGGAAUUGCACCUAUAGAUUUCAUUACCUUUGCAUCCGUCAACAAGGUACGGAUUGCCUUGGAAUCCUUUGGUGCAGUUGCAGAUGUAGCCUUGUCCAUUGUCCGAAUUAAAGCACUCACUGCUACUGCUGACACAUGCAUAUGACUCAGGCUUGUUCCGGGCUUCAUCGCAAGUUCCGUUCCCAAUAGCCCAGUCCACGAUCAACGGUGGCUGCCCAGAAUAAGUAUCGUAGAACUCCGAUGAUGUAGCGUAGCUUUUGGAGAAUGUGAAUUUGGAUGCCUCGACCAGCGCCGCGUAGCUGCAGCGGCUGGUGUUGUAGAUCUCCGACGUGUUGAAGCCUUCAUCGAACCACACCUGGUAGUACUGCAGACCCUUGGGGAUGGCUGUCUGGCAGCAGCCAAUUCCGGAGCAUGAGCCAUCAGUAAGUGUUCUUACAUCGCCUCGCCGGCACAUGGAGACACAACCGCUCAUGUACCUGCCGACGUUAUUCUCAUCUCCAAUGUAUGCCAGUGUUCUGCACCCAACGACCGUAAACAUGUUAGCAGUCUCUGAGAAUCUAUAGGGCGUACCUGUCAGGUUCAGCCGCCAGUUUAGGUAAUCCAUUUCCUUAGUGGAGGUGUUGUAGCAAUAAGUCGACAUGUCCAUCCUGAUCCGGGCAAGACCUUGCUGCAGCGAAAUAUUCAGAACCUCUACAUCUUUAUGAAAUGGCCUGAAUGAUCCAUGGCCGACUUCCGUGCAGCUCAGGUUGAAGCCGGGCAAAGAGCAGUGAUCAGGCGAGUCGUAAGGCCCAAUGCCAAAUGGAUAUGGGAUAUCGACUUCGCCGCAUUUUCUCUGACAGUUGUUGCUAGGCGGCGGCAAUGCUUCAACAGAAGAGAGUAUUACCGCAAGCAAGAGCACUACUCCAAGACAUAGCAGUGCAUCUAAUCUAUGCGGCAGCAUGGUGUGGUGGUGUUAGUUGUCUUCCCUUGAUUGAAUCGAGCACUUGGCAGCUGCUACUCCAAGGUUGAGGAAGGUCUAUUUAUGCAAACUCCUUGUUAAGUAUAAGAUGGUUAGCGACGGUGUCGACACCAGUACAGGUCAGAUCCGUGUGUGCAUUUACUAGGACGGCCUGGUCAGAUUCCUGUGUGCAUUGACUGACUUGGAUGACCAGGUCUUUCCAUCUGGCUUCGUCCGAAUUUCUGUUUAAAAAAAUCAAUUUGCAGCAAAACGCUAGUUGCUUUCGGCAUCUUGGCAACUUGGCAGCGAGCAUGAUAGGUGAACGGGAGAGAAUCGAAUAAAAAGGCCACUGCACAUCUCCGUAUAUAUAUUUAAGUCCAAACACCACCGGAGAACUUACCUUCGUGUUUUUGUCCCGGUAAACAUUGGAUCCGGAACUAAAAUACAUUUAGUCCCGAGUCAAAAAUGAGGAACCGAAAGGAUACCAAUAGGAGGGGUUUUAGUCCUGGUUGUAAAGAUCUAGCACUGACGCCGCCCCCUCCUUUUGUCCUGGUUGGAAAUUCCAACCGGGACAAAAGCACCCCCACUUGUCCCGGUUGGUAAUUCCAAUCGGGACAAAAGAUUUAGUUCCGGUUGGAAUUACUAACCGGGAUAAAAGGGGUUUUUUUUCUCCUGGUUGGAAUUUUCAACAGGGACAAGUGGCCGGGGCGUCACCAGAUUUCCAUGCGGUCCUUGAGGCAGCGCUCUCCUCUCCACUUUUCUUCUUCGUUCCUCUCCUCAUCCUCUCCUCCCUCUCCUCUUCUCUCUACCAACGCUCCCCUCCUCCCCCUCUAUGCGCCGCCACUGCACCCUCACCUCCCACCGCCACCGCCCCCUCCCCCUCUGCUCGCCCCUCACUGGCAGUGAGGAGCGGUAGCGGGGCGAGGGCAGGGCAGUGGUGAGGCCGGGCAGCGGGCGGCUGAGCGGCCGGCGGGCGGAGCCGAGGCGGGCGGGGGCGGAUCCGGAGUAGAGGUGGGCGGCUGGUGGGCGGGGGCAGGCGAGCAGCAGCUGGCACGAGUGGAGGCGGAUAGAGGCGAACGGAGGCAUGCGGCGGCGGGCGGGCACAGGCGGCCGGCGCGAGUACUUUUUUUUAAAACUUUUUAGUCCCAGUUGGUAACACCAACCAACUGAGACUAAAGGUGAUCUUUAGUCCUAGAUGAAUGAUUCGGGACUAAACGACACCCCUUUUGUCUCGAAAAUUUAGUUCCGGUUGGAUUUUCGAGAUCUAUAGCCUUAUGCAACCGGAACUAAAGGUUCAUUUUCAAGUAGUGAAAGAUAACAUCAGAAGACUCGAACAACUAUAAGUGCCGUGCUUGAUUACUGUACUUGUAUUUUACGUUGAACAAUCUUGUGAAACCGGCCAUGCUUGCUUGACUGACUACCAUCUGUGGCUAAAAAUGGUUGCCGGGCCGGGGAAGACCUGCCAGGCACUGCUAAAGCAAGUCAGUCUCCACCUAUAUAUUCGUAGGCUUCCGGGUAUGUACAAACUAGUUGUCUUGUCUAGUUGUCUGUUCCUUGCCGUAGAGAAUAAUUUUUUUUCGAGUAACGUUACAUCAAGGUGAUACAAUAGAACAUGAAGAAUUCCCUACCUCUACCAAAAUAGUACACAGCCUUACAAAAGGAAACACGAAAACAGGCAGGCUAAUGACUUUCGAUCUGAAUACUAGACCGCUAUCCAUGUGCCUCGGUAAAAUGUCCUUAGCCAUUCGCGCCGAGCAUUGAGAUGCCGCUACAACCAAACCUUGUGUAGUAGGCUUCCGGAGGAUAGCCCAUGUACGAAGCCAGCGUGUGAUUGAGAAGAUAACAUGCAAAAAAGAAUGUUGUUUCUUCUCAAAUAUCACACCAUUUCUGCACAACCACAAAGACCAACAUGCAGGCGCUGCUCCAAGAAACACUAAAGGUUUGUAAGCCAUCGUGCCAAACAUAUUUUCCACACUACGAGGUUGUAAAAUACCAAAAGCCGCAUAUAUUGCGCAGAUCAUACGAGCAAGUCGACACUCAAAAAACAGAUGUCGAAUAGUCUCACCCUUGUGACAUACUGCCCUGGUAGUUGUGCUUAGCUAGAUUAUCCUUUGUUAAGAUAACACGUCUAUGUAUUAUAAUAUUUUUAUUUUUAAUGGGAUCUUUAAUUUCAAGAGUCGUUUGUUGUUACUGGGGACCUCGUUAUAGAUCAGAGCCAAAUAAUCUCCAUUUUGAUGUAGGUUCUAAUGAAAUUCAUCUUCAUUAUGGCUUAGCACAAUAUUAGCGAUUCGUGGAAGGAGAUUGUUCCACACCACCAACUUGUUAGUAAUUCGUGGUUGGAAGAGAUUAGGGGCCGGACAAGCAGGGCCCGACGAGCAGGGACGAGCAAGGACUGACGAGGACGAGCAGGGGCUGACGAGGAUGAGCAAGGGCCGGGCAAGCAGAUCUUGCACAGGGCUGACGAGGACGAGCAGGGGUGGAGGGUGGCGAGCGAGCAGCGCGACCUGGGGCGGAGGGAGGGCGGCGGGCGGCGUGAGCUGGGGCAGAGGGAGGGCGGCGGGCGGCGCGAGCAGGGGUGGAGGGCGACGACUCCCAUGCGUGCAUGCUCGACAUGCUGGGUGCGGCGGAGGAGGAUGGCGGCAGCGUGCUCCCCGACGUGCCGCUCCUCACCCGAUUCUUGUCUACCUCAUCAUGGCCGCUGCCGAGCCCUGCGACCCACGGCAAGCUCAGCUGAGGCGGGCUCAUCUUCCCCAUUCUGCGAAUCACCACCGAAUCGCGGCGUCCCUCCCACUCCCCUUCGCCUAGUCCGCUCCGGCCGCGAGCUGCGGCGGCGGCGCCGGAGGCUGCACGGGCAGCCCCUGCUCCGCCUCCGCCCCCGAAGUUGUAGGCCUGGCGCUCGCGCUCGCCGUAACCUAGCGCCGCUAGGGCGGAUGGAGGGCGGCAGGUGGGCGGCGCGACCUGGGGCGGAGGGAGGGCGGCGCGUCGGGGGAGGAGGUGGAAGAGGAAAAAGAAUGUACCGAUUCGGUACAUAACCGAUGGUAGGCGUCUAAAUAACCCAGAAAGCUAGUUAGAAGCUCGUUUUCCCCUCCUUUCUAGCUUACCACUGUAACGUGGCUUUCCACAGCUUUUAGCUCACGAAAAGCUAGGCUCAAAAGCUUGCCGUUUGUUCGGGCUUUCGACUUCUAGGGGCGAGAACCUGGCUGAAAGCCCAAACAAAUAGGGCCUAAAGAGGGUCUUCCCAGGUGGAUGGAAUGGGAUUAAAGGACCCCUUUUUGUCUCGAAAAAUUUAUCCCGAAUGGUUUUUAGAGAGAUUUGGCCUCUACCAACCGGGACUAAAGUCGAGGUUUCUAGCAGUGAGUGCAGAGGCUGAAUACAGGGCAGUGACAAAUGCAGUUGCAGAGUGCUGCUGGCUAAGGUAAUUGCCUGGUGAAUUACAAUGUGCAGUCCUGUCAGCAACAGUGGUCUUCGGUGACAAUAUAUCUGCAGCUUACAUGGCUAGUAAUCCUGUUCAUCAUCGCGGCACCAAACACAUCGAGUUGGACAUCCAUCCCUCGGUGAGUUUUGCGUCGUUCGUUUACCGACUGAUCAGCAGAUUGCAGAUAUAAUGACCAAAGGAUUAGCUUCAGAUUUAUUUGACUCUUUUCUUUCCAAUCUGUGCAUUUUGUCAGGAGACGAUGUUCAGAAUGCCGGGGGUGCAUUUUGUCAGGAGACGAUGUUCAGACUGCCGUGGGUGUUACACUGACAAUUAUAGUUUUCCAUUUGGCCCGCGGCCCGCGGGCCGGCCCACGGCACGACAUUUGGCCCGGUACAGGCACGGCUCGGCACGGCGGCCUUGCAGGACCGGCCCGGCCCGGCCUACACCACGGGCCGGGCCUAGGCCGCUACCUCAGGUCGUGGGCUGGCUCGGCACGGCCUGGCCCAUUCAGCCUGUGGGCUAGCAACGGCCGGCACGGCUUGUUUAGGCGUGCCACGCCUGCCUCGGCCCGGCCAACGGCCGUAUAAAACACCAGCACUCGGUGGCCCCCGGUCGAAACCCUACCCCGCACCCGCUCCGCUCCCGCAUUGAGCCACCUCUCGCCCUCUCCAACGCUCCCCUCGCUCCCUCCCGGCUCCUCGCCUCCUCCCUCCGUCCCUCGAUGCCUACGCCUCCUCCCCUAGAUCCUCCACCGUCCUUGCCCGCCGUCGUCUCACCCUGUCCCUCCCCUCUCAGAUCUGGCGUCCUCGCCCACCGCCGGCUCGCCGGUGGCCCCUUCGCCUCCCUGUCCCCGUAACUACUCUUCCACUCUCAGAUCUGGCGUCCUUGCUUGCCGCCGGCUUGCCGGUGGCCCCUCCGCCUCCCUCCCCCUGUAACUGCUCCUCCACUCUCAGAUUCGGCAUCCUCGCCUGUCGCCGGCUUGCCGGUGGCCCCUCCGCCUCCCUACCCCCGUAACUGCUCCUCCCCUCUCAAAUCCGGCAUCCUUGCCCGCCGCCGGCUCACCGGUCACCCAUCUGCCUCCCUCCCCGUAACCCCGCUUCUCCCCUAGCCCCUCUGGCCCUCCGCCUUCCUUCCCGACUCCUCACCUCCUCCUCCCGACCCCUCGCAGAUCCGCCUCACUCCCUGGUUCCCCACCAUUGCGGUUCGUCUUCUCCGGCUUAGGGCUCCGGGUGCGCAGGUAAACAACCUCCUCUUGUUCCUCUUCUUGUUUCGACCCCUCGCAGAUCCGCCUCCCUCACUUUUCUCCUCUUGCAGGUCUCCUAUAGGUGCCGCGCGUUGUUGAGGAAUGGAACCGCCGAGGCGACGACGUCAAUGGUGGAGGGCUCGAGGGUGUGUUCCCUGUUCCGGGUGUGCUCUUCAUUUGAGGUCUUAGGAUGGACGACGACUAUCCAACCUGCCUCAAUGAUGAGUUGCAGUUGAUGGGGGAGACCGGAGAUGAUAAUUCUAAUUUGGAGGCGGAUCGGCGGGCGCUGCUCGGUGGUGCCGUCCCCGAUUCUCAGCCACGUAGUGGAGAUUCUACACCACCUGCUGCUACUGGCUCUGGUGCUGGUCCGGGCUCGGAGAGUACGGGCAGCAAGAGGACUCGUUCUUGCACCUCUAAGGUAUGGGACGACUUUGAGCCACUGUACAAGGUAAUGAAUAACAAGAGGGUAAGAACUGGUGCUAAGUGCAUACAUUGCAAGAAAGUUUAUUUUGGUAAGUCUUCUAGUGGUACUGGACACUUGCAUAGGCACCUUCCAAAGUGCCCAGUCUUGCUAGGUGCUUCACGUAUGGCUCAGUCCCAACUCAAGUACAAUCCUGAUGGCUCUCUCCAUAUGUGGGAGUACAAUCCUAAUGUUCCUCGUAUCCAGUUGUGCAGAUUGAUUGCUAGACUAGACCUUCCUUUAUGCUUUGGUGAGUCUGAUGCAUUUGAGGAGUAUAUUAAUAUUGCUCAUAAUCCUAGAUUUAGUUGUGUGUCUAGGCAAACCACCACCAAAGAUUUUGUUAAGUAUUUUGAUGAGCGUCGUACUAAACUUGUGGCUUCUUUGCAAUCUGUUUCCUUUGUUGCUCUUACAUCUGCCAUAUGGUCUGGUAAUGCUAAGGAAGAUUACCUUAGUGUGGUUGUUCAUUAUGUGAAUGCUGAUUGGCAACUAGAGAAGGCCUUUGUUUCAUUGAUGUUUCUCAUAAUGCUGAUAAUAUUGCUGAGCGCAUUACAUCUGUUGCUACUGAUUUUGGUUUAAAUGAUAAGAUAUACUUUUGUGUUUCUUGACAUCUGCCCACAACAUAUACUUUUGUGUCUGCGGGAGCAUGAAUGGAACAUCUUGUUUACCCUUCCAUUCUCUAAUGCUGAUGGGCACGUUGUCCCUUACAAUAGCCUUGCACUGACUCACGAACUUUUUAGCCACAUGUUUAGGAGCAAUUGGCUUGCCCUUUUCCAUCACUUCCGUGAUGUGAAGCCUUUCCUCCAUAAUCUUGGUAUGACCUCGUGGCUUGUUUUGCUUCAUUGAUCCAGAGGGCUAAUAGUUCAAGAUUCAUUAAUUAGUACAUAGUAAUAAUGAAUAUGAAAUUAUAGAUGGGUUAAAACAAUGAAAAUGAUAUAUAGCUCGCCGGUACCUUACGUGAUGGCAAGGCUUUAUUCCGCAUUGUCAUCAACGUGGUGCUUGGGCUCAUCAUUGCCAUCACUGGACAUGUUGAGCAACAUGUCUGCCUGGCUACCCUCAUCCUCGGUGUACGUUAUUAGAACGUUGGAGCCACUACCACCAGCAAUAAUCUCCUCCAUUAUAUACCUUGCAUCCUCUUCAUAUCCCAUCUCAACUAAUUUAAACACACAUGAAAUCAUAGAUAAAUUAAAUUAAAAAUUGUAUCAUAGACUUUGAUGUAGCAUCAAUGAAUCAUUCAGCAUCAAAGUUUGAUUUUGUUGAUUUCAUGAAACCAAAACUUCACUAUUCUAGUGGUUGAAUGAGGCAGUGCAUAAACUAUAAUAAAAAAAUAUAUUCAAAUUUUGGUUGUACAUAUAUGCUGUUAUGCAUGAAUAUUUGGAUGAGCAUAAAAAACAUUUGUGCCAGUUUGUCUAGCAAUAUUCUAGUCUUCUACAUUUAACAUCAGGUUAAGUGAGUUUAUAUUGGUUUUCGUAAUGGAAGGUUCCACUUGGUCUGUCUCUUAAAGUUUGACUGUAACAUACAGUUGAUUUGUUUUUUAAAUUAACGUCCACAUUUCAAAUAGGUUCAGGCGCACGGAUGGCGGGGACAGCGCUCGGAUGUAAGGGCGGCACGCGGAACGACAUGCUGGGGCGGGCUACAAGGUGGGUGCGAUGGUGGGGGUCCUGGACGGUGGCAGGGAAGGGGCGCGGGUGAAGGUGGGGUGCGCGAAUCGACGGCGAGGGUCUUGGAUGGGGCGGGCAAAAACAACAAUGGCAAGGGUGGACGGAGGCGGGGGGAGCUCGGAUGGUAGGCAGGCUGGGGCACCUCGAGUGACGGCGUCCGGGGCAGGAGGACGGCGGCGGCUGGGGCAGGCGGAUGGCGGCUGGGUGGUAGAUGGGAGUGAGCGGACAACAGCAGCCAAGGCAGGCGGAUGGUGGAAGGGUGGUGGACGGGAGACGAGCGGGCGCGGGGCAGCGGAUCGAUCUAGUGGAGUGUGUGGGAGACGAGGCAUAAGGGAGAAGGGGCGUGUCUUAACCCUCCUAGUCCUUGGUUGACUUUGCAACCGGCACUAAAGGGCCUUUAGUCCUGGUUGCAAAUUCAACCCAAGACUAAAGCCUCCCCCCCCCCCCCGCUUAGUCCUAGUUGCAAUUUGCAAGGGUGCUUUUCGCGUAGGAGCUGAAAACACACCCUUUAGUCCCAGUUCCAAAUUGCAACCGGGACUAAAGGGUGGGCCUUUAGUUCCUGGUUGACUUUGCAACUGGGACUAAAGGCUCUUUAGUGGGGUUUUGCAUUUCCCGCUUGUUUUCAGUUAUUUUCCACUUUACAUACUUUGAACAUGAAAUUAUAUUAAAUUAGCAAGUAUAUUUAAAAUAAGUUUAAAUCAGUCAUUAAUUCUAUAUUAGUUGAUUAAGUUUUCAAAAUAAUUAUUUUGAUGCAUCACAAUCAUCAACAAACUCUUCAAUUAAAUAAUUUCAACGCGCAAAAAAUGCAAUUGAUGUAUGUGGUUAAGUUAACAUUGUUUAUAUUGAUCAAAUAAAUGUUCACCAUAGAGAUUACAAUAAAAUUCAAAGGUUUUGAUGGCCAUAGAGCAUUACAUAAAGGUUAACCAUAUUUAGUGCAUUACAAUGUAAUGUUAAAAAACUUCCUGUUGAUGAAAGUUCUUUGGUCAUGAUCGUUGUGCAAGUACGAAGCCUCUUCUUUGGCUAGCUUCAUGCUUGGGUCAACUUCAAAAGCGAAUGGAGGCAUAUCAUCAAACUGAUCAUAAUCAUCUGACUAGUCUGUUUUAUCCUCGACUCCCACGAUUUUUCUUUUACCUGGAAGAACUAUGUGGCGCUUUGGCUCCCUUUCUUUAUCUUCUGAAUUUUUCUUGGGUUUGCUAGACAUGUCCUUCACAUAGAAAACCUGGUGCACAUCAUUAGCAAGGACGAAUCGUUCAUCAUUGUAUCCAGUCUUGGUCAGGUCCACUAUUGUCAUUCCAUACUGAUCUUUCAUUACGCCACCUCCAAUUAGCUUCACCCAUUGGCAGCAAAACAGAGAGGUGUUCAGCGGUCCGUAUUCGAGUUUCCUGAUCUCCUCUAUGAAACCAUAAUAUGAGUCCCUGCUCCUGUUUGUGUCUAUGGCAUCAAUGCGGACACCACUAUUAUGGUUGGUGCUUACCUGGUCUUGGGCUCUCGUGUAAAAUGUAUAACCAUUUACCUCGUAACCUUGAAAUUUCACGAUUAUGCUAGUAGGUCCCCUGGCUAACCAAGCGAGUUGUUCAUGAAUCGCGGAGUUACUCAUAAGGUGUUGACGCAACCAAGAGGUUCAUAUCCAUGUGAUUAUAUAUAAUCCACGCAUCAGAUUUCGUCGAGUAUUAGGAAAAUAAAAUCCGCUUGUGCUCCUCGAUAUACUAAGCCACAAAGAAUGAUUGUUGCAAAACAGUGAAGUGUGCUUUCUGGAAUAAAUUAGUAUCAUUGCUCAAACUUGAUUUCCUUCCAAGGGUGCCCGUUCCAUGCAACCUCCCCUUGUGGCAUCAUGUUGGAACCCCAAUCGAAUUAAUUGAGUCAAUAAAAUCAACACAAAACUCAAUGACCUCUUCUGCUCCAUAUUCCUUGGUGAUGCUUCCUUCUGGACGGGCACGAUUAAGUACAUAGUUUUUUAGAAUGACGUGAACCUCUCGAAAGGUCACAUAUUGUGUAGGAAUACUGGACCGAGAAUAGUAAUCUCUUUGACUAGGUGAACUAGGAGGUGCGUCAUAAUAUUGAAGAAGGAUGGUGGAAAUACCAACUCAAAGCUGACAAGACAUUGUACCAUAUUGUUCUGUAGCUUUACUAGCUUGGUUGGAUCGAUUGCCUUCUGCAAAAUCACAUUGAGAAACACGCAUAGCUUUACGAGUGCCAAUCGUACAUUCUCUAGUAGAAUACCCCUCAGUGUAAUCGGAAGCAACUGGGGUAUCAACAUGUGGUAGCCAUGGGCCUUGAGAUUUGUGAUCUUCUUUUCUUUCAUAUUUAUUAUUCCCUUUAUAUUCAAGGAGUACCCAAACGGAACCUUAAUACUAUUCAUGCAUUCAGACAUGGUAUCCUUUUGUUCCUUGUGGAGAGUGUAAUUGGCAUGAUGUAAGUAGUGCUAUCUGUUAUCUCCCUUUUCUGAUUGUAGGUCAUCUUGUUGCUUCAUACAUUUUAGGUCUUGUCGUGCUUCCAAUGUAUCUUUUGAGUUCCCAUAACAACCCAUGAAGCCUAGCACGUUCAUGCAAAGAUUUUUGUUAGGUGCAUCAUAUCUAUUGCAUUGCGGACCUCUAGGAUUUCCCAAUAAGGUAGCUCCCAAAAUAUAGACUUCUUCUUCCACAUGGGUGCACGUCUGUUAUCGUCAUUCGGAAUAGGUUCGCUACCAAGACCCUUUCCAAAGAGUACCCUUACAUCCCUUAUUAUCUCAAAUACACGCUUUCCAUUAUAGUGUGCAUGUUUUUUACGAUAAUCUGGCGCCCCUUUGAAAUGCAUCCCUUUCUUUCUUAACGUGUAGUUACCAGGAAGAAAUCGAUGAUGGCCCAUAUACAUGACCUUCCUAUAGUCUUUCAAAUACAUACUAUCUGUGUUGUCUAAACAGAGGGUGCACGCUCGAUAUCCCUUAUUUGUCUGUCCUGAAAGGUUACUCAAUGCUCGUAGGUCAAAGCUCUCUUGUUUAUUAUCAUCCUACAAAUGUACACAUUCUUCCUUCCAGAGCAGUAAAAAUUCAUCAACCAAUGGCCCUAGGUACACGUCAAUAUCGUUGUCAGGUUGUUUUGGGUCUUGGAUAAGCACUGACAGCAUAAUGAACUUCCGCUUCAUGCACAGCCAAGAAAGAAGGUUGAACAUACAUAGGGUAAUAGGCUAAGUACUAUGACCACUACUCAACUCACCGAAUGGAUUGAAUCCAUCAGUACUUAAACUAUACCUUAUGUUCCUUGCAUCACCUUCAAUGUCCGAAAAUACUCUAUCAAUUGAUCUCCACUGGACCCCAUCCGUGGGGUAUCCCAAUAUCUCAUCUUGCUUGCAUUCUUCUUUGUGCCAUCACAUCAACUUAGCAUUUGACUUGUUUCUAAACAAAUGCUUCAAAUGUGGUAUUAUAGGGAAAUACCACAUCACCUUCACGGUAACUCUCUUCUUGGGAGGCUACCCCUCAACAUCACCAGGAUCAUUUCGCCUGAUCUUAUACCGUAUUGCUCCACAGAUAGGACAAGCAUCCAAUUUCUCGUAUUCAUCAUCACGAUAGAGGAUAUAGUCAUUAGGGCAUACGUGUAUCUUCUGAACCUCCAAUUCUAGAGGGAAAAUAACCUAUUUAGCUUCAUAUGUUGUGGACGACAAUUCAUUAUUCUCACGAAGAAUGUUCUUUACAAUUUUCAAUAUCCCCUGAAAUGCCUUAUCGGACACACCAUUUUUUGCCUUCCAUUACUGCAGUUCUAGUGUGGUACCCAGUUUUUUAUGCCCCCGCUUGCAAUCUGGGUACAAUAAUUUUUUGUGAUCAUCUAUCAUGUGCUGCAACUUUCUUGAUUCCUUCUCAGUUUCACAAUCUCUGUGUGCAUCCUGUAGUACCUGACCAAGAUCAUCAAUAGGGUCAUCUUCUGCAAACUCAUCUUCAUCAGCCUCGCCCAUUUAGUAUCUACAAAAGUUUGGCCUGCAGCCCAGUCCGGAAUGUUGUUAUCAUCCUCCUCUUCUUCGUCGUCUUCCAUUAUAACCCUUCUUUUGCCGUGUUUGGUCCAAAUUAAAUAGUUAGCCAUGAAAUUGUAUCUAAAUAAGUGGUUAUGAACAAUCCCUAAGGAAGAGUAGUCCUUAUUGUUUCUGCAUUGGAAGCAUGGAUAACAUAUGAAUCCAUUCUUUGGCUUGUUGGCUUUGACCCCUUCGAGAAAAUAAUGCAAGCCAUCAACAAACCCCUUGGUCCAUCUGUCAUAGUUAAACAUCCAUUGCCGGUCCAUCUACAUCGUAUUACGUGUGAAAUGGACAUAGGUCUUUGUAUUAGAUAAAGAACUUGAUCAAUAUUAGAUAGGGGGGAAAAUAGAGUUAAUGUGAUUAUAAUAUUUAGUCCUUGCAAAAAACAUUAGAUAAAUAAAUUAUUACAUGAGAAAUGGACAUAGGUCUUCGUAUUAGAUAAAGAACUUGAUCAAUAUUAGGUAGGGAAAAAAAUAGAGGAAAUGUGUUUAUAAUAUUUAGUCCUUGCAAAAAAUAUUAGAUAAAUAAAUUAUUACAUGAGAAAUAGACAUAUGUCUUCAUAUUAGAUAAAGAACUUGAUCAAUAUUUAUAAUUUACACUAAUCAACCUUCAUGAAGAUAAAAACAAUUCACAUGAAAAUUACACCAUUCAAAAUUUAUAACAUUCACUAAAGAUACAUAUAAAGAUUACACUCAUAAUAAGACAAUAAAGAUACAUAUACACUAAACAUUACAGACGCUCCAUAGUGAAGUUCACGUAGUCAAUUAUCCUAAAAUAAUGGUACAACAUAGCAGAAUGUUCGCCCUCCAAGUCAUCUUUGCACAUAACUCAAUUUUCUAUGAAAUCUAUCGAGAGUCACCUUCACAUAUCCAAUACCAUAAAAUAAUGGUACAACAAAAGAUCUUCGAGUCCACGUACUCAGGCUAAAUAACAUAAAGGAAUCUUGAAAUAAUUGUCCAAAUAUCUUUUGGAGCAAGUGCCACAUUCUUACAAUAGAAGUAUGGUGGCACACACACAAUAGCCCAUCCAGGCAAAAAAUCUGUUCACUGAGCAUGACCCAUGGCGGCAAGCCAAAACCAACCAAAAGCCGCUAGGUCAAGGUCAGUGAACAGAUCUUUGCCUGAAGAUGAUAUUGGGCCAGCAUACUUCUAUUAUGAGAAUUAGGCUCCAAAAGGCAUUUGGAAUAUUAUUUCAAGAUUCUUUUAUGACAUUCAGCCCGAGUUUGUGGACUCGAAGUUCUUCUGUUGUACCAUUAUUUUCUGGUACUGGAGGAGCGGAGGUGACUCUCCAUAGACUUCGUAGAAAGUUGAGUUCUGUGCAUAGAAUAAUGUAUGCACACUCAUGCCAUGUGGAGACACUGUUCUCUGGAUUAGAGGAGCGGAGGUGGUACAGCCAUUGCCGGUCCAUCUGCAUCGUAUUACGUGGAAAAUGAACAUAGGGCUUCGUAUUACAUUAAGAACUUGAUCAAUAUUAGGUAGGGGAAAAAUAGAGUAAGUAUGUUUAUAUUAUUUAGUUCUUGGAAUAAACAUGAGAUAAAUAAACUAUUGGUCAAAGAAUUGCAAUUAUUGUUAAAUUACAGUGACAUGAAAAAUUGUAGCAAUGACCAAAUUCUAUUUCUUACACCUACAAUUUAUUUACCUUAAUUUUAUUACAAUGACUAAAAUAAAGCAUAAUAACAAUAAAUGAAGGGAAGAUGAAGUGCCUAACCUUCACAACACUUUGGAUGAGUGAAAUCCUCACGGAAAUGAGGAAAAAAAUUCAGGUAGCACCUCCCCUAAGGUUGCUUGCUCGCCAUGGAGAGGAGGAUGAAGCUCUCGGUCUCUGGUGGAGUGGCUCGGGCUGGGGGAGGAAGAAGAGUUUCAGGCUGGUUGGAUUUUUAGGGGAGGAAGAAGAGUUUCCAACUGGGAUAAAAGAGCCCCUUUUGUCCCGGUUGGUAAUUCCAACCGACACUAAACCUUUUGUAAUUCCAACCGGGAUAAAAGGGAGUGGGCGUCGGUGCGAUAUUUCUAGCCGUUACAAUUGGGACUAAAGGGGGUGUAGUCCUGGUUGGUCUUUACAACGGGAACUAAAGGAAGCUUUAGCAACCCCCCCCCCCCCCCGCGGGGACCUUCGAUGCCUCAUUCUUGACCCGGGAUGUCCCGGGUCCAAAGUCAACCGGUACAAAAGUACCUAGAUAGAAGGUCAAUUCUCUACUAGUAGGUUAUGCUUUCGCCAUAUGCUUAUGGCUCAUUUUAUGUUAACGUGGGUUGGUAUAUACUUAUACCUUAGUAUUCAGGUGCUAAUAAAAUUUGACCAACUAAAAUUGCUUAUUGUAGUAAACCAGUAAGCCUCUCCUUGUUUAAGCCUUGCAUUCAUUUGUUCCCCACACUUGCUGAGUACGACAUGCGCUUACCCUUGCUAUAACCAAUGUUGCUCAGAAGAAGAGGCUGCAAUGAAGUUGUUGUGAAGAUGAUGCUGAGUUCUAGGCGUACGCAACCCCCGAUCGAUUUCCUAUGAAGUUUGGAGCCUCCAUUUUCAAGAUUACGCUGUAAAUCUAUUAUAGACUCUCUUUCCUUUCGUGAUAGCGUUGCUGUUACUCACUUAUGAUGUCACUAUAUGUAUGAAAUUAGAUCCUGGCAUCCAUAUAGGUAGCACUUGGUUUUGUUUCAAAAUUGGGUGUGACAGAAGCUAUGCACGAGGCAAGAGGUUGCGGGUUCGAAUCACACGCACCGCACAAGCAUAUAUUUCGCGUGAAAAAUUGCGUGACUUGAGCGAAUGUGUGAACAUCCCCGGAAUUUAUAAUAUUUUUUUCGGGACUAAAGAUCCCAACCUUGGUCCUGAAUUCGUAAUCCUGGUUGGGAAAUCGGGCUUUAUAUGAGGUUUCCAAACAAGGACUAAAGCUGAGUUGUUCGUGUACUGCACUGCACGUCAAAUGUGCCGCCGCGUGAGAAACACGCUCUUUUGUCAGUUUACAAUGGAUGAUUGAUAGAAGCAGGCGAAACUGAUGCCAGGUUGGCAACUUUUGCCGGGUCAUCGCACUCGCCCGCGCCCUCCUCCUGUCUUCCCAUCGAGUAGACUGACCAAAAAGGUGUGGGUAGGUGCUUCACGAAGUAUCACCAUCAAGCCAACACGUAUUUACUCAGUCAACCAACGCACGAGGGUUUGAUGUUUUCUUUUCAUUCUAUCAUGAAAGCAGUACAUCUCUCGCGACUUUGACAAGUUUACUCAGUCAACCAUUCUACCAAAGAAGAAGAUGAUGAUGAUGGCGGAGAAAAAGGGGAAGAAAGAGGGGUAGGGUGAGGAUCGGGUGGAGGAGAGUGUGUGCCAGGUACGGUGGUUUGUUUUUUUCUUGCAUGGGUGCAAAAGUAUCUGCUACAGUUUAUGCUAACAUUCAACCCUCUUUGAUCGAAAGGUUAAAGGGCUUCAAUCUUAUAUAAUGUUAUGCGAAGUUAUUCGAAAUGAUGCAUUGCUAAAUGUGUUAGGCAUCUUGCUGGCUCCUGUUAUAGUGUUAUUACAACGAAACUUGAGUUCCUAUAGAAAGUAUGUACAAAUUUUCUAUACAAUAACUUCAUUGCAUCUUUUAAGAGAAGCAUAAGUGGCAACCUUAUGAAAACCAUAUACAGACUAUUAAAAAUGGUACUAGAAUCCUGUGAAUUAAUUGAAACAAAUAUCAAGCUCCAUGUGUUAUGAAACUUGUGCUUCCCUUUUAUAGUCCUUCAUUUUUUAUCACUAACUUUUAGCACCGGAAGACCAAGGCAUUAUUAUACUAGUUAUCACGUGCUUCAACAAAUUCAGUCAUCUGUCCAUGUUGAUUUCAUCUUGCAAACUCUAUGCUCAUCGAGGCUUUCUUCUGGAGGAUGUAAUAAUCUGUGCUUUCUUCACUAGUAUAGUCACCCGAUGAAUUGUCAGACGACCGUCCCUGCAUCAUGAGUGCACUAACACCAUGAAACCCUUGAGUGCGAGGUGGUACUGGACGUGCCAAUCGCUGGAGUUCCUCUGCUACCUCUCUCAUCAUUGGCCUGUGUUGACCUUCCUUUAUGCUCAGCUGAGGCGAGCUCAUCUUCCCCGUUCUGCGAAUCACCACCGAAUCACGGCGUCCCUUGUGGUGGAACCGUCCAACUUAAACUGAUUUAAAUGCGCCUAAUUGCUGCCGACGCAGCAAUUAUUCGAAACGCACUUAAAACAGUAUAAGUCCGGUCGUCCGUCGAGUGUCCCUAGGACUCCUCGAAAGAUCCACGUUGUGUCUCGUAGCCAUACAUCAGGAUAGUAUCCGCGAUGGGAUAGCAUCAACAAAUAUUACAUUUUUACAUACAUACAAGAGGUACGAGUUAUUACAAGACUUAGUUUGAAGCAAACUUAAUAGUGCAGUGUUAGACAGAGUUCUAGGACUUAAAACAUAAACGGUUCAGAUGGAGAUGAGCAUUAAAAAAAACUUCUUCUAAGGGUAUUGUGAGACUCAUAACAAUACCCUAGGGCUUCGGGGCUUCCUCCUCGGUGGACUCCUGCGGUGCUUCUGAAAAGAUAGCCACAAGGGAUAACCCUGAGUACGAGGUACUCAGCAAGUCUUACCCGACUAACCAAUAUAAUAGCUUUUCUUUGGAAGUACAUGAUAGCUUUUUGGUGUACUUGGCUGAUACAUUUUUGCCGAAAAGCUUACUACAAGUGAUGCCUUAGUUUUAUCUUUUAUUUGGGUUAAGUCAUUACCUAACCAUUCUAGAUGAUGAGAAGAAAGUAAACGCAACCAUAGAUAUUAAGUCAUACAUCAAACAUUAUCAGAAAGAUAUGCCAUUCAUGAAUUUAUGCUACGAUGCUCAACAGUGAUCAAGUGCAUUCAUAACCGAGAAUUGCGGCGAUCCGGAUCAAUUUACAUCCUGCAGGAGAGUACCCCGAUCACCAGUUAUAUACGACUGUCCAGGUCGUACACAACGACCUUUCGAUUAGCAAAAUCAAUGAUUGGGAAUAAGACUACCCGGACCCAGGGACGCACCCCCACAUGGGACCCCAUGUCUGGCCCGAUCACCAUGUGAGUUUCAGGCUACACCCCUGCCAAUCUCCAGCACGUCAAGCGCGGGUACGAAGUAUUCCCGAUCAGAGAGUUUGCUAACCUACUGGGCUUUACUGGUCCCAUACCCAGUAAGUGAUCAGAUGAUUAUCACUUGAUCAAAGGUUAAGACAACGAAUCGGGCCUUCACCACAUUAAUCUAGCAGACAGAACUACAUCUCUAGCUUCUAUCCGCUUCUCAAUUCCAAGUCAUCUUCCCAUAAAUAACAUGUAAGACUCAAAAAGUUUUCCUUAAGGUUGGUAAACCAAGCAUUGAAGCAACUAAGCAUUUCUAGACUUGGGAUACCUACUAGGGUUUGAACAAGUGGCAAAGAUGUCCUUAGAACAAGGUAUGAUCAUGCACAAGAAUAGGUUUCAAGCAACUCCUAGACUUAAUGCAUACAUAUAGCAAAUAACUGAAUAUAGGACACAUGAAAUAUUGACUUCAAAAUAAUAGGUGUAAUGCACCGGGGCUUGCCUUGUUCGCUUAAAAAGUUAGUACUGUCCGACGGGUUGGCCUCGCAGGGGACCAAUUCAAAGACUUCUUCAAACUCCGAAGGUCCUUCUGAAAAUUCCAAGUAAUCUCCUUCUGGUGCUUCGGGGUCUAUAGCACAACACAUGCAGGGGUUAGGAAUGCAAAUUUUUGAAUAAAAGACUAUACAACUUUCCUUCAUGAUAAAGUUGCUAGCCAACAAGGACUAUACAAUUUAUCAUGAUAAAGUUGCAAGCCAACACACAAAAACCCAAAAAGAUUAGCCCAAAAUUUUUAUUUUCUUACCUAACCUUACUCAAGGCCUUUCUUUUAUUUUUUUUGAAAAGGUUAUAAUUAUUUUCUAACUUGAAAAACUAAUUUCCUAUGAGUUGAGAAUAAUUUGUGAUUACGAAAAUGUUAUUCCAUAUUUUAUACAUUUUAUAAAGAUUAAGUAUUUAUUUAAUUACCUUAAAAGAAAGGCAUUAAAUGAAUACCUAAAUUUUUAUAGUUUUCCUAGGGUAUAAAAAUUUUAAUGCAUAAAGGAAAAUAAAACAAGCCUAACAAAAUUGGUUUCACUAAUUUUGGACACUCCUAGAAAUUUCUGUGAUUUAAAUGGUGGGAUUCCAAUUUAAACUAAUUAUUCUAUAAAGGAAAUCCAAAUUUUCCCGAAAAACACCCCCGGCGACUUUUCUCACGCGGCUCGACUCUACCCCCUCUCACUUGCGCUGGGCCCGUGACGCGGACCCACCCCUUCUCCUAUUCCUUCUACCCGCCGGCCUCCUUUUACCCCGGCCGGGCCCUAUUGGGCCGAUUCCUCUUUCCCCUUCUUCUCCUUUCGCUCGCGACGGCCCAACGGCCCUGUUUUCUUUUUCUUCGUUUCCUCGCGAGCGCGGUCUGCUGGCUCCUCUGGGCCUCCGGCCUUCCUCUCCACGGUCGACCGCGCGCGCUCCCGGGCUUUCAAGGCCGCGGCCCAACUGGCCUCCGCGUCCGGCCGGCCGACUCCCUCUCCCUCUCUUCCCUACUGACGCGCGGGCCCAAGGCGCCAGACUCUUCUUCCUCCUCCCGCCAAAACUCGCGCGUGACAGGGGGCGGUGUGGCUCGCCGGCCGGCGCCCUACCGGCGGGGGAACUAGGUCAGGAAAGCACCUCCGUGCCCUCACACACCCGUGCGUGGCAACAGUUCCUCGGGAGAUGGCCGGAGCCAUUCCCUCCACGGCGGCGGGCGGCGGCACCUACGGCCGGUCGCGAUUACGCACGACAACGGCGCAAACUACCCCGACGACUACCACGACACCAUCCUAGCAUCCUAAGGACCUGCUUAAGGCUACCCAAGAAGGAAGAGAACAAGCGCAAGGGGGUGCUCACCGUGAGCGGGAGGUUUAAGGCGUACCGGCGGAGAGGCUGGGCAACAAGCUGCUAGGGUUGCUGGUGGGGUGUGGGUGGAGGUGUGGACGGAGGGAAUCGACGGGAGCUGCGGUGUGGUGGGAGUAUUUUGCUCGGCGGCGGCGGCUUGGACAGAGGAGAUGGCGGCGGUAAAAAGGACAGCGGUAGAAACGGCAGCGCGGGAGCGGUAGUUAUUCAAGCUUUCACCGCGCGCAUGGGCGACACCGUGGCCUACUCGUAGGCUUGCGUGGUGAGGAGGUGGCGUAGCUGCCGCGCUGGCGAGCGACCGACGACGGCGGUGGCGACACGUCCUGCCUGCUCUGUCAUCGUUCCCCCCCUUUUCUUCUGACGCCCGAAACUUCAGAGCUCCACCACGGCCGAUUCCAAAUCCGACGGUGCAUAUGUGUCUUAAGAAAAGUUGUAGAUAAUCUCGAGCUUUCCAAGUCAUAUAUAAACCUUUGCCCGAGAUAAACAUCCAAAAGUCUCCAAAUUUAAAUUUUUCUCGGGCAAAUGACUGAACCCUUUUUCCCUUCCAUUCAGUUUCGUCAGUCACUCGAUGUGGUCAUGUGCCCGACUUAGUGAAUCAUUUCGGUGCUCCAAAUCCUCUUUCUGUAGUCCAACUUCUACCCAAUUGUGUUCUACCAUCUUCAAGGUUUCCAUUUUGCCCAAAAACACCUACCUCUUUUGAUCUACAUUCCUCUGAAAUCCAUUUCAAAGUCGGCCACACACUGCUGUCUUCAGACUUAGUCAUUUUCAGUGAUGCAAUUACAGUGACGAGAUGCUGACUUUAGGCCUUCAUUUGAAAUAGCUCCCUCUGCUAUUCUUGAUCAAAAACACCCAAAUCUAGUAGUCCAAGGUCCACACUUUAAUAUGGUGUAGUUGUUCUGAUUUACUUAUUUGAAAAAUUCAUCAGAAAUCAAUUUUGAAAAUGGACUCUGCUGCUGUUUUCUGAAUUUUCCUAUUGUCAGAUGGUGAAUAGUGCACUUCGGUUUUAUUUGCUUUCUUUGAUUCUUUUGAGAUAUCUAGGACCAAUUCUGUUCCAAUUUCUUGAUCCUCAAGUUCUAAUCACCCUUACACCUUUAUUCCAUAUUUUUGACGAAUUUUUCUGAAUUUCAAUUCAAAAUUCAAAUUUCGGUCAAAUUUGACCUGAAUUUGAUUUUUGGCCAAUUUCUUUUUAUUUUCUUCUCAAAUUGCUUCCAAUUUUUCAAAGUCACUUUGGUGACUAAAAUGGCAAGGUAUUACAUCCUCUCCCCCUUAACAGAAUCUCGUCCCGAGAUUCCCGGGGUGAAAUCCUCGGCUUUGAGAAUGGAAAGGAAACUGCAUCAGGUCAACUAUUUUUCUCUUUUCUGUACAAGGAUAGUGGGGUGGUGGCUUUUGUUCAUCUGUCCCUGAUGGUUUCAAACAAUUCAGGAUAUUUAGACUCUAGGUCUUCAGCCUGUUCCCAAGUAGCUUCAUCCGGAGUAUGAUUUUUCCAUUGUACCUUGUAAAAGGUGAUACUCCGAGUUCGGGUAUCUCUUGUCUUUUGAUCCAGAAUUUUAAUAGGCCUUUCUUCAUAGGUUAGAUCUGGUGCGAGCUUGAUUUCUGGAUCUUCUAGAGUUUCUUCUGGAACUCUUAAACACUUCUUAAGCUGGGAUACAUGAAAUACGUCAUGUAUAGAAGUAAGUUGGUCUGGUAAUGACAGCUUGUAUGCCACUGGACCCUUUCGUUCCAGAAUCUCAUAAGGACCAAUAUAUCUUGGGGCUAACUUACCCUUUAUUCCAAAUCGUUGUACUCCUUUCAUCGGGGAUACCUUUAAGUAUACAAAAUCUCCGGUAUGAAAUUCCAAGGACCCUCUCCUUUUAUCCGAAUAACUCUUUUGUCGGGACUGGGCUAUUUCCAAAUGUUUGCGAAUUUUCUGGACCUUUUCCUCGGUUUCCAUAACCAGAUCUGAUCCCAAAUGUGUUCUUUCUCCUACUUCUGACCAAUUCAAAGGGGUUCGGCAUCUUCGACCAUACAGGGCUUCGAAAGGUGCCAUUUUAAUGCUAGCUUGAUAGCUAUUAUUAUAGGAGAACUCGGCUAGGGGCAAACAUUCGUCCCAUAGCUUAGAGAAGGUAAGGACACAUGCUCUCAACAUGUCUUCCAAGAUUUGAUUAACUCUUUCUGUCUGUCCUCCAGUUUGAGGCUGAUAGGCAGAACUUCUAAUUAGAGUAGUGCCCAUGUCCUUUUGCAACUGUUCCCAAAAUCUGGAAACAAACUGGGAACCUCGAUCAGAGAUAAUUGUCUUUAGUACUCCGUGCAAGGAUACGAUCCGGGCUAUGUAGAGUUUAGCAUAUGUCGACACCGGAUAGGUAGUCUUGACGGGAAUAAAGUGAGCUGACUUAGUAAGGCGGUCGACAAUAACCCAUAUGGAAUCAUACCCUUUUGAAGUGGUAGGAAAUCCAACUAUAAAGUCCAUGGAAAUAUCCUCCCAUUUCCAGACAGGGAUUUCUAAGGGUUGAAGUAAACCUGCCGACUUUUGUAGUAUGGGCUUAACUCUUCGGCAAGUAUCACAUUCAGCUACAUACCUUGCAAUUUCAGGUUUCAUCUUGGCCCACCAAAACCUUUGCUUUAAAUCUUGGUACAUUUUAUUGCUUCUGGGAUGAAUAGCAAACUUAGAUAGAUGUGCUUCUUCUAAGAUCAACUUUCUUAGACUUUCAUCCUUAGGAACUACUAUCUUUUUCUUGAAGUACAGUCCUCCAUCUUCUUCUUGAUUGAGUUCGGGGAUCUUCCCUUCUGCUUUUUGUUGAUAGAGUAUCUUAAUCCAUGGAUCUUCUUUUUGGGCUGUUAUAAUUCUUUCCUUUAAGGUAUCUUGUAUCAUAAUAUUCUGAAGGGUGCCUUGUUUUACUAUUUCCAAACUCAAAUCUUCCAUUUCCUCACAUAAGUCUUAAGGUUAGACUGGACGGUAGUGCAGUGGCAUUGGGCCUUUCUGCUUAAGGCGUCAGCCACCACAUUAGCCUUACCAGGAUGAUAAUGGAUUUCUAAAUUAUAGUCUUUAAUCAGUUCCAGCCAUCGUCUUUGCCUCAUGUUCAAAUCCAUUUGAGUAAAGAUGUACUUCAAACUUUUGUGGUCAGUAAAGAUACGACAUUCACUACCCAAAAGAUAGUGUCGCCAUAUCUUUAAUGCAUGCACUACGGCAGCAAGCUCUAAAUCAUGGGUAGGGUAAUGCUCUUCAUGACGCUUCAGUUGACGAGAAGCAUAAGCAAUAACUCUGCCUUCUUGCAUAAGAACACACCCUAUGCCUGUUUCAGAGGCAUCACAGUAUACAUCAAAGGGCUUCUCUAUAUCCGGUUGAGCUAACACCGGGGCUGUAGUUAGCAACUUCUUUAAGACUUGAAAUGAUUCUUCACACUCAGGUUUCCAUUCAAAUUUUACUUCUUUCUUCAAUAACUCUGUGAUUGGUUUGGAAAUUUUUGAGAAAUUGGGAAUGAACCUACGGUAAUAACCGGCCAUUCCCAAGAAACUUCUUACUUCAUGAAUAGAGGUUGGUGAUUUCCAAUCCAAUAUAUCCUUAACCUUUCCGGGAUCUACUUCAAUUCCUUUUUUGGACAAUAUGUGCCCAAGGAAUGGAACUUUCUUUAACCAGAAUUCCCAUUUACUGAACUUGGCAUACAACUGAUGUUCCCGGAGUCUAUUUAGAACAAUACGCAAGUGUUGCGCAUGUUCCUCUUCAUUUUUAGAAAAGACAAGGAUAUCGUCUGUAAAGACGACCACAAAUUUAUCUAACUCUGGCAUGAACACUGAAUUCAUGAGGUACAUAAAAUGCGCUGGGGCAUUUGUCAGUCCGAAAGACAUAACCAAGUAUUCAUACAGUCCAUAUUGGGUUGAGAAGGCUGUUUUAGGUAUGUCUUCGGGUUUUAUCUUAAUUUGAUGGUAUCCUGACCGAAGGUCGAUUUUUGAAAAGACCUUGGCUCCAGCUAAUUGGUCAAACAACAAGUCAAUCCGUGGUAACGGAUACUUGUUUUUAAUGGUUACCGCAUUCAAAGGGCGGUAAUCCACACAUAACCUUAAUGUGCCAUCCUUCUUUUUAACAAAUAGAGUAGGGCAGCCCCACGGUGAAGUGCUAGGUCGGACAAAACCUUUGUCCAACAAUUCUUGGAGUUGUAUUUUCAAUUCUGCUAACUCCUUAGGUGGCAUUUGAUACGGUCUUCUCGAGAUAGGAGCGGUGCCUGGUUCUAACUCAAUGGUAAACUCUACCGCUCUAUCAGGCGGUAGUCCAGGUAGAUCUUCUGGGAACACAUCUAUAAACUCAUUAACCACAGGAAUAGAUUCUAGAGUCACUGCUCUAGUCUUUUUGACCAUCUGGUCCAAACAAGGAUGAGCGGGUAAUUGGAGCUCGAAUGGGUGGCCUUGGUCAUCUUUCAUACUAACGAUCCGAUUAUCCAUAUCGAUUUGAACUUUAUGUUCCUUCAUCCAAUUUACCCCCAAAAUAAUAUCUAUUCCUUGAUCUUCCAGAAUUAAAGGAUAAGCACCCACCUUAUUUCCUUCUAGGUUUAAAAUCACAUUGCGAGUUACUUGAUUUGUAUUCUGUGUAGCUCCAGUAGCUUGAAUAGCAUACUUGACAUUUAAUGUAUGUACUUCUAGUUGGUGUUGCGUAACAAACCUUCUACUUAUAAAAGUAUGUGAUGCACCCGAAUCAAAUAAAACCAUGGCAGGAUAAUUGUUAACAAGGUACAUACCUGCCAGAAUAGGCUCUCCUUCUGGAAUUUCCUCCACAUUCAUAUAAUGAGCUUGUCCUGUCUUGGUGUUCACAAAUUUGCGACGGACAAACUUCUGCCCAGUGCCUUGACCCGAAGUUUGAGCCCUCAAAUUUGCGUUUCCCCCAACCUUGGGAAAACGGCAGUCCUGGGCAAAGUGUCCCGGCUUCCCACAGUUAAAGCAAACCUGUGGAUUCCCUGGAGGAGUAGGGUUACGAAACCCAAGAGGUGGCGCAUUUCCAGGACGAGGAGCAUUACUGGGAGCUCUGACAUUCCAGGGCUGGAAGGAUCUCUGCUGAAAUGAAGGUCGAUACACAGGUCGAGGAGGACCUCGAUAUACCACCUUCAUUCUUUGUGGAGCACUCCCAAAGGUUCCAAAAGGAAUAUUCUUCCUUUUCAAAGCUUCCUCUUUCCUUAGGGUUUCAUCUAGAAUUCUCAUCUUUUCUUCUACGGUAAUGGCUGUACUUACCGCAGAGCUAUAGUCGGCAAAGGUGCAGGUGGACAACUUCUCCUGCAUUCUUGCAUUGAGCCCACGAAGAUAACAAUCUCUUUUUCUGGACUCGGUAUUGACAUGUUCUGGUGCAUAUUGGGCUAAGUGGUCGAACUCAUUGGUAUACUCAAGAAUGUUGCGGUUCCCUUGCUGGAGUCCUAAAAAUUGCUCCAGUUUCAUUCGCAUGAUACCUUCCAGCACAAACUGUGUCCUGAAGGCUUCCUUAAAGUUCUCCCAUGUAACCUCCCUUCCAACUGGCUGCCUAGCCAGAUAGCUGGUCCACCAGGUCCCAGCGGGACCUUGAAGCUGGAGUCCUGCAAACUCUGCCUUUUGAGUGGUGGUGCACUGGGGGAUUACUCAAAACUUCUGUUCCAUUGUUUGAAGCCAUUCAUUAGCUUCAAGGGGAUGCUCAGCCUUCAAAAAUAUUGGAGGACGAGUCUCCAGGAACUGGGUGUAGGAUACACCCCGCUCUGGAUCCCGCCGAUUUCCAUCGUUACCAGUGUUCUGUACGAUCAUUUGAAGUAAUCGAGCCUGUUCGGCCCCGGAGUUCAUAAGGCUGGCUAUAGCAUCUGCCAGCGUUGGAGCUCUCGGUAAAUUCUCCUCAUGGCCCCCUGACCCUGAAGCUCGUGGACCUCUUGGAUCCGUCAUGCUAUCAAGAGUAAACAAAACAUUAAUAUUUAGGGUGCAUUUUAUCAACAGUUCCCUGCACACUAAUAUUUCACACAUCACAACAUGACCAUACAUAAACCACACUUAUACACAUAUUUAUUUAUAGUACAUGAUUUGAAGUUACUCUUUACAAAACCAUCGUGCUACUCUGUCCAUCACAUGUAUCUUACAUAAAUAUAUUACAACAUCUCUUAGAUAAGGUCUCGCUUCAACCAUCGUAAGGGUAGAUGCCUAGUUCUUCGGCAUUCAGUCCUAGUCGGGCCAUUGCUGCUUGUAGAAUAUCUUGCUCCACUGUCAUCAAUGUUUGUCCUGGAGGAGCGACAGGUGGGGCUUGAUUCACUGAGUUCUCACUUCCUGAUUCCGGCCCGAGGUCGCUCGAAGUGUAAGAAGUGUAGGAUGCAGAGGUACUAACUCCGGAAUUUCCCUCCAUCUCUUCAGGAUCCUCCUCUUCUUCCCCGUCUUCUUGCUCCGCUUCUUCCCACUGCUACAUUGGCCCGUAGCCUUGUGGAUCUAGCCCAUCGGCGUUUGCAUUGGCCCAGACAAAUUGUUGAUUUCCCACGGGAGCUUCACCCUGAUCAUCUUCCAUGUCAACAUCAAACCCUUCUAAGUUCUCAUGAGCGUAUAGAUCAAUCUCAGGAGCUGCAGGUGGAGCAAGAUCUUCCUUCACUCCUACCACAUCCACUAACUGGUCCGCUUCUUCUGGGUUCGGUGGCUGGGGCUCUUCUGGUGGUGGAGGCGGUGGAACAUUAACAAUGUUUUGCGCAGGUACCUGGGCCUGCAUCUCCUCCAAAGCCAGACGAAGUGAUAAGAUCUCGUCCAGCUGCUGGAAUCUUUUUGCUUCAAGCCUAUUAACAUUGGAUUCGGCUUCCUCCCUUGCUCUAUCUGCCAUGCUCCUGCUAGCCUCUAUGAAUCCUUGCAUCACCCUGAGUUUUUCUUUGUAGUCGUCUAUUCUCCUGGACUGUUCCCUUAUUAUUUUCUCCAUGUCGUGUUCCCUUGUCAAUGCCGCCUUUUUGUACAAUUCCUUAUCAUGUCGGGCGCCCAUUAACUCCAUUUUGGCGUCUUCAUUUUUCUGCCUCUGAUUGUAAUACUCUCUGAUGCAAGACUGAUGUAAGUUGUACAUGGCCGUCAUGUAAUCAGAAGCAGCAGCAACCAAGAUAUCGUGCUCUACACGAGAAGAGUUCUUCAGAGCUUUAAUUCUCCUCUUCCAGAUCCCGUCAUCUUGAUUCUUGAUAGGAUAGAACCGAGCAGAGCUCGACCCUAUCUCUACUUUGUGCUUUUCACAUAACUCGGUAAGAGCAGUCAUAGCCGCCCUUUCAAUUGUGUCAUUGAACUCAAAGCCUGACUCCAUUACUUCUUCUAGACGCCAAUUGGGAUUGGUGUCUUCAUCUGGAAUGUGCACAUAAACAGUGCAGUACUGUUUGUGACCCGUAUCUUCCUUCCUCCAAUAAUAUUCUGGAGGGUUGUGAAAGCCUAAUUCCUGCAGCGUCUUCCAUAGCAACUUCACAAACCCCGGCUUAUCCAGAUAAUGGCCGCGGGUCCAUCCAUCUUGAUCAGUGUAACCUUCUUGAAACAUCCUAUAAAAGAAACGAGGUCAGGUCUAACGGCACUCACUAAACCCAAAAAUUUUGAAAAUAUGCUUAUGCAACAUGAUGCAACGAUUCCUACGGACUCACAGACUCAUAUACACACUCGUAAAGAAAUUGGUGGCAUCGUAAUCUCUCCCUAAAUAACAGACUACCGAAUACUAGCGACACGCAGCAAACAGUUAGCAUCUGCAAAACAAACAACCAGUUAACACUACUGCCACCUGUGACUCAUGUUUUCUUUAUUUUAAAAUAGAGUCCCAGUUUUUAAAUGGUAAUACCUGUUGAUUAUCCCAACCUACGGCUCUGAUACCAGCUGUGGCGGAACCGUCCAACUUAAACUGAUUUAAAUGCGCCUAAUUGCUGCCGACGUAGCAAUUAUUCGAAACGCACUUAAAACAGUAUAAGUCCGGUCGUCCGUCGAGUGUCCCUAGGACUCCUCGAAAGAUCCACGUUGUGUCUCGUAGCCAUACAUCAGGAUAGUAUCCGCGAUGGGAUAGCAUCAACAAAUAUUACAUUUUUACAUACAUACAAGAGGUACGAGUUAUUACAAGACUUAGUUUGAAGCAAACUUAAUAGUGCAGUGUUAGACAGAGUUCUAGGACUUAAAACAUAAACGGUUCAGAUGGAGAUGAGCAUUAAAAAAAACUUCUUCUAAGGGUAUUGUGAGACUCAUAACAAUACCCUAGGGCUUCGGGGCUUCCUCCUCGGUGGACUCCUGCGGUGCUUCUGAAAAGAUAGCCACAAGGGAUAACCCUGAGUACGAGGUACUCAGCAAGUCUUACCCGACUAACCAAUAUAAUAGCUUUUCUUUGGAAGUACAUGAUAGCUUUUUGGUGUACUUGGCUGAUACAUUUUUGCCGAAAAGCUUACUACAAGUGAUGCCUUAGUUUUAUCUUUUAUUUGGGUUAAGUCAUUACCUAACCAUUCUAGAUGAUGAGAAGAAAGUAAACGCAACCAUAGAUAUUAAGUCAUACAUCAAACAUUAUCAGAAAGAUAUGCCAUUCAUGAAUUUAUGCUACGAUGCUCAACAGUGAUCAAGUGCAUUCAUAACCGAGAAUUGCGGCGAUCCGGAUCAAUUUACAUCCUGCAGGAGAGUACCCCGAUCACCAGUUAUAUACGACUGUCCAGGUCGUACACAACGACCUUUCGAUUAGCAAAAUCAAUGAUUGGGAAUAAGACUACCCGGACCCAGGGACGCACCCCCACAUGGGACCCCAUGUCUGGCCCGAUCACCAUGUGAGUUUCAGGCUACACCCCUGCCAAUCUCCAGCACGUCAAGCGCGGGUACGAAGUAUUCCCGAUCAGAGAGUUUGCUAACCUACUGGGCUUUACUGGUCCCAUACCCAGUAAGUGAUCAGAUGAUUAUCACUUGAUCAAAGGUUAAGACAACGAAUCGGGCCUUCACCACAUUAAUCUAGCAGACAGAACUACAUCUCUAGCUUCUAUCCGCUUCUCAAUUCCAAGUCAUCUUCCCAUAAAUAACAUGUAAGACUCAAAAAGUUUUCCUUAAGGUUGGUAAACCAAGCAUUGAAGCAACUAAGCAUUUCUAGACUUGGGAUACCUACUAGGGUUUGAACAAGUGGCAAAGAUGUCCUUAGAACAAGGUAUGAUCAUGCACAAGAAUAGGUUUCAAGCAACUCCUAGACUUAAUGCAUACAUAUAGCAAAUAACUGAAUAUAGGACACAUGAAAUAUUGACUUCAAAAUAAUAGGUGUAAUGCACCGGGGCUUGCCUUGUUCGCUUAAAAAGUUAGUACUGUCCGACGGGUUGGCCUCGCAGGGGACCAAUUCAAAGACUUCUUCAAACUCCGAAGGUCCUUCUGAAAAUUCCAAGUAAUCUCCUUCUGGUGCUUCGGGGUCUAUAGCACAACACAUGCAGGGGUUAGGAAUGCAAAUUUUUGAAUAAAAGACUAUACAACUUUCCUUCAUGAUAAAGUUGCAAGCCGACAAGGACUAUACAAUUUAUCAUGAUAAAGUUGCAAGCCAACACACAAAAACCCAAAAAGAUUAGCCCAAAAUUUUUAUUUUCUUACCUAACCUUACUCAAGGCCUUUCUUUUAUUUUUUUUGAAAAGGUUAUAAUUAUUUUCUAACUUGAAAAACUAAUUUCCUAUGAGUUGAGAAUAAUUUGUGAUUACGAAAUGUUAUCCCAUAUUUAUACAUUUUAUAAGAUUAAGUAUUAUUAAUUACUUAAAAGAAAGGCAUUAAAUGAAUACCUAAAUUUUUAUAGUUUUCCUAGGGUAUAAAAAUUUUAAUGCAUAAAGGAAAAUAAAACAAGCCUAACAAAAUUGGUUUCACUAAUUUUGGACACUCCUAGAAAUUUCUGUGAUUUAAAUGGUGGGAUUCCAAUUUAAACUAAUUAUUCUAUAAAGGAAAUCCAAAUUUUCCCGAAAAACACCCCCGGCGACUUUUCUCACGCGGCUCGACUCUACCCCCUCUCACUUGCGCUGGGCCCGUGACGCGGACCCACCCCUUCUCCUAUUCCUUCUACCCGCCGGCCUCCUUUUACCCCGGCCGGGCCCUAUUGGGCCGAUUCCUCUUUCCCCUUCUUCUCCUUUCGCUCGCGACGGCCCAACGGCCCUCUUUUCUUUUUCUUCGUUUCCUCGCGAGCGCGGUCUGCUGGCUCCUCUGGGCCUCCGGCCUUCCUCUCCACGGUCGACCGCGAGCGCUCCUGGGCUUUCAAGGCCGCAGCCCAACUGGCCUCCGCGUCCGGCCGGCCGACUCCCUCUCCCUCUCUUCCCUACUGACGCGCGGGCCCAAGGCGCCAGACUCUUCUUCCUCCUCCCGCCAAAACUCGCGCACGACAGGGGGCGGUGCGGCUCGCCGACCGGCGCCCUACCCGCGGCAGAACUAGGUCAGGAAAGCACCUCCAUGCCCUCACACACCCGUGCGUGGCAGCACUUCCUCGGGAGAUGGCCGGAGCCAUUCCCUCCACGGCGGCGGGCGGCGGCACCUACGGCCGGUCGCGACUACGCACGACAACGGCGCAAACUACCCCGACGACUACCACGACACCAUCCUAGCAUCCUAAGCACCUGCCUAAGGCUACCCAAGAAGGAAGAGAACAAGCGCAAGGGGGUGCUCACCGUGAGCGGGAGGUGCGGCGACGACGGACAGAAACGGCGGCGGUUUAAGGCGUACCGGCAGAGAGGCUGGGCAACAAGCUGCUAGGGUUGCUGGUGGGGUGUGGGUGGAGGUGUGGACGGAGGGAAUCGACGGGAGCUGCGGUGUGGUGGGAGUAUUUUUCUCGGCGGCGGCGGCUUGGACAGAGGAGAUGGCGGCGGUAAAAAGGACAGCGGUAGAAACGGCGGCGCGGGAGCGAUAGUUAUUCAAGCUUUCACCGCGCGCAUGGGCGACACCGUGGCCUACUCGUAGGCUUGCGUGGUGAGGAGGUGGCGUAGCUGCCGCGCUGGCGAGCGACCGACGACGGCGGCGGCGACACGUCCUGCUUGCUCUGUCAUCGUUCCCCCCCUUUUCUUCUGACACCCGAAACUUCAGAGCUCCACCACGGCCGAUUCCAAAUCCGACAGUGCAUAUGUGUCUUAAGAAAAGUUGUAGAUAAUCUCGAGUUUUCCAAUUGAUAUAUAAACCUUUGCCCGAGAUAAACAUCCAAAAGUCUCCAAAUUUAAAUUUUUCUCGGGCAAAUGACUGAACCCUUUUUCCCUUCCAUUCAGUUUCGUCAGUCACUCGAUGUGGUCAUGUGCCCGACUUAGUGAAUCAUUUCGGUGCUCCAAAUCCUCUUUCUGUAGUUCAACUUCUACCCAAUUGUGUUCUACCAUCUUCAAGGUUUCCAUUUUUCCCAAAAACACCUACCUCUUUCGAUCUACAUUCCUCUGAAGUCCAUUUCAAAGUCGGCCACACACUGCUGUCUUCAGACUUAGUCAUUUUCAGUGAUGCAAUUACAGUGACGAGAUGCUGACUUUAGGCCUUCAUUUGAAAUAGAUCCCUCUGCUAUUCUUGAUCAAAAACACCCAAAUCUAGUAGUCCAAAGUCCACACUUUAAUAUGGUGUAGUUGUUCUGAUUUACUUAUUUGAAAAAUUCAUCAGAAAUUAAUUUUGAAAAUGGACUCUGCUGCUGUUUUUCUGAAAUUUCCUAUUGUCAGAUGGUGAAUAGUGCACUUCGGUUUUAUUUGCUUUCUUUGAUUCUUUUGAGAUAUCUAGGACCAAUUCUGUUCCAAUUUCUUGAUCCUCAAGUUCUAAUCACCCUUACACCAUUAUUCCAUAUUUUUGACGAAUUUUUCUGAAUUUCAAUUCAAAAUUCAAAUUUCGGUCAAAUUUGACCUGAAUUUGAUUUUUGGCCAAUUUCUUUUUCUUUUCUUCUCAAAUUGCUUCCAAUUUUUCAAAGUCACUUUGGUGACUAAAAUGGCAAGGUAUUACAUCCCUCCCACUCCCCUUCGCCUAGUCCACUCCGGCUGCGAGCGGCGGCGGCGGCGCCGAAGGCUGCACGGGCAGCCCCUGCUCCGCCUCCGCCCCCGAAGUUGUAGGCCUGGCGCUCACGCUCGCCGUAACCUAGCGCCGCUAGGGCGGAUGGAGGGCGGCAGGCGGGCGGCGCGACCUGGGGCGGAGGGAGGGCGGCGUGUCGGGGGAGGAGGUGGAAGAGGAAAAAGAACGUACCGAUUCGGUACAUAACCGAUGGUAGGCGUCUAAAUAACCCAGAAAGCUAGUUAGAAGCUCGUUCUUUCCUCCUUUCCAGCUUACCAUUGUAACGUGGCUUUCCACAGCUUUUAGCUCAUGAAAAGCUAGGCUCAAAAGCUUGCCAUUUGUUCAAACUUUCGACUUCUGGGGGUGAGAAGCUGGCUGAAAGCCCAAACAAAUAGGGCCUAAAGAGGGUCUUCCCAGGUGGAUGGAAUGGGAUUAAAGGACCCCUUUUUGUCUCGAAAAAUUUAUCCCGAAUGGUUUUUAGAGAGAUUUAGCCUCUACCAACCGGGACUAAAGUCGAGGUUUCUAGCAGUGAGUGCAGAGGCUGAAUACAGGGCAGUGAAAAAUGCAGAUGCAGAGUGCUGCUGGCUAAGGUAAUUGCCUGGUGAAUUACAAUGUGCAGUCCUGUCAGCAACAGUGGUCUUCGGUGACAAUAUAUCUGCAGCUUACAUGGCCAGUAAUCCUGUUCAUCAUCACAGCACCAAACACAUCGAGUUGGACAUCCAUCCCUCGGUGAGUUUUGCAUCGUUCGUUUACCAACUGAUCAACAGAUUGCAGAUAUAAUGACCAAAGGAUUAGCUUCAGAUUUAUUCGACUCUUUUUUUUCUAGUCUGUGCAUUUUGUCAGGAGACGAUGUUCAGACUGCCGGGGGUGUUACACUGACAAUUAUAGUUUUCCAUUUGGCCCGCGGCCCGUGGGCCGGCCCACGGCACGACAUUUGGCCCGGUACAGGCACGGCUCGGCACAGCGGCCUUGCAGGACUGGGCCGGCCCGACCUACACCACGGGCCGGGCCUAGGCCGCUACCUCAGGCCGUGGGCUGGCUCGGCACGGCCUGGCCCAUUCAGCCCGUGGGCUAGCAACGGCCGGCACGGCUUGUUUAGGCGUGCCACGCCUGCCUCGGCCCGGCCAACGGCCGUAUAAAACACCAGCACCCGGCGACCCCUAGCCGAAACCCUACCCCGCACCCGCUCCGCUCCCGCAUUGAGCCGCCUCUCGCCCUCUCCAGCGCUCCCCUCGCUUCCUCCCGGCUCCUCGCCUCCUCCCUCCGUCCCUCGAUGCCUGCGCCUCCUCCCCCUAGAUCCUCCGCUGUCCUUGCCCGCCGUCGGUCUCACCCUGUCCCUCCCCUCUCAGAUCCGGCGUCCUCGCCCACCGCCGGCUCGCCGGUGGCCCAUUCGCCUCCCUCUCCCCGUAACUACUCUUCCACUCUGAGAUCUGGCGUCCUUGCCUGCCGCCGGCUUGCCGGUGGCCCCUCUGCCUCCCUCCCCCUGUAACUCCUCCUCCACUCUCAGAUUCGGCAUCCUCGCCUGUCGCUGGCUUGCCGGUGGCCCCUCCGCCUCCCUACCCCCGUAACUGCUCCUCCCCUCUCAAAUCCAGCAUCCUUGCCCGCCGCCGGCUCGCCGGUCACCCAUCUGCCUCCCUCCACGUAACCCCGCUUCUCCCCUAGCCCCUCUGGCCCUCCGCCUUCCUUCCCGGCUCCUCGCCUCCUUCUCCCAACCCCUCGCAGAUCCGCCUCACUCCCUGGUUCCCCACCAUUGCGGUUCGUCUUCUCCGGCUUAGGGCUCCGGCUGCGUAGGUAAACAACCUCCUCUCGUUCCUCUUCUUGUUUCGACCCCUCGCAGAUCCGCCUCCCUCACUUUUCUCCUCUUGCAGGUCUCCUAUAGGUGCCGUGCGUCGUUGAGGAACGGAACCGUCGAGGCGACGAUGUCAAUGGUGGAGGGCUCGAGGGUGUGUUCCCUGUUCCGGGUGUGCUCUUCAUUUGAGGUCUUAGGAUGGACGACGACUAUCCAACCUGCCUCAAUGAUGAGUUGCGGUUGAUGGGGGAAACCGGAGAUGAUAAUUCUGAUUUGGAGGCGGAUCGGCGAGCGCUGCUCAGUGGUGCCGUCCCCGAUUCUCAGCCAGGUAGUGGAGAUUCUCCACCACCUGCUGCUACUGGCUCUGGUGCUGGUCCGGGCUCGGAGAGUACGGGCAGCAAGAGGACUCGUUCUUGCACCUCUAAGGUAUGGGACGACUUUGAGCCACUGUACGAGGUAAUGAAUAACAAGAGGGUAAGAACUGGUGCUAAGUGCCUACAUUGCAAGAAAGUUUAUUUUGGUAAGUCUUCUAGUGGUACUGGACACUUGCAUAGGCACCUUCCAAAGUGCCCAGUCUUGCUAGGUGCUUCAUGUAUGGCUCAGUCCCAACUCAAGUACAAUCCUGAUGGCUCUCUCCAUAUGUGGGAGCACAAUCCUAAUGUUGCUCGUAUCCAGUUGUGCAGAUUGAUUGCUAGACUAGACCUUCCUUUAUGCUUUGGUGAGUCUGAUGCAUUUGAGGAGUAUAUUAAUAUUGCUCAUAAUCCUAGAUUCAGUUGUGUGUCUAGGCAAACCACCACCAAAGAUUUUGUUAAGUAUUUUGAUGAGCGUCGUACUAAACUUGUGGCUUCUUUGCAAUCUGUUUCCUUUGUUGCUCUUACAUCUGCCAUAUGGUCUGGUAAUGCUAAGGAAGAUUACCUUAGUGUGGUUGUUCAUUAUGUGAAUGCUGAUUGGCAACUAGAGAAGGCCUUCGUUUAAUUGAUGUUUCUCAUAAUGCUGAUAAUAUUGCUGAGCGCAUUACAUCUGUUGCUACUGAUUAUGGUUUAAAUGAUAAGAUAUUUUCUAUAACAUUGGAUAAUGCAUCGGCAAACACUGCCGCAAUUGGUAAGCUUCAUCCUUCAUUGACUGGUUACAUGGGCAAACUAUUUUUUCAUCAGCGUUGUGCUUGUCACAUUGUUAAUCUUAUUGUUCAGGCUGGCCUUGAUGUUUUCAAGCCUAUGCUUAGUUCAUUUAGAACUGCAAUUUCAUUCCUAAAUUGUUCUAACCAACGUAUUGUGGCAUACAAGUCAUAUUGCAUUGCUAUAGGUGUCUGCCCUCGUAAGUUUGCUUUGGACAUGGAUGUUAGAUGGAAUUCAACUUAUCUCAUGUUAAAGAAUCUAUUGCCCCAUAAGAUCACAUUCCAUUAGUUCAUAACCACUUAAUAUGGUUUGGUUGAAGGUCAAACAAUUCUAACAGAAUUACACUAGUAUGUUGCUGAAAAGAUUAUGAUAUUUCUUGAACAAUUCUAUGAUUCUACUGUUAUUCUGUCUGGUGUUUAUUAUCCAACUGCUCCAUUAAUCUUGCAUCAUAUUCUUGAGAUAGCUAGGCACCUUAAUUUCUAUGCUAAUGAUGCUAAUCUGAAACAUGUUGUUGCACCCAUGAAGUCUAAGUUCUUAGAUUAUUGGUCUGAUAUACCUAUACUUUAUGCCUUUGCUUUUAUAUUGGAUCCUAGAGCUAAGAUUACUGGUUUUAGCAAUGUGCUUCAGCUGAUGUCUCAGCUAACUGGUAAGGAUUAUUCUAGUUACUUAACUGAUGUAAGAGCUGAAUUGUCUACAAUCUUUGGCAAAUAUGAAGCUAAGUAUGGUUCUGUGAGGAUGUAGAGGGCCACUCAGCCAGGCCCUGCAGGUAAGAAAAAGACUGCUUGGGGUAAGAUCUUUGGUUCCCAGGGUGCUUCAUCUACUUAUUCUGCUGCUAGCCUUGGUGCUGGCCUGGGUUCUACUUCUGUUUCCUCCUCCCUGUCUAGGAGACAAUCUGCUAGUGCUUUAUUGCAAGCUGCUCAAACAGGUGCCUCUCUUGCUGCUGCUUCUGAACUGUCUGCCUACCUAGACAGUGACACUAUCAACCAAUAUGAUGAUGACUUCAACAUAUUGACCUGGUGGCAUGAGCAUAAGUUAUCAUAUCCUCUUCUAUCUAUCUUAACUAGGGAUGUUAUGACUGUGCCUGUCUCUACUAUAUCUUCAGAAUCUGCAUUUACUACCACUAGCAGGAUCAUUGAGGAGCGGCGACGUCGUCUGACCCUGAGAUGGUGGAGAUCUUGGCUUUGAUCAAGGAUUGGGAGCAAGGAGAUUCAAGACUGCAGCAUACCGUCGACGAUACCGAACUUGAAGAGUCAUUUGAGAAUUUGUAUCUUGAUGAGUAAGAUUUCUAAUCUCAUUUACUUCUCCUGCAACAUACUUGUUACUUGAUGAUCUCUGAUCCUCCUAUCAUUUUUUACAGAAGCUAGAUGCUUGUUGUCCUGUUGGUGCUCUGUCAAUAUUCAGGAGCAAGUUAGAACUCAGAAGCCUCAUGCUAUUGUGCUUGUGUAGGUCUUGUGACUUGUGAGUUGUGAGUUGUCAGUUGAGUUGUGAACUUGUGUCUGAACAAUGAACUUUGAUGAGCUGGCUGUACUCUUUUUUCCAUUGUAGGGUUUUCUCACGAGGUGUGAGUUUUUACCUACAAAGAUUUUUAAUGAGGCAGCAAUACAAACAACUCAAAAUAAUAUUCAAAUUUGUUUGUGUUAUUGUGAUUGUGAAUCUGUGUGAAUAUGUGAAUCUGCGUGAAUCUUUGUGAAUAUGUUGAACAUGUGAAACUGUGAAUAUGUUGAAACUAAGUUUUGAAUUUGGCUUUGAAACUGUGAAAAUGUCUUAGUGUGAUGAAUUUGAUUCUGGUUAGGGGUUUUUAAUAAAAUGUGUCACAGGCUGGCACAGGCACGGUGAGGCUGUUAAGGCCCGCCGGGCUAGCGGGCCGGCACGGCCUACGUAAGAAGGUAGCAAGCUGGGCCUGGGCCGCUUCUUCGGCACACGGGCCGGCCCAGCCUGGCACGGCUGUUGUGCGGGCCUAAACAGGCCGGGCUUAUUCGUGCUCGUGCCAGGCCAGGCCGGGCCGCCCAUUUGGCCAUCUAUACUAACAAUGUAAAUGGUUGUAACGUUCUCCUAUACAUUGUAUAGGUUUGAUCCUACUCUCUCGGUCCCAAAUUACUAUUUGUUUUGACUUUUCCAAGUACAUGACUUUGAUUUAUAAGGGCAUAGCAAAAGCUAUAAAUAUAAAAAAACCAAAAUAAAUAGAAAUUUGUGACGGACGGAGUAGAUUCUAGGCUUGACCGAGCACUAGUUUGUUAGCCAUAGGUGCUUCCUGAACAUGUAUUUAACCACCUCCGCUCAUGAAUGAAAGUGUGUUGGAUCAAAAGAUCUCUCACAUUCUCUCGUUCUACAAUCAUCAUCGUCGUCAUCUAGCUAGCUUUAAUCAGCUGCCGUGGCGACUGGCGCGAGGCAGCUCCCUGCCGGCGAGGAAGUGCGCGAAAAGCUGGCAUGUAGCAGAGCAGAAGAUGACUUGAUGGAAGGCAUGUAGUAGACGUAGUUGAUGUCGAGAAAGUAGUACUUAUAGGUCUAAUGGUGUGCAUAAACGAGCUGCAGCAUAAAGUACAUCUCCUUAAUGGGCUAUAAAGAAAGGGCCCAUUAGGCAUUUCUUGGGCAUCAAACGCCAAUUUACAUAUUUGCGAACAAGCCCACAUAUUGCUUCCUGUACUUCGUUGUAUCAGCAUGAUUGCUAUAAUGGAGAACAACUUUUAGAUGUUGAAAGGCGUGGAAGAGCACGACGAAUCCCGAGUCAGCCGUGGAAGCAGCCAGCAGAGUCGCGGGGGUGCUAUUCAAGCUCGCCGUGAACACUGCAAGAAACAAACUCAAAAUGAUUAAUAUACUUUGAUGAUGAAUGGAAACGGUAUGACAAAACAGAGGGGUUUCUGUGUACUUACGAGGCUCUAAGUCUCUGCCGUUCACUGGUGGAAAAGUGAGCAUUAGUCCUAGUUGGAGAGUCACAUAGGUCUCGAAAAUCCAAUCGGAACUAAUCUUUCGAGACUAAAUACCCCCCUCUCUAGUCCCUAGUAUUUCACCUAAGACUAAAGACCUCCUUUAGUCUGGUUAGUACUACCAACCGGGACUAAAAAUAUUUAAAAAAUAAAAAAAAAUGGGCUACCCCUGCUCCCGCCGCUUGCGCCUACGCUUGCACCUACACCGGGCCAGCCCAUGCCAUGUUGGGCCCUCGCCCACCGACGCCGCGUUGGGCAGCUUCACGCCAUGUCGGGUCCUCGCUCACGGCGCCGCGGCAACACAGCUCCCCUAUGCCGCACCAUCUCGCGGGGAGGGAGCUAGGAGGAGGAGGUCGGGGAGGUGGGGAUGGAGGGAGGGAGCAGAGCUUCGAGAGGAGGAGGCUGGGAGGAAGGGAGGGACCAGUGCUAGCUAGGCCGGGAAGGGGGAGGGAGCAGAGGGUGGAGCGAGUUGAGGGAGAGGAGAGGAGGAGAUAAGGGAGAGGAGAGGAGCGCUAGUUAGGAUCCUAAUUCAUUUUAUCCUAGCUGGUGGCUCCAACUGAAAUUAAAAAGGAUCCUUUUAGUCCCGAUUAAAAUUACAUUGCUAGAAAAAUCGAGAUAGGAAGUAAUUCAUGUUAUUCCUAGCGGAGUGGGGCCGAACUCCCGGCAGCAUGGGGCUGGCCUCCCGGUGGCACAGGGCUGCGGUGUGGGGGUCGGCCUCCUGAUAGCGCGGGGUUGCGGCUUUCCCGAGACAACGGUGCAGGGAGCGGCCUCUCGCACGGGCCCGACCUCACUCCAGAUAGAUUAAAGGGUACAGGCUGAUGACUGGUUGAGCCAUUGCUGAACAAAUAAAUCAUCGUAGAUAGAACCACCAAGCUCAUAACGAUUAAUCUAGCGUCCCUAGCAGUCGAAUCGGACCUAACCGAGACAGCGCUGGCAGCAGAGCGGUAGACUUAAAAGUUACUGGCCGAUGAAUUUAGAUGCGACGAGAUAAAAGGCUCAGUAAUAGCUCAGUGAAGGCCAAGAAUAAUAAGAUGUAUCGGUAAAAGCUUUACUGGCGGGCACGGCGACUUAAAAGUUACUGGCAUCCCAUCUAGAUCGGACCUAACCGUGCCAUCUAGAUCGGACCUAACCGAGGCAGCGCUGGCAGCAGUGCAGGAUUAAAAGCUUCCGAAUCACAAGACUCCUACUUGGGCACAUCAAAUGACUGAUACAGACUUUCCUAAUUUAACAUAAGGAAACUAAUCUUUAAGAUACAAUUAUGACCCUACAUAUCCCAUAUCUGGUAGGAUAAUGCAAUGUAUAGGCCUUUCCAGAGUCCUUGUCUGAUACGCCUUUCCAAUAUCUUUAUUAGAAUAUUCUUUUCAUUAUUUCAGGUUUUAUAGGAUUUUAUGGGCCAAAAUCCUGUGUCAACAGUUUUUCUAACUUUAAGUAAACUAUAUAAACUUGCACAUGUCUAUUCUCCCCUAUAAAUAUAGACGCCGGCCAGCGGCAUUAGCAACUCGAGAGUUGUAGAGCACACGGGAUAAUAUGUCUGGCAACAUGAGUAGUAGUCCUGGCUACUUCCUCGCCCUUUCCAUCCUGGUCCUCGGCGUUACAACUAACCUGCAGCCGCACCCUGGCUGCACAGCUGCUAGGGAGUUCCCAGGGGCCAACUCGCCCGCCAAGCAUCAGGCCCCGGUGGCUGUGGGCACCGCCGCCCCAGCCGGGACCAAUGGCAACGACACUACCGCCCCACAAGUGGCCGUUCAUGGCCGCAGUAGCCCAGGUAUGGCAUGACUGACAGCCCUUGCUAGCUCGAUUUGGGCAACCCGCAUCUCAUUUUUCGCUUCCCAACAUGACCAUGACGUUACAUUUCUAUCUGUACAUUUUAGCAGCAGCUAGCCUUCAUCUUUACAUAUUUGAUGUGGGUUUAUUUACAUAUCUUUUUCCCCUGUUUUAUGCCUUUUUGCGUGCCAAUUAGCUGGAGGGGCCGAAGGGCAAUACAUGGACCUCAAGGGCGAGUGCGCAACUCGUGCAGGGUGCUACGUUCCAGGGGUUGCAACACAGAGACACCCGACCUUUCCGCCCGUAGUUGGUUCUCCAACAGGCGGUUCUUCAGGAUUUUGGGAGUUCGUCCGUGGUGGAUGGCGGAGAAUGAAGAUUCGUCCUCCCGUACGAAAAUGACUCCCUGCAGCCGCAUCCCUUAAACCAUGGUUGAUGUCUUCUGCCCGUGUUAUAUGGGAGAAAAUCAAUGGUGUAUGGGAGUUACUACUGUGUCUGAUACCUAGCUAGCUUGGCAUCCGCUUGGUGUCGGCCAUUUGGGAAGGCUCCCUGCUGCUUAAUGAGCUAGCCUUCAUCGUUAAAUAAAACGUCUGAAAUAUGCAUUUACUCGUACUGUAACGCUGCAGUUCUCUCCUGCGUCCAACAGAGCUGGGGUUGGCUUCUGAUUCAUGGUCUGGAGUCUUCGACGAUGUGGGGCGCGGCGUACAGAUCGGACCUGUUGAUGAAGGCCCUGCCAUUUUUCUCGUGUAUUGUUUCUUAGAGUCUUUUGUUCAGGGGUUGAAAGUUGUAACAAGCAGGGUGUGCUCUGUACAACAGAGGUGUCAGCACUCUAUCGCUGUUUAUUUAUAUAUAUUUUUGAGCUAAAAUUUGAUGAAUAGCUUGCUUGUUAUAUAUGAUUCGUAUUAAGUAAAGAACUUGAUCAAUAUUAGAUCAAUAUUAGGUAUGGAAAAAAAUAGAGUAAAUGUGUUUUUAAUAUUUAGUCAUUACAAUAAAGUUAAGGUAAAUAAAUUGUAGGUGUAAGAAGUAGAAUUUGGUCAUUGCUACAAGUUUUCAUGUCACUGUAUUUGAACAAUAAUUUAUUUAUCUCAUGUUUAUUGCAAGGAUUAAAUAUUAUAAACAUAUUUACUCUAUUUUUUCCCCUACCUAUUUUUGAUCAAGUUAUUUAUCUAAUACAAAGCCCUAUGUUCAAUUUUUCACAUAAUACGAUACAGAUGGAUCGGCAAUGGAUGUACCACCUCCGCUCCUCCAAUCCUAGAGAACAGUGUCUGCACAUGGCAUGAAUGUACUUACACUAUUCUCUAGUAUUGGAGGAGCAGAGGUGGCUCUACAUCCUCUAGUAUUGGAGAAACAUUCUAAAGAGCUGGUUCCUCCGCUCGUCCAAUACCAGAGAACAGUGUCUGCACACAGCAUGAAUGUGCUUACACUAUUUUCUGGUACUGGAGGUGUGGAGGUGGCUCUCCAUACACUUUGUAGAAGAUCGAGUCAUGUGCAGAGAUGGCUUGCAGGGCGAAUAUUCUACUAUGUUGUAUCUUUAUUUUAAGAUAAUUGACUACAUGAAGUCUACUAUGCAGCGUCCGUAAUCUUUAGUGUAUAUGUAUCUUUAUUGUCAACCUAGUGAAUGUUAUGAAUGUUGAUUGGUGUAAUUUUCAUGUGAUUUAUUUUUAUCCUUAUGAAGGUUGAUUGGAGUAAAUUAUCAAUAUUGAUCAAGUUCUUUAUCUAAUACGAAGACAUAUGUUCAUUUUUCACAUAAUAAUUUAUUUAUUUCAUGUUUAUUGCAAGGACUAAAUAAUAUAAACAUAUUUACUCUAUUUUUUCCCUACCUAAUAUAAACAUAUUUACUUUAUUUUUAUCUUUAUGAAGGUCGAUUGGAGUAAAUUAUCAAUAUUGAUCAAGUUCUUGAUCUAAUUUGAAGACCUAUGUCCAGUUUUCACAUAAUACUAUGCAGAUGGACCGACAAUAGAUGUAUAAAGCGGACAGGUGGACCAAGAAGUUUGUUGAUGGCUUGCAUUAUUUUCUCGAAGUGGCCAAAACCAACAAGCCAGAGAUGGAAUUCAUAUGUUGUCCAUGCUUCCAAUGCAGUAACAAGAAGGACUACUCUUCCUGGGGGACUGUUCAUAACCACUUGUUUAGAUACGGUUUCAUGCAUAAAUAUUUGGUUUGGACCAAGCACGGCGAAAGAAGGGUUAUAAUGAAAAAUGAUGAACAAGAGGAGGAUAAUAACAAUAUUCCGAACUGGGCUACAUGUCAAGCUUUUGCAGAUACUACAAUGGGCAAGGCUGAUGAAGAAGAGUUUGUAGAAGACGGCCCUAUUCAUGAUCUUGGUCAGGUGCUAUGGGAUGCAAAGAGAGACUGCGAAACUAAGAAGGAAUCAAAAAAGCUACAGCACAUGAUAGAUGAUCACAAAAAAAUUGUUGUACCUAGAUUGCAAGCAGGGGCACAAAACACUGGGUACCAAACUGGAAAUACUAUAAUGGAAGGCAAAAAAUGAUGUGUCCGAUAAGGCAUUUGAGGAGACGUUGAAAAUUGUAAAGAACAUUCUUUCCGAGAAUAAUGAAUUGACUUCCACAACAUAUGAAGCUAAACAUGUUAUUUUCCCUCUGGGAUUGGAGGUUUAGAAGAUACAUGCAUGCCCUAAUGACUAUAUCCUCUAUCGUAGUGAUGAAUAUGAGAAAUUGGAUGCUUGUCAUGUGUGCGGAACACUGCGGUAUAAGAUCAGAUGAGAUGAUCCUGGUGAUGUUGAGGGGUAGCCUCCCAAGAAGAGAGUUUCUAUAAAGGUGAUGUGGUAUUUCUCUAUAAUACCACGUUUGAAGCAUUUGUUUAAAAACAAGGUGAAUGCUAAGUUGAUGCGAUGGCCCAAAGAAGAAUGUAAGCAAGAUGAGAUGCUAAGACACCCCGCGGGUGAGGCCUAGUGGAGAUCAAUUGAUAGUGCAUUCGUGAACUUUAAAAUUGAUACGAGGAACAUAAGGUUUUGUUUAAGUACUGAUGUAUUCAAUCCAUUCGAUGAGUUGAGUAGUGGUCAUAGUAUUUGGCCUGUGACUCUAUGUAUGUUCAACCUUCCUCCUUGGUUGUGUAUGAAGCGAAACUUAAUUAUGAUGUUGGUGCUUAUCCAAGGCUCAAAACAACCCGGUAGCAACAUUGACGUGUACCUAAGACUGUUGGUUGAUGAACUUUUACUGCUCUGGAAGGUAGAAGGUGUACAUAUGUGGGAUGAGGCUAAACAAGAGAGCUUUGACCUAUGAGCCUUGUUGUUCAUAACGAUCAAUGAUUGGCCUGCGUUGAGUAACCUUUCAGGACAGACAAACAAGGGAUAUCGGACAUGCACCCAUUGUUUAGAUGACACGGAUAACAUGUAUUUGAAAUACCGUAGGAAUGUCAUGUAUAUGGGCCAUCAUCGAUUUCUUCGUGCUAACCACCUAUUAAGAAAGAAAGGGAUGCAUUUCAAAGGGACCCCAGACCAUCGUAAAAAACCUGCACACCAUAAUGGAAAACGUGUAUUUGAGAUGAUAAAGGAUGUAAGAGUAGUCUUUGGAAAGGGUCUUGGUAGCGAACCUGUUCCGAAUGACGAUAAUUGAUAUGCACCCAUGUGGAAGAAUCUUUGUGUGAUGCAUGCACCUAAUGAAUAAUCUUUGCGUGAACGUGCUAGGCUUCAUGGGUUGUUAGGGGAACUCAAAAGAUACAUUGGAAGCACGACAGGAUCGGAAACAUAUGAAUCAACAAGAUGACCUAAAUCCGGAAAAGAGAGAUAAAGGAUAACACUACUUACGUCCUACUAGUUACACUCUCAGCAAGAAAGAGAAGGAUAACAUGUUUGAACGCAUGAAUAGUAUCCAGGUUCCAUCUAGGUACUCCUCAAAUAUAAAGAGAAUAAUAAAUAUAAAAAAAGAAGUUCUACAAGUGCUAUGGCUGGCCUCAGCGCUUGCAGCAAUUCACCCCGUUGUUGGAGCGCUGCCGCAGCCAAGUAGCAACUGCCAGAGAAGAUAUGGCCAACUCGAGAUCCACUACCCGUUUGGCAUCGGAUCAGGCGACUCGCCUGACCACUGUGCCAUGCCUGGCUUCUACCUGAACUGCAGCGACUCCAAGACAUUUCUUGGUAAUGUCGAGGUGCUUAACAUCUCGAUACAAAACAGCACUGCACGGAUGAGGGUGACCAUGGCCUCAUCUUGCUACAACACCUCCACUAAGGACAUGGACUACAACGCUCGGGCGUUGAACCUUACAGGUACGCCCUACAGGCUCUCCGACACGGCGAACAAGUUCACGGUUGUUGGGUGCAGAACAUUGGCAUACAUUGCUGAUCAGGACAACGUGGGAAAGUACGCGAGCGGCUGCGUGUCCAUAUGCCGGCGAGGUGAUGUGAGCAUCCUCACCGAUGGUUCAUGCUCUGGAAUUGGCUGCUGCCAGACAGCCAUCCCCAAGGGGCUACAAUACUACAAAGUGUGGUUCGAUGAAGGCUUCAACACAUCCCAGAUCUACGACAUCAGCCACUGCAGCUACGCGGCGCUGGUCGAGGCAUCCAACUUUACAUUCUCCACAAGGUAUGCUACAUCGUCGGCGUUCUAUGACACUUAUGGCAGGAAGCCGCCGUUGGUGGUGGACUGGGCUAUCGGGAAUGGAACGUGUGAGGAAGCCCGUAACAAGCCUGGAUCAUAUGCUUGUGUCAGCAGCAACAGCCAGUGCUUCAAUUCCACAAACGGACCAGGCUACGUCUGCAAUUGCUCCAAAGGGUUCCAAGGCAAUCCAUACCUUGUCGACGGAUGCCAAGGUAACGAAUCUGCAUAAACCUACAGACUACAUAAUUGAAACAUGAAAGAAGCUGAGUAGAGCUGUAGAAUCUGAAGCUUAAUUAUGAUAUGUAUAAAUGUUACUGAAAAAAUAGUAGUAGUACAGUUUCACCAGAAGCUACAAGCUAAGUCUAUUCCUGGUCUCUGAAGUAAAAUUUGACGCUCUAAACAUGUUAAAUGUUCCAUAUUAUCAAUCAAUAUACUGCAAAUUUUUUACAAAAUAUUUUUUAUGCAAUUGCUAAUACUGCAGAUGUUGAUGAGUGCAAGGAUCUGGAAACCAACCCUUGCUCUGUGAAGGAAGCUUGCAAGAAUACUCAUGGUGGAUUUGAAUGCACUUGUCCUCAACAGUCCCCCAAAGGCAACGCCUACAACGGGACAUGUGAGAAAGACCAAUCAAUUCCACUUAAAGUCACAAUUCCAAUAGGUACACCUAUCUUUCCUCUUUCAAUACAUUUAUUAUGUUUUAGAAGUAUAUAUGUUCAAAACAGAUCCACGAUCGUGAGAAGUUGGUAGAUAUUAUAAGGAGUAUCAAGCUGAUAACGUAUCCAACGGACAUGGAGACACAACCACGAAAACACAAAUAUUAAACGAAUUGCUUACCAAUUAUUAAUUGUUUCAGCUAACCAGAGUACUUUUCAGACUCUUUUUUCCAGCCGUCUAACAACUUGAAGUUUCCAUACAUGUCUGAUCUGCAGGAAUUUUUGGCUGUCUUUUGGUUGGUCUUUUACUUUUCCUUAUUAAAGAAUGGAUCAAGCACAAACGACGAAUAAUCAGGCACGAAUACCGAAGAUGAACGAAUGUUUUCAGCAGAACGGUGGCCAACUUCUAAUGGAUAUGAUGAAAGUAGAGAGUAACAAUUCAUUUCAGUUGUAUGACCGGGAAGAAAUUGAGGUGGCCACAAACAACUUCGAUGACAGAUCAAUCAUUGGAGAAGGUGGUCAGGGAACCGUUUAUAUGUGGCAAAAUCUUGAUGCACAAAACAAUCCUGUUGCAAUCAAGAUCUGCAAGGGAUUCGAUGAGAGUAGGAGAAGGGAAUUUGGUCAGGAGCUGCUUAUACUUUCUCGAGUAAAACAUGAAAACAUUGUCCAGCUUCUAGGUUGCAGCUUGCAGUUUGAAGCUCCAGUUCUGGUGUACGAAUUUGUGCCAAUCAAACCCUGCACUACCUGAUCCAUAGACAAGAUGAUGCAUCCAUCAGAACUAUGGAAAUCCGUCUUAAAAUUGCCACUGAAAUUGCUACUGCACUAACAUACCUACAUUCACUUAGUCACCCUAUCUUUCAUGGAGAUAUCAAAUCUGUCAACAUUCUUAUAGGCCACAAUCUCUCCGCUAAACUUUCUGAUUUUGGAUGCUCAAUGAUUAGGUCUGCUGAUGACAAUGUUCAAGUAGUGAAGGGGACAAUGGGCUACUUAGAUCCAGAGUACCUUUUGAACUUUGAGCUUACUGAUAAGAGUGAUGUUUACAGUUUUGGUGUUGUCCUUUUGGAGCUCCUAACACGUAGGAAGGCACUGUCCGAAACAAAGGAGAGCCUCGUGUCUGUCUUCACGGAAGCCAUGAAGGAGGGCAAGCUUGUGGAGCUCAUAGACACGGAGUUAGCCAACCAAGAAAACAUGGAUUUAUUACAUCAAAUGGCUGCAUUAGCAAGAGAAUGCUUGGCCAUGACUGGUCAACACCGACCAAUGAUGAGCCAGGUAGCCGAGGAGCUCCAACGAUUGGCAGGCCCGGUGCCACAGCGCACUCGACUGUUUCAUGGUAUUAACGCACUCAUGUUGCAGGGACGGUCGUCUAACAAUGCAGCAGGUGACUAUAUUAGUGAAGAAAGCACAGAUUACUACAACCUCAAGGAGAAAGCCUCCAUGAGCACAGAGUUUGCACGAUGAAAUCAGUACGCAUUAGUUGGUUGCGGCAGUGUAGACAUGCAUAGUAUAUUGACGUGUGUCCUAUUUAGAUACGUUCACAAUGUCAUAACAUAAUUUUGUUGAACUUAAUACUUCCUCAGUAAAGAUUUGUAUAGUUUCUAUAUAUACUGAAAUUACAUUGUAUCAGGAAAGUGGCUUUUGCCGUUCAAAAUUAUUGCAUUUAAAUAUGGUAUAAAGACUACUUUACAGCCGGCCGUAUUUUUGUUAAACGGAACGGCCGGUUCCAUCCACCGUCCAGCCAGGAUCUAACAGCCACGGAAGCUAGUGCUCGCGGGGUCCACAGGUCAGACCAGACGUUUGCUCCCCCAGGCAUACUAUAGAAAAUCUCGGGGCGCACCUGUUCGUCUUCAUCCGCUGAACUUUUUUUUAUUUUUAACCCUUUUUUUUCUUUAUUUUUAAAAAUAACCUCACCCGAGUUUUAUUUGCGCGGGGUGACCCUUUUGGCCGCGCCAGACCGCCUGGCGCGGCAGGAACACGUUGCCGCGCCGCAUGCACUGGCGCGGCGGCCCCUGCCACGCUGGCGCGGCGAGUCGUGGCGCCAGGUGGGCGCUGACGUGAGCGGGGCGUUCGCCGCGCCAGCCCGCCUGGCGCGGCAGGGCCAGCACUAGAUCCACGCGCCGGCUCCCUUCCUCCUCCCUCCCUCCUUUCUUCCUCCUCCAGACACACCCGAGCCCAAGCUCCUUGCGCCGCCCCCCGCCGCCCCACCCCCAAAUCCACCCAAAAUCCGGCGUUUUCGGUGGGGGAAAGUAGUGGAAAUCGAUCCCUGCUUCGUGUGGAAGGUAUUCCCCUACUUUUUCUCGUAUUUUACCGUUGCAUUUGGUAGAUCGGAGGAUGUUUAGGUGACUUAGGGUUAGGUUAGUGAUUUGAAAUUUCAAUGAAAUGCAAUGGUGUUUUGUGUUAGAUGAUACGUAGUUCAUACGCAAUUGAGUCUCUGCCCGCGAUAUUGACGUGUAGAACUUGUCGAUUUAAGGAUAUAUUCAUUGAAUCGUAUAGUGCAAUGUAUAUGUGUAUUUUUUGUUUGCAAUUUGUCCAAUAUAUGUAAUGUGUGUAGUUGAUAUGUCGAAUAUGUGCAAUGUGUAGUGUAUAUGACAUGGUGAAAUGUUUGUAUUUUGUAGAUGGAUCGUUUAGUUCGAUUUUUUGAUGGUGGUGUUGUGAAACAAAAUGGGGAGUUAGAGAAUAUGAAUGAGUCAAUUGAAUUCUUCGAUGGUCCUCCAAGUUUUAGUGAUUUAGUUGACCGUGUAAUGACGAAGUAUGGAUGUAGAGUGGAUGAGAUCGGUUUGAGAGGUCGUUUUGAUUGUGGGAAAGGUAGAGCUCAUUAUGUUCUCAUGAAGUUAGCAUCCGAUGCGAAUUGGAAGCACUAUAAGGAUGUUGUGCACGAAGCUAAUGUUGCAUGUUUGGAGGUUAUAGUCGAAAUUGUUCGUAUGCCUGGCCCAAAUGUUGUCAUGAGGGAGGAAGUGGCGGUAGUGAACCAUAAUGGUACCCAGGAGUCAGAAAUGUUGCAUCACGUGUUAGGUGAAACAGAACGUGAUUUUGACUUGGCUAUUGCCAAUGAUGAUUUUCCCAAUAACAUUUUUGAGAGGGAUGAAGCAAAUAUAGAUGUUGAUAAUGUCUCUAUGGGUUCCGAAGAUUGUGAAUUGGAGGAAGAUGGGGUAGUAGGUGUGGAGGUAGAGGAGGAAUCACUAUUUGAGAGUGGUGGGCAUGAAUAUGAGAACGUCGGGGUAGAAAAUGAAGAGGAUGGACCGCAAUUUGACACCGCAACCGUACAUGAUGUAGAAGGCAUUCGUCGUAUGGACGAUUGUUUUUCUUACACCCAGUAUGAGUUGCGGUUGUUAAAAGAACGUGAUGUCGAACUGCCAUCUGUUCCCAAUGAUAAGGACAUAAGUAUGGUUCACAAAGCAAUAUGUGAAUCUAGUAUGGUGAAUGCCGAAGGGACGUCCAUUGGUGAGAGUCCAGUGAUUAAGAAGGGGAUGAAGUUCAAUAGUCUUGAGGAGCUGAAGUUUUUCUUGGCUGACUACGCGGUGAGGUUACAUAGACCUUUUAGCGUAGUUCACUCUGACAAGAACUUAAGAUACAAUGUGAUGUGCAAGCAAGGAUGCCAUUGGCGUGUAUGGUCUCGGCUAAUAUCAAGCACCGGACAAUUGAAAAUUUCAAAUGUUGUGCAACCGCAUACUUGUCGGUCGUCACAGCCGAAGCGAGAGCAUGUACAGUGCACAGCAAAGUACCUUGGACGGCGUAUCCUAGGCAUUAUCCGUAAAGACAGCGAGACAUCGGUGCCAUCACUCGUGGAGUCCAUCUUCAUCUUUAGUGGGUACCGUGUGAAGUAUUCGAAGGCUUGGCGGGCGAAGCAACACACUGUUGCCCUGCUUUGGGGCGACUGGAAGGAGUCGUACGGCAUAGUUCCUAGGGUACUCUCAGCUAUGACCUACUAUAAUCCCGGAGUUAAAUGGUGCAUCGACUCAUGUGGCAUGAUGCUUCCUGACAAUGGAGUGUUGAAGCAUAUACUGCAAAGGGUAUUUUGGUGCUUCCCUCAAUGUAGUGAGGCAUUUCAACAUUGCCGUCCUGUGAUACUUGUGGACGGUACAUUCUUGACUGGCAAGUACAAGGGUACAUUAAUGAUGGCAGUUGUUGUAGAUCCAGAACAAUAGCUUGUGCCUCUUGCUUUUUCCUUGGUCGAGAGUGAGAAUAAUGAGAGUUGGUCAUGGUUUAUGAAACUUGUUCGGGUACAUGUUCUUGGACCUUCACGGAUAGUGUGUAUGAUAUCAGAUAGGCAUCAUGGGCUCCUAAAUUGUGCGAAGGACCACAUUGAUGGUUUUCCACCGCUUGUGCAUAGGUGGUGCAUGAGGCACUUUGCUGCCAACAUGUCACGUCGGCAGAAGAGCAAUCGUGUGAUUGGAAAAUUGAAAUUAUUAUGCAAGGUUCAUACAGAGAGAGAAUUUUGUGAGAAGUUAGAAGAUCUAGUGAAGGACUUGAACGACGACGCAAAAGAAUUGUUGAAGGGUGAAAUGGAGGACAAGGAUAAAUGGGCGCAGGCUUUCGAUGAGGGAGGGAUGCGCUGGGGAAUUAUGACCACGAACUUCUCGGAAUCACUCAACGGAGUUUUCAAAGGCAUCCGAAGUAGGCCCGUCGCUGGAAUUAUUGAAUACACAUUCGAAAAAUGCAACGCCUACUUUGUGAACCGAUGGGAAAAGGCACGUGAAAUGUUGGAUCAAGGCUAUAGAAUUGGGUAAGUUGCAGAUAAUUAUUUAUCAGAGGCUGAGCUUAGAUCCGUGCACCACUUAGCAGAACCGUACGGGCAAGAAAGGAUGGUGUAUUCUAUAAGAAGUUACGGUACGACUAACAUUGGGGGUGAGAGUCAUGGAGGCCGACACUACAUAGUGGAUCUGCACGAAGUUUCGUGCACCUGCAAUGUUCCUCAAUUGUUGCACCUUCCAUGUUUACACUUCAUUACAGCUUGCAAGGCAAGAGGUCUUAACUAUGAAAGCCCCAUGUACAUGUCACCGUUGUACUCUAGGGAGCACACCAUCAAAAUAUGGGAAUCAAGCUUUCAACCUUACCUAGAUCCGUCACAAUGGCCGGCAUAUGAAGGGGCAGGGUACGUGCCUAACCCCAGUUUAAUGGGAAAUAAAGUAGGAAGGAGGCAGAAGAAGCGUUUCACAGGCGACAUGGACGUGUCGGAAGGGAGGCUUUCUGCAGAUUAUGAUACUGGUGAUUUUGAUAUUGACAAGUCGGAAAAUCGUUGCUCCAAGUGCCACAAGAUCAUUAGGAAUUGCACGUGCCGCAGUAGAAAAUCAAAAGGCACUAAAUCUAGACCGAGCAGUAAUAGGCCGCGUACUUCGAACAAUUGGGUAUGCGCGUUGCUUGUAUUAUGCGUGGCUAUUAUUUUAUCUUUUUUUAUAGUAGUACAUUAUCAUAUUUUCCGUACUUAUCAUAUAAUGAAGCUUUUUACUAACGAUCAUUUUUGUUGUUUCUUUAGGAUGGCGGCCCCAGGGUACCCUCUUCUUGAGGCUGCUUACGACUUGCACCACCGUGCCCACCACCUCGCGGACCUAAAUGAGGUAUAACAAUGGUUGCUAAUUUUUGCUGAUGAAUGCAUACUUAGGAUGAGAAUUGCAAGAUUUUCGUAUGAAAUGUUCUUAUAAAUUAAGGAGCUGCCUAUCGUUACUAUUCACUUGUGUACAGUGUAAACAAUUUUAUACUGCAAAUGUCAUUUGUAUCAUAUUUGUGUUACUUACCACUUUAGAAGCCCGUUAUUCACAAUUGGAUUGACUUCUCAUUUUUUAAUAAUCUUAUAAUGUUUUGCAGAAUUUGACACCACUCAGGGCUAGGGUGCACUCACCACUUAGGUGGGAUGAGCGGUACGCCCAGUACCUGCAGAGAGCAGGUUUCUUGGAUAUCGCUGUUCAGGUCGUGGGGGGUCUCCCUCCAAUGGACGGACCACUGUUGACCGCUAUGGUCGACAGGUGGCGUCCGGAGACUCACACGUUCCACCUGCCCUUCGGAGAAAUGACCAUCACAAUGCAGGAUGCGGCUAUGAUACUCGGCCUUCCACUGGAAGGGCAGCCAGUGACAGGUAUUAUACAGAAUGAGAAUUGGCGUGAUAUGGUCGAGAUGCUUAUUGGGAUUAGGUCGCCAGAGCCAGAGGGUAGAGAUAUCUCGAAGAAAACGUCCGGUGUCAGCUCGGCAUGGUUGAGGGAGCACUUCGAAGUGUGUCCUCCGGGAGCAAAUGACGAGGUCGUGCAACGCUAUGCUCGAGUGUGGCUAUGGCACUUUGUCAGUACAUUCCUCCUUCCAGAUGCAGCUGGGAACACAGUAUCGUGGAUGGUUCUCCCCAUUCUAGGUCAGGUUUGGGAAAACAUAGCCGUUUACAGCUGGGGCUCAGCGGCUCUUGCCUGGCUGUACAGACAGCUAUGUGAGGCUUGCCGGCGCACAGCGAGAGAUUCCAAUGUUGGAGGGUGCACUUAUAUGCUCCAGAUUUGGAUUUGGAGCGAAUGCCCNNNNNNNNNNNNNNNNNNNNNNNNNNNNNNNNNNNNNNNNNNNNNNNNNNNNNNNNNNNNNNNNNNNNNNNNNNNNNNNNNNNNNNNNNNNNNNNNNNNNNNNNNNNNNNNNNNNNNNNNNNNNNNNNNNNNNNNNNNNNNNNNNNNNNNNNNNNNNNNNNNNNNNNNNNNNNNNNNNNNNNNNNNNNNNNNNNNNNNNNNNNNNNNNNNNNNNNNNNNNNNNNNNNNNNNNNNNNNNNNNNNNNNNNNNNNNNNNNNNNNUAUAGUUUUUUAAGCUAACUUCCGUAUAAUGUAGAUGAAAUAAGUAUGCGUGAAAAUUUUUGAAGGUGGAAUGGAAACCGUAUGACCGUGAGCAGCUUAGCCAUAUCGUCUUUUCACCGACGUGAUACAGAGACGGAGAGCUGUGGAGGUGCACGACCCCAAUGAUAUUGUACUACGUGGUAGAGUUUCAUAUGCCGCAUAGGGUGAUGCGGCAGUUUGGGAGGAUGCAACCGUGCCCUCCUUUGGAAUUAUCAACUUCACAGCAGCUGCACAGGUACGCAGGAAUAAAUAACUAUUGGAGGCUAUUCAAUUAACGCAAUUAACAUGCUAUACUAAUACUUCACUAAUUUCUGAUGCAGUAUCGAUCGCAGAAAGCGGUACAAGGAGAAUGAUUGGAGGUUGAAGCAUGGCCAGUACCUCCUCCUGUGGCAGAACAAGCAAGGAUGCGAUCCUGAAGGUGGACCGUACUGGCGACCAAACAAUGAGUACAUACGAUGGUACUGUACUUCGAUGAGAACCAAAGUGAAACCAUCUUGGACUAAUGUGCCCAUUGAGGAUGCACCGUCUGAUGAUGACGCUGACAUAGCUGACGUGUACGACACGGUGACACGCCAUGGGACACAGCCUGAGUGUGCACCUCUCCACGACUACAUGUGAAGAUUUCGGUUUGUAAUUAUAGUAUCGUCACAUUGAUCACUUAUGGAAUGAAAACUCCUUCGUGCAGGGACAGCAGCUUGCAAGGCUCUCAAACGAGGCGGGCGUGAUUAUGGAGCACGCCGUCGGGGAAGGUGAUGGUCUGCUUCGCGCUUUUGCAGAGGUAGAAGCCCAAACUAAUUUUCACUUAUACUCGUACUAUCUUUGUAACCAUCAAUAACAUAGUCGUGAAUAUAUGGCAGAGGGUUCGUAAAAGUUGCAGGCGAAUGGCUAUGAGGAUGAACUGCAUGACGUCCUCAGAUGCGCACGACGGGGGCAAUGUCCAGGAUACUUCUUCAGGAUCACGUCGGACUGCAUUGGCGACUACCCCCAGGGCUGCAACAUCGUCCACUGCUGCAGGUCCUAGCAGGAGAUCGCAAGGUAAGGAACCCGCAUCCCCUCAGGAAAGCGAGGACUCUGAAGGUGAGCAGUCUGAGGAUGAUGACCCUACAUAUGGUGAGGAACUGGAGAUUUCUCACGAUGCUCCACCUGUGACUCAGACGCAGGGAGAGUCCAGCCAGGUAUAUUCACAAGUUUCUCCAAAUUCAAUUAUACAUUUUAAUGUUCCCUCCCGAAGUGUCAUACAAAUUUUAUGAUUUGUGCCCAAUUAUUCCAUAGGAACCUGCACCUCAUACUCGGUUGCCACGCCGGCGUCGUCGUUCACGGGACCACACCGACGUUGGCAGCGCCAAUGCGCUGCCCACGCAUCCAAGGAGGGAGCGUCGCCCAAGAGAUCCUUUUAGCCCUCUAGAUGAGCGGCGGUCACGACACUGAACCUAGCAUGUCUCAAGACUUUUGGAACCGUCACGUGUGUCNNNNNNNNNNNNNNNNNNNNNNNNNNNNNNNNNNNNNNNNNNNNNNNNNNNNNNNNNNNNNNNNNNNNNNNNNNNNNNNNNNNNNNNNNNNNNNNNNNNNNNNNNNNNNNNNNNNNNNNNNNNNNNNNNNNNNNNNNNNNNNNNNNNNNNNNNNNNNNNNNNNNNNNNNNNNNNNNNNNNNNNNNNNNNNNNNNNNNNNNNNNNNNNNNNNNNNNNNNNNNNNNNNNNNNNNNNNNNNNNNNNNNNNNNNNNNNNNNNNNNNNNNNNNNNNNNNNNNNNNNNNNNNNNNNNNNNNNNNNNNNNNNNNNNNNNNNNNNNNNNNNNNNNNNNNNNNNNNNNNNNNNNNNNNNNNNNNNNNNNNNNNNNNNNNNNNNNNNNNNNNNNNNNNNNNNNNNNNNNNNNNNNNNNNNNNNNNNNNNNNNNNNNNNNNNNNNNNNNNNNNNNNNNNNNNNNNNNNNNNNNNNNNNNNNNNNNNNNNNNNNNNNNNNNNNNNNNNNNNNNNNNNNNNNNNNNNNNNNNNNNNNNNNNNNNNNNNNNNNNNNNNNNNNNNNNNNNNNNNNNNNNNNNNNNNNNNNNNNNNNNNNNNNNNNNNNNNNNNNNNNNNNNNNNNNNNNNNNNNNNNNNNNNNNNNNNNNNNNNNNNNNNNNNNNNNNNNNNNNNNNNNNNNNNNNNNNNNNNNNNNNNNNNNNNNNNNNNNNNNNNNNNNNNNNNNNNNNNNNNNNNNNNNNNNNNNNNNNNNNNNNNNNNNNNNNNNNNNNNNNNNNNNNNNNNNNNNNNNNNNNNNNNNNNNNNNNNNNNNNNNNNNNNNNNNNNNNNNNNNNNNNNNNNNNNNNNNNNNNNNNNNNNNNNNNNNNNNNNNNNNNNNNNNNNNNNNNNNNNNNNNNNNNNNNNNNNNNNNNNNNNNNNNNNNNNNNNNNNNNNNNNNNNNNNNNNAUAUUUAUUAGUAGGCCCAGUAAUUCUGACUACAUUUAACACAAGGCACAUGGUACUGACAAGACGCCCACAAAGUGUUCUGCAAUAGGAUUAGAUCAGACCGGUGCGCAAUCAUGGAUAAGAAUAACACACACGUGCAUUAAAUGUUAGGGGUACGUAUUGCCCCAUUUGUACUUCGUCUUCUACUAUUAUUGCAUCACAAAUACCUUCAAGUACACCCGCUCUACCAGCGCUAUGCCUUCCUCCUCUUCCACCGCCCACUCCUCCUCGUCCUCCAUCCAAAUCAUCAAUCCCAUCGAAGCUACUACAAUUUCUUUCACACUCUAGCGCUGACUACUAGCUCGGAGAGGAAACUUUGAUGCGUUUGGACAUAGUUCUCUCGAAAAUGAAAAUAGUUUUUGACAACUAAUUGUAGUUCCCAGAAUAAACAUAAACAUAAUUUUCUCAUAAAAGAACAUAGUUUUCACAGCUACAGAGAAACAUGAUCCAGCUACAUCAACACGUUCAUCUAGUCCUAUUCACCUUCAUAAAGUAACUCGUCGUCAUCAUCAUCAUCAUCAUCAUCAUCUCCGGCAACAACAACUCCCUUGCCUUUCUUAUCGACAUUAACCUUACCAACAGGUAAAUCAGCAACAAGAGCCUUCAUCGUCUCCAUCUGUGCCUCUUCCGCUUUUUGUUGUAACUCUUCCAUUUCAAUCCUUCUCUUUCUUGCCCUAACUUGCUGCAAAUAUUUUUCCCAUGAACCCUCAGGGUAUUUCACAUUCGGAUCAACCACAUAACCUAAGCGAUCUCUUUCCUCCCUUAACCUUUGUUUCUCCAACUCCCUCUCCUCCUGCAACUUCCUCCUAUUUUCUCUCUUCUCAUUUUCAGUUAGAGGUCGUGGAUACUUGGAUCUAUUUUGCCUCUAAUACUUAAUAAUAGUUUCCCUUGCAUAAAGUCCUUUAGGUUCCACUCCAGUCUCAUGCACCAUAUCUUGAUAUAUUUUCCCCCAAAGUAAGUCGUCGUCAGGAAUAGGCACAUCAUACUUCUUCCUAAUCUUUUCUUUAAUUUCUUGUUGUUUCCUUGACUUCCAUGGUUCCGAUGUAUUUCUCAACUUUAAUAACAAAUCAUAUCGACCACAAAAAUCUUCCCAAUCACAUGUCCUUCCCUCCUGCAACAACAAUUCAAUAUUCUUACAAAUUUGAAACAAGUUACAACCUUCAUAAAACAUAAGAGACGAGUAGUUACUAACCCAGUAAUCGCCAUGUGCAUUUCCACAGAACGAACCAUAUCCAAGUUCAGAAGGCACCACACCUUCUGUUGCUAAUAUACCACACUUGCAUCUAUCACUAGGAGAGGACACACAUGGCCACGGUGCCUUUUCACUUUCGAACUCCCGCACUUCCUCCUCUGUUGGCCACAUUGCCAUUGGGCCGUAUAUAUACUCAUUGAAAUCACACAACGGCCACCCAUCCUGCAAAAAACCCAUGACGUGAACUACUCAUACGUAAAGUAACUACAAAACGCUGCUCCAACUUCCAAGCAAUAAUAUCAAGUAAAUAACAUCAAGUUAAAGUAUGAACAAUAUACUGCAAAAUUAUAACCGCUAGCUAAACGACAUACUAAUAUUCUCGUAAUAUACUUACAUGAGUCUUUAGGGAGCAUCGAAAGAAUGGAGUAAACUUAGGUGGAUCCCCUAAGUUAGGACGCAUAAGCUUAGUAGGAACACCACACUUGCACAUGGGAGGAUCCCUCACACGCCUACAAGCAGCCUCCUGCUUCUGCUCCUCGGUCAUCCUAGGUGGGUUUGGUGGAGGAGGAACCCAACGCCUAAACUGAUGGUAUGGUUUAAGCUCUGUGCUAUGAUAUGGGAAUAGGCGGAUCCUAGGAUCAUAUUUGUCGGGUCCAUCGAUCCACUGAAAGAAAUCACAAGGUGCGGCAGGCAGUGGAUCAAAAGUCCAUUUGCAUACAUAGAAUGCUCUUCCAGCUGUCUUUGGAUGCCUUGAUUGUUUCACCUCUGCUUGCGCGCCACAUCUACAAAGAGGUACCGGAAGGGCAGGAGGUACGGGACCAGCACCAUUGGACUCGCCCACAUAACGCACAUACCACCUACGCCGUUUGUAUUCACAACCAAACGACGCCAUCUCACCUGGAAAUCAAGUGCAACAAAUUUAAUACACAAAUAAACUUUAAACACGUAAUCCAUACAAGCUAUAUACAUCAUUUUGAUAAAAUGUAAAUACUCGAUCUACAAAAUACAAACACUGAAACAAAAAUGAGACUAAUUAAUUGAAGAUAUAAAAAAAAUACAUGUCAUGUAAACCACACAAUUGGAUGAAUAUAUACCUAAAUCGAAGCAUUCAACAAGUUCUACACGUCAAUAUCACGGGCAGAGACUCAAUUGCGUAUGAACUACGUAUCAUCUAACACAAAACACCAUUGCAUUUCAUUGAAAUUUCAAAUCACUAACCUAACCCUAAGUCACCUAAACAUCCUCCGAUCUACCAAAUGCAACGGUAAAACACGAGAAAAAGUAGGGGAAUACCUUCCACACGAAGCAGGGAUCGAUUUUCACUACUUUUCCCCACCCAAAUCGUCGGAUUUUGGGUGGAUUUGGGGGUGGGGCGGUGGGGGCCGGCGCUGCAAGGUGCUGCUGUGUGGUGUGUCUGGAGGAGGAAGAAAGGAGGGAGGGAGGAGGAAGGGAGCCGGCGCGUGGAUCUAGUGCUGGCCCUGCCGCGCCAGCCCAGCGCCCACCUGGCGCCGCGACUCGCCGCGCCAGCAUGGCAGGGGCCGCCGCGCCAGUGCAUGCGGCGCGGCAGCAUGUUCCUGCCGCGCCAGGCGGUCUGGCGCGGCCAAAAGGGUCACCCCGCGCAAAUAAAACCCGGGUGAGGUUAUUUUUAAAAAUAAAGAAAAAAAAGGUUAAAAAUAAAAAAAAGUUCUCAUCCGCUCUCGUUUUCAUUUCGCACCGCCGACUCUCUCUCUCUCUAUCUCCGUCCCCGGCGAUUUCUCCGCUGCACCUUCAAUCCACUCAAACCAGACAAAUCGCGAGGGGCGGAAUUGCACAGCGAAGACGGAGAAGCGAUUUGAGCGCACACGGAGGUGAGUCGUUCGUCGAUUUGCUGCGGGUUUCUCUCUCAAUCCCCCCGAAUGCGCACUAAUUUGGAUUCAUUGUCUCCAACAUUUUUUUCCGAUGGAUAGACGACGGGCAUGAGACCACGGAAGUGAGGAUGAGCUGGGGUGGGGGGCCAAGGGGAGCGCAGUUCUUACCCUGAGAUCCACGCAUGUUAGUGAUUUUUGUGUUUUUGGUUUUGUUGCUAGAUGCCCUUCUAAAAUCUGUCCUCCCAUCGAGCAAUCCCAACUUUUACGUGUGCGUUUUUUACUGCAGAGAUCUCAGCGGAGCGAGGAAGGAUACUUCUGGCACACCAAGGUGUGCUCGCAAAUCCACCUCCCCCAUCGAGCAUAGGACGCAAAAACAACGCUGAGGUAUCUAAGGUUCCCCCUGAAUCCCUGCUUGGAUGCUGCGUAAGAGGACUGUUUUUUCUGAUGCAGACAAUAUCAUUCAUGUUUUACUAUUUUUUAUUUGUGCAAUAGCAUUUGUUAGUUUUGGGGAUUAGGCAGAAUAUUGAGUUUUUGGGGACUGGUACGAUGUUUGUCCUGAGGAGAAAUCUGAGUUCAUGCACGUGACACUGCUGCAGUGAUGUUUAGGCCUACUAUAGGUUCCAUUGCAUGCAAAUAAUUUUACAAUAAAAGUGGCAUGGACAAUAGUACUCUUUUUUUCUUAUUGGCUCUUUACAGUGGUGAUCAAAUUAACCAAAACUGUGAAGUCGGAGAUUUAGUGGUUCAGUAGCUGACCCAAUAACUCGUACUGCUUUUUUGGUAUGACAAAGAUAAAGGUACCCUACAUGUCAGUUUGCUUUGCUUAAGUCUUCUCUUUUUCGGAGCCAACCAAAAUAUACAGGAAUGAUAGGCUUUACUGGAGUUGUGGGAGUUUUUUUUUUCCAAUCUGACUAACCCCCAGCGUGGAUCUAGGCUAUCAAUGCAUGUUACUUAGCUGUGGUCUACACUAUCAGCUAGCCUUUUUUACUCUGAAAUAUUCAAUUUUUUAAUCGAGUAUAUAAUUGCGUACGUCAUUAUCAUAAUUUGCUUACGAGAUUAUAUAAACUGUCUACAAAAUUAUUAUAAAUUGCUUGACAGAUUAUGUAUUUUUCUAUUGUUCUUAGAGUGCAAGAGAAGCAUGAUUAAAGGGUGUGAAAGUAGCAGCUUCUAUACACAGUGGAGAGGGGCCUAGAUGCACAUAAAUGUGAGACUCUGUUUCCAUUCUUUUUGUUUUCUGAUCUGAACUUUUUUUAUGUUUCUUUAAUUGGUUUUCAGAGUAGUUGUAGUAACAUUCUUCCUGUACACAGUUCUAGUAAAUUUUCAGAAUAGCUUUUAGAGUUGGAAUUACCAACCGGGACUAAAUGUUUUGUCCCGGUUGGAAUUAGCAAUCGGGACAAAAGUGGGGGGGGGGGGGGGGGGGGCUUUUUUCCCGGUAAAAAUUUUAAACCGCGCAAAAGGGGGAGGGGGGGGGGAUUUUUUUNNNNNNNNNNNNNNNNNNNNNNNNNNNNNNNNNNNNNNNNNNNNNNNNNNNNNNNNNNNNNNNNNNNNNNNNNNNNNNNNNNNNNNNNNNNNNNNNNNNNNNNNNNNNNNNNNNNNNNNNNNNNNNNNNNNNNNNNNNNNNNNNNNNNNNNNNNNNNNNNNNNNNNNNNNNNNNNNNNNNNNNNNNNNNNNNNNNNNNNNNNNNNNNNNNNNNNNNNNNNNNNNNNNNNNNNNNNNNNNNNNNNNNNNNNNNNNNNNNNNNNNNNNNNNNNNNNNNNNNNNNNNNNNNNNNNNNNNNNNNNNNNNNNNNNNNNNNNNNNNNNNNNNNNNNNNNNNNGGAGUGUCGGUGGGAUUUUUAUGUACGCAUUACAACUAGGACUAAAGGGGGCCGGGACUAAAGCCCCCCUCCCACGCUGGCCUUCGGUGGUACUUUUUUGACCCGGGACUAAAGCCACUUUAGUCACGGGUCCAAUGUUAAUCGGGACUAAAGGGGUUGGAUGGAAGGUCAGUUCUCUACUAGUGAUAUUUGGUUAUUACAGGACAAAGUAAAGAGACCUCCACGAUUGCAUUUUAUCUCUAGUUCAAGUUUUGUAUCUUAUACUUCGUAGGAUGUUUCUAAAUUAAGUUUUGUAUUUGGGGCUGCAUCGCCCAGCACAUAUUUAGGUCUCGUUUGUUUUGGCCGGAACAGCCCGGAAUGAGGCCCGUUCCGGGCGGUUUGGUCCGGCCCUGAAUGAAGUUAGGCCUCAAUUGGAAUUGCUGUUCAGUUGGCCUGCCCUGAAACCAAACCUUGUACGGCUCCCCCCCCCUCAUCCACAUCCACGUCCCAGAACAAACCCGUGCCUCAUCCCUCCGAGAUCGGAGCCUGGCGGCGCACGACGCGAAUACUUGAAGGCACACGAGGCGGCGGCGAGAGGUGGUGGCGCAAGGUGAUUCCGUGGCGGCGUGGCACAUCCCUGACGGUGACCGGCUCCCGUCCAGCCUCCACCCUCUCUGCCACCUUCUCCCCAGUAAGCGCCACCAUCUCUUCCUCCCCCUCUCCCAUCAUCAUGUUCUUGUUCUGGAGGUUUCCAAGCCUAGGGUGUAGUGGAUUCGAUUGUUUGGGGUGUAGUGGACCUCCACUCCCUGUCGCCUAGGGUUCUUUAGUUUCAUUGGAUCUGCGUUGACCGGGUGGGCGAUUCGUGAGUGGAUGGAGACUGGGAGGGGGACGUCGCCGGUGACCGGCCUGAAACUAGAGCAUCGCAAUCUCACACCCAACCACGCCCUUCGCUUUGCUAUCCAGGAUUGGCUUCGUCACUCUCACUCCCUGAUGAUGUAUAUAGUAGUUGCUUUACUCUUGCUUUAAGUUUUUUCUGUACAAAUUGACCAAGAGCUUUAGUACCUUGAAUUCAGAGUAGAAAUGGAUGCCCAAUGGGUUAGUGCAAUGGAAUACAAAAGCAGCUUUCAGUCUGAAACUCUGAAUUCCUUGCUGGUGUAUUCUGUUACCUGUAUAUAUGAUUUUACUUCAUAUAUUUGUCUGAUGGGGUGAGACUAAUUAACAGACUAUGUUGUGUUGAUCUGGUGAACAAAGAACAUGUUUUUCUCUAGAACUGCAGCUACAUCUGAAUCUUUUGAUGGUGGUUUUCAGUAGUUCUUUUCAGUUUCAUUGCAGUAGUUCUUUUGAUGCUGGUUUUCAUGGUGAGCAUUUCAGAAGUUCCUUAGUUACCUGAUUGGGCUGUACUGCUAGUACUAGUACUGAUUGGUUCUGUUAGUUUAUUCAUUUUGUUAUAAAGCAUGAUGCUAUACCAACAAUUCUAGCAGUAGCAGUACAUGAGUAUAGUGGCAUACCUGUUACUAUUUUUUGCUUAACGAAUACCUUUUCUUGUUACUUGUAGAUCCCUCCAGCACCAAGAGCAGAAAACAGAGAGGCUUUCAUAUGUGCCUGCGAAGCAGAUCAAGAAUCAGCUUUGAUUUGGCUAAGAAAUGAGAUGGCUUACCAGGUAAAGUCGUUGUCUACUUAGUUGCUAUAAAUAGCACUUGUUCUGUAUAUUUCAAGUGAGAUGUCACCUAUUAUCAAUUCACAAAGUGUCAAAAUUGCGGAGUUUCAGUUCAAACUUUCAAUUCUGAAACCAUGUCUAGAAAUGGAAUAAUAUGGCUGUAAACAAGUGCAUGUUGUUUAUCAAUUUGGAAUUAAACAUGUGAUCUGAGUUAACACUGUUUGAACAACUAAAAUACCAUAAAGAUAGAACUUUUGGAAAGCAUGUUGGUGCCUUUGGAAGUAUAUUUUCACUGCCAAGUACCUUUUAUAUCUGAAUAUUAGUCAGAUUGUGAUAUACUGUGCUGCUGCUUUUUGUGUGUGCAGGUCUUGAAAGAACAGCAGUGAGUUCAGCCUCGGCUUUUGUUUUCUUUCAUUCGUUCUAAAUUGUAGCGUGAGGAUUGUUCUAUUAUAUUAAGCAAUAUUGAAGCUUUUGUUGGUGCCAUGGGACAUGCAAUAUUGAAGCAAUAUAUUAAGCGAUGUCGUUCUAAAUUACCAUAAAGAUAGAACUGUAUGAUGCAAGUGCUAGCAUAUGUAUGCUCUGCCAACAUGCAUGCAUAUGAAGUAUUCUGUAUGGAUAACGGACAUGAACUUAAUGAUGCUUUUGCUGUAAUUCAGUUUGAAGUAUUCUGUAUGCUCUGCCAACAUGCAUGGGUUUGACCUGGAUUGAUCCAAUCUGUGCCAAAUGAUGGAUUGACCUGUUCGGUUUGAGUGGAUUUGGUAGGAUUUAAUCUUCCUUGGAUUGAGUGACACAGGUGGAAUCAUUCAAACUGGGUCUGAAAGUAAUCCUGGUCAGAAUCCAGUCCGGCAUUGCCGAAGGAGGUCUUAGGUGGAAUCGAAUCACGCGUGGAAUUGAAGAUUCUUCCACAUCUUGCGUUCACACGUGCGGAAUCGAAGAUUCUUCCACAUCUCGCAUUUCGCUCCACGCUCCUUGCUGUUCACAGUGGAUGCUCCCUGAAGUGCUAGCUUUUCGAGUGUGGAAUUCUACCUUCGUGCCAUCAACGCUGAAAACGCGGAGACAAACACGCUCUAAAGAAAUAUUGCAUUUGUUCAUAUUUGUGUAACGGGAUGAAACCAUAUUUCCCUUUUCUAUUCAAAUACAAAUGGACGAGACAUGCACACUUAAUCUUCCACAUGACGAGAUCUUUCUUACCGAAGAAAGGCUUAAAGUACUCUUGCUGCACGAGGUAGUUUGUAUACAUGUACGAUUCUAGCUACGCAAUUGAAAGAUGGUGGUAGUAUAUAUAGGAAAGUUACUCAGCCACUGCAUAAGUAGCCUACUGGCAUGUCCAUGCCCUCUUGCUAUUACCCAGCCUCGUUUUACCACCAGUACGCCCACCAGCAUAUACUCUUCUUUGUGAAAUUGUAGUAGGGGAGAAAAAGGGAAGAGCAUGUGUGCAAGAACUCCUCUUGUUGUGCAUUAAAUGAUCAGAUUUCCGGAAUGGAAGGUCUCUGGAAUCUCAGUUCGUUGCACAAUUCUGGUCGUCCUUCCUUCACAAAUUUAUGUAUGGACCACCCAUAUGUUCUGACAAGCUAGAGCGAGAUAAGUAUGUGAGAAAUUCAAGGUACGUGAGUGAAUGGAUAGUAGCUAAUAGACGUUCCACUGCUAUUCACCGAGCCUUCAUGGUAUUCCGGUACUCAACGCUUCUUGUGCUUGUUUUAGAUCCAUUUGUUCACAUUUGUGUAAAGGGAUGAAACCAAAUUUUCCCCUUUUUCGGUUUUAACAGACGAGACGUGUACUUGUUCAUUCCACAACACGAUCUUUCUCAUCCAUGAAACGCUUACAGCAGUAUCAGCUAGCCUGUAUAUAUAUACAAUUCUAGGAACACAAUUGAAAGAUGAUACUACGAUAUCAUUGAAACAGUUUGGUGCGUUGUAUAAUAUAGUUUAGUUACUCAACCACUGCAUAAAUAGUAUAUUCCCUCUGUUCUAAAUUGUAGGUCGUUUUAACUUUUUAGGUUUAUAGAUAUUAUUAUGCACCUAGAUAUACAAUAUAUCUAGAUGCAUAAUAAUAUCUAUGAACCUAGAAAAGCUGACCUACAAUUUGGAACGGAUGGAGUACUAGUUUAACCAUGCUCUCUUGUUACUCAGCCUCGUUUUACUAUGACGAACAUCAGUACACACACCAGCAUACACUUUGUUGUGAAACUGCAGUAGGGAAGAAAGAGAGAUCAGCAUGUGCAAGAACUCUUCUAGUUGUGCUUCAAAUGAGCAAUUUUUCAGAAUGGAUGGUCUCUGGAAUCUCAGUUGCACAAUCCAGGACGAUCUCGCUUUACCUAAUUAUGUAUUAGAACAUGAUUUUUAUUUGUUAUUAGGGCCUUUCAAAAGUAUCCCCGCGAGCCUGUAGUGAGCACCGGUAGUGAGCCUAAAGCGCGGAGCUGUUGUGCACCUUAGCAGUCGUAACUCCCUGGCAUGCAUCAUGACCGCUUGCUUCUACCUUGUACCAUCCACCUAGAGUCGCCACAUCUCAUGUAGUUCUUCCAAUUUACAUUUCACGUUCAUAAUUCUUAAAAUCUCGAAAAAGAUUCAAUACUGAAAGAAUUUUCAACAAAUAAUGCUAAAAGUUUGUCUAAAACACAUUUAACAGCUGAAAAUGAAUCGGCACCGACUAUAGUACUGUUUUCUGCCUUAGUAAUCAUUGUACUGUUUCUAGUCGCUACUUCCAGAAAUAGGUGUACUUAAAAUAAAAAAUUUCAAGCAUAUUACUAGUUUUGACAAAAUGACCUUGUUGUUCCUGAUUACUCAUGAUUCAAAGUUGCGCUAUCUCUAGCUACUUGUUAUGUUGAUCCUUAGUAGUCCAACCGUGAAAGAAGUUAUAAUUAGUAACUGGAUUUGCGACAUGCAUUUCUCCAAAUAAAUUUGGUUGUUGGUGUGAAAGUUUAAUUAAAUAGAUAUGCCCACAAGCUAGCUAAAAGUGCAGCCUUUGUAGGAAAAAAUUUGAAAUGCUCGAAAUGCACUCAUUUUAGGACAGAGGGUUAGUUCUUAAGUAAAAUUUCCCUUUGAGCCAUGUGUGCCAAUUACGGGGUGUACAAUUAUGUGUCAGCUGGUUGGCAAGCUGUUUAUGAUACACACACAACUUGCAUCAGAAUCUAACACCGAGAGAGUAGCAAGCUAUUUGUGCUACAUGCUAAAUUAACCAAUUACGGGCCUCUGAUGACCUGCUGGUCGUGAACACACUCAUCUGUUGUGCGUUGUUGUGGUCGAGGACAUCUCGAUAAGCACAUACAUGCAGUUUUUUCUUUGUAUAUACAAUAAGAUAAAUAGUUCACUGGAAAAGAAAACAGACAAUAAUAAGAGCACAUGCUUAGCUGUUGUGACAGCAAAACUAUGCUGAUAAUGAAGUGGUAACAGGGAGGGUGAACAGAGAGUACUAGAUAGACCAAGGGGAAAUGGAGAACAGAGGAGGGGGAGCAGAAAUCAAUUGCAAGCAGGGAGGCCAGCAGCAGCUAUGCGGCGUGCCACGGCCGAGAUGAAGGAGACGACGGUAGCGUCCAGCACCAGAGAUCCGACAGGUAUCCUGCGUGGUAGUGAGGUUGUAUGCGGGUCUACGCAUUGCCUCCGCCCCUCGGCGUCCGGGCCACGAUCUCCAUCGCCUAGCUAACGCUCAUCACAACAUGGGGCGGGCUCUCCUCUGCAGCCGCAACUGCAAGGAGGGAGUCAGCGACAGCUGCGGCUGUGAGGAAGGGGGCGACGGGUUCCGCCGAUGCGAGCAGAGAAGGCCGAUUUUCAGGAGACACCUCAUGACGCUGCCAGAGAAUCAGUCAGGUCAUACUCUAUAAAAAAAGAUGUAAAACGUAAAAUAGUGCAAUUGUCUCAGGAUAUACACGCAUUACAAAUACCUACAGAGACAAACAUUUCACUCCACACCAGAAGGUCUAUCUACAAUAAUAUACAGGCCAGUAUAUAAAGUUCCCCACUUAACUGAUGCUUAGAUGGAUUAUCACGAAGAACAACAUAUCGUUGGACUUGAGGCACGUCUAACGUGGCAAACCAGCAGUCGAGAGGAACUCUUGCUCCAGACUGUAGAACUUUUUGCUACCUUGAGAUGAGGAAAGUUCAGAUUUUUUCCCAAAAUCAAUGCCUGAUAACUGAUAGCUGUUUAUAUCACCUUUCAUAAGCAAGGGUUGCCUCUCUUCAUCUUUUCCAGCAGCAGGUUGAUUGGACUCUGCUCGUUUUGUCCUCAGAAAUUGUAGUGCCAUCUCCACUUGCUUCAUAGUAGGUCUUUGGUCACUUUGGAGUCUCACGCACAUCUCCACAAGAGAUGCAACACAAUUUAUUUCUUCUUCAGACGCUUCCUCAAGAACUUGAGGAGCUACUAUUUCCGUAAUAGGCCUAUUCUUCAUCUCCCACAUAAAGUAGUUAGACAAGUUUUGCUUUGUGCCCGACUCACUUGUAAGAAUAGGCUCCUUUCUUACAAGCAAUUCCAAGAGUACCACACCAAAACUAUAAACAUCACUCUUUUCAUUUAAUUGCCCAGUAUGGUAAUACUCUGGAUCUAAGUACCCAAACGUUCCUUGGACAUUGGUAACUACAUGUGUUUGAUCUAUUGGAACCAAUCUUGAAGCACCAAAAUCUGACACUUUAGCGGUAUAGUUGGAGUCAAGGAGAAUGUUGGAUGACUUCACAUCACGAUGGAAAACUGAUACUGAAGCUGCAGAAUGGAGAUAGGAAAGAGCCCCAGCAGCUUCGGCCGCAAUCCGGAGGGAGCCAUCCCAUGACAAAACUAAUUCGUUACUUGAACCACCAUGGAGGAAGUCAUAAAGUGAGCCAUUAGGGAUAAAAUCAUACACCAGUAGUGGGACCUCGGUCUCGAGACAACAUCCAAAUAACUUAACAAUAUUCCUAUGGUUUAUUUGAGAAAGAAUUGCAACCUCAUUUAUGAACUGAUUAAUCUCACCUUCCUCAAUAAUUUUAGACCGCUUUAUUGCAACCACACGUUGGUCCGAUAAGAUGCCUUUGUAAACCGUACCAUGUCCACCCCGGCCUAGGAUACGUGUGGAAUCAAAAUUAUUUGUUGUCUUUUCAAGCUCCUCCAGAGAGAAAAUCUUUGUCUUUUCACUAGCAUUUUCAUCAGAUAAUAUUAGUUGUUCUAGGAGUAGGCCCUGGUUUCUACGGAAAUACAUCCUACGCAGUCGUUUUUGGAUGUUUCUUUUCCAUUGACGAGUGAGGUAUAUUCCACCAACACUAAGAAGCAGAACUGUAAAACCGCUGCACAUACCGAUAAUAACACCUGAAAAAUUGUACCUAUGAGUUCCAUUUUAAUACAAACUAUAAAUAAUAGGGAAAUUUGUCUACAGGACACUAAAAAAUACAAACUUUUCUAUAGGACACAGCAGCAAGUUUUAUUAUCUGUAGGACACCGUCAAGUGUCCUCGAGAUAACAAACUGAGUGUCAUAUUGACAAAACCAGGUAAAUGUAGUGUUCUGUAGAUAAAUUUCCACUAACAAUAUCUCAAAAAAUAUACUUCUUACCUAAGAGAGCAUUUUGUUGUUUCAUUGACGAGCACUGUAAUUUGGUUGGAUCAUAUACUGUCUUCUCAGGGCAUGGGGUACAGUAGAAGCUUCCUAAAGUAUUGUGGCACGUUCCUUGACAUCUGUUUGGUUGUAUACACUCAUUAACAUCUGCAAAUUAAGCACAUGUAUCUUUUUUAGGUAGCCAGAAUUUGCUAAAACCUUUCAUAGUUUACUGAUAUAAUCAAAUGUAAAACCAAAGGAAUAAUUACUUCCCUACUUCAAGACGCCACAUGCACCAUAAUGUUGUAUAUCAUCUUCACAUUAUUAAGACAUCUAUCGAAAAGUUCAUAUACUCCCUCCAUUUAUUUUUAUAAGACGUGAUAUGACAUGGCACGGUCUCCCAAAUUACACUUUGAUCAUUAAUUUAUCUUAUCUUAUAUUAUUUAUAGUUAUAAACUUAUAAUUAUUGCAGACUACAUUUGAUUACAAAUCCAACCAUGUCAAUUUUACAUCAUAAAAAUAAAAAAAAAAUAUUUGUUAAAUUAUUGGUCAAAGAUAGCAAUGUUUGAAUCUAGCUAUGCACGUACACUUUAUAAACAUAAAUGAAGGAGUAUACACCAUCAUUAAAUGCCUCAGGUAACAACUAUACUAUACCAUUGACAAAUUAGUUAUUUAGACAAUGCAAAUAUCGUAUUUUUUGUCAUCCAUAUGUAAUGCAUGGCAGUUCAUAACUUCAGUACAAGGUAAAUUCUGAAUAAACUAUAAAUUGUAAUAUUUUACGAACACAAUAUUUAUGCAUAUAUCUUUUAAACUGACAUGGAUACUUGGGAAAAUUAAGGAAAUAAUGAAUUCAAAAGCCACCCCUGAUCUAGCCACACAAUAGAACGUUGCAACACAAAAGUCGCACGUUUUUUGUGUGAAAUACCUACAUGUGUGGUUACUAAGCUUUAAACACAUGACCGCCCCUCUAAAACGACCCCAAUUAGAAUCCACAGUGUAAAACAUUGUCAUCUGGUAUGAGUAAAAAGUUUACUACACAACUGAACUAGUUGGCCUAGGCAUUUCUGAUCUUUAACGCAUGGGCUGGGCAAUAUGUAUAAGAUGGCUGUGGUUACAAAACACAGAACACAAUAGGCUUUGGUCCAUAUUUCGAAUACAUGUACAUCAUUGUGUUCAAGCAUUCUUCUCCAAGGCUAUUGGUACUAAGGUUGGAUAUUGUGCGCACACUCUUGUUUGGAAAGAGAUAUGGCUUCAUGGGCAUAUAAUCUCUCUUCCACCUUAUCUCUUUGCUUUGGUGGCCAAGUGAAGGGCUAACAAGCAAACUAUAUUGGAGGCUCUUACUGAUAAUGCCUCCAUUGCUGACAUGCAAGGGGCCCUUACAGUGGGUGUAAGUGCUGGAUAUUUGGACCUUUGGGAUCUCAUCCUCAGGCUGUGUUGUUGCAGCCUGCUAGUGUGCAGGAUAAACAUGUUUGACGCCUAUCUUCUUUAAGGGAUUAUUCGGCUAAGUCAGAAUAAGAGGGAUUUUUUCGAGGUGCGGUUCAGUUUGAACAUUGGCAGUGUAUUUGGAUAUGUCACUUCUUCAUAUGGCUUGUAGCAUAAUCCCUCCAUCCCAAAAAGAAUACCAUCCUAGAAUCAAAUUUUGUCCCAAAAAGAAUGCAAUCUGGGAUUUAAGCAUCGUGCAUGCAUAAUAUAGUACGCUAAUCUAGCUCGUGCAUGCAUGAUUAAAUAGAAAUGGAUUGCCUCCAUCUUCUCUAUGCAAACACAACUAACUAAAGGCACAUGCGUCUUUUUCAUUCACCCCUAAUUUGUAUGAAAAAUUCCACGAUGUUGUUCAUUUUCGGAUGGAGGGAAUAUGUGAUAGAUGUUGGAUGGCUGAUCGCCUUACUUGUUGAAGCUUACAGCAUCCUGAGCACUAUCCUCUCUGUGACCAAGAGGCGGGAACAAUUAACCACUUGCUUGUACUGUGAUUUUGCCCAACAGUUUUGUUUCUGUUCUACAGAAUGUUGGCCUACAAAGCUUGACUCGGCAACCUGCUGAAUCUUCCUCUAAUGGCUGCUGGUGGUCGUGGAGUAAUGAUUUGGUUGGACUGGCAAGUACUACAAGAAUUAAAUUCCAUCACUAUUCUAGGGGCUUGGUAUCCAUGGAAACACAUGAAUCAGUGUGCUUUUUAUGGAGGAUCAAGUUAAGGGGCUCUCUCUCUUAUUUGCCCCGAGCCCGAAAAUGUAAUGAUGAGCUUAAGGUCAUAGUGGGUUCUCUUUUAGUUUAAAAGGUGUGCAUGUUUUCCUUUAAAUAUCUAUGGUUUGUGGUGCAUGGUGUUGUAUGUGUUUAUCACACACUAUAUAUCCUUCUUAAUAUAAUGAUAUCCAGCUUUCAUACAUGUCCUAGAAAAACAACUUUAAAUGAAAAAUAUCAACUGCGAGAACGUAGAUCUCGUUGAUACUUAUAAUUUUCAUAUAGAGUUUAUUUUAUCCAUCAGAGUCUAUAUGGAAAAUUAUAAAUUUUUUAAAUAAGAUAAAAUUCAAAUUAUACGUAGGAAAAUAUGUGGGCUGGCUCAUGGAGGUAUCAGUGGCAGUGAUGAGGAGAAUAAUACCACCGGUCCAUAUCUUUGACCAGCUGUGAUUUUGCUGCCUGCAGGACAGCAGUUACCAAAAAUCACAAUUUCUGUAGUAGUAUUAAGGACAAAAGUCGCACAUAUAAUCGUGAACAUAUUUUUGCUGGUGAAUAACCCAUAAGGGCUUUGUCUGGUACAACUUUCUUAUUCGUGUUGGUAUUUGGCUCCAAACUUUACUAUUACGGAUGAGCGCGCUGCUAGAAAAAAUGUUUUGUUGUAGUAUCUAGUUGAUACUAGAAACAUUUUAGGUAUGUAGUUAAGUCACACUUAAAAAUAACAAUUUCCAAUAUAAAGAUAUGUAUUUAGCAUAUAGGAUCAUAAUUUUGUACGGGAAGGAGAGUUUAGUUACCUUCGCAACCACUAUGGAGGUAUGGAUUUCCGUGGUACCCGUAGGAGCAAUUGCAUCGGUAACCAACAUAGUCACUUGUAGAAUUAACUGGAAUGCAAUUGCUAUUUGCGCUAACACAUGCAUAUCCAGAGCUAUUUGCCUGUGCCUCUUGACAAGUUAGAUUCGCAACAACCCAUUUCAAAGAAACUGACCCACCUGAGCUAACAAAAAUGCCAGGGCCGUCGUCAGAAAAAUAUCUAACUGAUCCUUCAUCAUCAUCAGGGAUUGUGUACUUGAUAAGCCCUUCGUUAAUAUUGAUCUCUGUCACAAGAUAGUAUUCAUCCAGUUGCAGGGUAGAAGUUGUCACAUUUGUGCAGUUGAGAAAAAACUGUUCUCUACCAAAACAACCUUCUUCAAUCCCAAAUGGAAAAGGAACCGUGAUGUUUCCACAAACACGGCUGCAAUUGGCUUUUUGUUGCGCUGCAGGAUUGUAACCUAAUUCCAGUAGAAAAGAAUUCACAAUGAGUACUAUAGAAAAGUAGUACUUUUUCUUUUGGCAGGUAAUACCUUUAUCUAAUAUGUUAAUAGAUGCUAUAGUGUGACCCAGAAUGGGAUGAUUACUAUCUAGCUAUGUUGAAUAUAAGCCACCACAGUAGUUUAAAGAUAAAGAAAAUCUGGGACAAGUUCCUCCAAAUUCUCUUACUACUUAUUUUAGAGGAUCCAAAGUUAUAACUUUAAGGAUAUAGUUACCGACUCACGAAACCUACCGCACUUUGUAUUCUGCUCAACACACCCUGACACCCAUUAUGGUUCUCUGGCAUUUUUGACAACUGUGUCAAUCCUAGGAGAUUUUUUAAUUCGGAAAGAAAAUGAAUGGAAGAAAAGUAGUACAUACUGAAUAUCGAUUAUGCAAAUACGUAAAGUAUUGUAGUUUUGUUGGUCAUAUGAGUGACUAUGCAGUUGGCAUAUCUACAACAUCUGUAGAAAGUCAAGCAGGGCCAUUUAUAGUUUGCUGAAUUUCUACGGGUUCCUUUUAACUGCCCUAUAUAUUGUACCAUUUUUUGAAGACGUAAACACCGCUUCUAUUAAUAAAUAAUAAAUCUAUAUAUCUGAAUGGUCUCGGGCUUAAGUUCUCAAUACAGAAAUCGAGUGUAAUGAAAGAAGAAGCUGGCUUUCUUACAACUGGGUAGUGUUAAUACCUCUGUCUCGCGAGCAGCCACUUUUUAAAUAUGGGUUGCCCACGUAACCUGAAUUGCACUUGCAAUAAUACCCAAUAUACUCAAAAUCAUAAGGAUCGAUACAUUGGCUAUUCUUGCCAACACAAGCAAAUUUUGCAUUAUUCUCCUUGGCACUCGCACAGUUUGGUUGAUCGACGAUGUUCCAGGAGAGGUCAGCAUCAACUGUAGUUACGUUGAUGUAAUCCCACAAAGAGCUCCGAUUAUAAUUUACCUCUGGACUGCUUUCUCUGUGACGGACAAAUGUGAGAUUAAAUGCUCGAACACUUGUCUCCCAUCUGAACGUGCAACAUCCUGUGCCGUUGCAGUUUUGCCUAGCCGCCAUGUCCGUGAUAUCACUGGUAGGACAUUUAAGUGUGCAGACCGGCGAUGUUCUAUUCAUAUACCGAUCACUAUAAUAUAUGUCAAAGUCGCAACCAGUGAUAUUCAUCGAGAUAUAAGAAAUUGUAAAUGAAUUCCCAGGAGAACUCCACGACAUGUUGUAUGUGUGAACACCAUAACUCACUGGGAUAGUACUAUUUGGAAAAUUGAUCUGAAUAUGUGGGCUCGAACUGUAGAGAUACCCUGCAUCCACUGUGACAAUAUUGUAGGCAACCUGGGUGAUGCCAUCAUGUAGAAGGAGAGUUGGGGGCUGAGCAGACUCGUUGCAGGUAAGCUCGAAGUCACCACCACGGGAACAACGAGGCCCGAUGCCAAAAGGAUAGCUGAAGGUCAAGUCUCCACAGCUCGUCUGGCAACCGGAGAGGGUGGGGAUGGUGGAAACCGUGCCAUUGCUCUCUGCUUGGCUUCCCAGCACGACGGAUACCAGCAUCAAUAGUUGAAUCCCCAGCAGUGAACGGAGGAGCAAUAAUGGAAACAUCCUCCACGCCGGGACUUUUGUAUGUUAUGUGGUUUGCAGUUUCAAUGAUGAAGGAAUAGCUCGAAAACAGGGUAUGCAUCAUUAUAUAGAAUUAUGUUGGGGCAACUUAGUCAUUUCCAUUGACUACACAGUAUAAUUGUGGGGCUAAAGGUUGUCGUCUUUUUUCUUUUUUCUCCACAUGCAUUUUCCAGUUGUCAAAUUUGGCCGGUUCGAGAACAAUAGUCUACUGCUUGCCUUUUUGGGUCCACAACACCAAAAUAUGGAGGCCCUAACAAAAAGAUCAAAAUAUCAAGGGAUUUGAUACUUUUGUUUAACGAGAAAACAAAUAUGUGGAUAACCCUCCAAAUCCAACCUAGUGCCUACUUGUAACAUAAAUGCAGUGUCGAUCUUGCCAAUCUCAACUAGCCCCUUAAUUUGAUUUUCUGACUCCUCUUAUGAUUUCUCACAUAUAUAACUCGGUGGGUGAGAAAUCAAAAGAACGAUUUAGAUUCGCCGUAUGAAACACGUGGUAUCCAUCGGACCAGGUAUGCACGCAGUUAGAUUUGGAGCAGUCAUACAUGUAAGUUUUUUUAUGUGUGGCGUAGCCUUUGUUUUCCAUACACUUCAGUGUCACAACUAUAAUUAGCGAUAUGCAAUUAUAUUAUCUGCAUUCAAAUGUAUUGGCAAAAAAUUUGUUUUUUCCUAGACUUGAAUUAACUUUGUUGGGAUCUGGACCAAUUAAGAAAGUCCCUACACGAUUUAAAUUAAAAACCCAAUUAGCUAUUAUAGAGAAUCAUUUUCGUAAAACUUCAUAUAUAUGGUCAGUCAACUAUUAGCGUGACAAAUCAGCAAAACAUUAUUUUCCACACAAGACAUGUAUGGACGACAAUGAUGAAUAAUUAGUGCGAGAUGUCCAUACGAGACCAAUAAGAGGCUUGAUGCUCUUGUCGUUGGACCCAUAACACCAAGUCGUCCAAUGUUAGUCAUCAGUUAGUUGCAUUGUCUCGCUCCACGCGCUAAAACUAUUCUAACCCGUAGAAUGGGGCAGCAGCAUUCAUGAUUUCGACACCUUCAUUAGAGGCAGUAAAUAGCAUUGGACUGAUGUGUGGUACAGUUGUUAACAAAGAAGACGUCAAUUCGAAAAGGGACUAGAUUUUUCCAUGGAAACAAGCUGGAAUUCCAAUCUCCAGUAGGGAUGUUUGGAUACUAGGUGCUAAACUUUAGCAGUGUCACAUCGGAUGUUCGGAUGCUAAUUAGGAGAACUAUGAGCUAAUUAUAAAAAACUAAUUGCAGAACCCCUGUGCUAAUUCGCGAGACGAAUCUAUUAAACCUAAUUAAUCCAUCAUUAGCAAAUGGUUACUGUAGCACCAUAUUGUCAAAUCAUGGACUAAUUAGGUUUAAUAGAUUCGUCUCGUGAAUUAGACUCCAUCUGUUCAAUUAGUUUUGUAAUUAGCCUAUGUUUAAUACUUCUAAUUAGCAUCUUAAACAUCCGAUGUGACAGGUGCUAAACUUUAGCGGUGGGUAUCCAAACACCCCUUUAGUGGGCGAGUUAGGCAUUGAGUCCACGACUCAGAACAGUCUACAAAAAGACUUGCUUGGCCAACAACGUUGACGGAUUUUUGUAGCCGUUAUAUAACUAUUUUCACUAGAGGUACGUGACUGUUAUUUUGACGCCCAUUACCCGCUGGUAAAGCUGGUAACGGACUACGUUAAUGCCCAUUACCUACAACAUAGAACUUGACACAGCUGCUCCAGCAGGCACAUGCGGCUAUGCCCGCGACUGUAGUGGGCUAGCUGCCUUCGAUUGGUUGGCUUGCUAGCUGGUAGGCAGAAACUUUUGUCCAGUCCCCACCGGCUGCGUCAAUAUUGCUUGGCUGGUUGCUGGUUUCCGUAGCGAAUCAUGCAUUUACAAAGUCGUUAGGUACUUAGAAUGUUGACAUCAUGGACCCUCUCCCAGAUACAGGUCUUUUUCCUUAAAUAUUUCCUCGUCGCCGUGAGGCGAUCUUGAAGCUGCCUGAUGCUCCUUGCUCUGAGGAACAUGCUUGGUAUUUCAAUAACAACUUGUAUGUCUCUCAUGCAACACCUAUAAUUAAUGUUUCUUGUUUUCGUCCAGAAUGACCACGCUCCGUUUGCUGCCACUGCCCAUGUGCUGAUUAAUUUUGCUAGUUUACAGUGCAACAGAGGUAUAUGUUUCGCAAACAAAGAUGAAACUUCUCUACAUAUCCAUAGUAGACAUACGGGUAAAGAAACAUGCAUGUAAGGAAAAUGGCGGUCAAAGUCAUUGUUCUGAUUUUAGGGAUUGAGUGACAUCAAUGUAAAUAGGACUGAUAUGUUUGUCAAAGUCUUUCAUCCUUGUAGGAUCUUUACCAUGUCCAUGUCCAUGCCCUAGGCCACGGCCGUGCCAUGUCCCCUCCAUUGGCCGACACGCAUACACUCGUGCCGGUGAGUGUAACAACCUAAUUUUCAAACUUUUCAAUUAAUAAAAUUUGUUAGAAUUUAAUUGCACAUGACUAAGGAAUUUUAAGGUUGCAUUUAAAUUUUCUUUAGCAUUUAAAUCUUUCUCAAAGUAAAUUAACGAAUCAUAGGAGUUCAUUGGCAUUAUUUUUUUUGGCUGCUUGAAUUCAAAUUCGCAUUUGAAUUCAUUUGUUUGAAUAUUUUUAAACAAUAGGAAAUCAUUUUCUUUUCCUAUCCCUUUCCUUUUCCUCUUUCGGCCCGUUUCAUCAGCGCAGCAAUAGCCCCAGGUCGGCCCAGCAGCGCCCUCCGCACCGUUCCGCUUCCAGCCCAGCUCCGUAGCGCAGCCGCCUCGACCCAUCUUCCCACGUCAGCCCACUCCCGUGCCGCCUCCGCUCCCGCUGCUGACAGACGGGGCCCACCUGUCAUUCCUCUCCUCGCGCCGCACCUGAACCGGACUCCAGUCUGAGUUCCGGACGCUCCCGUCCGCCCGUGCCUUCCUUGGCCUGCACGCCAAGACGCCCUCCCAGGCCUAUUUAACCUGCCACCGCACCCCCUCAACCCCACCAAGAAAACCCUAAGCUCCCACGCCCUAGCUCUCGAGUUGUCGCAACCCUAGCUCGCGCUUGCCGCCAAUGACCCGCGCCGCCGUUGCCUUCCAGUCAGCAGAAACACCACCCAGAGCACCGCAAGGAGGUGGCGAAACCUCCCGUGAAGAUCUCGUGCACUCUUGUGCUUCCUUUCGCGUGCACGAGCUUGCUGUAGUUGAGCUCCUCCGCUCGAGCCGCCCCACCACGUCGCCCUUCGCCUCCGUUGCCUUGGCUGCCGUGGGAACCACCUAGAUCGUUUUGCAAGCUCCCCAGCUUCAUCCCAAGCUAGUCCGCAUCGAGUUUUGUGGCUGGGAACUCGAGCUUUGCUCGAUUCCGGUGAACUUUGCCACCCAGUGCCGUCGAGCGCCACCGCCCACCGCCUCGUAGCGCCACUAGUCGCCCGAUCCUGAUCGAACGGCUCAGAUAAGAUCUGACUGGAGUCAAUCCGGCCACGUACCGGUCAACCUUGCCACGACGUUGCUCUUUUGCUAAAGAGAUCCUGAGUUAUCUUAUUUUUGCACCCGAGGUCCAGUGCAGUUCAAAAGUAAUUAGAUCUAGGUUGUUUUUCUUCCAUUUUAGCCCCUGCUUUUCUUAGUUUUUAUGCUUGCCAUCCUAGAUUUGCUCUUUUACACUAUAGACCUUUGGUUUCUACGCAUAAUGAGAUUUUAGCCCUUGGUUUAUUUAAGUUUAGCCCCUGGAAGUUUACUUUUCUUGCAGAUAAGCCCUUACAUCUUGUCUAGGCUAUAUCUUUAGCGUUUUAGAUCCGUUUUGAAUGAUUCUUGCGUCUGUGAGUUUGUCUUAAGGCGUAGACUAGUUUUAUGAACUUUUUUUUCCUUGUUGCUACUGUUUGGUGUAUUUUUUUAUUAUUUUAGUUCUUUGUUUGCUUGUAUGUACUUGUUUGAUGCAAGUAGAAGGACCGCAGUUCGAGGGAUUCGAAGAUCAAGCCUUUGAAGACUUCAAGCAACAAGAGCAAGUUCACGAAGGCAAGUCAUGCCCUUGAUCACAAUUUGAUCCUAUGCAACCUUUACUUUUAUGUUCAAUACAAUAUGCUAUGCACAUUAGGUUAUAAACAUGAUAGUUCCUAUAUAAGGUUUGCCUUGUUUUAUCCUUAUGCCUUGAUCAACCUGGGUUUAUAUCAUGUUGGAUAGUUCUUGCUUAGUUGCUCUAUUUGGGUACGAUGGUAUUAAUGAACCAAUGUUUAAACUUGUUUUAUUUAUGUUGUAUCUUUCAUUAAUACAAGAUCACCAUGCUUAAUUGGAACAUGGAGAACCCCCUAGGAAAACAGUACAACCACAAGAACUACAUGGCUCUGGUGUUGGCUAAUUAAUUAGAUACUCUAGUCUGGGUAACCUUAUCGAAAGGUCAAGAGGGGAGGCAUUGAUGGGGUAUAACCCGGCCCUCUGGCUGAUCUGCUCUAUGGUAGCUUCAUAGUUUUGAGAGAGGUUUAUGCUCUGCUUCGACUUGAAACCUUAGUGGGUUACUAUUUACUCGGGAAUCUUUGUAAAGGCCUCAUAGCGUCCCUAUGCAAUCACACCUCGGAAGUGUGGUAUUGUGCUUGGCUGGCACAACAUGGUUGGAUCUAAAGUUCUUUUGAAAUUUUACGUGACUUGUGGGUAAAGAUGUACAACCUCUGCAAAGUGUAAAACUGAUCGAUCAGCCGUGCUCAAGGUUAAGAGCGACCUGGAUCCUCACAUGAUUAAUUUAUCAGGAGUUGAAUUAAAUUGAAGUUAUUUAUUUAUUGUUAUCUUUAUUUAUGUUCAUGUUUAAUUGGGGUGGUAUAAACUUAUACUUAGUAAUUGCUAAUAAAACUUUACUAGCCAAUUAAAAUGCUGAAAUAUUAUUAGACCUUAGCCCAUCCUUGAAUGGCCUUACACUACACAUUCCUCAUGCUUGUUGAGUACCAACCAUAAGUGUACUCACACUUGCUAAAAUCACUGCUCACACCAAUUCAAUCUCGAGGAGGUCCUUCAAGACUUUGAGGAGUUCUAGGAGAAUGUGUGCCACUAAUCAACUGCCUGUGGAGUUGUCGUCAUUGUUGGAGUUUUGCUACUAGAAUAAAGACUCAUUUGCUAUUUUAUUUAAAGACCUUUGGUCAUGUAAUAAAUUCAAUACUCUCUUUAUGUUUUGGCAUUGUCUAUGGUACUUACUGAAGUCAUUGCAUGUGUAAAACUUAAUCCUAGCACACAUGUAAUUUAUUCAUCUAGUUUUGCCUUUAAAACCGGGUGUGACAAAAGUGAUAUCAGAGCUGAGUUGACUGUAGGACGUUAUCCUAGUUACAAAAUGGUCGAAUUUAAGGAUUAUAAUGCUUUGGUAGCCAUUCUUACUUAAUGUUUUCUUUAAAUCUACUUUAAAAUGCUUAUCCUUUCUAUUAUCCUAUCUCCAUUGCUCUACUUGUUUCUUUAUCUUGUUUUCUACAUUCUUUACACUCUAUGCUUCUUGAUGAUCUUGAUGAUGAGGUCCUUCAAACUCGCCCUAUGAUCUCGAUGAUCACUCCUUCGCCCUAUGUUAGUGUUUUAUAUCUUGGUGGGGGAUUGUCGGACCUAGAACUCGAAGGUAGAAGUGAGAAUACAAGACACAGAUUUAUAUAGGUUCGGGCCGCCAGAGUAGCGUAAUACCCAACGCCCUGUUUGGGAAGUUGUAUAUUACGCCCUGCGCUUAGGUGUUACAUAGCCUGAUUGUUGGCUAUUGAUGAUGGUUCUAUGAGGUCUUGGCCUUUGUUGAUCUGAGCUCUGACGAUCUAGAUACCCCUACCCUCCUUUAUAUACUCCACGAGGCGGGAUAACUAGUUGGUUAUAAGGAGGAGUCGUAGUAGGAUUACAUGGUAUGAGCAGGUAUUAGGGAUCUAUCCCUGACAGGUGGAUAUCCUAUUUGCUAGUCUAUGUCGUGCUGAGUUUGAUCGUGUCGAGGAUCUAUAUCUUGCUCAUGAUAUUUGGUCCAAACUCUAGAGUUUCCAUGAGGGGAACAGUUAGGUGAAGGCACGACUCUUUGAGACUUACCGAUGUGAGUAUGAAAACUUUAUUCAUUUGAUCAGUGAGUUAGCUGAUGCUUUGUUCCAGCGCUUUCUUACUAUUGUGAACAAGAUGAGAGCAAACAUCACCAUCUUACCCUACACUGAUCAUGAUAGAGCUUUAAAGCUCCUGCAUGCUUUGGACCACGAGGUGUGGGUACGAAGGUUGAUGCUAUCAUCGAGUCCACAAGCUAUGAAACUCCUGCAGUUGAUGAACUUUUUGCCAAGCUGAAAUUGACAGAGGUUGACAAGAGGCUCCGAGCUAAACAAGGGAGUCCUACUAAUCCUCAUAGUAUGGCUCUUGUGUUAGGCUCUAGAUAGUCUAUGUCUUUGGCUAACCCUUCCACUAUGUCCUUUGCUUUGUCUUCUUUGUUGUCUGUUUUAGAGCAGUUGGAGGUUCUUGAGGAUGAGGAGCUCGCCUUUAUCAUGAGACGGUAAUCGCAAGAACCGGUGAAGGAACAACAACAACUGCUUCGAGUGUGGCAAGUCAGGACACUUCGCCGCCGACUGCCCCGACAAGAACAAGUCCAAGAACGGGUACGACUACAUCAAGUACAAGUACAAGGACAACGAGAAGAAGAAGAAGUAUACCGGUCGUGAGAAGAACGAGCACUGCAAGAAGGCUAAAGCACGUGCCUUCAUCACCUCCCUCAGCAAGAACGGGUACUAGUUCCUUGUAUGGAAUUCACAUAACAAAUUUGCAUAACAUUUCAUUCUUUACAACCUAAAAAUGGGCUUCAUUCUUUUUUGCUAUAGUUUCUGAUGAUUAUUGUUACUUUUUUCUGUCUAUAUUAUUGUCACUCAAGCCCGCAUCUUAUAUAUGAAUGCAUGCACUGAAAACAAAGUUAAGGUGUCUGUGUGUUGUUUAUACAGAGAGUGGAUCGAGGUGUCUGGCAUAAUAUUUUUUUGACAUUCCAAUUUUCUUUCCUUGUAUGUUAUAUACAAUAGUUCUAGUUAUUGCAAUGCAUGGGAGCAGCAAAACUGCUAUAUUUUUUUUAUUACUUUCCCAAGUUCUUAAAAUUAUCACUUCAUGCUAACAGAAUUUAUGGUUUUAAGCUACACCUGGAGCAGCAUACUGUGGGUAGAGCUGUGCUACCGAAACAUAGCUGGCUGGAAAUUUGUACUGAGGUAGGAAAUGAGGUAGCUUGAGUCUGUAAAAAACAUCAUCAGGCUGUUUUGCUUUCGAAUUAAUGUGGCUCCAGUUCGUGUCAUGCCUUCUUGACUGAUUGGAUGAACCCAAUUGCUUGGGAAUGUUAAAGAUAAAGAGUUUGGUUGUAAUUGGAAUAGGAUAUCUGGAAGAUUAUCUUUGGGCGGCUGCUAUUCUAGUUGUAACAGAUAUGUAUUUUUAAAUUAGUUUGGCCAAAGAUAUCUCCUAGAGAGGUCCUAUAUAUUGUAAUUUCCUGUGUGCUAUUUUGCACAAUAUUAUAACACGCAACCGUUGCACCCUUAAGGUUGGGGCAACAUUCCACGCAGCGCAAGCACCUCUGUUACCUUUCAUGGUAAUCGGAGCAUAGAAUUAGAUCCAUGGCUUCAAGCUCAAGUGUCUCCAAUCCCCUACUCGGCGUUCAGAUCAUAGAGAAGCUGAGUAAGAGCAACUAUGCGCUCUUGAAGGCGUAGGUGCUCACCGCCCUACGUGGUGUUCGGAUGGAAGGCUUCAUCACCGGCAAGACCGGCGUCCCCUCACCUGAGAUCGAUGACAAGCUGUCUGACGGCAAGAUCGUCAAGGUGCCAAAUCCAGCAUAUGAAGAGUGGUAUGCCCGGGAUCAACAGGUCCUUGGGCUCAUCUUCUCAAGCGUGGGGAAGGAUGCCCUCACGCAGAUUGCUGCUGCAAAGAUGGCAGCACAGGCAUGGCAAGAGAUCGAGAACAUGUUCACCACCCAAACUAGGGCUCGGUCGAUGAAUGUGCGCCUAGCAUUGACAACUACAAAGAAAGGUACAUUGUCAAUUACUGAAUAUUAUGCCAAGAUGAGAUGGAGGCCUCUGGAAAGCCGCUAGAUGAUGAAGAACUUGUCGCGUAUAUCGUCAACGGAUUGGAUUCAGAAUUCAAUCCUGUGGUGUCGACGCUCGUCACAAGGGUCAAACCGAUCUCGGUUACUAAGCUCUACUCCCAGCUACUUAGUUUCGAGAAUAAGCUUGAACUCCAAGAUGGCUCAGGAUCCUCCAUCAACAACAUUGUUAGGGGCAGUCGAGGCUCUUCUGGAGGUCACAGUGGUGGGAGCCGUGGCCGUAGCUCUAGGCAUGGUGGCCAUGGUGGUUUUGGUCGCGGAUGCGGGAACCAGAACUAGCCGCGGCUCAAUCCAGGAAGCCAGCACCGCCCAUCUGGAAGCUCCAACGAUAGUCGCCCUCUCUGCCAGGUCUGCUUCAAGAAAGGGCACCUCAUCUCUGAUUGCUGGCAUCGCUACGACGACACUUACGUCCCCGAUGAGUGCCUCGUUGCUGCUGCCUUCAACAACUCCUACAGUGUGGAUACUAAUUGGUAUACCAACAUUGGGGCUACGGAUCAUGUCACAAGCGAGCUAGAGAAGCUCUCCUUCCGUGACAAAUACAAGGGAGGUGAACACAUUCAUACAGCAAGCGGCACAGCUAUGGAGAUCAAACAUGUUGGUCAUACUAUUGUUCCAACCUAUUCUAGAGAUUUACAUCUUAAAAAUGUCUUACAUGUUCCUCAAGCUACAAAAAAUCUUGUCUCCGUUCAUCGCCUAGCUAAAGAUAAUUCCGCCUUCAUUGAAUUUCACCCUGAUUAUUUUCUUAUCAAGGAUCAGUCCACGAAGAACGCGAUCCUUAGAAGGAGAUGUCACAAGGGUCUCUACCCUCUUCCUGCAGUGCAUCCAGUCAAGCAGGCGUUUGGAGUUGUCAAGCCAUCCCUUGCACGGUGGCAUAGUCAUCUGAGUCAUCCUGCUUAUCCCAUUGUUAGCAAGAUUGUUAGCAAUAAUAAUCUACCUUGUUUAGUUGAGAAUAAUAAAGAGUCUGUAUGUGAUGCUUGUCAAAAGGCAAAAAGUCAUCAAUUGCCUUAUUCUAGAUCAUCGAGUGUCUUUAGUUUUCCCUUAGAACUUAUUUAUUCAGAUGUCUGGGGUCCUGCACCCACUUCUACUGGAGGAAAGAAAUAUUAUGUUAGUUUCAUUGAUGAUUAUAGCAAAUUCACAUGGAUUUAUUUGCUCAAAUUUAAAUCCGAGGUUUUUCAAAAGUUUCAUGAGUUUCAAAGUCUAUUUGAAAGAAUGUUCGACAAAAAAAUCAUUGCUAUACGGACUGGAGGUAAGUAUCAAAAACUCCACACCUUUUUUGAUAAAGUCGGCAUCUCCCAUCAUAUUUCAUGUCCCUAUGCGCAUCAAUAGAAUGGUGCAAUAGAAUGCAAGCAUCGUCAUAUUGUAGAAGUUGGCUUAUCCCUUCUUGCCCAUGCAUCUAUGCCUUUGAAAUUUUAGGACGAAGCCUUCCUAUUAGGUACAUAUCUCAUAAAUCGAGUUUCUAGCAAAGUUAUUCACCAUGAAACACCUUUAGAACGUCUCUUUGAUCAAAAACUAGAUUAUUCUUCCCUUAGAACCUUUGGGUGUGCAUGCUGGCCCAAUCUUAGACCAUACAACAAGCACAAACUCGAAUUCAGAUCUAAGUAGUGUGCCUUCCUUGGGUACAGUCAACAUCAUAAAGCGUUCAAGUGUCUUGACAUAGCAUCAGGUCGAGUUUAUAUCUCCAGAGACGUCGUCUUUGAUGAGAUGGAAUUUCCCUUCUCCAAACUGCAUGAGAACGUAGGAGCUCGUUUACGCUCUGAAAUCUCCCUCCUUCCCUCCCAUCUUCUCAAUCCUUCUGUUGGGGUGGAACAUAUAGGUGACCACUUGUCUGAUUCUCCUAAUACUACAAAUGAUUCUGGUGAAAUUUGUGAAGAACAUGCUGCACGAAAUAACAGCAACAGAGCUGGUCCAAGCACAGCACACAAAGCUGAUUUAGCGCCGCUUCCAACUGACCAGGCCUCGGGAUCGCCAGGCGUAUCCGCGUGCAAUUCUGCACGUGAGUCCACUCCCACCACGUCACCCCCGAUCGCGCUUGACUCAUCCCUACCUACGCCUGCUCCCGCCUCUCCUCCUGGGCGCCAGUCCGUGCCCGCCAUGUCGGCAUCGCCACACGCUCUGCUCUAGUUGGGCGUGCUGGAGGGGCAUAAUGGCGCCAAUGAUAGUGCCAAUGAUGGCACCAAUGAUGCAGAUGGCAGGUGCAACGGUGAACCUAGAUCUUCUGCACCGAUGGAAGCUGCUGACUCUCCUGUUGAGUCCUCUGAUUGUCCAGUUCCGUCUACACCUAUGCGUCCUACUACCCGUCUACAACGUGGCAUCCGCAAGGAGAAGGUAUACACUGAUGGCACUAUUAAAUAUGGAUUUUUUACAUCAUCUGGUGAGCCGCAUAAUGUUAGUGAAGCUAUGACAAGUGCACAUUGGAAAGCUGCUAUGGAUGACGAAUGUAUGGCACUAAUGAAGAAUAAAACAUGGCAUCUAGUUCCAUCUAAGAAGGGUGUUAAAUGUUAUUGAUUGCAAAUGGGUAUAUAAAAUCAAAAGAAAAGCUGAUGAAAGUUUGGAUAGACAUAAAACCAGACUGGUUGCUAAGGGUUUCAAGCGAAUGUAUGGCAUUGACUAUGAAGAUACUUUUAGUCCUGUUGUUAAACCAGCCACUAUCAGGAUUGUUUUGUCUAUUGUUGUAUCUAGAGGAUGGACCCUCCAUCAACUUGAUGUACAUAAUGCUUUCCUUCAUGGUGUUUUGGAGGAAGAGGUUUACAUCAGACAACCUCCUGGCUAUGAGGACAAAUCUCUGCCUGGUUAUAUAUGCAAAUUAGAUAAAGCAUUGUACGGUCUAAAGCAAGCACCUAGAGCAUGGUACUCCAGGUUAAGUACAAAGCUACAUGAGCUGGGGUUCAAGUCAUCAAAGGUAGACACAUCCUUAUUCUUCUAUAAUAAAGGGGGAGUUAUUGUCUUCAUACUUGUUUAUGUAGAUGAUAUCAUUGUUGCUAGUUCAAGACAGGAGGUUGUGUCGGUUCUAUUAAAGAAUCUCAAUAAGGAUUUCACACUAAAAGAUCUUGGAAAGCUUCAUUACUUCCUCGGCAUAGAAGUGAAUCAGAUCCAUAAUGGAAUUAUAUUGACACAAGAGAAGUAUACGAAUGAUUUGUUACAACAAGUUGGUAUGAAAGAUUGCAAACCAGUUGCUACUCCAUUAUAUACCUCAGAGAAGUUGUCUCUUCAUGAAGGUAAUUUGUUUGGACCGAAUGAUGCCACAAAUUAUAGGAGUGUUGUAGGAGCUUUACAGUAUCUGACUUUGACUAGACCUGAUAUAUCAUAUUCUGUUGAUAAAGUCUAUCAGUUUCUACAUGCACCUAAUAUUGUGCAUUGGAUGGCGGUCAAGAGAAUUCUUAGAUAUCUUAAGCACACGGUCAAGCUUGGUUUAAAGAUUUGCAAGUCUUCUUCUUUGUUGGUGAGUGCUUUCUCAUAUGCUGAUUGGGCAGGGUGCCUAGAUGACAGACGAUCUACUAGAGGAUUUGCAGUAUUCUUGGGGACGAAUCUAGUUUCUUGGAGUGCUCGAAUACAAGCAACUGUGUCAAGGUCUAGCACUGAAGCGGAAUAUAAAGCAAUAGCUAAUGCGACUGCAGAAACAAUGUGGAUACAGACUUUGUUGUAUGAAUUGGGCAUAGAUGUGCCGAGGAUAGCCAAGCUUUGGUGUGACAAUAUUGGAGCUAAGUAUCUUUCUGCGAAUCUAGUCUUCCAUGCUAGAACUAAACAUAUAGAAGUCGAUUAUUACUUUGUAAGAGAAAGGGCGGCUAAGAAACUACUUGAUAUCGAGUAUAUAUCUACAAAGGAGCAGGUGGCUGAUGGUUUCACAAAGCCAUUGACGAUGCGGCAGCAGGAGUUGUUCAAGAACAAUCUGAACCUAGAACGGUUGAGGGGGAGUGUUAGAGAUGAAGAGUUUGGUUGUAAUUGGAAUAGGAUAUCUGGAAGAUUAUCUUUGGCCGGCUGCUAUUCUAGUUGUAACAGAUAUGUAUUUGUAAAUUAGUUUAGCCAAAGGUAUAUACUAAAGAGGUCCUAUAUAUUGUAAUUUCCUGUGUGCUAUUUUGCACAAUAUUAUAACACGCAACCGUUGCACCCUUAAGGUUGGGGCAACGUUCCACGCAGUGCAAGUGCCUCUGUUAUCUUUCAGGGAAGACCUACCAGUCUCUGGCGAAAUCAGUCAGUCUCCUUGUAUUGUUUGCAUUGGCUUGUAGUCCCUCAGUCCAAAAUUACUAUUUUUUUUGGCAUUUGUAGGUACAUAUUUUGAGACGGAAGGAGUAGGUUGGUAGUACAGAGAUUUCUUAUAAUUUUCCGGUCUCCCCUUGGACGUUGAUUGACGCGAACAUGCAUCUGGAAUGCAGCGUCUAAUAUCAGGUCCAAACUGCUACUCAAUCGUUCUAAUAUCAGGUCCAAACUGCUACUCAAUCGUUCACCGGGUAAAGACAUAAUGUGAAGACCGCAUCUAAGUCGUUCAAGGGCCACAGGUCGUCGGCGUUAUUCAAGUGUACGCAGAGACCUUGCUUUCAGGGGAACAUUCAGCUCCAAAUAAACAUGCCUUUCUCAGAGAACAUGUAUGGAAUUCCCAUAACAAUUUUGCAUAACAUUUCAUUCUUUACAACCUGAAGAGCAUAUAUCUUAGAAUACAGACACGUGUUACACAAGAACACAAUUAAAACACCUUCCACGUAUCUACAUAUACUUAAAUAUGCCACUGUUGCGACAAUAGAUGUCACGGAAAUUUUUAUCUUGCAAAUUCUAUGCAGUUAUCUGUCCAUAUUGAUUUCAUCUUGCAAACUCUAUGCUCAUCGAGGCUUUCUUCUGGAGGAUGUAAUAAUCUGUGCUUUCUUCACUAGUAUAGUCACCCGAUGAAUUGUCAGACGACCGUCCCUGCAUCAUGAGUGCACUAACACCAUGAAACCCUUGAGUGCGAAGUGGUACUGGACAUGCCAAUCGCUGGAGUUCCUCUGCUACCUCUCUCAUCAUUGGCCUGUGUUGACCGGUCAUGGCCAAGCACCGACUUGCUACCGCAGCCACUUGAAGUAUUAACUCCAUGUUUUCUUGAUUGUCUAUCUCCCUAUCUAUGAGUUCUGUAAGCUUGCCCUCCUUUACACCUUCCAUGAAGACAAACACGAGGCUUACCUUUGUUUUGGACAGUGCCCUCCUUCGUGUUAAGAGCUCCAAAAGAACAACACCAAAGCUGUAAACAUCACUCUUAUCAGUAAGCUCAAAGUUCAAAAGGUACUCUGGAUCUAAGUAGCCCAUCGUCCCCUACACUACUUGAACAUUUUCAUCAGCUGACCUAAUCAUGGAGCACCCAAAAUCAGAAACUUUUGCAGAGAGAUCAUGGCCUAGAAGAAUAUUAACGGACUUGGCAUCUCCAUGAAAGACAGGGUGGCUAAGAGAAUGUAGGUAUGCAAGUGCUGCAGCAAUCUCAGAGGCAAUUUUAAGACGGACCUCUAGAGUUCUUUUGGACGGAUCAACUUGUGUAUGAAUAAGAUGUUGUAGAGUUUGAUUUGGCACAUAUUCAUACACCAGAACUGGAGCUUCAAACUGCAAGCUGCAACCUAGAAGCUGAACGAUGUUUUCAUGUUUGACUUGAGAAAGUAUAAGAAGCUCCUUACCAAAUUCCAUUCUCCUAUUCUCAUCAAAUCCCUUGCAGAUCUUGAUAGCAACAGGAUUAUUUUCUAAAUCAAGAUUUUGCCUUAUAUAAACAGUCCCCUGACCACCUUCACCAAUGAUUGAGUUUUUGUCAAAGUUGUUGGUGGCCAACUCAAUUUCUUCUUGGUUACACAACUUAAAUGUUUUAUUGCUCGCUACUUUCAUCAUAUCCAUUAGCAAUUUCCCUCCAUUCUGCUGAAAGCAUUCAUCAGUCUUCCUCAUGUAUUCUUGCCUUAUUAUUUGUCGUUUGUGCUUGAUCCAUUCUUUACAAAGAUAAAGUAAUAGACCAAGCAAAACACAGGCAAAAAUUCCUGCAGGUCAGACAUGUAUCUAACUCGUAAGUUGGUGCAAGGAAAAAAUAAAGAAGUAUGGUAACUACUGGUGUACUGGUUGGUUUAUAUAUACUUGUGUCACUUAAAUACAAUAUUCAGUCACUACACAAAUGUGACACCAUGAGGACAGAUUUGUUUCAGCCAUGCUUUCACAGAUCUAAUUGAACAGUACGGAUGAUACGAGUAGUACCUAUUGGGAUUGUGACUUCUAGAGGAAUUGAGUGGUCCUUCUCACAUCUGUAUGCGUUGCCUUUGGGGUAAUGCGGAGGACAAAUGCAUUGAAAUCCUCCUUGAGUAUUCUUGCAAGUUCCCUUCACAGAGCAAGGGUAUUUCUCCAGAUUGUUAUUACAUUCAUCAACAUCUGCAAUGUUAGCAGUGGUAUAUAAAAUAUCGAGUAAAGAUUUCCAGUGGCAGUAGAUUAUCUCAUGACCUAAUCAAAGGCUAAAACAUUACCUCUCUUAUUUAUACAUACAUAUCACGCAAAAGGAAUUGCACCUAUAGAUUUCAUUACCUUCGCAUCCGUCAAGAAGGUAUGGAUUGCCUUGGAACCCUUUGGCGCAGUUGCAGAUGUAGCCUUGUCCACUGUCCGAAUUAAAGCACUCACUGCUAUUGCUGACACAUGCAUAUGACUCAGGCUUGUUCCGGGCUUCAUCGCAAGUUCCAUUCCCAAUAAGCAUCGUAGAACGCCGAUGAUGUAGCGUAGCUUUUGGAGAAUGUGAAUUCGGAUGCCUCGACCAGCGCCGCGUAGCUGCAGCGGCUGGUGUUAAUUGUAGAUCCUUGACGUGUUGAAGCCCUCAGUGAACCACACCUCGUAGUACUGCAGGCCCUUGGGGAUGGCCGUCUGGCAGCAGCCAAUUCCGGAGCAUGAGCCAUUAGUAAGUGUUCUUACAUCGCCUCGCCGGCACAUGGAGACACAACCGCUCAUGUACCGUAAACAAGUUAGCAGUCUCUGAGAAUCUAUAGGGCGUACCUGUCAGGUUCAGCCGCCAGUUUAGGUAAUCCAUUUCCUUAGUGGAGGUGUUGUAGCAAUAAGUCGACAUGUAUCCAUCCUCAUCUGGGCAAGACCUUGCUGCAGCCAGAUAUUCAGAACCUCUACAUCUAUAUGAAAUGGCCUGAAUGAUCCAUGGCCGACUUCCUUGCAGCUCAGGUUGAAUCCGGGCAAAUAGCAAUGAUCAGCGAGUCGUCAGGCCCAAUGCCAAAUGGAUAUGGGAUAUCGACUUCGCCGCAUUUUCUCUGACAGUUGUUGCUAGGCGGCGGCAAUGCUUCAACAGAAGAGAGUACUAUUACCGCAAGCACGACCACUACUCCAAGACAUAGCAGUGCAUCUAAUCUAUGGGGCAGCAUGGUGUGGUGGUGUUAUUUGGAUGUAAUCCAUUCUUUUAAGGACUCCCUUCAGAACCUCAAAGGACAUCAUGUACAUAGGUAGACUACCAAGUACCGAAUUAAUCAAAGUCAGUCGUCCCCAUUGCCCUUCCAACUACUGAGCUGCUUUUUGAAGCGUUGUUCAACUUUUAUCCAAUCGGCAUUUGAUCAUUUCUUAUAGUGAACUGGAAUACCCAAAUACCUCAUUAGAAAUGAUCCUGGAUUACAUCCAAAUAACUCUGUAUAGUAGGUCUCAUAAUUUUUCGCUUCACCAAAACAGAAAAUUUCACUUUUAUGAAACUGACGUAGAGAAUCAUGCAUCCACAGAACAGAUGCAUCAUCUAUCUACCGGGCAAGAGAAGAUGCGAAGACUGCAAGCAAGUCCUCGACUGUGUCUUGAACCUCUCUGGUUGCAUGUCGCAGACUCACAUGUAUGUCCUGGUGACGCAUGCGUUAUGCGAGGCUCUCGAAACUUGUCCCAAAUUCUCAUCUAGAUCAAUAUUUUUUAGAAAGAGGUCGAAGAAGGUUACUGGAAGCAUGAAGGAAGAAUUUUUCAUGAGAAUUUUGAUGCGUGCAUGCCUUAAUAGCUUACUGUUAUAGAAGAGCUUUCUGUUUUUUUUUCCGAUGGAAACAGGAGGGGUGAUCCCCCUACUGAAUUUAUUGCAAAAGAAAAAUGAAGUCGGAAAAUACAAUACAAAUCAAAUACAAAUCAGGAACAAAGGCCUAAAAGGAAAAGCGACUACAGAAUUGAGAAGAAAAAUAAAUUUAAGAAAGAUCAGAGCAUCAGGGAGACUGUUGACAAAGUGAUUACAAUGAGGAUAACCAGUCGGCAAUGGAAGGACCAAAGGGGGGUCUCGCUCUGUGAGAGGAGAUCAAAGAGAGUUCUGUGAUGAACAUCCUCUUGCAGGCCUCGACUGAAGGUGGAGUGCCAUUGAAGGUCCAGUUGUUUCUGCAUGCCCAAAUACUUGCAGACAUGAGAAUAAUGAUUUUCAUAAAAAAAGUACCGCCAGCCUUUGCUUGAUUGAAUUGAGAAUCUGUAGUGUUGGUCUCGUUGUGGCUACUGAGGCCCCUAUGGAUGCCCAACAAGCUUUGGCAAAGUUACAGCGCAGGAACAGGUGGGCUACCGUUUCUCUUUUCUGUAGAAUGCACAUCUCACAGGUGUAUGAGUCAAGGUACAUGUUCUUCCGUCCUAGGAUAUCUUUGGUACUUAAGCGAUCCUUGACGAGGAGCCAAAAGAACACUUCGUGUUUCAUUUGGCAGCGAGAUUUCCAUAUCCAUUUGAUUACUGGGUAGACAGUCCUUGUUCCCGUGAUAUGUUUAUAAAUUUUGGAUACUAAGAAGAAGCCAUUACCCCAGAUGUAGGACCAUUGGUCCUUGUCGUCUGAUAGGUUGGUAUGUCGUACUCUGUCACUAAGAAUUUGGAACUGCUGGUAAGCCUGGUCAGACAAGGGUAGCAUGAAAUUGUGAAAGAAAUUUGGUUUCUGAAGAGUUGCCCGAACUAUUAUCCAUUUGUUGGAAGCAAAUGAUAAAACUCCAGGGAAUUCCUGAGAUGGGAUAUUUUCAUCCAAAGAUCGGACCAGAAAAGAAUUGAAGAUCCAUUGCCAGUCUGGGCUGAGGCCAUACCUUCGAAUUUGUCUAGCAGUUUGAUGAUAUCUCUCCACCAGAAAAAACCUUUUUUGUGUUGGCUAGGUAACUUUCCAUUUAUAUAAUAGUUCUCCCAGAUGAGGUUGACCCAUGGUAUGUCUGCUUUGUUGAAGAAUUUGUGGAGGAAUUUCAGUAAAAGAGCCUCAUUUUGAUUGUUCAAAUUGAUAACUCCAAAGCCCCCUUCCUUUUUGGGUAUACACACCAUAGGCUAGGCUGCUUUAGCAGGUUUGUUUGAAUUAAGGUAUGGUCCCCUCCAUAGACAGUGUUUCCUAUAUUUGUCUAGCUGUUUAAUUACUCCCUUGGGCAACUUGAUGGUGGACAUGUGAAACAUUGCAGUGGAGGAAAAAACUGUGUUGACCAUCUCGAGCUUGCCCCCUUGGCUUAAGAAUAGAGAUGUUCCUCCUAACCUUUUUUCCACUCUUUGGACUAGAGGUAGAAAAUCCUCAAUAUUGGGUUUAGAUGUCCCUAGUGGCAGACCCAGGUAGGUGAAUGUUAGGGACCCUUUCUGACAAUCCAAAAUUGAUGCUAAAUGUGGUAGCUUGUCUUCAGUGAUAUUAAGUGGUAGCAUGAUCGAUUUAUUAUAGUUUACCUUCAGCCAAGUUGAUUGCGCAAAAGAAUGAAGGAGUCCCUUGAGAUGUUCCAUUUGAUCAGGACAUGCUUUCAUUAUCAAAAGAGUAUCAUCUCCAUACUGUAUAAUAGGAAAAUCAGCCCUAGCUCGUUCAGGUAUUGGAAGAUGUAGGAGACCUUGGUCUUUGGCUCUAUUAAUAAUUGAUUGUAGGAGGUCAGCCGCUAGAACAAAGAGUAGGAGAGAGAGAGGAUCCCCUUGUCUUACUCCCCUCCUACAGUGAAAAACCUUUUUCGGCACUCCAUUUAGAAGAAUGGAUGAGGUUCCUGUGCUCAAUAUUGCUUUAAUCCAGCGUAUCCAUCUAUCACCAAAGCCCUUGUGCUUUAAGAUGUCUAAGAUUGCCUGGUGUUCAAUCUUAUCAAAUGCCUUCUCAAAGUCAAGCUUUAGAGUGACUAAUUCCUUUUUGGAGGCUGUGCAGAUAUGUAGGUAUUCAAAGGCCCAGGCUAGACAGUCUUGAAUGGAUCUAGUCUUAAUGAACCCAUAUUGAUUCUUGUGAAUCAAUCUUAGGAUGACCUGCUGAAGUCUUUCAGCUAGGAUCUUGGUGAUCGGUUUGAUUGAGGAAUUAAGUAGGGAUAUGGGUUUGUAGUCAUUCACAGUUUCUGGGCAGUCCUUUUUGGGGAUUAAGGUGACAUAUGAACCAUUUAUGCUCUAGACACAGAUUGUCCCAUUGAAAAAACCUUCACACAGGUCAUAAAAAUCUUGGGAUAUAGGGCUCUAGGAUUUUUUUCAGAAACUCACCAUUGAAACCAUUUGGUCCCGGGGAUUUGUUGUUGGGAAGUUCAGCCACAAUUCUAUCUGUUUCCUCUUUGGUAAUCUGUUGCUCUAGCCAAUCUAGAUCAGGGUCUAGUUGUAGGAGGGAUUGUAGGUCUAGAUACAUGUGAGUAAAAUCAAAUCUUCCCAUUCUUUCUUUGAAGGCCUCCCAUAGAAUGUUAGCUUUGAGUUCAUGUUGCAUGUGUUGUUGGCCAAGGUUGUCCCUUAGAGAGGUUAUGGUGUUCCUCCUGUUUCUGAUAGAGGCAUUAGCUUUAAAGAAUGUUGUGCAUUCAUCUCCAAGUUUGACCCAGUUGAUCUUGCCCCGUUUCUUCCAGUAGACUUUCUGUUGAUGGAGAAGAUUGUGGAGGUGUUGCUGCAAGAUAUUCCUAAAGUUCCAUUCCUGCAACUCUAGAUCUCUGAAUUCCUCAAUAACAUUUAGGAAGUGUAGGAGGUCUUUGCAGGUUUGUAUAGUUUGUGCCAGACUAGGGAGAUUUGACUUCCAAUUCUUGAAUACCUGUUGAAGAUUCGCACUAACCUGUUUGGCUUUAUCCUCAGAAGUUGUUUGGGAGGACCAUCCUUGGAGGAGGACCUCCUGGAAGUUGUCAUGGAGCAGCCAAAAGUUCUCAAAUUUGAAGGAUUCUGAUUUGGGGAUGAUGGUAGAAGCUGAGAUAACACAAGGUGUAUGGUCUGAUGUGUCUCUUGACAGCCCGUUAGCUAUGGUGUUUGGGAGGGAGGAGGUCCAUGCCGUGGAAGUGAAAAACCAAUCCAGUCAUUCUAGCAGAGGAUUUUGCUAUUUAUUUGUCCAGGUGUAUUUGCAUCCUUUAAGGGGUAUUUCUGUUAAUCUAAGGCUACUAAUCGCCUCAUUGAAAUGUAACAUGUCUUGAAUGUUUGCACCGGGCUUGUUUCUAUCACUUGGUUUUCUGAUGAGAUUAAAAUCUCCCACAAUCAGCCAUUUUAGAUCAUCCGGCAUUGAGAUUUGCUUGAACUAGUUGAGGAAGUCAAGUUUCUUUUCAGGUGUGCAGGGGUUAUGGAUAUUAGUAAGGAUCCAUUGCUCCCCUGAAAGGAGGCACUGCAAUUCCACUGAUUGGCUGAAAGAGUUCUGAAAGAUUAGUUCCCCUUGAAAUUUUGAUGAGUCCCAUAUAAUUAUAGAUCCCCCUAAAGCUCACAAUGAUGGAAGGAAUUGAAAGGAAUCUAGGCGUGAAGGAUAGAAGUUUUUGAGAUAUGCUGCAUCAAAAAAUUCUUUCUUUGUUUCUUGUAGACAGACUAUGUCACAUUUACCUUCAGUGAUUUUGCUUCUUAUGGCAUUCCAUUUAUUAUUUGAAUUUAUCCCCCGAAUGUUCCAAGAAAGAAUAGAUCAAUUUCUCUUGUUGCUAUUAGAAUUCAUCAAUUAAAUUGUCAGAAUGGGGGGGGGGACUUGAAGCAAUAUGCACAGCAUAGAGCAAAAGCAACAAUUAUUCAAUUCAAACCAUUUCAGACAUUGCCAAUGGCCGAUUUGCCAGCAAGAUAAUUGUAACCACAAAAUAUAGUCUGGACCAGAGAAACACAACCAAAAUAAAGUUCUGAACAACAACCAAACAUCCAUGAGGUAAACAGUCAUAAAGAGUUCGGGAAGGAUAUGAACCAUCCAAUAACUUGGUUAUGAGGCUAAGAAAAACACAUCACUAAGAGCCUUCCAUCAGAUCUUGGUCUUCUUGCUCCCUUCAAGGGUAUCUUCUUCAUCAACAAAACAUUUCUUCUUCUUGCCCUUGUCCUUCUUGGUUGGGCUGUUCUUGGUGGAGGUCGAGUAGUCACCUAUGGGAGUGAAGCGUCUAUUCUUGGUGAGGAGAGAGCCUUCUGACAGCUUAGUGGGGUCAAUCUUGCAGAUUUUCUAUCCUAGGGCCUUCAUGUUUGAAGUUGAGAUGGCAGUUGGAGUGAUGGAGCAUGCAAAGCAAUUCUUAUUAGCAUAAGCACUUUGUUUGAAACCUGCAUUCCUAUCUUUGAUUCUUGGGCUUCUUCUUACUGCAGGCUCAACUUCUGGUGUAAAAGCGGGGCCCCUCUUGAUUCUAGCCUUUCUUAUGGGGGGAUCCUCUUCUGGUUCAUCAGAGCAGUCCUUGAGAAGUGGGGAGCUUUCCAUACCCUCCUGCUGAUAUGUGCACAUGACCUGAGUAUCAGCUGGGCAUUGGGAAGGGAGGGUGAAGGACAUCAUAGAUGAAGUUGGUGAGCAUUCCAGCAUGGCCUUCCAGGCAUGGGAGAAGAGAAAAGACUUGGCCCAAGUGAAGUGUGCCGGGGAGAGCAACAUCACCACAAAGAAUGCAGCUCAGUCACUUGGGAUAUGAACCACUUGCUCUAGGCAGCGCAUAGGUGAGAAGUGCUUGGCCCACAGUCUAUAGAGGUCUAGCUUCGGGGUGGUUGGUCUAACCAAUUUGCCAAAAAAAUCAUCAAACCCUGGGUCUCUUUGUGGCAUGAUGGCUAGUGCCAUGUUAACAUUGAUAUUAUUCCCUGGGUUUUGCUGGAGAGGUUUAGCUAGUCCCAUUGCCUGGUCCACAUCCAUCUGUUGAGGAAGCACUAUCUCUGGCAACUGUUGUUCUGGUGCUUGUACAUUAUCUGGUUGGGGAGCUUGCAGUGCAUUUGGCCCAUGGGGUUCCUGCACAAUCUGACCAUUAGGGUGAUGAAUCAAAACAUCAGGUGCCAGUGUAGGGGUAGGGAGAGCCAGUACCGCUUGCUGGAUCUGGGCCUCUGGAAGGUUGUUCUCAUGCUCUUCUUGGAUCAGUUCCUGUUGCAAAUCCCUGAAGGGACUAUCCAUGUCAAUGUUGCUGGAGGGUUGUAGAGGUGGUGAGAGGUUGAAGUGGAGGUCAAGCUCAUCCUGUUGCACCUCUUUCUCCUGAUUUCCCUCCUGAGCAGGCAAGAUAUCUACUGGGUCUGGUAUGAUACCCCCAAAUGCUCCCUCAGCUAGAUUAUCAUUUAGAUCCGGAAUGCCAUGCUGUUGCUCAAUGUGCGGUGGUCCUGGAGGAGGGAAUGGUGGUAGGUGUUGUGCCGAUAGGCCAUGCUGAUCGAAGCCAGAGGGAACACAAAGCCACCAUCCUCAAAUUCCCCUGGUGGAAUAUCCUCAUCCUGCAACAUUCCAUCUAGCAGAUUUUGUUAGAUGAUUUCACAUUGUACAGUUAAAGAGACCUCCUCAAAAUCAUCACCUUCCAACAGGAUUAAGUAGUGGGGUACAUCAACUAAAUCUGUCACUCUUGCCUUGAUUAUGAUUCUGGUUAAUAUGUUAUCACGCUGCCAUAAGAUAAGCCUGCCAAAUGAUUUAAUAGCAUCCUUGAUCUUAGCGGUUGAUCUAUAAUCUGGUGGAUACUCAAUCAACAUCAGCCAACACUUGCGAUUAAAGUUUAUUCUUCUCGCAUUAGCACCUCUAUUGUGGAAGACAAAAGAGAACCCCAAGUCGUGGUGGAAGUGAGGACUAUGAUAAACAAGAGCAUCUCUGUCUGAUGGCCUCUCCAUCCGGACGUAGGUCUGUCCUCGCCCAAAAGGACACCUCUGGACCUCGCGCACCCCUAACCUAUAUUCCUCAACCAGAAGGUCCAGAAUGCGAUUGCGGAGAUCACCAAAGAGAAUCUCACCAGGGGGCAGGUUGGAUAUGGAGACGAUGGCUAGGUCUUCAUUUCUGGGGUGGGUUCUUUGGGUCACCACUCGUGCGAACUGCUAUCUUCCUUAGACCAAAACAUGCUCGAAUCCCGCUAGCAUCAUGGGUUCAGGAUCGAUAUUCAGAAACGCCAUUGCCGAUGAUGAAGGAAGAGGAUUGCAGGUGGAGGUGGAGGAGAGGCCGAAUGUAGUUAUGCUUUCUUGAUGCAAAUGGGGAAGAGUUGCAAUGGGGUUUUCUCGCAGUGACUGGGGAGGAGGCACCGAAGCAAGUGAAGGGGUGUCUCUUCCAAUUCCCCAGGGAACUCUGAUAGCCUCUGUAAGCAUAGGCAAUUGCAGUGCAUGCUUGUUGGGCCCAUCAGUAAGAGACAUGGGGGUCUUGAACCAGGUGCGGAUGGCUUCCUCAGACCAAAAGGUGGUUGGAAUCACUAAGGAGAAGUUGCACGAACAGGAGGAUUGACACUAUUUAAUGAAGUGUUGGAGACUGUGAAAAAGGUUGCAAUCAUGAAGUAUAUGCCCUUUCCGCUUGCAGUGCCAACAUCUGACAUUUUGGCGGCUAAACCUCGGGUAGUUGGGGGUUAGGCCCCGAGAAGGAGGACUGUCAAAACCUGCAACAGGAAAAGGUCUCGGCAGAGUUGGGCCACAUGACCCAUUAGCCAGAGGAGCCCGUUGACCAUCUUGAACCCGAGAUGAAUUUGAAUUUUGAAAUUGCAGUCUCCGGAAAACCGAAUGCCUUGGAGAAGAAAUCCUUUAGAAAAUCGAAAUGCGCUUGUCUCUGCAGGGAACCUGAUGAACAGGAAUGCCGGAAGAAGAAGAGCUGGUGGAACGCCAGCCCAAAGGCACAGUAUUUGCCCCAGAAAGAGGAGCCAAUGUUGUUCUUACUGCAUCAGAGUAAGUGUGCCUAUUCUUGAUGGAGAGGGAAGAGCCUCUCCGAGGGAAAGUACCAGAAGCCAGAAUAGGUAGCCAAUUUGUCACUUGAGAGGUGUUCUUGCUUCUUUUGGGGGGUACUUGUUGCCAUUGAUAAGUUGGGCCUAAAUCCCGUUUCGAAAAAAUCCUGGCCUUGCCAAGACCCGAGCUAUUGUAUGGAAAGAAAUCCAAAUUGAAAUCCUCACAAGACAAUGGAGAAGAGCCAAGAAUCAUAUAGGCCUCCUUUUUUGAAGGAAUUGAAAACCUCAAAACCUGUUGAUCCAAUUUGUAGACAGAGUAGAUCUUCACAUAAUCCUUUAGAACGAAUUGGAGGCAAUCAACAACAGAGGAGUCCGUGAGCUUGAAGCGGUUCCGGCUGAAUGAUACCAGCAAGUGAAAGACCGAUCUUGCUGGCUUCCAAAGCGGGGGUGGGAGUCGGCCCGAAGCAUUACGAGUAGCAGGAGAAGAUUCCAAGGGAGAACGAGAGGCCAUCUUGUUGAAGACGUUGAAAGAGGUGAGGGGAGGCAUACCGUGCUUCCGGAAGAUGGCAGUGGAAAGUAGAACUCCAGUAGGGGAUCUUCUUGGGCGUUAAACCCAAACAUGCUAGAGCUGUAGUGGGGAGCCAUGGCCAAGAGGACGAGGAGAGGAUCAUCGGUGAAGAUGCAGACGAGCCAUAUCCAGGAGGGUCUGGGGGUGGACACUAGGGUCGGAGUGGCCACUGGCGGUGGAGGGGGUGGAGGCAUAGGGGAGUCCUCAGCUCUGCAGCACCUAGGAUUGUGCCUGUUCUAGGAUUGUGCCUGUUUGUUGUGGCCUUGAGAGUUUAGAAGCUUUCUGUUAGGGGUAGUGAUUCUCUUCAGGAUCAUCAAAACAACGAAUAUACUAAAUUUAGUUCACUGGAUCUCUGAAUGAACUACGGCACCUCCGAAUCCUGUAUUUAUGGAGUAGGGAAAAUAGGAAGCAGCCCAGCAUAUUUACACAUCUUAUUACCCUCCAUGUUGUUAAAAGUUUACACAUCUUAGUCCUCACAGCGUCAACAAUGACGGAUCUCCUUCGUGACAUCGUCAAAGAACUACAAGCUGAAUUCGCCAUGAAAGAUCUCAGUGCGCUCCAAUGUCACUCGUACAGUGAAGGGCUUCUUCUUAUCAUAUAUAUAUCUAUAUACUAUAUAUUGUAUAUAAUAUCCUGGUAUGGAAUAGGCUAUUCCGUACCCGACUGAUCCAUGGAUCUGACUCGCACCUUCCCCGCUAGUCUUUUUCUCUCCCGCUUCCCCCAUUUUUUUCCGACUUUUUCCUAUGAACGCAUGCCUUCGGUUGUGGGUGCUCCGUUCAGUUCCCGUAGUGGACCCCGCAGCUCACCAUUCGCUGCCGCCGUCUCUCGCCAACCCCGGUCGCUGCCGCCACUCCACAACAGCCUCCCAGUGCUGUUCCCCUUCCCGAUCCUCAUUGCGUUCUUGCUACCGCUCCGCAUCCGCAGCCGCCGUCUCCUCUCCCCAUCCGUAGCCACCGCCGCCUCUCCCCAUCCGUAGCUGCCGCCGCCACUCGCCAUCGGAACCGGCCGCCUACAAUCGCCAUCCACAGCCGCCGUCGCGUAGCGGAAGCCGCGGCUCGCCAUUCGCUGCCGCCGCCGCUGCUCGACAACCGCCACUGCAUGAUUCCGUUUGCGUUUGGAUUCCUCGUCCUUGGACAACGACGAGCGGCCACGCCGCUCGGCGCCCGCCGCCGAGGUCAAGCCCUCCUUCUCCGACUCUGCAGCCGCGGCAGCCUCCGAGACUAAGGCCAAGGUGUUCCGCCUCUUCGGCCACGAGCAGCCAUCCACAAGGCCCUCGGAGGAGGCAAACGUGAGGCUCUGCUUCAUGCUCUGAAUCACGUUGUUUUUUUUAUGGUUUUGAUUUGAAAUCGGUAGAUCGGAUCUGGUUGCGUGGGAUCUGGACGGGAUUGAAGCCUUGGGUUGCAGGUUAGAUCUGAUAGGUUUAUGCCUUGGAUUCAAUGCAGCUUGAUUGCAUAGUGGUACACGAUCUGAUCUGUUGAGCUUGUUUGAAACUAGCCUUCCAAUAUUUUUUCAAUUGUCUGGUAACAAUAGAAUUCUAUUGCCUAUUGCAUUUGCAAUUGCUUACAUAGAUGAUGAGGAUCCCUUGCUUAUGAAUGCUUUGUCGUUUGGGCCAGUGCAUUUUGGAGGUGUUAUAUGUUCUUUUAUGGGGGUUAAUAUUGUUGGGGUCUUUUGGUUCUUUGCAUUAAGAUGCUGACAAAUUGAAGUUUCUUACGAAAAGAAUCGAUCAACUGCUUUAUUUCACAUUGUGUUUGUCUAAAACAUAAGGCCUUGCCUUAGAUAGGUUGCGAUACUAUCUUAUUGCACUGCGUCUUUGCACCUGAUUGCAUAUUUACUUAAAUGACAACCAGAGCACUCUUUGCUUGCAAACAUUUUUCUUUGUCAAGUUAAUUGUCUGUUGAUUGAGGUAUAAUGGGAAUUGUUUGACCUGAUUUCCUUAUUAUCUACUAUUAUACCUGCCAUAUUCAUAUUCAUUGCUGUUCUUUAUUUUGCAGCUGCUGAUGUAUUGCUGUGGAGGAACAGGAACAUCUCUGCUGAAGUACUUGGUGGUGUCACUGCAAUCUGGAUCCUCUUUGAAUGCCUUGGCUACCAUCUUCUGACCUUCGUUUGCCAUGGUCUCAUAUUCUCUCUGGGUGUUCUCUUUCUCUGGUCUAAUGCCUCCUCGUUCAUCAACAAGUAAGAUUUCAGCUUAUUGUGAUAUACUGCACAGACUUAAAAGGAUACAAAGUUUGUUCAUUGCAAGUUACAUGGAUAUAGAAUUAGGGGGUGUUUGGAUAUGAGGUGCUAAACUUUAACAGUGUCACAUCGGAUGUUCGGAUGCUAAUUAGGAGAACUAAACAUGAGCUAAUUAUAAAACUAAUUGCAGAAUCAUGUGCUAAUUCGCGAUACGAAUCUAUUAAGCCUAAUUAAUUCAUCAUUAGCAAUUGGUUAUUGUAGGACCGCAUUGUCAAAUCAUGGACUAAUUAGGCUUAAUAGAUUCGUCUCGCGAAUUAUACUCCAUAUGUACAAUUAGUUUUGUAAUUAGUUUAUAUUUAAUACUCCUAAUUAGCAUCCAAACAUCCGAUGUGAUGGGUGUUAAACUUUAACACCCUGUAGCCAAACAGCCCCUUAGUUAAUGAUGUGAAAUCCUGCCCUUUAUUUCAGGUCUCCCACAUGGAUCCCAGAGGUGAUCAUUCCUGAAGAUCUGGUUGUCAACAUUGCACUAUCUACUCGCUAUGAGAUCAACAGGGCCUUUGUCAAUCUUCGCCAGAUUGCUCUUGGCCGGGACAUAAAGAAGUUCCUUAUGGUACGUCUACUAUGUGAUUGCCUGUGCUGAUCACUGGUACAUGCUUUUUCUUUCCUGUAGCUACUGUAUGUAUGCCUUUUAGGAUUAUCUCGUAUGAAUGCAAAAAUACCCUAUUAUCUCGUAUGAAUGCAAACGUACCCUAUUUCCUGUAGCUUUAGAAACGUUGGACAUUAUUCCUUCUUGACAAGGUUAUAUGCAGUUUUGAGCUCUUUCGUAAAAUUGGAGAUUAUUCCUGAACUUUGCACUGCUCAUUUUUCUUCAAAAACUUAAGCAGAGGCGAGCUUAAUUGCCUAGUAAAGCCAGCCCGUCUGCCUGUGUUUAUAAUUUUAUAUCCAUAAGAAUGCUACUGAUUUCUCAGAGCUAUAUGUCAUGCCAGUGUAUUAUCAGUUUGUCUUUAUCUUUGCUCCAAAUCAAUGCCAUCACUGUUGUUUCUCGAAUACUGGAAAUACUCAUUGGUGCAGAGACAAAUUUUAUUUUAUUUUGAAUCAGGAUGCCGCAGCAGGUGGCAGUACCAUGGAGAUGAGGAUGCGGAACGGUGGGUGUUCGCAGGGACGUACGCGGAUGAGCUCUUUGAAAAAAGAGGUCAGUGAAUCUGGGUUCCUCCCAAUGGUCGCAAGCGAUGAUCCUCUCUUAAUCACUAUAUAUGCUGCACCUAUCACACAUGCCUUUAUCUGUGACUACGAAACUAGCUGACUCAAUGCUGCAAUGGAUAGAAUGAAGAUUUUAUAUUCCCACGAGCCACAUUGCAUAAAUUUGCAAGGUAAUGUUGACUAAAUUCUGUUCAAACAUGAACCAAGAUUUGAAAGGUUAUAACUCUUUUGCUCCUAUAAUUUUGUAGGCAUCCAUGCUUUGGAGAAGAAGGUUGACUGCACUAGCUUCUGAAUUCCCUGACAUUGAACUCAUGUUACUUGCAGUUGGUUCAGCAUGGAGUUUACAACCAAGGGAUGGGCUACAUUCAACCACAGGUUAUGUAUCGUACUUUUAUUUGUUAGUGAAACAGUGCUAUAGUAAAUCUCUGAUACUAAACAUGUCACAAAAUUUCAAACACUACAUUUUUUCACUGGCAAUUUUCUCCCUGUACACAAUCAGUAUCACAAUGGGGAUACCUGAAGGGCAAAAGCUGAAGACAGAAGCAAUUUAUGGUAAUCUUAUUGUUCCCUGAAUCCUUUUCUUUUGUUAGAGAUUCUGUACACAGAUAAUUUGCCACAUUAGUGCAUUUUUAUUUUCAUGAUAAACACAAAUUUGCUACCUCUCCCUCUUAAAAUCUGUAUCUGUUUAUCAAGGGAACCUAAGAUGCAUAUUAUUUAAGCUCCACAGCAUGGCUCCUGCUUUUUUUUUUUGUUCUGACAAUUGCUUCAUUCUCUCCUGUGGACUCCGGUGAGCUAGGGAAGUCUCUACAUUGCUUCCGUGUUUAUUGGGAGAAAACUGAAGGCACCUAGAAAGGGUGUUUUAACUUUUUGCUAUGGCUACCUCUCAGAUGUAAAUUGGCUUCCAGGAGAAUAGUUCACCUAUAAUGGUUUAGGGCUUGCUUUUGUCUGUAUAUUCAGAAUGAUUUGACCGUUGCUAUUUUGACAGCCUUUUACAUUCACAUAUCUGUAUUAUGAAGCAUAAAUAUAAUGUUAGUCCUGCUUGGUUGUCUCUCUCUUUUUUCUCUUUGCACCAUUUUUAUGCACAUAGAUAAUUUUAUGAUCCAUCUAUUCAUAUUCUUGUUAAAAAAUUUCAUGCAGUUUUGGGUACAUUGAGUUUACACAAGGAGUGCAAUGGGGACUCCUCUCAUCCAGGGGGAGCUGCUAGACUAUCAAUAGCCAUCGGUGUCUACAUUAUGUUCUACGAGUACUUUUGUUUUCAUUUCUUAGCAAUGUAAUCGCCCAUGUGUAACUGUAUGUUCCAAACUCUUUCUCUUAAAGGAAAAGCAGUGCCUCUGCCAAUGUUUUGAAAAAACUGUGGAGCACCCUCCUGGAGUCCUUCCCAGUACAAUGCAAUCUUGUCCUAUCAUGCUCGUGGGCACUUUGAUUUUGCAAUCUUCAUCUGUUGAAUGCUAAAAAUUUCUCAGUGGAGGUUCUUAUAUGUUGGACAUGUCGUGUCACAAUAAUUUCAACAUGAGCUGGCAAUCACAAAAUCAUUGUAUUCAAAUAGCAAUAUGUUUUUAGUUGAAUUAAUUGUCAGUGAAGCUGGGCAACAUAUGCUCACUCGGAAAAGGGUUUGAGCAGAUGACAGUUGGUGCGGGAAGGUUAUAUAGUAUCCAAGCUAGUUGUAUGGUCAGCUGGCUGAUUUGUUUAUUGGUUUGAACCCAACGAAUUGUUUAAAAGUUUAUGCAUCUGGCAUUGCUCAUCCACGAGACAGAAUUCUGAAGCUGGGAUUCGCUCAGAUAUAUAUGCUCGCUACCGGAAACAGGAAGUUUGCCGAGUGCCUGAGGCACUCGGCAAAGGCCCAAAAACAUUCGGCGAACCUUCCCACGGCAAACGGUGCAGUUGCCGAGUGUCGGACAUCGGGCACUCGGCAAAUGAUUUGCCGAGUGUCAAAAAGCACUCGACAAACAUUUUCGGAAAAAAAAACAGAAACACCGGCCACGGCCACGGCCACCACGCCGCCACCGGCCGCCACGCCCGCUGCCGCCCGCCACCACGCCGCCUCGCCCGCUGCCGCCCGCCACCACGCCGCCUCGCCCGCUGCCGGAUCCGCGCCAGAUCCGGAGGGGAGAGAGCUGGGGGCCACCGGAUCCGCGUCGGAGGAUAAGAAGGGGGCGCGGAUCCGGCCGGAGGGGAGGGAGCCGGGGAAGGAUAGGCCGGAUCCGGAGGGGAAGAAGGGGACGGCGGCGGGCGGAGGUGGGGGCGGGGGCGGGGGCCGGGCGCCGGGCGGCGGGCGGGGCCGCCGGGCGGCGGGUGGGGCCGGGCGGUGGGGGCGGGGGCCGGGCGCCGAGCGGCGGCGGGCGCUGGGCGGCGGGCGGCGGCGGCAGGAGAGAGGAAGAGGUGGGGGAUGGGUGGGGGUACUAGUGGUGGAGGAAUGAAGGAGAUGGAGGGGCCGGGUGCGGUGCCGGGACUAAUUAACUCCUGCGUGGUUGGGGAAAAAAAGGUCGCCAAGUGUCCUAGGUGUGACACUCGGUGAAGGGUUGUUUGCCGAGUGUCUAAACUAGGACACUUGGCAAAGCUAUUUAAAAAAAAUUAAAAAAUAUCCAACAGUUUCAAAAAAUUGUCAAAAAUUUACAUGAAAUAAUAUAUAUUCUCUAUUGCCUAUACAAAAAGUUUUGUAGUCAAAUCAAAACUCGACCGUCAUUUUGACUCCAAAUCUUAUGCAAUCCUUCUCAACGUUACUAUUCUUCUUCUGAAAUGCUUCGGUUUGUAAACAUCGUACAUGAUGAAAUGUGCAAAACAUUCUCAAUUUUUUUCCACAGCCUCCACGUAUAAUAUCAUCACAUCAUGAUAAAUCUCAUGAUUUUCAGACUUUGCUUGUUUUUUUAUAAUUUAAAAAUACCACUGCCACACGUUCGUGGUCGUGUUUCCUGAACAAGAUGUUCGAAAUUUCUUGUCAUUUCAUGAUCAGGUCUCAAAUUGGGCCAAAUAACAUGAAUAUCAUUGUUCUACUCAUUUUAUUCUAUAAUUUGAAUCACUUGCGGUUCAAAUUUGACUUAUACCAAAAAUUUUCUUGAAAUACAAUUAAUUAAAUAAAUAUAGCAAACAAAUUCAAAAAUAUACUAAACUUUAACAUUGAGUACCACAUGUUGUAUGUGGGGAGUAGAAAAAAUUUCAAGGUGGAAAGAGGAAAAAAAAUUGUUGUUUUGCCGAGUGUCAAAAAAAACACUCGGCAAACCCCACUCUUUGCCGAGUGUUUUUUUUUUGACACUCGGCAAACCCACUCUUUGCCGAGUGUUUUUUUUUUGACACUCGGCAAACCCACUCUUUGCCGAGUUUUUUUUUGACACUCGGCAAAGUCGCACGUUUGCCGAGUGUUUUUUUUUUUUUGCCGAGUGUUUUUAGCCCGGCACUCGGCAAAGAGCUUGUUUGCCGUGUGUCCGAAAAAAAACACUCGGCAAAAAAAAUACUCGGCAAAUUUAAGGUUUCCGGUAGUGGCUAGUGCACAGCUGCAGCUGCUGAGGGCGACCGGAAAACCAAGAGCUGCUGCGGAGGGUCGUCCAUCAGGAUCAGGAUUAGGAUUAGACCAAUUUGUGUUGCUUGCUUAUGCAAUAAUCAUCAAGCUAACCCCAAGCCAGCCAGCCAGCAAACCUCAUCAGCAUCAGUCGCUGUAUCAAGUUGUUAUUAAUGGUAUGGACCAGCACUAGAAGUAUUCACAAUCAUGAUGACGAAAACCCCUAUCAAUCUUCAUCUGCUACUAGCAGACAGACAACUCAAUCAUUCCAAACCCCAACCGGAUUUCCUGACUUUUCAGCGCAACUACACAACAUCGAUCUUGCAUACCCAGCAGCAGGCAGAAGCAAAUAAAAAGGUCCACAAGCUUACCAUUACAACUCAACACUUCUUCUCAUGUUGAUUGCUUCCCAUUUGGACUAUAAAGCCAUUUUCAGGACAAAACAAGACUUGAAUCAACAGCUACUAGCUGUGCUUAUCACAUCAAGACAUUGCAUCUACCUGCUCUAAUCACUGCUAUGCUUGUCAAAUAGAUUGAACACGGUUGCCCAUCUUGGCUUGCCGUGAUUGCAUGUUUAUAUAGGGAUAAAGUCCCAACACAUUACAAUAUAUGUAGUUACAGAUAGAGUUUAGCCAGCAUUCAAAUACAUCAAGAUUCUAUCUCUAUCUCUAGCAGGCCAGCUCAAAUCAUAACAACUCUUAUCUCUAAGUUACAGUCCUCGUCUCAUACGAUGAUUCUUCUAACAGCCCCUCUCAAUCUAAAUUUCUCUUCCUUUUGAGAUUUAGAUUGCUCUUGAAAGCUUCCAGCAACCCGUACGGCAGGGCCUUAGUAAAACCAUCCGCAAGCUGAUCUCUGGAAGCAACUAACUGCACCUGCAACUGCUUACUAACCACACGCUCGCGAACAAAGUGAAAAUCAAUUUCUAUAUGCUUUGCUCUUGCAUGGAAGACUAGAUUGGCAGACAAAUAUGUAGCUUCCAAAUUGUCACACCAUAAACACGGUGGUUGAUGCAGCCGUAUACCCAGCUCUUUUAGCAGGGAUUCCAACCAUAUUAAUUCUGCAGUUGCAUUUGCUAUAAACUUGUAUUCAGCUUCUGUACUCAAUCUUGAGAUAGUGGCUUGCUUUCUAGCACUCCAAGAAAUCAAGUUUGGACCAAAAAAGACUGCAAACCCUCUAGUAGAUCUUUUAUCAUCAACACUUCCUGCCCAAUCAGCAUCAGAGAAAGCACUAACCAAUGUGGAGGAUGACGCCUGGAAAUUUAGUCCAAGAUCCAAUGUUAACUUGACAUACCGAAGUAUUAUUUUUACCGCAGUCCAAUAAACCGUGGUAGGAGCAUGCAGAAAUUGACACACUUUAUUUACAGAAAAUACUAGAUCCGGUCGGGUAAGAGUGAGAUAUUGCAAUGCACCGACGACGCUUCUGUACCUUGUACUGUCGUCUGAAUUUAGCAACUCCCCUUCAUGUUUUGAAAGUUUCUCACUAGUAGACAGUGGUGUAGACAACGGUUUGCAAUUUUCCAUACCAACCCGUGAUAGGAUCUCCUUUGCAUACUUCUCUUGUGUUAGCAACAUAGUAUUCUUAUCUCUUUUAACUUCAAUACCCAGGAAAAAACUGAGGUCCCCCAGAUCUUUUAGAGCAAAAUCCUUCUUGAGAUCAGCAAGCAAUGCGGUAACAGCAUCACUCGACGAACUUGUUACAAUUAUAUCAUCAACAUAAACCAACAUGUAAAUUAUGACACCCAACUUUUGAUAGAUGAACAAUGAGGUGUCUGAUCUAGACGCAACAAAUCCAAGUGCAAUAAGUUUGGAACUUAACUUAGCAUACCAAGCUCGCGGGGCUUGUUUCAAGCCGUAGAUAGCCUUGUCCAAUUUGCACACAAGAUGUGAAGCUCCUUUUUCAAAUCCUGGAGGUUGCCUCAUAUAAACUUCUUCUUCCAGAACGCCAUGAAGAAACGCAUUCUGCACAUCUAAUUGUCUAAGACACCACCCUUUUGAAAUAGCAAUUGAAAGAACAAGCCUGACAGUUGCAAUUUUAACCACUCGGCUGAAUGUAUCUUCAUAAUCAAUGUUGUACCGUUGCCGAAAACCCUUAGCAACUAGCCUUGCUUUAUAUCUGUCAAUAGUACCAUUUGAUUUUUUCUUGAUUUUAAAUACACAUUUGCAAUCAAUAAUAUUAUUGCCCUUUGUUUCAGGAACUAAAUGCCAAGUGCGAUUUCUAAUGAGAGCAUCAAAUUCAUCUUGCAUUGCGGCUUUCCAUCUAAGAUCACCAAGAGCUUCACGAAAAUCACAUGGUUCCCCAGAAGCUUGAGAAAAGCCCGUACCUAAUCAUAUCCUUGAACUGUUUUGGUUUAGUGAUUCCGCUUUGAAGCCACAUUCAUCGUCUUGAUGGUGAAUCAACAGGUACAGCCACAUCUGAUGGAGCAGCUGCCCCAGAACCAGCAGCCACGGAAGAUCCAACCAAAUCCACGCCGGAUCUAGCUCCCGCAGAUGAUCCGGCAUCCUCAUCCAGUGCUCCUGUGGGAGACGAUUCGCGCGUUGGAGACGCGAGUGCUGGCGGUGCUCUGUCCCCUAGCGCUGGCGGUGAGACCAUACUGGUGGGUCCGCUCUGUCCCCCUCCCCUCCCCACGCGGCGAUGUAGGAGUGGCAGGCGCAGCUACUGGGCCACGCGGUGGAGACGGAACCGGCGAGUCAUACGUUGGCGCGACAGGAACAGCCAGCGGAUCAGCUUGAAAAUCAGUGCAUGCGCCCUGAAAAACGCCGCCUGAGUUUACUGUACCGCUGUGCGCCGGCGCAUCUGAUAGCUCCUCUUGAAAAACAGCCUGCUCAUCUCUAGAUGGCAAAUGAUCAGUAGCGUUAGUAAUAUUGUCAAUGCAACUUACAUCCCCCGGAUUACGAAGAUGAUUAGGUAAAAGGGGAAUCUCUUUUCUAAGAAGAACGCCUGCAUUUGGAUGUAAGUGGGUAAACGGAAAGAUAGAUUAAUCGAAAAUAACAUCACGAGAGAUGUAGGUACAACCCGUGGAAGGAUCUAAGCACUUGAAGCCUUUAUGCAUGAAGCUGUAACCAAUAAAAGUACAUUUAAUAGAUCUGAAAGCAAGCUUUCAAGUAUUAUAGGGGCGGAAGUUAGGCCAACAGGCGCACCCAAAAAUGCGAAGAGAGUUGUAAUCAGGCUUUUCUUGUAGCAAGCGUUCUAUAGGGGUAUCAAAACUAAGAACUUUGCUGGGAAGCAUGUUGAUGAGAUAAGUGGCAGUUAAAAAAGCUUGAUCCCAAAAUUUAAAGGGCAUCAAUGCAUUUGCAAGAAGCGCAAGACCAACUUCAACAAUAUGACGAUGCUUCCUUUCAACAAAAUCGUUUGCUGGUGGGCAUGAGGGCAUGAAACACGAUGUGCUAUGCCAAUCUGCUGGAAAAAGGAAUUCAAUUUCUCAUAUUCGCGUCCCCAGUCAGUUUGCACAGAAAUAAUUUUCUUAUCAUAUUUUCGCUCCACGAGAUUCUGGAAUUCUUUAAAAACUUGGAACACAUCAUAUUUCUUUUUCAAGAGAUAAGUCCAGGUGAAUCUACUAAAAUCAUCAAUGAAGCUCACAUAGUAAGAAUAACGACCCACAGAAGUAGGUGCAGGACCCCAAACAUCAGAGUGAAUAAGAUCAAGCAGAGCUUUGGAUGAAUUUUCUGAACUCGAAUAUGGUAGUUGAUGGCUUUUAGCCAUUUGACAAGCAUAAAAAAUUCACUCAAAACUAGUACCGCCACAAGGGAGAUAGAUUCUAAUGGAUAAAGCCCUCCUUUGCAUCUACCUUUAUGAAGGAUUUUCUUCGUUUCCUGAUCCUAGAUAAAAAAGAAUUUUGGAUGAAAUUCCAGAAAGGCAUUAUUACCAAAAGCUAGUAUGUGGAUGGAAACAAGAUUUUUGUGGGCAGUAGGAACAUGAAGGAUAUUGUAUAGAUGUAAGGUUCUACCCGGAGUAUGUAAAGUUGAAUGAUCAAUAUUACUAAUUUGCAGACCUGAACCGUUGCUAGCCUGAACUUGAUCUCGACCAUUGUACUUGUCUUUCACAGUUAACUUGUCAAGUUCUCCAGUGAUGUGGUCGGUUGCGCCACUGUCUACAUACCAAUUUGUAUCAUAGCCGUAACCUGUAGCUGCAGCGCCGGCCACUUUCUCCUGGUCAUCCUCGUCGUAUCUGUACCAACAUCUUGGUGCUUCAUGACCGACCUUUUUGCAGAUUUGACAGACAACCUUCUUGGGCUGAUUUCCACUAUUAUUGGUCUGGCCGCCCCUGUUUUGGCCACCACUGGUGCGCCCAUGGUUGCGCCCUCCUUUUCUUCGUCCUCCAUUGCCACGUCCUUGAAAACCUCCACGAGAACCUGAAUUUGUUGACGAUGUGUAGUGUCCCCCUUUAUUAUAAGCCUCCGGGUGCAUCUCAUAGGACAGAAGGUGAGAGUACAAAUCGGAAAGAGAGAGGGGAUCGGCGCAGCCAAGCAUUGAGGACACAAAUGGAUUAUACUCGAAAUCAAGACCAUUAAGGAUGUAAGAUGCCAUCUCACCAUCAUCAAUGAUGACUCCUACUGCCGCUAGCUCAUCCUUGAUAGCCACCAUCUUGGUGUAAUAUGUUGAUGCAGUCAUGCUACCCUUCUUGAGGGUAGACAACCUCAUGCGUAGAUUUGUCACGCGUGCUCUUGAUUGUGCCGCAAACAUUGUCUGCAGCGCACUCCAUGCUCCAGCCGAUAUCGCCUCUGACACCACUUGUGCUAGCACUUCCUUGGUGAUGGAGUUGAGGAGAUAACUCAGCAGUUGCUGAUCUUUCGCCACCCAUAUAUCAUAUUCUGGGUUAGUGACCAAUUCUUUCUUGCCAUCGGCCUUCACCACUUCCGUGGUCUUGGCCAGCUCCUUGACAGAUCCGUCGAGGAUUCCCAUCAGCUGCGCGCCUCGCAUAGCGGGCAAGAAUUGAGCCUUCCAUAAGACGUAAUUCUCCCAUAUAAGCUUUUCAGCUACAGGAGCUCCGAGGGGCACCGCCGUAGGCGAAGCAGAUGAUGACGCCGUGGAUGUGUAUGGCGUGUUCCUAGAGAGGGUGGAGUAGUGGAAGAAGCGCUCUGAUUACCAUGUCAAAUAGAUUGAACACGGUUGCCUGUCUUGGCUCGCCGUAGUUGCAUGUUUAUAUAGGGACAAAGUCCCAACACGUUACAAUAUGUAGGAGCGGCAGGCACAGCUGCUGAGCCACGCGGUGGAGACGGAACCGGCGUGUCGUACAUUGGCGUGACAGGAACAGCCAGCGGAUCAGCUUGAAAAUCAGUGCAUGCGCCCUAAAAAAAUGCCGCCUGAGUUUACUGUACCGCUGUGCGCCGGCGCAGAUGAUAGCUCCUCCUGAAAAACAGCCUUCUCAUCGCUAGAUGGCAAAUGGUUAGUAGCAUUAGUAAUAUUGUCAAUGCAACUUACAUCCCACGGAUUACGAAGAUGAUUAGGUAAAAGGAGAAUCUCUUUUCUAAGAAGAACGCCUGCAUUUGGAUGUAAGUAGGUAAACGGAAAGAUAGAUUCAUCGAAAAUAACAUCACGAGAGAUGUAGAUACGACCCGUGGAAGGAUCUAAGCACUUGAAGUCUUUAUGCAUGAAGUUAUAACCAAUAAAAGUACAUUUAAUAGAUCUGAAAGCAAGCUUUCGAGUAUUAUACGGUGCAAGUUAGGCCAACAGGUGCACCCAAAAAUGCGAAGAGAGUUAUAAUCAGGCUUUUCUUGUAGCAAGCGUUCUAUAGGGGUAUCAAAACUAAGAACUUUGCUGGGAAGCAUGUUGAUGAGAUAAGCGGCAGUUAAAAAGGCUUGAUCCUAAAAUUUUAAGGGCAUCGAUGCAUUUGCAAGAAGCACAAGACUAACUUCAACAAUAUGAUGAUGCUUCCUUUUAACCAGACCCUUUUGCUAGUGGGCAUGAGGGCAUGAAACACGAUGUGCUAUGCCAAUCUGUUGAAAAAAGGAAUUCAAUUUCUCAUAUUCACCUCCCCUGUCAGUUUGCACAAUAACAAUUUUCUUAUCAUGUUUUUGCUCCACGAGAUUCUGGAAUUCUUUAAAAACUUGGAACACAUCAGAUUUAUUUUUCAAGAGAUAAAUCUAGGUGAAUCUACUAAAAUCAUCAAUGAAGCUCACAUAGUAAGAAUAACGACCCACAGAAGUAGGUGCAGGACCCCAAACAUCAGAGUGAAUAAGAUCAAGCGGAGCUUUGGAUGAAUUUUCUAAACUCGAAUAUGGUAGUUGAUGGCUUUUAGCCAUUUGACAAGCAUCAAAAAUUCACUCAAAACUAGUACCGUCACAAGGGAGAUUAUUAUGACUAAGCACACCCUGAACAAUAGGAUAAGCUGGAUGGCCUAAGCGACUAUGGCACUUAGAAACAGAAGGUUUGCUAACACCAUAACCUUUCUUGCCGCCGCUUUCUUCUGACGAGAUAGAUUCUAAUGGAUAAAGCCCUCCUUUGCAUCUACCUUGAUGAAGGAUUUUCUUCAUUUCGGAUACUAAAGAAUUUUGGAUGAAAUUCCAAAAAGGCAUUGUUAUCAGAAGCUAGUAUGUGGACGGAAACAAGAUUUUUGUGGGCAGUAGAAACAUGAAGGAUAUUGUUUAGAAAUAAAGUUCUACCCGGGGUAUGUAAAGUUGAAUGACCAAUAUUACUAAUUUGCAUACCUGAAUCGUUGCCAGCCUGAACUUGAUCUCGACCAUUGUACUUGUCUUUGACAGUUAACUUGUCAAGUUCUCCAGUGAUGUGGUCGGUUGCGCCACUAUCUACAUACCAAUUUGUAUCAUAGCCGUAACCUGUAGCUGCAGCGCCGGCCACUUUCUCCUUGUCAUCCUCAUCGUAUCUGUACCAGCAUCUUGGUGCUUCGUGACCGACCUUUUUGCAGAUUUGACAGACAACCUUCUUGGGCUGAUUUCCACUAUUAUUGGUUUGGUCGCCCCUGUUCUGGCCACCACGGCCACCACUAGUGCACCCACGGUUGCACCCUUCGUUGCCUCGUCCUCCAUUGUCACGUCCCCGAAAACCUCCAUGAGAAGCUGAAUUUGCUGACGAUGCGUACUGUCCCCCUUCAUUAUAAGCCUCUAGGCGCAUCUCAUAGGACAGAAGGUGAGAGUACAAAUCGGAAAGAGAGAGGGGAUCGGCACGGCCAAGCAUCCAGGACACAAACAGAUUAUACUCAAUAUCAAGACCAUUAAGGAUGUAAGAUGCCAUCUCACCAUCAUCAAUGAUGACUCCUACUGCCGCCAGCUCAUCCUUGAUAGCCACCAUCUUGGUGUAAUAUGUUGAUGAAGUCAUGCUACCCUUCUUGAAGGUAGACAACCGCAUGCGUAGAUUUGUCACGCGUGCUCUUGAUUGUGCCGCAAACAUUGUCUGCAGCGCACUCUAUGCUCCAGCUGACGUCGUCUCUGACACUACUUGUGCUAGCACUUCCUUGGUGAUGGAGUUGAGGAGAUAACUCAGCAGUUGCUGAUCUUUCGCCACCCAUAUAUCAUAUUCUGGGUUAGCGACCAAUUCUUUCUUGCCAUCGGCCUUCACCAGUUCCAUGGUCUUAGCCGGCUCCUUGACAGAUCCGUCGAGGAUUCCCAUCAGCUGCGCGCCUCGCACAGCGGGCAAGAACUGAGCCUUCCAUAAGACAUAAUUCUCUUGUGUAAGCUUUUCAGCUAAAGGAGCUCCAGGCGGCACAAGACGUAAUUCUCUUGUGUAAGCUUUUCAGCUAAAGGAGCUCCAAGCGGUGCCGCCGUAGGCGAAGCAUAUGAUGAUGCCAUGGAUGUGUAUGGCAUGUGCCUGGAGAGGGUGGAGUAGAUAGAUGUGUUUAUGGAAGAAGCACUCUGAUUACCAUGUCAAAUAGAUUGAACACGGUUGCUUGUCUUGGCUCACCGUGGUUGCAUGUUUAUAUAGGGACAAAGUCCCAACACAUUACAAUAUAUGUAGUUACAGAUAGAGUUUAGCCAGCCUUCAAAUACAUCAAGAUUCUAUCUCUAUCUCUAGCAGGCCAACUCAAAUCAUAACAACUCUUAUGUCUAAGUUACAGUCCUGCCUCAUAGGACGAUUCUUCUAACAAUGCUAACCCCAUCUAUGGAUCUUAUUCACAGGCCAGCUUCGUGUCAAAGCUGGUCAAACAUAUGGCGAAGGCCUGGAAAGCCGACAGCGGGUACCGGUAGUCCAUGGUGAUCGAACGUAUCCUUUGCAACUUUGCCGAAUUGCAAGAUCACCGUGUCGUGGCUCGACGACGCCUGGGGCUGCGGCGUCUGUCGAGCAGGAGGUGCCGAAGCCCCUGCUGCGGCUGCCUGUGCCGCAGAAGCUAUCAGCUGGAAGUUCUUGACUGAUGCCACCGUCACACGGCCACGGAAGUUGAGGCAGCAGCAUUGCAGCUGCUCGUGCCACCUCGACGCCUUGUUGCACAGAACCAGGGGCCUCUCCUUGUCUGCGUCGUCGUCGUCGCCGCCGCCUCGCUGAUUUCCUCCGCCAAACUCCGAGUACCGACAACUGCUCAAGUCCAUGGAGCUAUCUGCGAUGGAGUACUUGGAGAAAGAAGUUGCUGUGCUGCGGAAGGACUCGUCGAAUAACCUCGGGAGGAGCUCUUUCGGUUGCCCAGGCACAACACCGCCAGGCUCCCUGCUGGUCGGGGCGGCGUUCUCCGUCGGAGCGAUGCCGGGCCUCAACAUCUUCUUCGAAGAUCACGGCUGCGGCGGUUCCAAUAGAUGGCCGUGAGGUGGACGGCCUUUCAUCGCGGUUGUUGUCGCCUCUAAAAAACCUGACGAAGGGAAAUUGGUCCAUCGCGUGUGCGGGCAGGGGUGAACAACCGGGUAGGCGCGCUGGUCCUACCUGGGUACGAAAUAGCGGAUAUAUGGUGAGUACUCUAAAGCCAGCCAUAGAAUUAAUAAUUAUUCUAUAGCCAGGGCACUGGCAGUCCAUGAUUGGCAGUCCAUGAUUGGAAUUACUACGAGGGUCCACCUCCCUGCUGAUCCGGGCUCCUACGAGACGAGCGAGCUGAGGCGCCUGAGCGACGGAGCCGGUCAUUGUGUAAUCGAAGCUAGGAGAAACGACAGUCAUUAGCCAUUACUACGUAAUCAAAGCUACAUUGACGUUCAAAAAAAAUUCUCCUUAUCAGAACUGCAUCAUGCAAGUGUAUCGUACACUGGUUACGAGAAUACUUGGGCUUGGUUUUGUCUACACGUUCAAAAACUUACGAGAAUACUUGGGUUGGCUGUUUUCUGUAAAGAAAUAAAGAAUUCUUUUACAAGAAUGCGUGGAUCACGGUACUAGAUAAUUUUUACGACAAUACUAGGUAGUUAUCUGAUGGUUUACUAUAUCUACUAUUUUAGCGGUAUGAAUUACGAUAAUGCAUGGCUUGUGUACUGGAAUCUAUUUGGUGGAUUACGAUGAUACAUUAACAUAGAGGGAAGGUUUAAAUUUGAACACACAGCUAUUUUGGUGGGACAUACUUCAUUGAAGAACGACUUGGCUUAAACACUGUACAAUAAUUUAGAAGGCUCGUAGAUACAUAUGUCUACACCCAGAAUUUGAGAAAAUCAUUUAUUUGGAGCUUCUCUCGUUUUGUUGCAGCUAGUUGGCCAGAGAUAUUGAAAUCAGAUUUCAACCGUGCCUAUUAUUAGCUGCUCGUAAGUGAGCGCAUCUUGCCCAGGACUUGCCAGAAGACCUCAUCACCUGAAAACUUCGUAAUAACAAGGAGAAUAGUUAAAAAGUAAGUUCAUUUCACAUCUGUAACAAGUGUUUAGAUGGCUAAUAGCAUAUAUGCAUGCAGAUUAGGCAUAAACCAAUUUACCACCAAUUUUUACGAGAAUGGCAUCAUCAAUUCACCACAAAGUUAUUUACCACAAUUGGAAUAAUCAAGUUACUAUAAAAUAAUAUCGAGUUUAUUAGAAUCCCUCGUACCAGAACUACGAAAAUUGAUACUUACAUGGUCAAAAUUACCACAAUGGCAUGCUAUAAUCAAUUUACCACAAUGGCACAAUCUAGUUACUAUACUAUGUUUCUCAAAAAAAAAAUGGACCAAUUACCAUAACAGCAUGACCCAUUUACCAGGAACUAAUUCGUAACUACUACGGUGGUGUCAACUGUCAAGUUAGCACAACUGCAUUUACUAUAAUCCAAAUUGCUCGACCAUGGGAGUAUGAUGUAAGACAAAUAGACAAUGGUUAAAAGAUGUAAUACAAAAGUAUGGUAUACCAUGACAUAUAGAUUAAGUUGUAUCACAAGUUCUGGCUGGAAACUUGUUGGCUGGUGUUCAGUGAGCGGUAAAUAUUAAAAGAGCAGCACAAACCUAAAUUGGGCUCCUUUUCCUGCAUAUGUAGUGAUUUAAAAUUAGAACGAAUGAACUACAUGAAUGAGAGCAAGCAGGAUUGAACCAAGUAUGGUAACCACAUGAUGAUCAGAUACUAAUAAACAUUGUUUUGCCUACUGAACACUAUGAUCAGAGUGCCCUACUUACUACAAUGAAGUGCCCAAUUUACACAAAUUAUAGCAUUGAGGAACCAAUUUACGAUAAUUGUGAGUACUAUAAAUAAACAUGUAGCAAUGAUAAUGUGACAGAUGAUUUACCACAAGCAAGCAAAAUGAUGCUUGAAGACACGAUUUAGCAAUGCAAAAUGGUAGAAUUUUACAUAAUUCAACAGUCUAUGGACGAUAGUUAUGAAGUGAUUUACUACAACUAGGACAACAGCUAUUUACCAUAAUUAAACGUCUAGUGCCCAAACUGUGGCAGGUGAUUUAUCAAGGGCGAAGGAUUCAGGAUAAUGACAGGCUUGAUUUGACAAUACAAAUUGAUAUGCAGUCACCGUAAUUGUAUUGGUGUGACUGAAAACAAUAAACAUUGCCUUCAAAAAAUGUGUUGGGUACAGACUGAUUUGUUGCACAGAACACUCAUCCUUUUAUCUCUGGGAGUAAUGAGUAAAACACAACAAAAAUGAUGGCAACUAAGAUACUGUCAUAUUACUUUGACUAUGGCCAUCAGCCUAGAAUUCCAUGAAAUCUGAUGCGGACAGACAUGCUAGCUGAUUUUGAUCCCGUUCAGACUUACUCCCAAGGGACGUCGCCGACCAGCACCCGGUCGCCGUCCUCGACCUCGUACACCAGUGUGUACUCGCCGCUGAUCACGGGCUCCUCGGCCUCCUCCCCCGCUGCCUCCUCGCCGCAGCGCCAGCCCACCGCGGCGGCGGCUGGGUCCCUUUGGGCUGCGCAAUCGAGGGAUUUUUUUUUCUCGCAUGAUCAGACAACGCGAGCACGCAUACACAGUUCUUGGAACAAACGAGGCGGCGAUGGAGUACGUACCGGCGAGCAGGCUGCGGAAGAGCUUGCCGACGGCGGCGGAGAGCUCGGCGUAGCCGCCGUACGCCGUGAGGUCCACCUUCUGCCCGAUGGGCACUCCGUCCAUGUUGAUCUUCACGAACAGGCCGCCGCUCUUGUGCGGUUGUGCCCGCCCUCGCCGGCGCCGCCUCCCUUGGCGCCGCGGCCUCCCUUAACUCCGCCGUCCUGAUGAUGAGCCGACGACGACUGCGGCGAGUACCUGAUGGACGCCAGGUUCCUCCUGAACGACCGCACCGGCGGCCACCCCUCCACCGGGCGGAGGGGCCGGCGGGCGGCACGGGAGGAGGGGCCGGCGGGGGCUGCCGCCGCUCGCCAUAUCCCGUGGCGGCAGGAGGGGGCGGGAGGGCGGAGGUGGACCAGAUCGGUUGGGGCGAGGGAGGGGGACCUGCCCGGAGUUGGGAGCGAGAUUUUGGGUAGCGGCUGCGUGCGUGGGGGCGGGCGGGAUGGCUGACGGGGAGUCGAUGGAUUUUGGGCGGCAGCGGCGGACGCGGAUAAGGGGCGUUUUCUUCCCGUGUCUUAUUUUUAGCACGUGUCACAUCAAAUGUUUAGAUACUAAUUAGGAGUAGUAAACGUAGACUAUUUACAAAACCAAUUACAUAAGUGGAAUCUAAACGGCGAGGCGAAUCUAUUAAGCCUAAUUAAGCCUAAUUAAUCCAUCAUUAGCAAAUAUUUACUGUAGCAACACAUUGUCAAAUCAUGGACUAAUUAGGCUUAAUAGAUUCGUCUCGCCGUUUAGAUUCGUCUUAUGUAAUGGGUUUUGUAAAUAGUCUACGUUUAAUACUCCUAAUUAGUAUCUAAACAUUCGAUGUGACGGGUGCUAAAAAUAAGUCAGUGGAAGAAAACGGGGCCUAAGAUUGAGGAUCGAGCCGACGAGCGGUCCCAUGACGAGCUGAUGAGCCUAAAGACUCGUUACUCCCGGCUACCGUUCGACUCCGUCGCUAGGCUCGCCGGCUCGGUCGAUCGUGGGACGGAUGAUCUCGAUUUGAACGGAUGGAUGAUCCAGCUACAGAAUAAUCUAUUCUGUGACCAACUACGGAUAAAUAGAUCCCUUUAUAUAUAUAUAUAUACAUAUAUAUACAUACAUACAUAUAUAUAUACAUAUAUAUACGCGUGCGCGCGCACACAGCUGGCAUCAGAACAUGUUGGAGCGGAAAAGAACGACCAACGUAGAGGACUGGCUCGAUUAAUUGGAAUAGGAAGUCUCUGGAUUUUGAGCAGCAUACCAUGCAUGAUGUCUCGUUCAUUUGUUUUUGUGCCAGUCGCACGUUGUCCUUGCUGACUUGCCAGAAUCUAACACCGAGAGAGUAGCAAGCUAUUUGUGCUACAUGCUAAAUUAACCAAUUAUGGGCCUCUGACGACCUGCUGGUUGUGAACACACUCAUCUGUUGUGCGUUGUUGUGGUUGAGGACAUCUCGUUAAGCACAUACAUGCAGUUUUUUCGUUGUAUAUACAAUAAGAUAAAUAGUUCACUGGAAAAGAAAACAGACAAUAAGAGCACAUGCUUAGCUGUUGUGACAGCAAAACUAAGUAUUAAUAUUAGAAGUGCAGUUGUGGACUCAAAUUUUUAAAAAUCUCUCUCUCUCUCUAUAUAUAUGUAUUAUGCUUAACAAUCUGAAUGUUAUACCUUUUAUCACUCUUGUUUCCUCUCCUCCAUGUUUCUACUACUCCUUUCUAGUUCUGUUAGUUGGCGAUUGUAUACAGAACAUAUAAGGGGAAAUAUAAUAUCAAUCUUUAGUUCCCAUGAUAACAAUAUACAUAAAUUUUAGGUCGAGCAACGCCAAAGGUGAUGAUAUGUUGACAAUAUAUAUAAAUUUGAUAACAAUCGGUACUUUGUAACUGUGUAUUUAAGCAUAGUAAUGGACAGUGGAACAGCGAAAGGAAAUAUUAAUAAGCAUAGCCAUGUGCCCAAAGUUAAAAAGCUCGACAUUUGCUAAUCUAUUUAUAAACUCAAAAUUAAUUAAAGAUUUUGAUCGUUUCAUAUAAUUGAAGAGUUAACGACAUAUAAUGAUCAGUUGAGGUACAGAACAAACAUGCUUUACCAAAUGGAAAAUAACAACCCUCACAUGAGAUUUUCAUUGGAACAUGCAAAUCAGUAUAUAAGUCAAUCAACAGAAUAAUUAAAUCAUUUAAAUAUAUAAUCAAAUCGGUAGAACACCUGCGUCUUAUCUCAAGUUGAACUAGGGAAAACGCACAAAUCAAAUGCUGAUAAUGAAGUGGUAACAGGGAGGGUGAACAGAGAGUACUAGAUAGACCAAGGGGAAAUGGAGAACAGAGGAGGAGGAGCAGAAAUCAAUUGCAAGCAGGGAGGCCAGCAGCAGCUAUGCGGCGCGCCACGACCGAGAUGAAGGAGACGACGGUAGCGUCCAGCACCAGAGAUCCGACAGGUAUCCUGCGUGGUAGUGAGGUUGUAUGCGGCCUACGCAUUGCCUCCGCCCCUCGGCGUCCGGGCCACGAUCUCCAUCGCCUAGCUAACGCUCAUCACAGCAUGGGGCGGGAUCUCCUCUGCAGCCGCAACUGCAAGGAGGGAGUCAGCGACAGCUGCGGCUGUGAGGAAGGGGGCGACGGGUUCCAUCGAUGCGAGCAGAGAAGGCCGAUUUUCAGGAGACACCUCAUGACGCUGCCAGAGCAUCAGUCAGGUCAUACUCCAUAAAAAAAUAUGUAAACCGUAAAAUAGUGCAAUUGUCUCAGGAUAUAUACGCAUUACAAAUACCUACAGAGACAAACAUUUCACUCCACACCAGAAGGUCUAUCUACAAUAAUAUACAGGCCAGUAUAUGAAGUUCCCCACUUAACUAAUGCUUAGAUGGAUUAUCACGAAGAACAACAUAUCGUUGGACUUGAGGGACGUCUAACGUGGCAAACCAGCAGUCGAGAGGAACUCUUGCUCCAGACUGUAGAACUUUUUGCUACCUUGAGAUGAGGAAAGUUCAGAUUUUUUCCCAAAAUCAAUGCCUGAUAACUGAUAGCUGUUUAUAUCACCUUUCAUAAGCAAGGGUUGCCUCUCUUCAUCUUUUCCAGCAGCAGGUUGAUUGGACUCUGCUCGUUUUGUCCUCAGAAAUUGUAGUGCCAUCUCCACUUGCUUCAUAGUAGGUCUUUGGUCACUUUGGAGUCUCACGCACAUCUCCACAAGAGAUGCAACACAAUUUAUUUCUUCUUCAGACGCUUCCUCGAGAACUUGAGGAGCUACUAUUUCCGUAAUAGGCCUAUUCUUCAUCUCCCACAGAAAGUAGUUAGACAAGUUUUGCUUUGUGCCCGACUCACUUGUAAGAAUAGGCUCCUUUCUUACAAGCAAUUCCAAGAGUACCACACCAAAACUAUAAACAUCACUCUUUUCAUUUAAUUGCCCAGUAUGGUAAUACUCUGGAUCUAAGUACCCAAACGUUCCUUGGACAUUGGUAACUACAUGUGUUUGAUCUAUUGGAACCAAUCUUGAAGCACCAAAAUCUGACACUUUAGCGGUAUAGUUGGAGUCAAGGAGAAUGUUGGAUGACUUCACAUCACGAUGGAAAACUGAUACUGAAGCUGCAGAAUGGAGAUAGCAAAGAGCCCCAGCAGCUUCGGCCGCAAUCCGGAGGGAGCCAUCCCAUGACAAAACUAAUUCGUUACUUGAACCACCAUGGAGGAAGUCAUAAAGUGAGCCAUUAGGGAUAAAAUCAUACACCAGUAGUGGGACCUCGGUCUCGAGACAACAUCCAAAUAACUUAACAAUAUUCCUAUGGUUUAUUUGAGAAAGAAUUGCAACCUCAUUUAUGAACUGAUUAAUCUCACCUUCCUCAAUAAUUUUAGACCGCUUUAUUGCAACCACACGUUGGUCCGAUAAGAUGCCUUUGUAAACCAUACCAUGUCCACCACGGCCUAGGAUACGUGUGGAAUCAAAAUUAUUUGUUGCCUUCUCAAGCUCCUCCAGAGAGAAAAUCUUUGUCUUUUCACUAGCAUUUUCAUCAGAUAAUAUUAGUUGUUCUAGGAGUAGGCCCUGGUUUCUACGGAAAUACAUCCUACGCAGUCGUUUUUGGAUGUUUCUUUUCCAUCGACGGGUGAGGUAUAUUCCACCAACACUAAGAAGCAGAACUGUAAAACCACUGCACAGACCGAUAAUAACACCUGAAAAGUUGUACCUAUGAGUUCCAUUUUAACAUAAAUAAUAGGGAAAUUUGUCUAGAGGACACUAGAUAAAAACAAACUUUUCUCUAGGACACAGCAGCAAGUUUUAUUAUCUGUAGGACACCGUCCAGUGUCCUCGAGAUAACAAACUGAGUGUCAUAGUGACAAAACCAGGUAAAUGUAGUGUUCUGUAGAUAAAUUUCCACUAACAAUAUCUCAAAAAAUAUACUUCUUACCUAAGAGAGCAUUUUGUUGUUUCAUUGACGAGCACUGUAAUUUGGUUGGAUCAUAUACUGUCUUCUCAGGGCAUGGGGUACAGUAGAAGCUUCCCAUAGUAUUGUGGCACAUUCCUUGACAUCUGUCUUGUUGUUUACACUCAUCAACAUCUGCAAAUUAAGCACAUGUAUGAUUUUUAGGUAGGCAGAAUUUGCUAAAACUUUUCAUAGUUUACUGAUAUAAUCAAAUGUAAAACCAAAGGAAUAAUUACUUCCCUAUUUUAAGACGGCACAUGCACCAUAAUGUUGUAUAUCAUCUUCACAUUAUUAAGACAUCUAUCGAAAAGUUCAUAUAUUCCCUCCGUUUAUUUUUAUAAGGCAUGAUAUGACAUGGCACGGUCUUCCAAAUUAUCCUUUGAUCAUUAAUUUAACUUAAAUUAUAUUGUUUAUGGUUAUAAACUCAUAAUUAUUGGAGAGUACAUUUGGUUACAAAUCCAACCAUGUCAAGUUUACAUCGUCAAAAUAAAAAAAUUAUUGGUUAAAUUAUUGGUCAAAGAUAGCAAUGUUUGAAUCUAGGUAUGCACGUACGCUUUAUAAACAUAAACGGAGGGAUUAUACACCACCAUUAAAUGCCUCAGGUUACAACUAUACUAUAGCAUUGACAAAUUAGUUAUUUAGACAAUGCAAAUAUCAUAAUUUUUGUCAUCCAUAUGUAAUGCAUGGCAGUUCAUAACUUCAGUACAAGGUAAAUUUCGAAUAAACUAUAAAUUGUAAUAUUUUACGAACAUAAUAUUUAUGCAGAUAUCUUUUAAUAUGACAUGGAUACUUGGGCAAAAUUAAGGAAAUAAUGAAUUCAAAAGCCACCCACACAGUAGAACGUUGCAACAAAAAAGUCGCAUGUUUAAUACCCACAUGUGUGGUUACCAAGCUUUAAACACAUGACCGCCCCUCUAAAACGACCCCAGUUAGAAUCCAUAGUGUAAAACAUGGUCAUCUAGUAUGAGUAAAAAGUUUACUACACAACUGAACUAGUCGGCCUAGGCAUUUCUGAUCUUUAACGCAUGGGCUGGGCAAUAUGUAUAAGAUGGCUGUGGUUACAAAACACUGAACCCAAUCGACCUUGGUCCAUAUUUCCAAUACAUAUACAUCAUUGUGUUCAAGCAUUCUUCUCCAAGGCUAUUGGUACUAAGGUUGUAUAUUGUGCACACACUCUUGUUUGGAAAGAGAUAUGGCUUCAUGGGCAUAUAAUCUCUCUUGCACCUUAUCUCUUUGCUUUGGUGGCCAAGUGAAGGGCUAACAAGCAAACUAUAUUGGAGGCUCUUACUGAUAAUGCCUCCAUUGCUGACAUGCAAGGGGCCCUUACAGUGGGUGUAAGAGCUGGAUAUUUGGACCUUUGGGAUCUCAUCCUCAGGCUGUGUUGUUGCAGCCUGCUAGUGUGUAGGAUAAAUAUGUUUGACGCCUAUCUUCUUUACGGGAUUAUUCGGCUAAGUCAGAAUAUGAAGAAUUUUUUUGAGGUGCGGUUCAGUUUGAACAUUGGCAGUGUAUUUGGAUAUGUCACUUCUUCAUAUGGCUUGUCGCAUAAUCUCUCCGUCCCAAAAAGAAUACCAUCCUGGAUUCAAAUUUUGUCCAAAAAGAAUGCAAUCUGGGAUUUCAGCAUCGUGCAUGCAUAAUCUAGCAAAUAGAAACGGAUUCCCUCCAUCUUCUCUAUGCAAACACAACUAACUAAAGGUACAUGCGUCUUUUUUAUUCACCCCUAGUUUGUAUGAAAAAUCCCACGAUGUUGUUCAUUUUCGGAUGGAGGGAGUAUGUGAUAGAUGUUGGAUGGUUGAUCGCCUUACUUGUCGAAGCUUACAGCAUCCUGAGCACUAUCCUCUCUAUGACCAAGAGGCGGGAACAAUUAACCACUUGCUUGUACUGUGAUUUUGCCCAACAGUUUUGUUUCUGUUCUACAGAAUGUCGGCCUACAAAGCUUGACUCGGCAACCUGCUGAAUCUUGCUCUAAUGGCUGCUGGUGGUCGUGGAGUAAUGAUUUGGUUGGACUGGCAGGUACUACAAGGAUUAAAUUCCAUCAUUAUUCUAGGGGCUUGGUAUCCAUGGAAACACAUGAAUCAGAGUGUUUUUUAUGGAGGAUCAUCUCUUAAUUUGGAGUUUGUCCGAAGCUAAGGGGCUCUCUCCUUAUUUGCCUCGAGCCCAAAAAUGUAAUGAUGAGCUUAAGGUCAUAGUGGGUUCUCUUUUAGUUUAAAAGGUGCCCAUGUUUUCCUGUAAAUAUCUAGGGUUUGUGGUGCAUGGUGUUGUAUGUGUUUAUCAUACACUAUAUAUUCUUCUUAAUAUAACGAUAUCCAGCUUUCAUACGUGUCCUAGAAAAACAACUUUAAAUGAAAAAUGUCAACUGAGAGAAUGUAGAUCUCGUUGAUACUUAUAAUUUUUAUAUAGAGUUUAUUGUAUCCAUCAGAGUCUAUAUGGAAAAUUAUGAAUUCUUUAAAUAAGAUAAAAUUCAAAUUACACGUAGGAAAAUAUGUGGGCCGGUUCAUGGAGGUAUCAGUGGCAGUGAUGAGGAGAAUAAUACCACCGGUCCAUAUCUUUGACCAGCUGUAAUUUUGCUGCCUGCAGGACAGUUACCAAAAAUCACAAUUUCUGUAGUAGUAUUAAGGACAAAAGUCGCACAUAUAAUCGUGAAGAUAUUUUUGCUGGUGGAUAACCCAUAAGAGGUUUGUCUGGUACAACUUCCUUAUUCGUGUUGGUACUUGGUUCCAAACUUUACUAUCACGGAUGAGCUGCUAGAAAAAAAAAUGUUUGUUGUAGUAUCUAGUUGAUACUAGAAACAUUUUAGGUAUGUAGUUAAGUCACACUUAAAAAUAAAAAUUUCCAAUAUAAAAUAUGUAUUUAGCAUAUAGGAUCAUAAUUUUGUACGGGAAGGGGAGUUUAGUUACCUUCGCAACCACUGUAGAGGUAUGGAUUUCCGUGGAACCCGUAGGAGCAAUUGCAUCGGUAACCAACAUAGCCACUUGUAGAAUUAACUGGAAUGCAAUUGCUAUUUGCGCUAACACAUGCAUAUCCAGAGCUAUUUGCCUGUGCCUCUUGACAAGUUAGAUUCGCAACAACCCAUUUCAAAGAAACUGACUCACUUGAUCUAACAAAAAUGCCAGGGUCAUCGUCAGACAUAUGGUUAACUGAUCCUUCAUCAUCAUCAGGGAUUGUGUACUUGAUAAGCCCUUCAUCAAUAUUGAUCUCUGUCACAAGAUAGUAUUCAUAAUAAUAUCCCAGUUGCAGGGUAGAAGUUGUCACAUUUGUGCAGUUGAGAAAAAACUGUUCUCUAGCAAAACAACCUUCUUCAAUCCCAAAUGGAAAAAGAACCUUGAUGUGUCCACAAACACGGCUGCAAUUGGCUUUUUGUUGCGCUGCAGGAUUGUAACCUAAUUCCAGUAGAAAAGUAUUCACAAUGAGUACUAUAGAAAAGUAAUACCUUUUCUUUUGGCAGGUAAUACCUUUAUCUAAUAUGUAAAUAGAUGCUGUAGUGUGACCCAGAAUGGGAUGAUUACUAUAUAGCUAGGUUGAAUAUAAGCCACCAAAUUAGUUUUAAGAUAAAGAAAAUCUGGGACAAGUUCCUCCAAAUUCUCUUACUACUUAUUUUAGAGGACCCAAAGUUAUAACUUUGAGGAUAUAAUUACCAAUCUCAAAGACUCACGAAAACCUUGCGCGCUUUGUAUUCUGCUCCCCACGGGCACAUACUUCUAACACCCAUAUUUUGUAUUCUGCUCAACACACCCUGACACCCACUAUGGCUUUCUGGUAUUUUUGACAACUGUGUCAAUCCUAGGAGAAUUUGUAAUUCAGAAAGAAAAUGAAUGGAAGAAAAGUAGUACAUACAGUAUGUAACAUACUGAAUAUCAAUUAUACAAAUACAUAGAGUAUUGUAGUUUUUUUGGUCAUAUGGGUAACUAUGUAGUUGGCAUAUCUACAACAUCUGUAGGAAGUCAAGCAGGACCAUUUAUAAUUUGCUGAAUUUCUAUGGGUUCUUUUAACUGCCCUAUAUAUUGUACCUUUUUUGAAGACGUAAACACCGCUUCUAUUAAUAAAUAAUAAAUCUAGAUAUCUGAAUGGCCUCGGGCUUAAGUUCUCAAUAUAGAAAUCGAGUGUAAUGAAAGAAGAAGCUGGAUUUCUUACAACGGGGUAGUGUUAAUACCUCUGUCUCGCGAGCAGCCACUUAAAAUGUAUGGGUUGCCCACGUAACCAGAAUUGCACUUGCAAGAGUACCCAAUAUACCCAAAAUCUAGUGAUGAAUCAUCAUUGUCGAUACAUCGGCUAUUGUUGCCAACACAAGCAAAUUUUGUAUUAUUCUCCUUGGCACUCGCACAGUUUGGUUGAUCGACGAUGUUCCAGGACAGGUAAGCACCAAAUGUAGUUACGUUGAUGUAAUCCCACAAAGAGCUCCGAUUAUAAUUUACCUCUGGACUGCUUUCUCUGUGACGGACAAAUUUGAGAUUAAAUGCUCGAAUUCUCUCCCAGAAGAACGGGCAACAUCCUGUGCCGUUGCAGUUUUGCCUAGCCGCCAUGUCCGUGAUAUCACUGGUAGGACAUUUAAGUGUGCAAAUCAGCGAUGUUAUAUUCGCAUCCCGAUCACUAAAAUAUAUGUCAAAGUCGCAACCAGUGAUAUUCAUCCAGAAAAAAGAAAGUGUAAAUGAUUUCCCAGGAGAACUCCACGACAUGUUGUAUGUGUGAACACCAUAACUCACUGGGAUAGUAUAUGGAAAAUUGAUCCCAAUAUAUCUGCUCGAACUGUAGAGAUACCCUGUAUCCGCUGUGACAAUAUUGUGGGCAACCUGGGUGAUGCCAUCAUGUAGAAGGAGAGUUGGGGGCUGAGCAGACUCGUUGCAGGUAAGCUCGAAGUCACCACCACGGGAACAACGAGGCCCGAUGCCAAAAGGAUAGCUGAAGGUCAAGUCUCCACAGCUCGUCUGGCAACCGGAGAGGGUGGGGAUGGUGGAAACCGUGCCAUUGCUCUCUGCUUGGCUUCCCAGCACGACGGAUACCAGCAUCAAUAGUUGAAUCCCCAGCAGUGAACGGAGGAGCAAUAAUGGAAACAUCCUCCACGCCGGGACUUUUGUAUGUUAUGUGGUUUGCAGUUUCAAUGAUGAAGGAAUAGCUCGAAAACAGGGUAUGCAUCAUUAUAUAGAAUUAUGUUGGGGCAACUUAGUCAUUUCCAUUGACUACACAAUAUAAUUGUGGGGCUAAAGGUUGUUGCCUUUUUUCUUUUUUCUCCACAUGCAUUUUCCAGUGGUCAAAUUUGGCCGGUUCGAGAGCAAUAGUCUACUGUUUGCCUUUUUGGGUCCACAACACCAAAAUAUGGAGGCCCUAACAAAAAGAUCAAAAUAUCAAGGGAUUUGAUACUUUUGUUUAACGAGAAAACAAAUAUGUGGAUACCCCUCCAAAUCCAACCCAGUGCCUACUUGUAACAUAAAUGCAGUGUCGGUCUUGCCAAUCUCAACUAGCCCCUUAAUUUGAUUUUCCGACUCCUCUUAUGAUUUCUCACAUAUAUAACUCGGUGGGUGAGAAAUCAAAAGAACGAUUUAGAUUUGCCGUAUGCACGCAGUUAGAUUUGGAGCAGUCAUGCAUGUAAGUUUUUUUCAUGUGUGUCACAACUAUAAUUAGCGAUAUGCAAUUAUAUUAUCUGCAUUCAAAUGUAUUGGCAAAAAAUUUGUUUUUUCCUAGACUUGAACUUUGUUGGGAUCUGGACCAAUUAAGAAAGUCCCUACACGAUUUAAAUUAAAAACCCAAUUAGCUAUUAUAGAGAAUCAUUUUCGUAAAACUUCAUAUAUAUGGUCAGUCAACUAUUAGCGUGACAAAUCAGCAAAACAUUAUUUUCCACACGAGACAUGUAUGGACAACAAUAAUGAAUAAUUAGAUGCUCUUGUCGUUGGACCCAUAACACCAAGUCGUCCAAUGUUAGUCAUCAGUUAGUUGCACUGUCUCACUCCACGCGCUAAAACUAUUAAUUCUAACCCGUAGAAUGGGGCAGCAGCAUUCAUGAUUUCGACACCUUCAUUAGAGGCAGUAAAUAGCAUUGGACUGAUGUGUGGUACAGUUGUUAACAAAGAAGACGUCAAUUCGAAAAGGGACUAGAUUUUUCCAUGGAAACAAGCUGGAAUUCCAAUCUCCAGUUAGGGUGCGUUUGGAUACUAGGUGGUAAACUUUAACAGUGUCACAUCAGAUAUUCGGAUGCUAAUUAGGAGGAUUAAAUACGAGCUAAUUAUAAAAAACUAAUUGCAGAACUCCUGUGCUAAUUCACGAGACGAAUCUAUUAAAUCUAAUCAAUGCAAAUGGUUACUGUAGCACCACAUUGUCAAAUCAUGGACUAAUUAGGUUUAAUAGAUUCGUCUCGUGAAUUAGACUCCAUCUGUGCAAUUAGUUUUGUAAUUAGCCUAUAUUUAAUACUCCUAAUUAGCAUAUUAAACAUUCGAUGUGAUAGGUGCUAAACUUUAGCGGUGGGUAUCCAAACACCCCUUUAGUGGGCGAGUUAGGCAUUCAGUCCACGACUCAGAACAGUCUACAAAAAGACUUCAAUACUACAGGCUUGGCCAACAACGUUGCCGGAUUUUUGUAGCCGUUAUGUAACUAUUUUCACUAGAGGUACGUGACGGUUAUUUUGACGCCCAUUACUCUGGUAAAGCUGGUAACGGACUAUGUUAAUGCCCAUUACCUACAACAUAGAGCUUGACAGCUGCUCCAGCAGGCACAGUAACUAUGCGGCUAUGCCCGCGACUGUAGUGGGCUAGCUGCCUUCGAUUGGUUGGCUUGCUAGCUGGUAGGCAGAAACUUUUGUCCAGUCCCCACCGGCUGCGUCAAUAUUGCUUGGUUAGCUGGUUGCUGGUUUCCGUAGCGAAUCAUGCAUUUACAAAGUCGUUAGGUACUUACAAUGUUGACAUCAUGGACCCUCUCCCUGAUACAGGUCGUUUUCCUUGAAUAUUUCCUCGUCGCCGUGAGGCGAUCUUGAAGCUGCCUGAUGCUCCUUGCUCUGAGGAACAUGCUUGGUAUUUCAAUAACAACUUGUAUGUCUCUCAUGCAACACAUAUAAUUAACGUUUCUUGUUUUGGGUCCAGAAUGACCACGCUCCGUUUGCUGCCACUGCCCAUGUGCUGAUUAAUUUUGCUUGUGUACAGUGCAACAGAGGUAUAUGUUUUGCAGACAAGAUGAAACUUCUCUACAUAUCCAUAGUAGACAUACAGGUAAAGAAACAUGCAUGUAAGGAAAAUGGCUGUCAAAGUCAUUGUUCUGAUUUUAGGGAUUGAGUGACAUCAAUAUCAAUAGGACUGAUAUGUUUGUCAAAGUCUUUCAUCCUUGUAGGAUCUUUACCAUGUCCAUGUCCAUGCCAUAGGCCACGGCCGUGCCAUGUCCCCUCCACUGGCCGACACGCAUGCACUCAUGCUGGUGAGUGCAACACCCUAAUUUUCAAACUUUGCGAUUAAUAAAUUUUGUUAGAAUUUAAUUGCACAUGACUAAGAAAUUUUAAUGUUGCAUUUAAAUUUUCUUAGACAUUUAAAUCUUUAUCAAAGUAAAUUAAUGAAUCAUAGGAGUUCAUUGUAGCAUUCAUGCUGGUACAUUAUUUUUUGGUUGCUUUUUAAAUAAUAGGGAAACUUUUUUCUUUUCCUUUCCUUUUCCUUUUUCCUCUUUCGGCUGCUCUUCCUUUCGGCCUGGUUUUACCAGCGCAGCAGCAGCCCCAAAUCGGGCCAGCAGCACCCUCCGCGCCAUCCCACUUCCAGCCCAGCUCCGCAGCGCAGCCGCCUUGACCAAUCUUCUUGCGUCGACCCACUCCCGUGCCGCCUCCGCUCCAGUUGCUGACAGGUGGGGCCUGCCUAUCAUCCCUCUCCUCGUGCCACACUUGAACCGGACUCCAGUCUGAGUUCCGGCCACUCCCAUCCGCCCCCGCCUUCCUUGGCCCGCACGCCAAGACGCCCUCCCCGAGCCUAUUUAAACCACCACCGCACCCCCUCAACCCUACCAAGAAAACCCUAAGCUCCCGCGCCCUAGCUCGAGCUCGUCGACGACGACCUGCCCCGUCGUCGCCUUCCAAUCACCAGAAGCACCACCCGGAGCACCGCAAGGAGGUAGAGAAACCUCCCAUGAAGAUCUCGUGCGCUCCCGUGCUUCCUUCCGUGCGCACGAGCUCGCCGUAGUUGAGCUCCUCCGCCCGAGCCGCCCCACCACGUCGCCCUUCCCCUCCGUCACCUCGGCCGCCAUGGGAACCACCUAGAUUGGUUCGCAAGCUCCCCAGCUUCGUCCCAAGCUAGUCCCCAUCGAGUUUUGUGGUUGGGAACUCGAGCUUUGCUCGAUUACGGUGAACUUCGCCGCCCAGUGCCGCCAGGCGCCACCGCCCACCACCGCGUAGCGCUGCCAGCCGCCCGAUCCCGAUCCAAUGGCUCAGAUCAAAUCUGACUGGAGUCAAUCCGGUCGCGCCGUUGCUCUUUUGCUAAAGAGAUCUCGAGUUUUCUUGUUUUUGCACCCAAGGUCCAGCGCAGUUCAAAAGUAAUUAGAUCUAGGUCCUUUUUCUUCCAUUUUAGCCCCUCCCUUUCUUAGUUUUUAUGCUCGCCAUCCUAGAUAUGCUCUUUUAUAUAGUAGACCUUCGGUUUCUGCGCAUAAUUAGGUUUUAGCCCUUGGUUUCUUUAAGUUUAGCCCCUGAAAGUUUACUUUUCUUGCAGAUAAGCCCUUACAUCUUGUCUAGGCUAUAUCUUUAGGGUUUUAUAUCCAUUUUGAAUGAUUUUUGCGUCUACAAGUUCGUCUUAAUCUGUAGACUAAUUUUAUGAACUUGUUUUCUCUAUUGCUACUAUUUGGUGUAUUAUUUUCUUAUUUUAGUUCUUUGUUUGCUUGUAUGUACUUGUUUGAUGUGAGUAGAUGUAUGUACUUGUUUGAUGUGAGUAGAAGGACCGCAGUUCGAGGGAUUCAAAGAUCAAGCCUUUGAAGACUUCGAGCAGCAAGAGCAAGUUCAGGAAGGCAAGUCGUACCCUUGAUGACAAUUUGAUCCUAUGCAAUCUUUACUUUUAUGUUCAAUACACAUAUGCUAUGGACAUUAGGUUAUAAACAUGAUGGUUCCUAUAUAAGGUUUGCCUAGUUCUAUCCUUAUGCCUUGAUCAACCUGGGUUUAUAUCAUGUUGGAUAGUUCUUGCUUAGUUGCUCUAUUUGGGUAUGGUGGUAUUAAUAAACCAAGGUUUAAACUUUUUUUAUUUAUGCUAUACCUUUCAUUAAUACAAGAUCACCAUGCUUAAUUGGAACAUGGAGAACCACCUAGGAAAAUAGUACAACCAUAAGAACUAUAUGGCUCUGGUCUUGGCUAAUUUAUUAAAGACUCUAGUCUGGGGUAACCUUACCGAAAGGGCAAGAGGGGAGGCGUUGAUGGGGUAUAACCCAGCCCUCUAGCUGAUCUGCUCUAUGGUAGCUUCGCAAUCUUGAGAGAGGUUUAUGCUCUGCUUCGACCUGGAACCUUAGCGGGUUACUACUUACUAGGGAAUCUUUGUAAAGGCCUUGUUGCAUCCCUGUGCAAUCACACCUUGAAAAUGUGGUAUUGUGCUUGGCCGGCACAGUAUGGUUGGGUCUAAAAUUCUUUUGAACUUUUACGCGACUUGUGGGUAAAGAUGUGCAAUCUCUGCAGAGUGUAAAACUGAUCGAUCAGCCAUGCUCAUGGUCAAGAGCGGUCUGGAUCAUCACAUGAUUAAUUUAUCAGAAGUUGAAUUAAAUUGAAGUUAUUUAUUUAUUGUUAUCUUUAUGUAUGUUCAUGUUUAAUUUGGGGGUAUAAACUUAUACUUAGUAAUUAUUAAUAAAACUUGACCAACCAAUUAAAAUGUUGAAAUGCUGUUAAACCUUAGCCUAUCAUUGAAUGGCCUUACACUACACAUUCCUCAUGCUUGCUGCGUACCAACCAUAAGUGCACUCACACUUGCUAAAACUACUGCUCAGACCAAGUCAAUCCCGAGGAGGUCCUUGAAGACUUUCAGGAGUUCUAGGUGAACGUGUGCCACUAGUCAACAACCUGUGGAGUCGUCGUCAUCGUUGGAGUUCUGCUGCUAGAAUAAAGACUUAUUUGCUAUUUUAUUUAAAGACCUUCGGUCAUGUAAUAAAUUCAAUACUCUCUUUACAUUUUGGCACUGUCUAUGGUAUUUACUGAAGUCGUUGCAUGUGUGAAACUUGAUCCUAGCGCACAUGUAAUUUAUUCAUCUGAUUUUUCCUUAACCGGGUGUGACAGAAGUGGUAUCAGAGCUGUGUUGACUAUAGGAUGUUAGCCUAGUUAGAAAAUGGUCGAAUUUAAGGAUUAUAAUGCUUUAGUAGCCAUUCUUACUUAAUGUUUGUUUUAAAUCUGAAUUAAUAUGCUUAUCCUUGCUAUUAUCCUAUCUCCAUUGCUCUACUUGUUUCUUUAUCUUGUUUUAAACAUUUUUUUUACUCUAUGCUUCUUGAUGAUCUUGAUGAUGAGGUCCUUCAAGCUUGCCCGAUGAUCUCGAUGAUCACUCCUACCUAGCGUGCCAGAUGUCGAUGUUUUAUACCCGGCAACCUACCAAAGGGUAUCCCGAGGUAGUAGAUUAGUUGAUGGGGGAUCGACAGACCUCGAACUCGAAGGUAGAAGCGAGGACACAAGACACGGAUUUAUACAGGUUCAGACCGCCAGAGUAGCGUAAUACUCUACGUCCUAUUUGGGAUGUUGUAUAUUACACCCUGCGCUUGGGUGUUGCGUAGCCUGAUUGUUGGCUAUUAAUGAUGGUUCUAUGAGGUCUUGGCCUCUGUUGGUGUGAGCUCUGAUGAUCUAGGUACCCCUAUCCUCCUUUAUAUACUCCAGGGGGUAGGAUAACUAGUCGGUUAUAAGGAGGAGUCCUAGUAGGAUUACAUGGUAUGAGUCCUAGUAGUAUUAUAGAGGAACCGUAGUAAGAGACCGUCUUCUUCCUUCCUUGCGGGUACUAGGGAUCUAUCCUCGACAGGUGCAUAUCAUAUUUGCCGGUCCGUGCUGUGCUGAGUUUAAUCGUGUUGAUGAUCUAUCUCUUACUCAUGAGAUUUGGUCCAAACUCCAGAGUUUCCAUGAGGGGAAUAGUUAGGUGAAGGCACGAUUCUUUGAGACUUACCGGCGUGAGUAUGAAAACUUUGUUCAUUUGUCCGGUGAGUCAGCUAAUGCUUUGUUCCAGCGCUUUCUUGCUAUUGUGAAUAAGAUGAAAGCAAACAUCACCAUCUUACCCUACACUGAUCUUGACAGAGCUUUAAAGCUCCUACAUGCUUUGGAUCACGAGGUGUAGGGUACGAAGGUUGACACUAUCAUCAAGUCCACAAGCUAUGAGACUCUUACAGUUGAUGAACUUUUCGCCAAGCUGAAAUCGACAGAGGUUGACAAGAGGCUCCUAGCAAAACAAGGGAGCCCUACUGAUCCUCAUAGUAUGGCUCUUGUGUCAGGCUCUGGACAGUCUAUGUCUUUGGCUAAUCCUUCCACCAUGUCCUUUGCUUUGUCUUCUUUGUUGUCUGUUUCAGAGGAGCAGUUGGAGGAUCUUGAGGAUGAGGAGCUCGCCUUGAUCACAAGACGGUUCAUGCGCUUCAACAACAACUGCAAGAACCGGCGAAGGAACAACAACAACUGCUUCGAGUGUGCCAAUCCAGGACACUUCGCCGCCAACUACCCCGACAAGAACAAGUCCAAGAACGGGUACAACUACAGCAAGUAUAAGGACAAGGAUAGCAAUAAGAAGAAGAAGUACACCGAUCGUGAGAAGAACGAGUACCGUAAGAAGACCAAAGCGCACGCCUUCAUCGCCUCCCUCAGCAAGAACGGGUACUCGUUUGUAUGGAAUUCCCAUAACAAAUUUGCAUAAUAUUUCAUUCUUUACAACCUGAAGAGCAUAUACAGACGCGUGUUACACAAGAACACAAUUAAAACACCUUCCACGUAUCUACGUAUACUUAAAUACUACAUAUGCAAUAUGCCACUGUUGCGACAAUAGAUGUCACGGAAAUUUUUAUCUUGCAAAUAUGCUCAUUGGGGCUUCCUUUGUCGGGCUGUAAUAAUCAGUGGUUGCUUCACUAGUAUAGUCAUAUGAUGCAUUCGAAGACAACCCUGCCUGCACUGUGAAUGGACUACCAGCAAGGAGUUCACCAGUGCCAUGAAUCUCUGGACCGACCAGUAGUUGGCGUAGUUCCUGUGCCACUUGGCUCAUCGUUGGCCUGCUAGCACCAGUCAUAGCCAAACACUUGUCUGCCAGGCUAGCAACUUGACAAAGUACCAUGUUAUCUUGCUCGGCUAUCUCCCUGUCCACGAGUUCUUCCACGAGUUCCAAAAGCUUGCCCUCCUUUGCGGCAUCCUUGUACACAGAUACAAGGCUCUUCUUAUGUUUCGAUAUAGUGGCAUCCUGCGUGUUAAUAGUUCAAGAAGAACAACACCAAAGCUGUAUACAUCACUCUUAUCAGUGAGCUCAAAGAUAGGUACUCUGGAUCUAUGUAGCCCAUUGUCCCUUUAACUGCUUGAAGGUUUUCUUCAGCUGAUAUAAUCAUCGAGCACCCAAAAUCAGAUACCUUAGCGGAAAGAUUGUGGUCUAGGAGAAUGUUUGCAGACUUGACAUGCCCAUGAAAGAUUGGGUGGCUAAGUGUAUGUAGGUAGGCAAGGGCUUCAGCAGCUUGAGCUGCAAUCCUCAAACGGAUCUCUAGUGUUCUAAUGGAUGCCUUGUCUUGGACAUGGAUUAGAUGGUGUAGAGUAUCGUUCGGAACAAAUUCGUACAAUAGAACUGGAGGUUCAAAAUGUAAACUGUAACAAAGAAGUUCGACAAUGUUUUCGUGUGUGACUCGAGAAAGUAUGAGCAGCUCCUGUCCAAAUUCUAGGAUCCUAUCUUGGUCGAGGUUCUUGCAUCUCUUGAUUGCAACUGGGUUAUUGUCUGAAUCAAUAUUAUACGCUUUAAAAACUGUCCCCUGACCUCCUUCACCUAUGACUCCUCGGUCAUCAAAGUUGUUUGUUGCCAAUUCAAUCUGUUCUCUGUCAUACAACUUAAAUGAACUGUUCUCUAUUUUCAUCAUAUCAAUUAACAGUUGACCUCAGUGCUGAGGAAAAUAAGCAUCCCUCUUACUGAUGAGAUCCUGUUUCGGGAUCCUCUACUUAUGCCUGAUCCACUCUAUCGCAAGAAAAAUAAUCAGGCCCAAAAACACAGCGGUGCAAAUUCCUGUUAAACGGAAAACAAAAAUCUUGUAAGACAAAUACAAGUCAAUGAGAGCUUGCUGAAAUACAUUUUGUAGUCGAAUUUUGUGAAGUCUGAGAGAUGAAGUUCAUCAGAAAUAUCCAUUGACUACCAAAAGGAGAAAGAGUUACUACAAACUUGUAACACCCCGUCCUCCAAAGCCGCACUGUCCAGCCCUUCUGAUGGGGCAGGCACGCGUAUACAUAGUACCCUGCUUACACUUUUGUCCUCGCUUCGUGUAAAAUGAUUAACCUAAGGUUGCAAUUAUGGUUGAAAACGGUUGGGAUAUACCUCGUUCCGUUUUGCCCCGAUUUCUACAUUUAACCCAAUCGUAUUCAUAUUUUUGGACAAAAACAGAAUCGGUACGAAAAACGAAACAUGAAAUUCGAAAUCGGACGAAAUCGGUUUAGGCUCUUUCUCGAUCGUUUUUGCAUAUCCCGUUUUCAUUUCGGGAUAAACCGUAUACAUUCCGAAUUUUGCAGCUUGCAGAACAGCAAAAGUGUGGAGCAGCCUAAGCAAGCCCAGGCCUAGCAGGCCAACAACUCGAGCAGCCAGCGGCCUAGCCCAACAAAGAUAGGGUUUACACCCAGCGGCUGCCCUCCGCCUAGCCUUGCCGGCCGCCUCCCCCCCUCUUGAUGCUGCGAGAUGCGACGCGACGCAACCCCGCCCAGCCGCCCCCGCCUCUGCUCGCCUCCGCUUGGCCUGGCCGGCCGGCUCCCCCCUCUCGACGGUGCGAGACGCGACCCCGCCCCUGCCCCUGCCCACCUCCGCCUGGCCUGGCCGGCCGGCUCUCCCCCUCGACAGCACAAGACGCGACCCCGCCCCCAGCUGGCCGGCUCCCUCGAAAACAAUGGCACCCACCGGAGAAACUCCUUCUAGAUCGAGAGGCGGCAGGACCAAGACCAAGAGUGUGCGUAGGCUUAUGGAGCCGCCGUCAGGCACGCCACCACUUCUUCCUUGUCCAGCAACUGACGAAUUCGUAGCUAGCAAAUUAGUAGCUUGUAGAUUCUUAGUGUUGUACAUCUAGAUGCAGCCAUGCAGGUUGAUGAUUUAGCAAUAUUUUCCUUUUUUCUUAUCAGAAUCUAGAAGUAAAAGACUUGCAUCUCAAGAACCUAGUGCUACUCCUAGUUCUAGUCGAACUCCAGCACCACCAUCUGUAAGGGGUUCUUCAACACCAAGUGAAGCUACCACUCCAAUUACAAAUCUAGAUGUCCAGAUACAAGGUGAUGAAGCAACUCCAAUUACAAAUCUAGAUGUCCAGAUACAGGGUGAUGAAGCUGCAACUCCAAUUACAAUUCCAGAUGACCUAGAGGAAGAUGAAGAGGAUGACGAAGACCAAGAGCAAGCUCAACUGACUGGCAAGAGGAGGAAGAGGUGCACAUCAGCAGUCUGGAAGUACUUUACAAAGAAACUUGAGGUUGUAGAGGUGAAUGGACAGAAGUAUGAGCAGUUGUGGGGAUACUGUAACUUCCCAAAGUGCAAGCAAAGGUACAGAGCUGAAGGAAACCAUGGGACAACUUGGGUUAGGAACCAUUUGAAGUCGCAACACAAUAUUGUAAGAGGACAGCAACAGCUCAAAGUUGGUAAGGACCCUGGUACUGAGAUUACUCAUGUUCAGCCCUACAAAUAUGACCAAGAAGUUAGUUUGCAGAAAUUAAAUUUGGCAAUAAUCAUGCAUGAAUAUCCUUUCAACAUAGUUGAGCAUGAGUAUCUUGUUGAUUUCAUAAAGUCUCUUCGUCCUAAUUUUCCGAUUAAGUCACGUAUCACUAUUCGGAAAGAAAUAAUGGAUAAAUAUUUGGAAGAGAAGGAAGCAUUGUAUGCGUACUUGAAAACUAUGUAGUGCUGCUUUAGUGCAACCAUGGAUAUGUGGACCUCAUGCCAAAACAAAGGAUACAUGUGUGUCACAAUUCACUGGGUAGAUGAUGAGUGGCAUAUGCAGAAGAGAAUUAUUGGUUUUCUCAAUGUGAAAGGAAGGCAUACCAGUGCAAACCUGUCAGAAAUAUUUACUAAAGUUAUGGUUAAUUGGUACAUUGAGAAGAGAUUGUUUGCCUUGACUUUAGAUAAUGCUAGUUCUAAUGAAGUGGCUGUUCAUGAUAUAAUUUUAGAUCUUAAAGAUAAUGGUAAUGGCUCUCUAGUUUGUGAUGGGAUCUUUUUUCAUGUUAGAUGUGCCUGUCAUAUCCUCAAUUUGGUUGCUAGAGAUGGGUUGAAAGCAAUUUCAGGAACAAUUACCAAAAUCAAAUCACUUGUGUUAGCUGUGAAAGGAUCUCCAUUACAAUGGGAAAUGCUUUUGAAGUGUGCCACUAAAUCUAGAUUGGACACAAAGAGGGGUAUCUCAAUGGAUGUGUCGACUAGGUGAAAUUCUACCUAUCUCAUGCUGAGAGAUGCUUUGUACUAUGAGGAUGCUUUUGUGAGGCUGAAGUCUGCAAAUCGUCGUAGGUAUGCCAAAAUGUCUCCAUCACCUGCUGAAUGGGGCAAGGCAUUUACACUUUAUCAAUGCUUGAAGAAAUUUUAUGACCUCACUGAAAUUCUGUCCCGUACUUCAUAUCCUACUGCAAACUUGUUUUAUAAAGGUUUCUGUGAUAUAAAACUCAUGUUUGAUGAAUGGUGCUUUAGUGAUGAUGCCACAAUUAGUGCAAUGGCAAUUGUAAUGAAUGAAAAGUUUGAGAAACAUUGGCAGCAGUCCAACAUUGCUCUUGCUGUAGCUUAUUUUCUUGAUCCUAGAUAUAAGAAAAAUCUUAUUGAAUACUACAUGAGGAAGUUCUAUGGUGAUGAAUAUCAAGUUAAACUUGAUGAGUUUGUUAGUGUGAUAAAGAAGUUGUAUCAGUUUUAUGCUAGUUCGGCUAAUGCAACAUCAAAUAAGAAAAGUAGCAGAACUGAACCUAGUAAUGCAACAGAUAUAUUAAUGGGCAAUGUAGAUCAAGACCUUGAAAACUUCUUAUAUUCUGCAAGUGAACCUGGUAUGGUUGAGUCAAAUGAGUUGGAGAAGUAGAUGGCCGAACGUCUUCAGAAAAUUGCUGGUGAGUUUGACAUCUUAGCUUGGUGGAAGAACAAGAGGGAGGACUAUCCUAUCCUUACACAAAUUGUUCGUGAUGUGAUGGGCAUACAAGUAUCGACUGUUGCAUCCGAGUCUGCUUUUAGUGCUGCUGGUCGUGUUGUUGAUCCCUACUGUAAUCGUCUUGACCUUGAGAUUGUAGAGGCAUUGAUUUGCACCAAAGAUUGGGUAGCUACAACAAGAAAAGGUGAUGAUCUGUAGUUCUGUACAUACUUUUCAGUUACAAACUUAUAUUUGCACUUGAAAAAUGGACUGAUUUCAUAUCUUUCUUUUUUAUUCAGAUUCUAAAAAUGUUGGAUCAAUUGUGAGUGACCUUGAAGUGGAGGCAUUGUCUACUGCAAUGGUUAACAAGCUUAAGUUUGAGGUAUAUUUUCAUUUGGUCAUUUUAGAUUAUCAAUAUCUUUACUGCUUGUUACUUGUAACUCCUUUCAUUGAUCCUUAUUAACUGUUAUACUGCUUUUCUUCACAAUGGCAACUUGCCAACUUGCAGCAGGAAGAAAUCAAUGAGGGGAAUGAAUGGGACACUAAGAAACUAGAAGACAUGGGAAGUGAUCCAGAUGCCAUGGAAAGUGCUGCUGAAAUAUAACCUAUUGGCUAGCCCAAAUGGCUCUAAAUAAUUAUGUUUUAGUUGUAGUCAAAACUAGUGCUUUGCUGCUUUUUUGCUAUGCUCUUCGGCUGGGAGCCUGGAUUGGAGCUAUGGACUAUGGACUAUGGUGGUGUUCUGUCAGUCUGUGUGACUCUGACAAUAUAUUAUACCCUUAUGCUAUUUAGAUCUAUUGCCCAUUUAUCAAUUGUCAUGGUGAAUUGGUGAUUUGUGUAUCAAUGUAUGUGUACAAGUGAAUUGGGCAUGACCAUGUGUGGUUGUGUCAGUACCGGACUGUUGGCAUGUUGUCAACUUGUCAUGCUCAACUAGGUUUUACGAGCUGGUGUUUCUGUUUUGCUUUUUGUAUUCCGACCGUGUUCGACAUGUUCCCGAUCGAAUUAGUUCGUUUUCGAUAUCCCGUUAGUUCGUUUUCAUGUUCGUUUCCGACCUUCCCGAAUUCCAUUUCGUUUUCGUAUUGAAAUGUAAAAGUGAAAACGGUAUUAGGGUUAUCUCGACUGAGUUCGACCGCUUUCAACCCUAGUUGCACUGCCUCCUAGAGUUGGCUAUUUACGUUAGCUCAUCACACUCUCAACUUUCCAUUUGGAACUAAAGUCCUAGAGCUACCAUGCCACAUGCAUGGCACUCCAAAUUGUCCUAGCCCAACUGGCCCAUGGAAAGUUCUAGAGGUCUUUCCACGAGCUCCAAGUAUUUUAUCUAUGUUCCUCGUAUCCCGAACCAUCUCCAGGAAUUUUCAUGAAUUUUUGAGAGUUAUGGGAGUAUUUUUCGUGAUUUAGAAAUGAUUUUAGAAUUUUCUAGAAUUGUUUUCGAUUUCAAAAUUAAUUACCAAAAACAAAAGUUAUAAAAAGGAGGAAAAUAUAACCAACUCCAACCCGGUCCAUAAAUAUUUUCCGGUGAUCUCCGUAACAUCCUUUUUCCAACCCCGCUAGUUCCACCUUAUUUCGACAACCUAGCUCCCGCGUAUCGAUGUCGAACGUGUGCAUCAGCUAAACUACGGCAAGCUUUUGCAGUGAGAAAUUCGAUGAGCAAAUCCGGUGAAACCGUAAAUCUUUAUCGAAGUUGAGCGCACCAUGGCGUUGGUGUCGUCGUCGACGUUCCGUUUUACCGCUUCGGUGCGAGUUUGGUGGCCGUUCCCCGCCGAUUCCUUGUUUUCCUCUUUCUUUCUGUUUCUAGUUGCCGGCCAUGGCCAUGGCUUUUCCUCCCGAGCUUCCCCGCAGCACUCGCGCGGCCCCUGGGCGCCCGCACCCUCGCUUGCCGCCGCCGCCUGCUCGCCGAGCCUCUGCGCCGCUUCGCCCCUGCGCCGCGCUGCUUCCCAUGCUCCGCCCCCUAGCAGGCCGCGCCGCGCCCCUACCUGUGCGACGCCAGCCCUCGCGCCUCGCGCUCGCCCAACCGCGCCCCGCGCAGCCGCCCUGCGUAGGGCUGCAGCCGCCACCCAGAUGCGCCGCCGCCUACCGCAGCUCCCCGCGUGCCCCUCCCCUGGCUGGCCGCCCGCCGGCAAGGCCCAUCCACCGGCUACACAGAUCGGGUUGACCGACCCAAGGUUGAAGAUGAAGGCAGUUUUUCGUUUCGGCCCCCGAAGAAAGUCCUAAUAUUAUAACCAGUACAAGUUUAAGUUUUUAACGCAUUUAUGCCCUCGGUAAGGUAGUUUUUCAUUUCGGCCCCCGAAGAAAGUCCUAAUCUUAUAACCAGUACAAGUUUAAGUUUUUAACAUAUUUAUGCCCUCGGUUUUCGCAGUUAAGCUCCUAGAAGUUUUUAAAUCUCCUCAGCAAGUUCCUAGAGAUUUCUUAAGCCAUAUCUUUCGCAUUUUAGCUCUGUUUUGAGUGAUUCUUUUGCUCACGUGUUCGUAUUAACAUAUAGAUUAGUUUUGUAUCGCUGAUGUUUGGUGUACUGUUUCUUUUUUUAUUGUAUUGUUUUCUUUGCAUAUGUUUGUGUGAUGCGUAGAGAACGUGCCGUUCGAGGUUUUUCUUGAAGAUCAAGGCUUUGAAGACUCUGAGCAGCAGCAGGGCUUAAAGGAAGGCAAGUGUGUCCUUGUACUUUUGUCCUAAUGAUCUUAUUCAAUCACUAUUGCAUUUGCUUGUAUUUAAUUUGACGGGUCCUAUUAAGGUUUGUCUUGUUUUUAUGAUCAUUCCUUGUCAACCUGGGUUUAUCUUUCCGUUGGGUAGCUAUGCUUAGUUGCAAUAGCUUGGGUUAUGGUGGUUUAGUGAACAUGAAUAUAAACUUAUUUUAUUUAUGCUAUAGCUCUAGUUAAUUACAAGAAUACCAUGCAUUAAUUGGAACAUGGAGCAACCACCUAGGAAAACAGUGCAACCAAGAACUAAUGGGCUCUGAUCUUGGCUAAUUAAGUAGAGACUCUAGUCUAAGAUAACCUUACCGAAAUGGAAAAAGGGAAGGUGUUGAUGGGGUAUAACCCGACCCUUAGGCUGAUCUGCUCUAUGGUAGCUUCGCAGUCUUGAGAGAGGUUUAUGCUCUGCUUCGACCUGAAACUUUAGCGGGUUACCACUUACUAGGGAAUCUUUGUAAAGGCCUCAAAGCAUCCCUAUGCAAUCACACCUCGGUAGUGUGAUAAGUGCCUGGCCCGCAUAGUAUGGUUGGGUCUAAAGUUUUUCUAAAUUUUUACAUGACUUGUGGGUAAAGAUGUACAACCUCUGUCUAAAACUGAUCGAUCAGUCGUGCUCACGGUCAAGAGCGGCCUGAACUCUCAUAUGAUAAUUGAACUUGAAGAUGGACUUAAAUUAUGGUUAUGGUUAUGCUUUCACCAUAUGCUUAUGGCUCAUAUUUAUGUUAAUGUGGGUUGGUAUGUACUUAUACCUUAGUAUUCAGGUGCUAAUAAAAUUGACCAACUAAAAUUGCUUAUUGUAGUAAACCAGUAAGUCUCUCCUUGUUUAAGCCUUGCAUUCAUACGUUCCCCACACUUGCUGAGUAUGACAUGUGCUCACCCUUGCUAUAACCAACGUUGCUCAGAAGAAGAGGCUCCUAUGAAGUUGUUGUGAAGAUGGUGCUGAGAUCUAGGCGUACGCAACUUUCGGUCCAUUUCCUAUGAAGUUUGGAGCCUCCGUUUUGAGGAUUACACUGUAAAUCUCUUACAGACUCUCUUUCUUUUCGUGAUACCAUUGCUAUUAUUCACUUAUGAUGUCACUAUAUGAAUGAAAUUUGUAUGAAAUUAGAUCCUGACAUACAUAUAGGUAGCACUUGAUUUUGUUUCAAAACUGUGUGUGAUGGAAGCUAUGCGCAACGCAAGAGGUCGUAGGUUCGAAUCGCACACACCGCACACAAGCAUAUUUCGCGUGAAAAAUUGCGUGACUUGUGCGCAUGUGUGAGCAUCCCCGAAUUCGUAAUCCUCGUUGGGAAAUCGAGGUUAGUUGUUCGUGUACUGCACGUCAAAAUGUGCCGCGCGUGAGAAACACGCUCAUUUGUCAGUUUACGCGGGAUGAUUGAUAGAAGUAGGCGAAACUGAUGCUAGGUUGGCAACUUUUGCCGGGUCAUCGCGCUCACCCGCGCCCUCCUCCAGUCUUCCCAUCGAGUAGACCGACCAAAAAGGUGUGGGUAGGUGCUUCACGAAGUAUCACCAUCAAGCCAACACGCGUUUACUCAGUCAACCAACGCACGAGGGUUUGGAGUUUUCUUUUCAUUCUAUCAUGAAAGCAGUACAUAUCUCGCGACUUGGACGCGUUUACUCAGUCAACCAUUCUACCGAAGAGGAUGAUGGUGAUGAUGGCGGCAGCAUCAUGUUCUCUGCAUAUCUGGACAAAGGGGAAGAAAGAGGGGUAGGGUGAGGAUCGGGUGGAGGAGAGUGUGUGCCAGGUACGGUGGUUUUUUUUUUCAUGGGUGCGAAAGUAUCUUCUACAGUUUAUGCUAACAUUCAACCCUCUUUGAUAGAAAGGUUAAAGGGCUUUAAUCUUAAGUAAUGUUAUGCGAAGUUAUUCAAAAUGAUGCAUUGCUAAAUGUGUUAGGCAUCUUGCUGGCUCCUGUUAUAGUGUUAUUACAACGAAACUUGAGUUGCUAUAUAAAGUAUGUACAAAUUUUCUAUAAAAAACCUUCAUUGCAUCUUUACAAGAGAAGCAUAAGUGGCAACCUUAUCAAAACCAUAUACAGACUAUUAAAAAUGUUACUAGAAUCCUCACUACCAUAUACAGACUAUUAAAAAUGUUACUAGAAUUCUCACUACCAGAAUCUAGAAGUUUACCAUGUGUCUAUAGCACACGGCGAAGAACAAAAAAUACUCAGCAAAACCUUUACCGAGUGUUACACUCGGCAAACAGUACACAGCAUAAACAGUGCCGGCAAAGUUUCUUUGCCGAGUGUUUUUAUCGGGCACUCCGCAAAUAUUUUGCCGACUGCUAAAACCGACGCUCGGCAAAAAAAAAAGUAACGUAACGGCACGAAGACGGUCACGGCGCGUUUGCCGAGUGUCUAACGGCAAGGGCACUUGGCAAAUAAGGCAUGUUUGCCGAGUGUUUCUUCCGUGGACACUCGGCAAACAUGGCCUCUUUGCCGAGUGUCACAGCCCAGACACUCGGCAAAGAUGUAUCUGCCCAAAGCAUUAUUGUAUUUCUCCAAGCUAUAUAUUCAAUUCUAUCAUGAUCACCUAGACAUAAAUUCAUUAUGAUAACAUUGAUAAUCAACAUAUAGAAGCUCCCACAAACAGUACUGCCACAUUGUUCACAUGACAAUGGCAUCCUCAUGUACCAUCUCCUGACCAAAAGUAUUAUUACCUACAAAUUCUCUAUUUCUAGCAAUGAACCAGAUACUAGUCUAACUAUGCUUCUGAUCAAUUUAGCUUUCCAUCCCUGCAAAAAAGAAAAUUUUGAUUAAGCUAAAGGGUAACAGAAAAUGCAUAAAUGACUUACACAUACAUUCUGGUAGCCAUAUCUAAAGGGUAACAAAAAUCUAACUAAGCAUACUACAUGAUGCUGCCUCAUACAGUAGAGUAGCCUGGAGUAGCAUGUAAUAGAUUAAGCAGAGUGAUGUGCAUGUAAAGUGUAAGCGUUGAAUUGUGUGUGCUUGUAAUGAAACUAUAAAAAAACAGUACAUACAAGUGGCAACUAGAUAAUCUGGCAAUAAAGCACACAAAUUAAAGGUUCUGAACUAACAUGGAAAAUUCAAACUAAUCUGCAGUUCUGCACUCAAAGCACCCUUUUAACAGCGACUCUAUGCUUAGUGCGGCAACACAUACACAAUGUAGUAAAUCAGAAACAUUACCAGUGCCUUGCGGAACUCUUUCUUUCCUCACAAAGCAUCACCAUGACCUGCAACACCCCAACUUGCACAUCAGCUCCCCAAAAAAUAAACCCGGCCAUGUAGCCAUGUAGGUAACAUAAUUGGCAUUGCAAAAUGCUUUCCAUGCAGGAAUACCCAAACAUUUUAUCAUACAUCAACUAUCCUAAAAUCAAUCGAUGCGUUUUAUUUUUAGCAAUAUGGCCUCAGAUAUCAGGAGCUCACAGCAGCCUAGCAUAAAAGUGAGAACAAAUCAGGCAGCACUUGCCGAGCUGCUGCUUAAAGGAAGCUUACCAGGGAAGCCUUGUGAACAUAUAUGCUUGAAUCCUUGAGAUAGCACUGAUGUGUGUAGUUCUGCACAAAAAAACGAUGAGAAGAUAUCACAACUUAUAGAUCUCCUUUGCAUAGCUGUUAAGCUUCAGUAUAUAUAGAAGUGUAGAUUAAAUAGUUCUAGAUGACACAGAGCUCGUUCGUUUCGGCUGGAACGGCCUGGAACGUGGCAUGUUCCACUUGGAUCGAAUAGGUCAAAACCAGGCUGGACCAAAAAUGAUUGUUCGUUUAGAUACGGCCCGGAAUGAAAACGGACCUGGAUUGAAAUUCUCCUCCACUAUGCAGUCCGGAUCGGAUCCGUAUGUCCUCACCUCUGGAUCGGAACCAGCGGACGGCACUGGCGGCGCGAGGCUCUACGAGGUGACGCUAGGUGCGGCUCCGCUGGUGGCGAGCGAAGCGACGCGGGGGUGGCGCGAGGUGGCGGCGUGGCGGUGUGAGGUGACAGCGUGGGACAUCUUCGACGGCCACCACCGCGACAACGGCCACCGCCUUCUCGCCGGUAAGCCACUACCUUCGCCGGCGCUUGAUCUGGGCACUCAUUACUUAACCUGUCGAUGGCUCGUUUCUUGGUAACCUGUCGAUGGAUCCGGAGAAGCAGAUCGAUGGUAACCUGUCUCUGCCGCCUCUGAAUCUUGGGUUACAUAUUUCUUUCAUUCGCUUUUGUUUUGGAGGAGAUGAAACUGCAUCGCGUUUGGUCGAUGCUUUCUCCUCGAUGCUCCUAGCUCCCUUUUCGAUUUGUGUUCAUCAAAUCCAGAGAGGCGGUAGAGGGGCUCUUGUUGUACGCUGCUGGUGUAUGUAAGUACAGUAUAUUCUUAUACUUGUUUAAACCUUUGAAGAAAUCAAUCAUGCGAAUUGAAAAUGAAACCCAAAUUCUUUAGAGCAACAGGCAUUGCCGCCUGCAUCCACUAGCUAUUAUGAUGAACUGAACUGUUAUCCCGAUCGUGUCUAGGAUAGGCUCACCGAUCGAUCAAAACGCCAUCUUGUGUUCCUUGCUGGAACUCUUCCUGUCGUUGCCUGUUGGGAUUGGCAUUUGCAUUUUGGGAGGAUGCGGGAACAUUCGAUGGCCGGGGGCGUGGUUGGUGUGAGCUGUGACUUUGACUUGGUGAAGCAAGAGGUUGAGGACUCUUGGUGUGAAAUUUGAGGUGAAUAUGCUCCCGGUCAUGCUUGCUGGCAGUGGCAGGUACUCCCUCCGUCCCGAUUUAACUGUCGCUCGGGAAUCAGGAUUGUGAGGGGAAUACGGUUCCCGAGCGACAGUUAAUAGGGGACAGAGGGAUCGGAGUAGAUAAUUGCAAAAAGGGAAAGCAAGAGCCCCAAUCAAGACCACAGGAUUGGUGAAGCUAAUGGGUGAAUAUUUUAGUUUCGAAUUUUUCAGAAUCGAAGAAAGAUGGUGCUUGGUCGAGCAAGAUUCUUUAGUACAAGUUAUUCUGAAAGAAUUGAGAUAUUGAGUUGACCUAGUGAAGUACUGAAAAUAGCUAUUAGUUCUAGUUCAUCUAUUUAAUAUAUCCAGAAUUGUUUAAUCGAUCUGACUAUCUAGAAUUGUAAUGUUAAAUUUUCAACAUGGUUCUAUGUGAUCAUAAUGUAUUUUUCUUUUAAGUGGACAAGUAAACUUAAACUUGUUGCUGUAAAUUUGCUGGUUUAAGAACAGGACAAUCUAUUCCUAUCCAGCUGAAUAACACACAUUUGGAAAGCUGGAAUAGUUCCUGGACCGGAAUAGAACCAGAUCAGGAUUGAGUGAAGGAGCCGGAUUCACUUAAUCAGGCCCUGGAAUGGUUCCUGGACAGGAAACAUUCCAGAGGAACCGAACAAGCCCUAAAUGAUCUGUUUCUACACCCAUAAUCCAAACAUCUUACAGUCGAUUCAUGAAUCUUGUGCAAAAACACUAUGCAUCACUAUGCAUCAUGCUUGUUCUAUGAUUUGGCAUUGCUGUCGAAUUUUGAAUCUUAAUGUCUUCUGCAAUCUAUUCUUUUCAGUAUAUUUCGUUCAUAGCUUACAUAGUGUAUAUGUGGGUGCUACUAAUUACUAUACAUAGUGUAUAUGUGGGUGCUACUAAUUACUACUCCCGAGGAGUUAAGUUGUGUUAGAACUGUGCUGGUCUGCGCGUACUUACACACUAGUAGAGAAUUGGCCUUUAGUCCCGGUUGGUAGGGUGCAUAUCUCCCGAAAAUCCAUUCGGGAUAAACCAACCGGGACAAAAGGGGGGUCUUUAGUCCCGGCUGGAUUCCAACCGGGACUAAAUGGCGCCCUGCAUGGCACUGCCUGGCGCCUGAAUUUUUCAUGCAUGCAUCACAUACGUAGUACCGCGGCCCUUUUGUUAACCUUUAGUAGUUGAGAUUUUUUUAGAACGAAAUCAACUAGUAUUUAAACGAAUGGGAUUUGUAAUUAUACAAUUACUAUAUAUAUACACAAUUCUUAUACACAAUUCAACUAGUACAAAUCGAUCAUAAUUAGCGCGUAUUAUAUAUACAAAUAAAUCAAAGUAUCUAUCUACAAUCUUCCCGUCGUGGUGUUGCUGAUCGGAGUGUCUAAUUGUCGUCCAUCGUAAUAAAAUUCUCCUUUUGGAUCUACCACAUCGUCCAUUAGGAAUCCAAUGAGACCUUCACAUAUUGCCGCUACUCUUUCUUCCUUCAAGAGUCCUUGUUGAAUAUUUAACAUCUAUAAUUUGGAAAUUUGUGAAUGUUACAUGAACAAAUACAUAUAAGGAGCUAGAAAAUAAUUAACUAGUAAUAGUUUUAUUUUAUGUACUUUAAAGUUGUGCGGCGUCAUCUUCAGUCCCUUGGGUCCCAUAAAACUGUGCAUGUGCUCACAGAUGUAGUAGCCAUAUAGAUUAUUCCCGGAUUCCUGUCUUAAGCACUUCAGUGCGGAAAAUAAUAAGUUACGAAAUAUUCUUGUUAUACAAUGUAAUAAAUGUGCAGACUUCAUACGUACCGGGAAGUCUGUGUUCCAUGUAAGUUUUUCUUUGAAUGGACCUUUGUGUGUCCUUAUGAAUUGUUUUCAUGCAUUGCGGAUUAGAAUAAUGAAUGAUAUAGUGUAACAGGGAUAAAAUUUAGGAAACAAACUUUUGCAUAGAGAUAAAGGUCCAGAAUUAUUACAAGCCUAGCAUGUCUUGCACUUCUUGGUACUCCACCGGAUCUUUCCUCAACGAAUCGAAGACAGUGACGUGGCUUCUUUCAGGCUCAAUUAUAAUAAGGAUCCAGUGGAAGCUGCGUGCGUAAAAUGUUCAUGCAUAUUAGAGCUAACUAACAUGUAGAGAUAAGGAAAAAGACAUCGAAAGUAGACGGUAUACACACACUUACUUGAAGUUGUAUGGAAGUAGUAUGAAAUCCUUGAAUGUUUGUUUGUCUAGGAAAUUGUAUACUUCCACCAAGGUUUUUUCCGGCGCUAAUUGUAUCUGUUGUUGGUUAACUACAGAUGGAUCCAUGAAGCCUAUAUGUAGGUACGCCUCUCGGCGGCAUGUCUGAAUUAGCAUCCUACAUGAAAUGGAAGACGAAGUUAGUACAGUGACGCACGCCAAAAUUUACAUGUAGAGAUAAACGGACACUUACAGAACCCAAGCGCUGAUCAGAGAGACGUCCAGGGCAUCAUGAUGGUACACUUCGUAUAUAUCCUUGAAGUCUAGCCACAGCACUUUCUCGCCUUCGACAUGAAAAUCUAUCGGUUUUACCUUCAGGCCGAGCAUCUCCCUCGAGUCGGCGGAUGCCAUCAUGUACCAUUGAUGGAAUGCAUACAUCUUUGUUGAUAGCUUCCGUACCAAUGAAGGCUUUACUAUAGGUUUGCCUAGCUCAUAAGGCCAUCUCGACUCAGGGGGCGGUGCAGUUGGCGUCUCAACUUGCCCUAUGCAUUCAUCAAGUCCCAGACCUGUUUCUUCCAUGAACUUCAAUACAUUUGCUUGUUGAUCCAAGGGCAUUGCUUUUACCCGUUGAGCAUCUUUUUUUGAUAAAUGGCUGAGGUCGGGGACAGGACCGAUCUCGAGGCGUGGACCAAUUGACAAGAUUGCAUAAAUAUUAUGUAUAAGUAUACCUUAAUAGUGAGGUUGCCGACCGGUGCAUGCAGCUCACAUGAGGUCCGUUGCGUGAUGGCAUCCACGGGGAACCGUUGCUCCUCCAUGGGUAACCUGGGCGUCUGCGCAUCGGGGACCCCUGUAGAAGCACAACUGCUCAAGAGGCGUUGAGAAGGGCUGGCGGGGUUAGGAUUCGGCAAUGCUCCAGAUUGGGCCAACUCCACAACUGCGUGGGCCACUCGACGAUUGAUUUCCUCCAUCAUGCUUUGUUCUUGUGCCUGCACUUUAGAUUCUAGCAUCUGCCGCCAGCUCUCCUCGAUCUGUUCCUUUCUUCGCUUCCAGCUUCUGUACGAGGCGCUGUCGCCUCAGAAAGGAAACUUCCACGGAACCACCCCGAACCCUCGGCAACGUCCUGGGUGCUCCAGAUUACCGAGGGCCAAUGUGAGCUCAUCAUUUGAUCGGUCCACCUUCAACCUCCCAGCCUUAGAAUCUUCAAUGUUCUUCACAAGAUGUUCGGCCUUCUCACGUAUUGUGUCAUUAAAAAUCAACGUCCCAUCCUCUUGGCUCAGGGAGCCUCCAUGAGCGUAGUACCAAUUUUUUGAUCGUUCGAGCCAUUCAAUAGUUGCAGGUACGAUUCCCCGUUCAAUCAGAUCUUGUUCCAUCUUCCUCCACUUGGGAAUUGCUGAGCCAUACCCACCUCGCCCCAGAUGAUGAUGGUAGCCCUUCUGACUAGCAUUUGUUGUGUUGGUCAUGAUCUUUUUCACACCGUCGUCACUCCUCUUAUAUUCAACAAAUGCAUCCCAGUGGUCCCUCAACUUUGGCCACGCAUUGAAGUCUAGAGUUCGGCCCUUCUUAAUGUAGUGGGUAUCCAGCAUCUUCUUGAAUGUCUGAAAUUGUGUAGCCAUCUUCUUAAGCGUCCACGCUUUCACAUCCUUCUCAAUAUAUCCUUCGGGGAAUGUGAAAUGUCUCUUGACAUCUUCCCACAGCAUAUUCUUUUCUGUCUCCGGGAGGGCGUACGGAUUAGUGCUUCUGCCCUUCCAUUCUCUGAUGCUGAUAGGCACGUUGUCCCGGACGAUUACCCCGAUCUGACUCACGUACUUCUUUGCUACUUUCUCGGGAGCAACCGGCCUGCCCUCUUCUGUCACUUCCGUGAUGACAAGCCUCCCUUCCAUCACCUUUGUACGACCUCGGGUCUUCUACCCUUGCGUUGAUCCGGAGGGCUAACAGUUCAAGAUUCGUUAAUUAGUACGUAGUAGUAACGGUGGCGUGAAACAAUACAAGAAUCGUUAUAUAUACCUCGCCGGAACCUUCCACCACGGCAAGGUGUUGCUGGGGCUGUUGCUCUUCAUUUCCAUCGGCGGACAUGUUGAGGAACAUGUCCGCCUGGGUGCCCUCUUCAUCCGUGUACGAUAGUGGAAGGUUGUCACCACUACCAUCACCAGCGAUUAUCUGCUCCAUGAUAUACCUUGCGGUCUCAUCGUCUGCCAUUUCAACUAUUGAUUGAAACAUACAUGGAAUCAUACAUGACAGUCAUAGAAAUCGUCUUACUUAUAUGUAUAUAAUGAAAUCAUAAAAUAACAUGAAUCCUACAAAGUCCGGAAUAUUUAUACAAAUUUCUACAAAUUAGUAGUACUUUAUGAUGAAUUUCUAGCAAUAACAUGAAUUUUUACGAAUUUCUAGCAAUAACAUGAAUUUUUACGAAUUUCUAGCAAUAACAUGAAUUUGCGAAGGCCGGGGCGGCGGGCAGAGGCGGGGACGGAACCACAGGCGGUGCCUAGGUUGUGACGGCGGCGGUCAGGGUGGCGGGACGGCGGAGGCGGGGACGGAACCACGAUGAAACACGAUUCAUUUCUAACCUAGGCAAAGCGACGAACCUAAUUACUACUAAUUUACACUAAUUUGAUUUUUAAACACAUAUACAAAAAUCUAUUGAAUUUGUACCUAAUUACUACCUAUUUAUUUUCUAACUUAAAAAAAGGCCCUUGCUGAUGCAAGCCGGUGGGCUUGCGUCAGCAAGGCGGUACUCCCGGCGCCAGUGCCGGCCGACGCGGCAGACCUCUCGCGCGCGGUCGUCGACGGUGGCCGGGGUGACGAGGUGGCCGGGGUGGCGGGAUGGCGGCGGCCGGGGCGGCGGGACGGCGGCGGCCAGGGCGGCAAGGACGGCGGCCGAGGCGAUGACGGAGCGAAGGCGCGCGGGACAGCGGGACGGGGGAGGCGGGACGGCGACGAGGGGCGACGAGGCGGCGACGAGGAUGGAGGCAGCGAUGAGGCCCGCGAUGGAGCUCUAGUGGCCGGCGGCGACGAGGUAGGGGCCGGGCGCGACGGACGAGGAGGAUCGAGGCGGGCCGGCCGGGGCGAUGGAGGAGGAGGAUGUCUAGGCGCGGUCGGCGGCGGGACGACGACAGCCAGGGCAAUGGGGGACGAUGACGGCGGCGGCUGGCGAGGGAGGCGGACGGGCGGCAACGGAGCAGAACGCGCGCGGGACUUGGUGAAAAUUUUUCUAAGUGUAACUGGCGUGGGGGUAGAAGGGGCUACAGUGCCUUUUAACCCCCCCCUUAUCCCGGUUCGUAAUGGCACCCGGGACUAUCCCGGUUGGUGACGGGACCUGGGACAAAAGGAUGCAUCCGCCAGGUGGGGCUGGGAGCCUACCCUUUUAUCCCGGGUGCCAGCACCAACCGGGAUAAAAGGGGGGGGGGGCUUUUAUCCCGGUUGCAGUUGGCAACCAGGGUAAAAGGGUACGUCCAGGCGGGAGACAAAAAGUACCCUUUUAUCCCGGUUGCAGUUUGCAGCCGGGAUAAAACGGGGGCCUUUUGUCCCGGUUUCAAUUGGCACCCGAGAUAAAAGGUCUUUUUCCUAGUUUUCUUCUCCCGCUUGUUUUUUGGAAAUGGAUUUUAUUUAUCUUUUCACUGCAUUUCAGGAUGAAAAACAAAAACCUUCACAUAUUUUGUACAUGCAAAAAUAUAUUUAAUUAGCGAGUAAAUUGACAAUAAGUAUGAUUUAGUCAUUAAUUCUAUACCAGUUCAUUUAGCCUCUAAAAUAUUUAUUUUACUGCAGCGCUGUGAUCAAGAAAAUAUUCAAUUAAAUAAUUUCAAUGCGCAGAAAAAUCCAUGUUUGUAUGUGGUUAACAUUGUUCAUGUUUAUCUAAAAAAUCUUCACCUAACAAAUUUAAGAACACAUGACAUCAUACAUAGGGUAAAUUAAAAAUUGUAUCAAUUAAUACAUAAAGGUCAUGUAAAUUUAGCGCAUUACAAUACAACGUUGUAAAAUUUCUUCUUCACGAAAGUUCCUUGAUCAUGAUCGCGGCGUAAGUACGGAGCCUCUUCUUUGGAUAGCAGGAUGCUUGGAUCAACUUCAACGGCGAAUGGAGGCAUGCCAUCAAACUGAUCAUAAUCAUCUGAUUGGUCUGUUUUAUCCUCGACUCCCAUGAUUUUUCUUUUACCUGGAAGAACUAUGUGGCACUUUGGCUCCCAUGUCUCUUCUGGAUUCCUCUUGGGUUUGCUACACAUGUCCUUCACAUAGAACACCUGAUGCACAUCAUUGGCAAGUACGAAUAGGUCAUCACUGUAUCCAGUCUUGCUCAGAUCUACUAUUGUCAUUCCGUACUGAUCUUUGGUUACGGCAGUUAGCUUCACCCAAUUGCAAAGAAAUAGAGGGAUGUACAGCGGUCCGUAUUCGAGUUCCCAUAUCUCCUGUAUGAAACCAUAAUACGACUCCUUGCUAUUAUUUCUGUCCAUGGCAUCUAUGCGGACACCACUAUUCUGGUUCGUGCUUUUCUGGUCCUGGGCUCUCGUGUAAAAUGUAUAACCAUUUAUCUCAUAGCCUUGGAAUUUGAUGAUUGUGCUAGCAGGUCCCCUGGCUAACCAGGCAAGCUGUGGGUGAAUCUCAGAGUUACCCAUAUGUUGUUGGCGCAACCAGGAGGGAAAAGUUUCCAUGUGAUGACGGGUAAGCCAAGCAUCGGAUUUGGUCAGGUUUUUGGAAGCUACCAUCUGUCUGUGCUGCUCGAUAUACGGAGACACAAAGGAUGACUAUUGUAGAACAGUGUAGUGUGCCUUGUCGAACAAAUCAGUAUCAUUGCUCAAACUUGAUUUCCUUCCAAGGGUGCCCAUUCCUCGGAGCCUCCCCUCGUGGCGUGAAGUUGGAAUCCCAAUCGAGUCAAUUGAAUCAAUAAAAUCAACACAAAACUCGAUCACCUCCUCUGUUCCAUAUCCCUUGGCGAUGCUUCCUUCUGGACGGGCAUGAUUAAGAAUAUAGUUUUUUAGGACUGCCAUGAACCUCUCGAAAGGCCACACAUUGUACAGGUAUACAGGUCCGAGAAUACCAAUCUCUUUUACUAGGUGAACCAGUAAGUGCGUCAUAAUAUUGAAGAAGGAUGGUGGAAAUAACAACUCAAAACUGACAAGACAUUGCACCACAUCUAUCUGUAGCUUUGAUAGCUUGGAUGGAUCGAUUGUCUUUUGCGAAAUUGCAUUGAGAAACGCGCAUAGCUUUACGAGCGGCAACCGGACAUUUUCUGGUAGAACACCUCUCAGUGCAACCGGAAGCAACUGGGUCAUCAACAUGUGGCAGUCACGAGCCUUGAGAUUUGUAAACUUCUUUUGUUUCAUAUUUAUUAUUCCCUUUAUAUUCGAGGAGUACCCAGACGGGACCUUCAUACUAUUCAAGCAUUCAAACAUGCUAUCCUUCUCUUCCUUGCUGAGAGUGUAACUGGCAGGACGUAAGUAGUGCUGUCCAUUAUCUCUCUUUUCCGGAUGUAGGUCAUCUCGUUGCCCCAUGGCUUUCAGGUCCUGUCUGUCGGUGUUUUAGACCGGCAACCCACCUAGGGGGUACCCUAGGUGGUCUUUUAUGCGGUAAGGGUCGUUGAGAAUCAAUGAAUCAAUGGUGAUGCAAGGAACACGAUUUAGACAGGUUCAGGCCGCUAGAUCGUGUAAUACCCUACGUCCUGUGUGUUGGUUUGUAUGGCGAUAUGUUGAGAUGUCUUGAGGAUCUGUUUGAGGGGGGUCCCUGCCCGGCCUUAUAUACUCGGGAGGGCAGGGUUACAAGUCUGAGUCCUAGUCGGGUACUAUUACAGAGUUCUACUCGGUACCGGCCCGAGUAGUUUUCCAUAAACAUACAAGACUAGUCCGAGAAGGAUACACCCAUCCUUGUUCUGAUCAUGUCCGAGUACGUCCCUUAGUGGGCCGUCCAAGGCCUUCUCGUGGGUCUUGGGAGUAUGCCCGACAAGCCCCCGAGUACUUUGUAGUCGUGCGCCAUAGUCUUGGGCACUGCAGGCACUACCCGAGUAGUUUUGCAAACUGAAGUGCUCGAGUACUGUUGCGUGGCUGGAAGGUACUCUUUCUGUAGCUUCGAGUUGUCUUUGUCCCGAGUAAUUUUUAUAUGGUAGUGCGAUGUCAAUCGCACUCCAUAUGGAGUAUCCCCCGAGCCUUAGGUUGAGUCGAAGAAUCAGGCUUAGGGUCAAACCAGCUUUUGCCCAUUUUACCCUCGGAGAUCUUGAAAAAGAAAAACCUGACCAACGGGUACGGUACCCGCAGCCCCCGAGCACUUAGGCGAUUCCUGUCGUUGAAGUGGUCAUCAAUCCGUUGAAUGCAGUAGCCGUUGGGUGUUUAUUGCAAUUAAUACGCGAUUAAUCUGUCCGUUGCGUAACUGACGCGUCGAAACCGGAAGCUGGCGGAGAUAAAUCUGGACAGACCCGUUUCGGUUGCUGUGACGCCGCACGGGUAUUAGAUCUGCUCUUCCUCCUCCUCUGCGCCUUCGCUCGCUGUUUCACCGCCGCCAGUGCCGCAGCCUCCGCCAUUGCCGCUCGGGUCCGAGUAGAAGCUUCUUCCUUGACUUGAGGUUGAGUCCAUCAGAUGCGCUCCAAGAAGAUGGGCAAGAAACCCGAGAAGAUCCAAGGCAAGGCUCCGGCAAUGGGCAAGGUCAGAUCCAAGAAGAGGAAGGAGUUGGUGCUGCCGGCACCGAAGGUGGGGCCGACGAACCAGAUUGCUCCGCCGCCACCUGGGGUAACUUGGCAACACUCGGUGAUGAAGGAGGAAGCAGUCCAGGCACUGGUUGAUGCCAAGCUCUUGCAGGCGAAGGAAAUCGUGCAGUGGCGCCCCACAUUUCCCAAUGCGUGGCAGUUUGAGGAACAUCCUGCCGAGAUGGUUAUGCUUGCUCACUUCGUGGAAAGGGGACUGGCCGUACCCACCUCCGACUUCUUCAGAGGUAUUCUUGAGUACUACAAUCUUCAGCUUGUCCACCUGAAUCCCAAUGGAGUACUGCACAUGUCUAUAUUUGUACAUCUGUGCGAAGUUUAUCUGGGAGUACCUCCAAGUCUCGAGUUAUUUAGGAAACUGUUCCGUUGCAAGCCUCAGCCGAGUGCCCAGUGGACCGAAGUCUUUGCAGGCACCGGGUUCCAACUCAGGAACUCAAAUGCAUAUAUUGAGUAUAAUCUGACCGACUCCCAUGGGGAUUGGAAGAAAAGGUGGUUCUACAUCGGGAACCAUGAUCCUCGCUUGCCAGUGGUGACUGGUCACGCGCCCAAGCAUGCGGAAAAUUGGAUAAGCGAGCCAGAGGACACCCCCGAGCUUGAUCUCCUGAUGCAGCAGAUCGCCGAGUUGAAGGUACUCAGUUUGACUGGGAUCAAUGUGGCAGCCAGCUUCCUUAAGAGAAGGGUUCAGCCACUUCAAAAACGUGCUCACUCGAGAAGUGAGUACUCAGGUCUGAAGGAUCCAUCGCGUAUGUCUAAAGAGGACAUAUCUGAUGAUGACGUGGAGGCACUGCUGACUAAAUUUUUCAGGAAUUAUCAGGGAGUACCAGUAAUCCCUGCAGCCCUUCGUCAGUAUGACGCCUGGUACGAGCCAGAAGUGGUAAGUAUUUUCCCCCUGACUUGUUCUUCUUUGACUUGUGAUUCUUGUUGCUGACAUCAAUUUGUUGUUUGAAGUCCCGAGUUCUUGCCGGCUAUGUGGCACAGUCGGAAGGAGAGUCGGAAGCUGUUGUCGAGGAGUCGGAGGAUGAGCCUUCACCUCAUGUCAAGAGACGUAGAGUAGUCCGCAAGAUGUCUGCGGCUAAGUCUGCUUCAACCCCUGAGAAGUCUCGGGGUACCAAGGUGUGUAGUCGGUAACUUGUGUAUUACUGAUGAACUUGAAAUGCGUUAUUGAUGUGGCGAAUCUUGUCUUUGUUCGCAAAGGCUGUAGAUGAGGCUGUUUCUGAAGAAAUAGCCAUGUCCGACCCUGAAGUCGGUGAUGCGGCCGUUGACACAUUGCCAGAGAAAGUGUCGUCAACAGCUGUGGUAGCCCCCGGGUUAACCGCGCCAACUCCGUCGGCUGCCAUGCCUCCCAUUGCUGACCAGGCGGUUCUGGGGCUGCCUGCUGGAGUAACAAAGGAGGUGUCACCAGUACUUGCUACUGGCACCCUGCUGUCCAAUGUGAUUGCCAGUGGUAAGCGUUAUCCUUUCUGAUUGUAGUCAUUUGAGUAGUACUGUAGUCUUGACUUCGGUUUUGUAGGUCUUGGUGAGAAGACGGUGCCGGCGGCUGUUCCCACGGCUCCGAGUACUCGGCCGCCUGUCGCCGAGAAGAAACGUGUGCGACUGCCGCCAUGUUCAACCCGGUGAGCUUCCUUGUCCGUUUGAAUGACGUUGAAUUGUCUUGAAAUCGUGUAGUAACACUUUUGUGGUACAGAGAUGCAGAGGAAACUAUCCCUGAAGAAACAGGGGUAGUGCCGGAUCCCUCGACUACAAUAUCUGUUCCUCUGGAGGACUUGAUUGUUGAAGAGGUACCCGAGGUUGACGCCGGCCGUCUUGGAGCUACUAUGUCGAUGCUCCAAGACGUGAUUCGCUCAGCGGAGGUACCUGAUGCUGCAGUAGGCUCAGGGAGUGCCGGCCUACCAUCAUCUUCCGGCGGAGUGCUGGCUGUUGUUGAGAAAUCCAAACAAACGACUGCUCCAGGUAAAUGCCUGUAAUUUGUUAUGGUAGCCGUAGUCGGUAGCUGAUAUGGUAAAUGUUGUAGGUGCUUCUCUAGGUACGAGUCCGCAUCUUGUGGAGAGUACCCAAAGGCCAGUACUCAGCCUGCCUUCUGACUUGGAGUUCCAGAGGACCAUCAACGUUUUACGGGGCUUCCAGGUAGAUAUUGUUGAUGUUAUAGCAUGACCCGAGUAGUCGGGAGGCUUCUAAACUGCUUACACCAUACUUGGAUUUUUCAGGAAAGAAGCCGCCAGUUGGAGCAAGAAUGUGCCCAACUGACAGAAGCUCUUCGGGUGCAUGAAGUCGGGGUGAAGUCCUUUGCCGUGGAACACGCGGAUCAUGCCGUUCUGCAGGAAAAACUGGAGAGCCGCUACAAAUCCUUGAAUAAGAAGUAUCAAGGUAAGUAAUGUGACUACUUUGGGUGUGUCCAACUGUAGUUGGCUGUGGCCUAAGUUCUGUUGCUUUGUAGAGCUCAGGAAGCAGGAGGCGGCUGCAAAGAGCCAAGUUAUCAACUGGAGAAAUGCUCAUGACCGGGUGGCAGAUGAAGCCGAGCACCUUCGCGCCGCGCUCACGGAAGCACAGGCUUUUUGCGAGCAUCAGCAGGACUAAAAGUUUCAGAAUGGCGUGAUGCUUGCCAUGGCUAUGGUGGCAUGCAGAGAUCAUGCCCAGACCUUGGGAAGACUUCGGGGUGAACUCCAAGAGCUGUCUGGAGCGGCCGAAGAUUUGGUGAAUGCCAUAGCCCCCGUGGAGGAAGGCGCAGAACCGCAAUCGCUAGUAGAGCGACUAAGAGCUGCCCCGAGUAGAGUGGCGGGACUUUACAAGACUGUUUGUAAACAGGUUCUUGCAAUUGUGAAGUCCUACUACCCGAGGGCAGACUUGGCGGCAGCUGGCGAUGGCGUGGCUCGCAACUGCACAGAGGAGGCCUAUGCACAGUACCUUGAGGAGGCAGAGCCCAUUGCAGCCAAGAUGUCGGAGUUUGUCUCCUUAGAAGAGCUUUGAACUAUUUGUGUACUCUUAUAUUGAUAUUUUGAAAUGUCGAGCUUUUUGGAUUUGUUGUCGUUGUCUUGCAAAGAGUAGUAGUUGUUUACUUCAUUUUGUCGAAACUCGAAGUAUUGCAACUCUGCUGUGCCCGACCCCCUGGGGAGGGGAUUCAUCUCGCUUGACUUUGAGGUUUGGGGUCGGCUUCGCCCGACCCUGAGUCCUGGGGUCGGCCGAGCCUGACCCUGUGGAAGGGCAGCUCCGCUUCGCCCGACCCCGAGUGAGACUCCGCUUCGCCCGACCCUGAGUCCUGGGGUCAGCGGAGCCCGACCGUUUGAGAAGGCCGCUCCGCCUCGCCCGACCUUUGGUCCCGAGGUUGGAGUAGUCGAGGCCCCCGACAUGUAGGCUAAGCUUGGCUUGUAGUCCCGAGUAUCGAGUAGUCGUAAUGCUGUUUGAGUAGUCUUCUGAGGGGCACAGGUGUACUGUGCUCUUUUAUCCAUUGCGGAGGCACGGGUGUACUGUGCUCCUUUGUCUGUUGUAGCAUGAGUGCAGUCACAUGGGCAGAGUCAGGAGUUGUUUGACUCAUUGAUCACGGGUGCAUAGUAACUCUUGGGCCGGUGGUAGUUGUGGCUUUCGGCUAUAAAUAGGGCCAUCUGUUGGUCGAAACAACUCAAACUCUUGAGUAGCGAUGGAUUGCCUGCGGUUGCUUCUAUUUGAGUGUAGAGAGCCAUCAAAGAGUGCACCGGUGCUAGAAGAUUCCUUGUAGAUUAAGGCCACCUUCGCUCCACAGACUCCUGCGCUAGUCGGGAUAGCCGCGAUGCUAGAAGAAUCCUCGUAGGAGGGUUCGUCGCGUGCCUCAUCUUGCAGCUAUUGAUCCAGUGGAGUACGCGCUGGAACUCACAGCGAGUGAUGGGUGACGAGUGCCACGGUCUUCAUCCCGCUCUGAAAGAGGUGGAGGUGCGGCCGUAGAGUAGAUGGGCUGCGCAAGGCUAGCGAAAGAGCAGCCUUGGUUCCCUCUAGGCGCGUCUUGCCGGAUUUGGCGUUGCCGCUAUCCAGGCGAUGGCGGUGAUGGAGUACCUGGCAUUGCCUUGGGUAGGGUACUUGGGCAUGGCUGUGUUUUGCGCAGCUUCCUUGCGUGUGGGCUCUUCCUGCGGUCGGCAGACCUGAGUGGCCUUGUGAUAUAGUAAAAGCCUGAGGCUUAAAUGCAGCCCGCCAGUAGGCAGUUGCUUGUAGUCUUCGUGUAAGCCGAGUCCUUGUACUCCUAUGUAACUUGAUGUAUUCUUGUUUCAGUAAAGAUAUGAAGACUUUGAAUCAGGGCAAGGACCCUUGUUGUAUUGAUGGUGCGUCGAAGCGAACACCCCUUGAAGUCGGUAGUCGUUCCGAGUAGUUGCCUUGAAAUGAGUACUCGAGUGCUGCUAUGGGUAAUAGCGACAGAGGUGUUCUAUAUUCCAGGAGUUUGGCACCUGUUCUCCUGAGAGCUCUUGCAAUCUGUAAGAUCCGGGUCCUGUAACCUUUGAUACGAUGUAAGGACCUUCCCAUGGUGAAUUGAGUUUAUGUAAUCCUGACGUGUCUUGAAUACGUUUAAGGACCAUAUCGCCCGAGUUAAAAGAUCUUUCCUUGACGUUGCGGUCGUGAUAACGCCUUAAACCGUCAAGGUAUCUGGCAGAUUGCACUAGUGUUGCGCAUCUUGUUUCUUCCAAACUGUCUAUAUCCGUUCGCCGCGUUUCUAUUGCAAGCUCUUCGUCGUAUUGUUCAACAGAUGGUGAUUGCCACAUGAUGUCAGCGGGUAGUAUGGCUUCUGAGCCAUAUACCAGAAAAUAAGGUGAUAGCCCCGUAGUCUUGCAUGGUUGGGUACGUAGGCCCCACAAGGCAUUGGGUAACUCUUUGAGCCAUCGGCCUCCUUUGGUGUUACCGACGUCAUGCAGGCGUUUCUUCAGAGCAUCGAGUAUCAUGCCAUUGGCACGCUCGACUUGACCGUUGGCUCGCGGAUGAGCAACCGAGACAUAGCGGACGUCGAUGCCGCUGUUCUCGCAAUAUUCCCAAAAGUCGUGAUUAUUGAAGUUUGACCCGCGAUCUGUGAUAAUCCUGUUGGGAAAACCGUAGCAGUGUACGAUUUCAUCCAAGAAGUCGAGGACUCGGUCUGCCUUGGGGCAAGUGACUGGUUUGACCUCGAUCCAUUUGGUGAAUUUGUCGAUUGCCACGAGUACUCUGAUGAAUCCUCCUGGCGUAGUUGGUAACGGGCCAAUCAUGUCGAGCCCCCAGCAGGCAAAAGGCCAUGUUGGAGGUAUUGUGACUAGCUUGUAAGCCAGCACAUGUUGCUGUUUUGUGAAGAACUGACAACCUUUGCAUUUCUGGACUAGUAGCUUGGCAUCGGCCAGAGCCAUUGGCCAGUAGAACCCUACUCUGAAAGCCUUGCCCACUAGUGUCCUCGAAGAGGCGUGGUUGCCGCAGAUUCCUCGGUGAAUCUCGUCUAGGAUUUCUUGGCCAUCUUCUCUGGUGACGCACUUCAUGAGCACUCCAGACUAUGCACCUUUCCUGUAGAGCUUGUCUCCGACUAGAACAUAAUUCUUUACUCGUCAGGAGAUUUGUUCAGCUUUAUUUUUGUGGGAUGGUAGCUGGUGAUCCUUGAUGUAGUCGAUGAAGGGUGUCCUCCAGUCGACUUCUAUCAUCAUGAUCUCUCGGGAGGCGUCAGUAGUCGGGACUAUUGGCGGUGUGACCUGUUCAGGUAUGGAUGGCUUGCGUAGUUCGUGUACGAAAAUUCCUGCUGGAACUUCUGCACGAGUUGAGCCCAUUUUGGAUAAGACGUCGGCGGCAACGUUGUUGUCGCGGACGAUGUGAUGAAACUCCAAGCCAGAGAAUUUAUUUUCCAGUUUACGGACUUCUUUGCAAUAAGCGUCCAUGUUGUCCUUGUUUCGGUCCCACUCGUCAUUGACCUGGUUUAUGACGACUAGGGAGUCGCCGUACACCAGUAGUCAUUUGAUGCCGAGGGAGAUUGCGAGGCGAAGGCCGUGUAGCAGUGCUUCGUACUUGGCUUCGUUGUUAGAUGCUUCCCAGAAUAUCUGCAGCACGUACUUGAGUUGGUCUCCCUUGGGGGAGAUGAGUAAGACACCUGCGCUGGCUCCUUCAAGUUUGAGGGAUCCGUCGAAGUACGUUACCCAAUGUUCUGGUCGUUCGACUGGAGUUGGAACCUGAUUUUCGGUCCACUCGGCUAUGAAGUCGACCAAAGCCUGAGACUUGAUGGCUGUCCUUGGCUUGAAGCUCAAAGUAAGAGCUCCGAGUUCGAUUGCCCAUUUGGAGAUUCUACCUGUGGCGUCUCUGUUAUGGAGAAUCUCGCCGAGCGGGAAAUCGGAGAUGACUGUGAUGUUGUGCUCUUGGAAGUAAUGGUGCAGCUUCCGGGAGGUGAGCAGUAUAGCAUAUAGGAGUUUUUGUAUCGGUGGAUACCGAGUUUUGGAGUCCGAGAGUACUUCGCUGACGAAGUAGAUAGGUCGUUGGACCUUGUAAGCGUGGCCCGGUUCAGACCGUUCGACUACUAUUGCCGUACUGACGACAUGAGUAGUAGCGGAGAUGUAUAGGAGCAAGUCUUCGUUCGGCGAGGGAGCGGUGAGUACAGGAGGCUUUGACAGAAAGUCUUUGAGUUGUGUCAAAGCCUUAUCUGCCUCUUCCGUUCAUUUGAACUUGUCCUGUCGUUUGAGAAGCUUGAAGAAGGGUAGUCCCCGUUCUCCAAGUCUCGAGAUGAACCGGUUAAGAGCGGCCAUGCAGCCGGUGAGUUUCUGCACAUCCUUAAUGCUGGCUGGUGCCUGCAAGUUUGUGAUGGCAGAUAUCUUCUCAGGGUUGGCCUCAAUGCCGUGAUGGCUAAUGAUGAACCUGAGUAGUUUGCCGGAAGGUACUCCAAAGAUGCACUUAGUGGGGUUGAGUUUCCAACGGAAAGCGCGGAGACUAGAGAAAGUUUCCUCCAAGUCGGCAAUAAGUUCCUCCCGGUGUCUUGUUUUGACGACGACGUUGUCAACAUAAGCUUCGACAUUGCGAUGAAGCUGUUUUUCGAAGCAUAUCUAUAUAGCCCUUUGGUAAGUUGCUCCUGCAUUCUUGAGUCCGAAGGACAUUGUUUUGUAGCAGAAGGCUCCAAAGGGCGUGAUGAACGCUGUCUUGGCUUGAUCUUCCUCUUUGAGGCUUCUCUGAUGAUAGCCGGAGUAGCAAUCGAGGAAGCAUAGCAAGGUGCACCCAGCGGUGGAUUCGACCACUUGAUCGAUCCUGGGUAACCCAAAAGGAUCUUUCGGGCAGUGUUUGUUGAGGUUGGUGUAGUCGACACACAUUCGCCAUUCGUUGUUUUUCUUACGAACAAGCACAAGAUUGGCGAGCCAGUCAGGAUGGAAGACUUCCUUGAUGAAUCCUGCCGCGAGUAGCUUGGCUAACUCUUUUUUGAUGGCUUCGCGUCUGUCCUGAGCGAACCAGCGUAGUCGCUGCCAUUUUGGAGUAGCUUUGGGAUUGACGUUGAGGGAAUGCUCGAUCAGUUCCUUGGGCACACCCGGCAUGUCGGCCGGCUUCCAAGCGAAGAUAUCGUGGUUAGCCCGAAGGAAACUAACGAGCGCAAAUUCCUAUUUAGGAUCCAGCCCUGUCCCAAUCAGGGCUGUCUUGGAAGGAUCACCGGUCUAGAGGUCGAUCGAUUUGAAGUCUUGCUCACUGGCGGGUUUCACCUUUGUGGAUCCCGACUUAUUUUCCGGGAUCUCCAGUUCGGUGGGAUGUAGUUUCUUUGAAGCUGUGAAGACUUGCUGCAUGGGACUAGGAGAUUGAGUAGUCGCAGCAAUUUCCACGGCUUCGGUGUCGGACUCGUAGGAUCUCCGGAGAUCUCCUCGUAGCGUGAGCUCUCCUUUGGGACCUGGCAUGUUGAGUACCAGGUAGACAUAAUGUGGUAUGGCCAUAAACUUGGCUAGUGCUGGCCGUCCGAGUAUGGCGUCAUAAGAAGUCUCGAAGUUGGCAACCUCGAAUCUGAUGUACUCGGUGCGGUAAUGUUCCUUAGUUCCAAAGGUGACUGGGAGGACAACUUGUCCCAGUGGUAUGCCUGCGUUGCCAGGCACAAUGUCGUAGAAAGGUGAAGCAUCUCAGUGACGUCGAGGCACAUUUUCCUUAAUGUUUUGGCGAAGAUAACGUUGAGGCCGCUCCCGCCGUCGAUGAGUACUUUGGUUAACUUUGAACCUGCCACAACUGGAUCCAGGACUAGUGGAAAACGGCCCGGUUCUGAAAAUUUUGUCCAUUGAUCUUUUCUGCUGAAAGAAAUUGGAACUUCCGACCACUUUAGCGGUGUGGGGUCCGUUGGUUCGAUGGCCAUGAUCUCCCUGAGCACGAGUUUGUUAGAAUGCUUGGAUGCAGUGCCGGGAAUGCCGCCAAAAAUGACGUUGACGGUUUUUGAGGCUGGUUGGAAGUCGCCGUCCUCAUCUUCGUCGUUGCGGGCUUUAUUUUUACCCUUGUCUCUAUUUUUGGCGUACUCUUUAGGAGUUGGUGGUGCGGGCAAGUCUUGCAUGACUCGGCGCAUGCUGUAACAGUCCAGUGCAGAGUGCUUGCUAGUUGGGUGCCAUGGGCAUUGCUUUUUGAGUAGCUCCGUGAAGGUUGGUCCAUCGUCGUUUCUGCGUGGUCUCUUUUUCCCGGAGCUGGUCAUGGCAGCAACAGUGUUGUUGGGCUUCCUUUUGCGAUUAUGGUUACCUAGAUAGGAAUUCCGAGCAUCGUUAUGCCAAUUUUUAUCUGUGUCAUUGUUGUGGAUGUUGUCGCGUCCGCGGUUACAGUGGGAACUGAACCGUUCUCGCUCUUUGUCUUCUUCGUCGGCCCACUGUUGCACCAUGAGUUUGAGUUCUUUGACAUCGGCUGGUCGUCGGCGACCGAAGUCUUGGUAUGUUCGUUGAUCAUAGAGUCCGUUUUGGAAGCACUCGAUGAUGUCUGCUUCGGAGAUGUCCACUAUGGUAGCCUUCUUUUCAAAGAAUCAUCGCAAAUAGUCGCGCAGGGUCUCGCCUUCUUUCUGCUUGAUUUGUCGUAAGUCGAUCUUGUUGCCUGGUCUAGCCAUAAAGCCGGCGAAGUUGUUGGUAAAAGCCUUUGUCAAGUCUGCCCAAGAGUCAAUGGACUUGGGUUUGAGUGACUCAAGCCAAGUCAGUGGAGCGGGUUCCAUGCAUAUGGGGAAAUGAAUGACUUUGGUGUCGUUGUUACCCCCGGCUGCUUGGACGGCUAGCGAGUAACAACGCAACCAUUGAACUGGGUCUUGCUUGCCGUCGUACUUGGUGAUGCCGGUUGGCUUAAACUUUUUGGGUAAUUUUGUUUUCAUUACCCGGUUUGUGAAAGCAAAAAAAUGGUUGUAGCUGUCGACUUCACGUUCGCGCUGACUGUUGAGAAUUUCUCGUAGAUCGCUGAUGUUGGACAUCUCGCGGAUCUUCCGAGUAGGGCGAAUAUUUUUGACCGAGUUGGUGCUGCUGGCUUCACCCACAUCCUUCUGUUCAGUAGGAGCUUUAUGCUUGCUUGGACCUUGGCUGUGUUGCCGGGGUUGGUUGACUGCAUCAUCGUUUCGUGGGGCAACAUUUUUAUCUGCAGCCCCCCUGCUUCCGUCUGUAAUGCGAGGAACGGACGGAAUUGGUGAUUCUUUGUCGAGUAGCUUGUAAGCUUGCUCCGCGAGUUGUGCGAUUAGUCCGUUGCCACGCUGCACAAGUUGGGUUGUGGCUGCGUUAUCCUUAUCUUGAGGCAUCAAUGUCAUUAAAAGGUUGAUUGAGGCGAUAGCCGCGAGUGGAGUAUUGUGCUCCUGAGCCUAGACUGCGUUAAAAGCCCGCUCAAGAUUUGUAAUAGGAAUAUUUGUGGCCAUCGACUGUCGUCGCUCAGCUCGAGUGGCAUUGCGCGUCCUUCGUUGGUUGCGCUGUUCGGGAGUUUCAUUGUCGGCUGUAGACUCAUCUUCAGAGAUGUUGUCGAUUUGUGCUAAUCACCUGGGGGUUCUAUUCUGGCUAGUACCUGGAUUGUUAUUUUGAGUAAUAACAAGUAUCUCCCUGUCCAGGUAGUAGCUUCCGGAACUUGAUGUAGCAAUCUCUGUAUAGCUUUCGCCGUGGUUGGACGUAAGUGGAACGCCUUCUUGAUAUGGCAGGUUGUCUAUAUGGGCGAUGAGGCGCAAGUCGUAGUCGCGGUCGAGAAAAGAUGGUCGCAACCCCGGCCAGUGGACGAAUCUGCCUUGUGGUGUCGAAGUUAUUACCAACCCUUGAGCUGGGCCAGAUAAUGGUGUCUCUGGUGAGUAGGAUGAGUCGAAGUCAACGUCCUCGCCCUGCCCGAGUUCAACUCGGGUUUGAGCAAGAAGAUCUUGGUAGACUUUUGUCGCGUUGCGAAGUCCGUGCGGGAACCGCUUGGAAGUCGAGACUGAUUUGGAUGCUGACUAGGACCGUCGAAUCCGAAGCGAGUCCGACCCUGAGUCCAGGGGUCGGCGGAGCCCGACCCUUUGAGGGAGUAGCUCCGCCUCGCCCGACCCCGAGUCCUGGGGUUGGGAGCGCCGGACCCUUCGGAGUAAUUCCGCCUCGCCCGGCCCCGAGUCCUAGGGUCGGGAGAGCCUGACCCCUGAGCGAGACUCCGCCUCGCCCGACCCCGAGGCCUGGGGUCGGGAGAGCCUGACCCUGUGGAAAGGUAGCUUCGCCUCGCCCGACCCCGUGGGAGGAUCCGCCUCGCCCAACCCUGAGUGUUGGGGUCGGCGGAGCCCGACUCUUGAGCGAGACGUUGGAGUAGUCCAAGGCGAAGUCGAAUCCGACGCGUAGUCGAACUCGAGCUUGUUGACUUUGAAAUCUUGGUUUUUUCUGGUCAAUUCUUCUAGUUUCUUUUCCUGAGUGUCGACGAUCUGGCACCGGAACGAUCCCGAGCAUUCGGCGACGCAGAGCCAGGAUCCGAAAACGAAGGUGGCGCCGGCUUCGAUGAAGAAGACGGGCCUCAUGAUGACUUUUGCCAUUGAGUACGCGCUGAGAAAAUCGACGAGAGCCCCUACCUGGUGCGCCAACUGUCGGUGUUUUAGACCGGCAACCCGCCUAGGGGGUACCCUAGGUGGUCUUUUAUGCGGUAAGGGUCGUCGGGAAUAAAGGAAUCAAUGGUGACGCAAGGAACACGAUUUAGACAGGUUCGGGCUGCUAGAUCGUGUAAUACCCUACGUCCUGUGUGUUGGUUUGUAUUGCGAUAUGUUGAGAUGUCCUGAGGAUCUGUUUGAGGGGGGUCCCUGCCCGGCCUUAUAUACUCGGGAGGGCAGGGUUACAAGUCUGAGUCCUAGUUGGGUACUAUUACAGAGUUAUACUCGGUACCGGCCCGAGUAGUUUUCCAUAAACAUACAAGACUAGUCCGAGAAGGAUACACCCAUCCUUGUUCUGAUCAUGUCCGAGUACGUCCCUUAGUGGGCCGUCCAAGGCCUUCUCGUGGGUCUGAGGAGUAUGCCCGACACUAUCGUGCUUCCAAUGUAUCUUUUGAGGUCCCAUAAACACCCAUGAAGCCUAGCACGUUCACGCAAAGAUUCUUCGUCAGGUGCAUCACGUCUAUUGCGUUGCGAACCUCUAGGAUUUCCCAAUAAGGUAGCUCCCAAAAUAUUGACUUUUUCUUCCACAUGGGUGCAUGUCCGUUAUCGUCGUUCGGAACAGGUUGGCUACCAAGACCCUUUCCAAAGACUACAUUUACAUCCUUCAUCAUCUCGAAGACACGCUUUCCAUUACAGUGUGCAGGUUUUUUACGAUGGUCUGGCGCCCCUUUGAAAUGCAUCCCGCUCUUUCUCAGCUGGUGGUGAGCAGGGCGAAAUCGACGAUGACCCAUAUAGAUGACCUUCUUACAAUGCUUCAAGUACAUGCUGUCUGUGUCGUCUAAACAGUGGGUGCAUGCCCGAUAUCCCUUAUUUGUCUGUCCUGAAAGGUUACUCAAUGCAGGCCAAUCAUUGAUGGUUACGAACAACAAUGCUCAUAGAUUAAAGAUCUCUUGUAUAUCCUCAUCCCACACACGUACACCUUCUUCCUUCCAGAGCUGUAAAAGGUCAUCAACCAACGGCCUUAGGUACACGUCAAUGUCGUUGCCGGGUUGUUUUGGGCCUUGGAUAAGCGCUGGCAUCAUAAUGAACUUCCGCUUCAUGCACAGCCAAGGAGGAAGGUUGAACAUACAAAGGGUCACAGGCCAAGUACUAUGGCCACUACUCAACUCACCGAAUGGAUUGAAUCCAUCAGUACUUAAACCAAACCUUAUGUUCCUUGCUUCACUUUCAAAGUCCGGGAAUGUUCUAUCAAUUGAUCUCCACUGUGCCCCAUCUGCGGGGUGUCUCAGCAUCUCAUCUUCCUUACGGUCUUCUUUGUGCCAUCGCAUCAACUUAGCAUUCACCUUGUUCCUGAACAAGCGCUUCAAGCGUGGUAUUAUAGGGAAAUACCACAUCACCUUCGCGGGAACUCUCUUCUUGGGAGACUGCCCCUCGAGAUCACUAGGAUCAUCUCGCCUGAUCUUAUACUGCAGGGCUUCGCAGACGGGACAAGCAUCCAAUUUCUCGUAUUCAUCACCACGAUAGAGGAUACAGUCAUUAGGGCAUGCGUGUAUCUUCUGAACAUCCAAUCCGAGAGGGCAAAUAAUCUGUUUAGCUUCAUAUGUUCUGGACGGUAAUUCAUUAUUCUUGGGGAGAAUCUUCUUGACAAUGUUCAACAUCCCCUGAAAUGCCUUAUCGGACACACCAUUUUUUUCCUUCCAUUGCACAAAUUCUAGUGUCGUACCUAGUUUUUUAUGGUCCUGCUGGCAACCUGGGUACAACAAUUUUUGGUGAUCAUCUAUCAUGCGCUGCAACUUUGCUGCUUCCUUCUCAGUUUCGCAAUCUCUGUAUGCAUCUCGUAUCACCUGACCAAGGUCAUCAGUAGGGCCAUUUUCUGCAAACUCAUCUUCAUCAGCCUCGCCGAUUGUAGUACCUACAAAAGCUUGGCCUGCAACCCAGUCCGGAAUGGUGUCAUCUUCCUCCUCCUCCUCGCCAUCUUCCAUUAUGACCCCUAGUUCACCGUGCUUGGUCCAAAUCAAAUAGUUAGGCAUGAAACCGUAUUUAAACAAGUGGCUGUGAAUAGUCCCCCAGAAAUUCUUUGAAUACUCCUUCUUGUUAUUACAUUGGAAGCAUGGACAACAUACGAACCCAUUCUCUGGCUUGUUUGCUUUGGCCACUUCGAGAAAAUAAUGCAAGCCAUCAAUAAACGCCUUGCUCCGUCUGUCUGCAUUAUACAUCCAUUGCCGGUCCAUCUGCAUCAUAUUACGCAUGAAAAUGGAUUACACUUGACAAUGGAUUACGCGUGAAAAUUGAUUAAAGAUCCAAACAACAUGGUACAAUACAACAACAUGAAGAUCCAAAUACACAUAUUUAAAUUAAAGUUCCAAACAACAUGAUACAAUACAACAAGCCAUCCACUGGUUAUUAUCUAGGAGGACUUUAAGCAUCCUUGGACGGUGAAGACGAAGGUUCCGCUGACCCAGCCUCAUCCUUAGGUUUAUUUGUGCCGCCUGAAACGGUAGUACUAAGUGGACGUGAAACACCCGGGACUGAGGGUGGAGCAUAACAACCACCAAAAGGAGGUUCCGGACCUGCGGCAACAGCUUCUUCAUGACGUUGCUGCAAAUAACAAAGCAUUGCUUUUUCCAGCGCACUCUUUUUCUUCGGCUUAUGCUGAGGGCCAACUAUAAUUUUCCCCUUGCCAAAAUAGGAACCAUGAUCGCCCCCACCAUCACCACUUCCUCCAGUAGUAGAAGCCAUCUAUGUACAAAAAUUAUUACCUUAACACUGCAUAAGUUGUUGAACUUGAAGACCGUGAUCAUCUCGCGAGCAUGUCCUCAACUAGGCAGCACCGCACUUCGUCAUGAAAGAGGUUAGAUGCUACGGAAAAGGGGACACGGUCACGAUGUCCGUAUCCACUCUUUCUCGUAGAAUCGAACCUCCUUCUUGACAUACGUUGCUGCUCGGCGGAGAACAUCCUAUGCGAGAUGACCACGGUAUGCAAGUUCAACAAGUAUGGAUUUGAAAAACCUUAUUGAAUUUGAUAAGUUUAACAAGUAGCAGAAGUCAUCUAUGUACAAAAAUUCUUUCCUUACCACUGCAGAAGUUGUUGAACUUGAAGACCGUGAUCAUCUCGCGAGCAUGUUCUCAACUGGGCGGCACCGCACUUCGUCAUGAAAGAGGUUAGAUGCUAUGGAAAAGGGGACACGGUCACGAUGUCCGUAUCCACUCUUUCUCGUAGAAUCGAACCUCCUUCUUGACAUACGUUGCUGCUCGGCGGAGACAUUCUCGCCGAUAUGAACACGGUAUGCAAGUUCAACAAGUAUGGAUUUGAAAAACCAUAUUGAAUUUGAUAAGAUAAACCGUCUAAACAAGGUAGCAUCAUUCUUAAACCACUGCAAGAAUACAUACUAUAUAUGACACAUCAAUCUCCCUCACAUUCUAGCUCAAAAUACCUCUCCAUUUUCUACUUCAUCACAUUUUAGCAAAUAAACUUUCCAUCUCCAAAGCAUAAAUCAAAGCGUAACACGAGGAUGAAGUAGUAAACCUUCACAACACUUGUGUUGGAUGAGUGAAAUUCCCACGAAAAUGAGGGAAAAAACUUCGGGCAGCACCUCCCUUGCUUCGGCACCACCGGAGAGUAGGUGAAGCUCAGCUCUCUCUGUCAAUGUGCUGGACUGGCUUGGGCUGGAGGAGGAAGAAAGUCCUCUGUCUUGGCAUAUAAUGGGGAUGAGUUUUUAUCCCGGUUAAAAACUCCAACCAAGACAAAAAGGAACACCUUUUGUCCCGGUUGAAGAUUUAGUCCCGGUUGGAAGCUCCAACCGGGACAAAAGGGACACCCUUUUAUCCCGGUUGGAAGCUCCAACCGGGACUAAACUUUUUAUCCCGGUUGGAACCUCCAACCGGGAUAAAAGAACCCUUUUAUCCCGGUUGGAGCCUCCAACCGGGAUAAAAUGGUGCCGCCACCGACAUCCCGCGACUAGCCGUUGCAACCGGGACUAAAGGGGGGCCUUUAGUCCCGGUUGCAAUUACCAACCGGGACUAACCCUCCCCUCCAUUUUUGCCUACCAUGGCGCACCCCCUUUUAUCCUGGGCCAACUUUAAACCGGGACAAAAGGGGGCGCAUCGAAAGCCAAUUCUCUACUAGUGACAUAUCUACUUUUAUGCCAAUGCAAGUUUUUUUAUUAUACAAAGUGGCUCAGGUAACUGCAAGAAUGAUCUCUUUCCUAGGAACAGAUAAUUUAUCCCAAAUCUCUCAACUAUUAUGCAGAGGAACAAUGGACAUAUUUAACAUUAACAGUUCAUAAUAGCAUUUCAGAACAAUUCCAAAGCAUGUUUUAUAAAAUCUACAUGAUUUCUAAAGCAACUGUAGUCACUAGUGAUAUUGUGCAGAUCACCCCAACUCCUCAUCAUUUAAUUAUGUGAAAUCUAGUGAUAUUCUAAAUCAUGUUUUUUAAAAUCUACAUUUGAGUGUAAAUGUAAAUAUAUAAUUCAAACAUAUCCUCAAGAAAAAUCGUGAACUAUACAUGAUGGUCAAAGAUCAUUCAAGUGUAAGGAUAAUGUUACUUUGAGGAUUCUAUCUUGCUACCAACACAGCNNNNNNNNNNNNNNNNNNNNNNNNNNNNNNNNNNNNNNNNNNNNNNNNNNNNNNNNNNNNNNNNNNNNNNNNNNNNNNNNNNNNNNNNNNNNNNNNNNNNGGAUAUUGCAGCGCAAGAAAACUCCCUUCUUACUUCUAAUGUCAGAUCAUGGCACUUGGCAAACGCAUCUUUGCCGAGUGCCUCAAACCCUACACUCGACAAAUAUAUUAAUUAUUUUUUCAUUUCCCUUUUUUCAUAACGUGUUUUUCUUUUUUCCGAUGUACUUUGAAAAUACCUUAUCAAAUUGACUCAACAAUAUAUAUAUAUAUAUAUAUGAUUUUUCUACGAAUAUUAUUCCAUUAUUUUAUGCAGCUCAAAUUUAAUUUAUAUCAAUUAAAAUUCUAUAAUUGCACCUAAUAAAUUAAAAUUAUCAAACGGAUCCAAAAAAUUACUAAAAUUUCACAUGAAACAAUCUAUGUUCUCUAUUGCUGAUACAAAAAGUUUUGAAGUCAAACCCCAAUUUGAUCGUCACUUUGACUCCAAAUCUUACCGAUUCCUUCCCAACACUACGAUUCUUCUUCUAAGAUGCUUCGGUUUGUAAACAUCGUACGUGAGAAAUUGUGCGAAACCUUCUCAAUUGUUUACCACAGCCUCCAUGUAUGAUAUCAUCACAUCAUGACAAAUCUUAUGAUUUAUAGAGUUCGUUUGCUUUUUUUAGAAUUUAAAAACCAAUCGGCCACACGUUCGUGGUCAUGUUUUCUGAACAAGAUGUUCAAAAUUUCUUUUCAUUUCCUGGGUAGGGCCUAACACUGGACUCAAUAACAUGAAUAUUAUUUUUCUACUCAUUUAUUCUAUUAUUUCAAUCACUUACAAUUCAAAUUUGACUUAUACCAAACAAUUCCUAGAAAUGCAAUAAAUUAAUUAAAUAUAGCAAACAGAUUCAGAAAUAUACCAAAUUUUAACAUGGAAUACCACAUAUUGUAUGUUGAGAGUAGAAAAAGUUUCAAGGUCAGCAGAGAAAAAAAAUGAAAUUAUUUUGCCGAGUGCCAUAGAUUUACACUCGGCAAACAUAUUAACGGAUGGACACGUGGCACGUUCUUUGCCGAGUGCCUUCCUUUGCCGAGUGUUUUUUCUCUUUUGCCAAGUGGUUAUGUGCGUUUUUACCGAGUGUAAAUAUUUGCUGAGUGUUUUUUAAUCUGUUUGCCAUGUGUCAUAUUUUUUGCCGAGUGUUUUUGUGGUAGCACUCAGCAAAUAGUUUCUUUGCCAAGUGCACGAUGGAAUACACUCAGCAAAGAGCUUGGCACACGGCAAGCCCACAGUUUCCGGUAGAGCCUGUGCAUUAAUUGAAACAAAUAUCAAGCUGCAUGUGUUAUGAAACUUGUGCUUCCUUCAUUUUUUAUCACAACUUUUAGCACCGGAAGACCAAGGCAUUAUUAUACUAGUUAUCACGUGCAUCAACAAAUUCAGUUAUCUGUCCAUGUUGAUUUCAUCUUGCAAACUCUGUGCUCAUCGAGGCUUUCUUCUGGAGGAUGUAAUAAUCUGUGCUUUCUUCACUAGUAUAGUCACCGGAUGAAUUGUCAGACGACCGUCCCUGCAUCAUGAGUGCACUAACACCAUGAAACCCUUGAGUGCGAGGUGAUACUGGACGUGCCAAUCGCUGGAGUUCCUCUGCUACCUCUCUCAUCAUUGGCCUCUGUUGACCGGUCAUGGCCAAGCACCGACUUGCUACCGCAGCCACUUGAAGUAUUAACUCCAUGUUUUCUUGAUUGUCUAUCUCCCUAUCUAUGAGUUCUGUAAGUUUGCCCUCCUUCACACCUUCCAUGAAGACAGACACGAGGCUUACCUUUGUUUUGGACAGUGCCCUCCUUCGUGUUAAGAGCUCCAGAAGAACAACACCAAAGCUGUAAACAUCGCUCUUAUCAGUAAGCUCAAAGUUCAAAAGGUACUCUGGAUCUAAGUAGCCCAUUGUCCCCUUCACUACUUGAACAUUUUCAUCAGCUGACCUAAUCAUGGAGCACCCAAAAUCAGAAACUUUUGCAGAGAGAUCGUGGCCUAGAAGAAUAUUAACGGACUUGACAUCUCCAUGAAAGACAGGGUGGCUAAGAGAAUGUAGGUAUGCAAGUGCUGCAGCAAUCUCAGAGGCAAUUUUAAGACGGACCUCUAGAGUUCUUUUGGACGGAUCAACUUGUGUAUGAAUAAGAUGUUGUAGAGUUUGAUUUGGCACAUAUUCAUACACCAGAACUGGAGCUUCAAACUGCAAGCUGCAACCUAGAAGCUGGACAAUGUUUUCAUGUUUGACUCGAGAAAGUAUAAGAAGCUCCUUACCAAAUUCCAUUCUCCUAUUCUCAUCAAAUCCCUUGCAGAUCUUGAUAGCAAUAGAAUUAUUUUCUAAAUCAAGAUUUUUCCCUAUAUAAACAGUCCCCUGACCACCUUCACCAAUGAUUGAGCUUUUGUCAAAGUUGUUGGUGGCCAACUCAAUUUCUUCUCGGUUAUACAACUUAAAUGUUUUGUUGCUCUCUACUUUCAUCAUAUCCAUUAGCAAUUUCCCUCCAUUCUGCUGAAAGCAUUCAUCAGUCUUCCUCAUGUAUUCUUGCCUUAUUAUUUGUCGUUUGUGCUUGAUCCAUUCUUUACCAAGAUAAAGUAAUAGACCAAGCAAAACACAGGCAAAAAUUCCUGCAGGUCAGACAUGUAUCUAACUCGUAAGUUGGUACAAGGAAAAAAUAAAGAAGUAUGGUUAGACCUAUCCACUGAAACAACUACUGGUGUACUGGUUGGUUUAUAUAUACUUGUGUCACUUAAAUACAAUAUUCAGUCACUUCACAAAUGUGACACCAUGAGGACAGAUUUGUUUCAGUCAUGCUUUCACAGAUCUAAUCGAACAGUGCGGAAAGAUACGAGCAGUACCUAUUGGGAUUGUGACUUUUAGAGGAAUUGAGUGGUCCUUCUCACAUGUCCCAGUGUAUGCGUUGCCUUUGGGGUAACGCGGAGGACAAAUGCAUUGAAAUCCUCCUUGAGUAUUCUUGCAAGUUCCCUUCACAGAGCAAGGGUAUUUCUCCAGAUUGUUAUUACAUUCAUCAACAUCUGCAAUGUUAGCAGUGGUAUAUAAAAUAUCGAGUAAAGAUUUCCAGUGGCAGUAGAUUAUCUCAUGACCUAAUCAAAGGCUAAAACAUUACCUCUCUUAUUUAUACAAACAUAUCACGCAAAAGGAAUUGCACCUAUAGAUUUCAUUACCUUUGCAUCCGUCAACAAGGUACGGAUUGCCUUGGAACCCUUUGGUGCAGUUGCAGAUGUAGCCUUGUCCAUUGUCCGAAUUAAAGCACUCACUGCUACUGCUGACACAUGCAUAUGACUCAGGCUUGUUCCGGGCUUCAUCGCAAGUUCCAUUCCCAAUAGCCCAGUCCACGAUCAACGGCGGCUGCCCAGAAUAAGCAUCGUAGAACGCCGAUGAUGUAGCGUAGCUUUUGGAGAAUGUGAAUUCGGAUGCCUCGACCAGCGCCGCGUAGCUGCAGCGGCUGGUGUUGUAGAUCCUCGACGUGUUGAAGCCUUCACCGAACCACACCUCGUAGUACUGCAGGCCCUUGGGGAUGGCCGUCUGGCAGCAGCCAAUUCCGGAGCAUGAGCCAUCAGUAAGUGUUCUUACAUCGCCUCGCCGGCACAUGGAGACACAACCGCUCAUGUACCUGCCCACGUUAUCCUCAUCUCCAAUGUAUGCCAGUGUUCUGCACCCAACGACCGUAAACAAGUUAGCAGUCUCUGAGAAUCUAUAGGGCGUACCUGUCAGGUUCAGCCGCCAGUUUAGGUAAUCCAUUUCCUUAGUGGAGGUGUUGUAGCAAUAAGUCGACAUGUCCAUCCUCAUCCGGGCAAGACCUUGCUGCAGCGAGAUAUUCAGAACCUCUACAUCUAUAUAAAAUGGCCUGAAUGAUCCAUGGCCGACUUCCUUGCAGCUCAGGUUGAAGCCGGGCAAAGAGCAGUGAUCAGGCGAGUCGUCAGGCCCAAUGCCAAAUGGAUAUGGGAUAUCGACUUCGCCGCAUUUUCUCUGACAGUUGUUGCUAGGCGGCGGCAAUGCUUCAACAGAAGAGAGUAUUACCGCAAGCACGAGCACUACUCCAAGACAUAGCAGUGCAUCUAAUCUAUGCGGCAGCAUGGUGUG
rnacentral:lncRNA from 1 species